UUAUUUUGAGAAGCCUGCUUGUUCGCAUAGAUUUUAACGACAUGAACAUUGUGGUAAGGUUAGAGAGUAAUGCGAAUGUAGGAGCUUAUAUUAGAAAUGACACAAACACGUAAAUAGAAGUAAUCUAUAUAUGAUAUUACUCAUGGACUACAAGCAAAGAAGUACAAUACAUGGAGUAAGUGAUGAAAUGAGCAUUCCUCACUACUACUGCUUGACUGAUGGAACAUGAUGCACGAGAUAGCAUAAGUAGUAGUAGGAAGCAGCUCUUAUUUGUGGCGUCGGUAUACAUCAUACUAGGUAGAUGGUUCAAUUGGCAUGGAUGGGUGGUGGAGCCUUGAAGUGCUUGUGAUGGGGAGCCCACGGCUUCUUCUCAGGAGUUGGUGGCUUCUUGUAUGGAGUUGAUGGAGGUGUUUCUACUGGAGGGUGGCCAGGGUAGUGACCCUGGGGUGGUGAAGGUUCUUUUGUCGGUGGUGGCCUCACUAUUAUUGGCGGUAGAGUUGGUGGCUUGGGCGUUGGCGGUGGUCUCACUACUCUUGGGGGUAGAGUUGGUGUCUUGUGUUUUGGUGGUGGAGGUGGCUUAACAGGAGUUGGUGGCUUGUAUUCUGGGGGUGGUUUCUCCACCGGAGGUGGCUUAUAAACUGGAGUUGGUGGCUUGUAUUCUGGGGGUGGCUUCUCCACUGGUGGUGGCCUGUAAACAGGGGUUGGUGGCUUAUAUUCUGGGGGAGGCUUCUCCACUGGAGGCGACUUAUAAACAGGGGUUGGUGGCUUGUAUUCCGGGGGUGGCUUCUCUACGGGAGGUGGCCUGUAAACAGGGGUUGGUGGCUUCUCCACCGGAGGUGGCUUAUAAACGGGGGUUGGUGGCUUGUAUUCUGGGGGUGGUUUCCCCAGUGGUGGAGACUUGUAAACAGGAAGAGGUGGUUUGUGCUCAUAUGGGGGUGGCUUGUGGUCAUUAGCAAGUGAGGGAGUGGUGAGGACCACCAAUCCAAGGAACAACACGAGUGAGCAAGCAGAAGACAUGUUUGGGCUCUGGUGAUGCACAAGUAGAAGAAAUGGGAACCAUUUAUAAUGCUUCGAGACCUUGGUUAGCACCAAAAUAUGUCAAAAUCUUGAUUACUUCAUUUCAUACAUAGAUUUAAAAUUAUUUCAAUCAACCAUGAUCCUUAAUUUUCUGGGUGGUCCAUAAAUGUAAUGGGGUCAAUUUGGGACCUAACAAGCUGAGAAGUUUGACAAUGCUGCAAGGCUUCAUCCGAAAGUCCGGGGAAGAAUAUUAGGAGUUACACUCCGUUUCCUUUUUUGGGUGCAUUUUUCUCCUUUAACAUUCUAUUCCCUUUUACAUUAGCAUUUGAUCUUAGCUCAUUUCAAGUACAAGUUUCUUGAACCCUAUACCAUUGUCAAAGUUGAGUAACCAUCUCUACUUUGCUCAAGAAACAUAAAAGACAAUGACAAUAAAGAAAAAGGAGAGAGACCAUACGUGACUUGGUUUAUAGGUGGCUUUGUGUUGACAUUUGAGUAUGGAAGCCGACAUGCAUCUUAGCUUCGAUUUUAAUUAAAUUUGUACAUUAGUGUCUGUGUCAUUCAUUUUGGUAUAAAAGGUCUCUUGAUUUCGUAAGUUUGGUAAGAACCGUUGAAAAUAGCAGUAGCAGCACAUGGUCCACUUUCUUUCACAAAAUAAUUUUAAAAGUUUAGAAGCAUAGGAGGUAACAUUAGUGGCCUUGUGGCUCAGCCACGAGUACUAUGUGGUGCUCGAGAAAUUGAGUUUAAUUUCCUUCCGAUAGUUCAUGAUAAGGUCCGUCACUGUCCUGAGACAGAUUGCGUUUUUUCUUUUUUCCUUUUUUAGUGUUUUAUUGACUAGCUAGGUGUGACUUUUCCUACUUUAAGGCACGAGGCAGAAAAGAAACUGGGAUUUAGUGCUUAAGAAGGCAAAUUUAAUUCGAUUUGGAUCUAAAAUUUGCCAGCAACAUGAGAUUUUCCAGCCUAUCGUUGCUCCACAUAUAGACAAGGCACUUGUAGAAGUGGCUUGUUUGUAGCCAUUCCCGAUAUUUGGACUCACUUGAUUCACCGGACACUUUGAUAAAAUUUAAUAUUUAUUAUUUAAUAAUUUAAAUUGAUUUAAAAUUAAAUUAUACCGAAGUUGUGAUUUAAAAAUUAUUAUUUAAUUCUUACUUUUAAAUAUGAAGAUUAUUUGAUAAAAAUAAUUUAAAAUUUAUUAUAAAUUAUCAAAUUAACAUAUUUAUCCUUAUAAAUUAUAAUUAAAACAGAAAAGGUCAAAUGAUUUGAGUAUCCAUAGAUGUGGUAAAAUAAUAAAAAAGAUUAUAAAAACAAUUAUGAUAAAUAAAGAUAAAAAGUAAAAUGAAUAUGUGAAUUUAAAGAAUAAAUUAAUUAUUUUUAUUUAUUACUUAAAAUUAUUUUUGACUUUAAAUUAUAUUAUUAAAUUAUUUUACCAAACAUACUUAAUUUAGUUAAUAAUUUAAAUUUAAUUUAAGUUAUUAAAUUGAUUCACCAAAUACCCACUUAAUCAAAGACUGAAGUAUACAUUAUUUGGCCAAAUGCAGCUAUUGAAAUUUAACUUUUUCCAAACUUAUUCAUUUUGUGGAAAUAUUUUUAGAAAUGAUUUUAAAAAUGCACUAUUCUGUGUGUUGAUUUUAUAUUUUGGCAUUAAUCCAACAUAGAAAACGGUUCUUAUUUUCGCUGUUAAAUAGGUACCAGAUCCUUAAUUAGUGCCGUGAAUCCGGCAGCUUCCAAUGAGUAAUUUGGACUUGGGUAUUGACAAUGUGUGGCCAUGCUUCUACUAUUUUAUUAUUCUUGAAACAUAUAUGAUAUAUUGGACUUUAUACAGGGAAAAAAAAAAAAAAAAGUCUUCACCAAAAAUGAUUCCUCCUAAAAAAUAGACUCCACAAACUAGGUUUAACAGGAAAAUGAUUCUAAUCUAGUAGUUUCCAGCCACAUGAGCAUUUACGUAACAAUAGUAUAGUUGAUAACGACUUUUAUUUUAUUUAUUUUUAAAUAGUUAAAGGGAUAAUUUUUGAGCUUAAAUUUUAUUUUUUUAUUUAGAAACAUUUUACUUUAUUUUUUAAUCAUAAUUCUAUUAUAUUAAUGUUUUAUUUUCUAUUUUUUAAUAUAUAAGGAGAUACUAAAUUUAUGUGAUUAUUUUUUAAAAAUUUAGUAUAUGAAAUUAAAUAAUUGGAUAUAUAUACAUAUAUCAUAUAAUGUUUUUUAAGUGUGAUUUUUGAACUUUUUAGUCAUUUUAUAAGUUUAAGCUUUUGAUUUUUUUUUUUAAACUUUGGUAUUUUUUAUUUUAUAUAAAACUAUUUUGAUUUAAUUUUAUUAAAAAAUAUUGGUAUUAUAAAUUAUUGUAUUAAUUAUUUUUUUAUAUUAUAAUGUAACUGGUAUAUACUAAAAAAUGUAUGCAAGUUCAAUUUAAGUUUCAAAUUAAAAAAUUUCAUUUAAAUAUUUAAUAACUUGUUCAUAAUAAAAAAUUAAACAACAUAAUACAAAUGAAAAGAAACAUAAAAGAAAAAGGAAAAAAUGGUCCUCUCUGUGUGUCACAUUACUAGGUCAUCCUCUUUUUCUAUGACCCUUACAAUAGAAUGGCAUAUUUGUCAAAUCUACUUAUGAAAGUUGGAAUGUUUCUACAUGUGUAGGGUCCAUUGGAACUAAUGGAGGAAAGGCUUAACGUCUAUGUAAAUCACAACGUUGCCUAGGUGGGCAUAGAUCUAGUUGUGUAACAUGAGAUGGUGUGAGAGUACAAUAUAUGCAUUGUAGUCUCUAUGGGAAGAGAGAUAGGUAAUGGUAGGGUGGUAGACGGUAGGGUGAUCUCUAAUAUAAUGACAUUUGAUGUGGUGGCUUCUAAGAGAGGAGAUAUAAGAGAUGGUAGAAUGACAUUUGGUGUAAUGGUCUCUAGUGCAAUGACAUGUGAUAUGGUGACCUAUAAAGAAGAGAUAUAGGUGAUGGUGAAGUGGUAUGUGGUGUAGUGACCUUUGAGAUAGAAAAUAGAGGUAAUGGUAGGUUGGCAGGUGGAGUGGUCUUUGGUGUAGUGACAUCAAUUAUAAAUGUCUCCAAGGGAGGAAAUAAAGGUGAUGGUAGGUAGUAAAUGUUGAGGUGGUCUUUGAUAUGUUAUGCUCUAAGAGAGAAGGUAUAGGUAAUGAUAAUAGGGAAUUUGACAUAGUGGUGUUGGAAAUAAAAAGUGAAAGUGACCGUAGAGGUGAAAGGGCAAGUGUAAAAGCCUCAAGUACGAAUGGAGUAAUUAAUGUGGAUGGUGCUAACAUAGUCUUAGGUGGAUACACAAAUAGUCAUAGUCAUCAACUAGCUUGCCCACCAUCUGUCUUUCUGCUAGUGAUAGGUUACAUCUUAAUAGUAAUGGCCAACAUAAGUGGUGUGGAUCCGAUUUUUUUACGUGUGUCCCCACUCAAUCGACAAGACUUAUUUUUUAUUAGUGAAAAAUUAAUUUUGGAAAAGUUGGAGUCACCACUUAUUUUAUUUUAUUUUAAAAAGGAAAGUAAAACAAGAAAGAGAACUCUAAAGAAGUGACUUCAUAGUUUUGGAAAAGUUAGUCUUAAAAAAUCCAAGUCUUGGUCCGGAGAUCAGGUUACUUAUUGGGAAGAUACCUCUAAGAGGUAAUACCCCUCUAAACCCUAAAGAAGUCUCUAAUGACUAAGUUGAGGAGAAUGUGGUAAUUAAUUAAUUGAUUGAGGGUACCUAGGUAGACUAAGGUGAUUUCAGAAUUAACAUACCAAGCUAGAAAGUCCAAUCAUGAUCAUAAAAGAGAGUCAAAGUAUGUACCUGAACUGCUUCUCAAACGCUAUCAUAAAACAUCAAAGUUAGUAUAGAAAUAUAACACAUAAUAUUUGUUUUAUCCAAGCAAAUAAAGCAUACAUCUAAGCACCCAAGAAUCACAUCAAGUAUGGAUAUAGUCAUCAAUAGCAUACGUGUCCAUAGAACUAUCGAAAGUAAAUGUGGAGGAGCGUAUCUGGACAACAUAGAUAACUUAUAAUGUGCUUCCACAAGACAUGGGGGUUAGAUAAAAGUUAUAAUAAUAAUUAGUAAAUGAAAGAAUUCUAGCAUGUUUGGUAUCUAAAUAACAUAGCAAAAAUGAACAAGAGUACACGAAAACAUCAAUUAUCACACGAGUCAUAUUGGCUAGUAUUUAAUCAAUAAACCAACAAUAAAUGACUAUAAACAUAUAAAAUGACAUAUUCAAAGAGACCCAAACAUAAAGAGCCUAGAACACAAGCUUACACUAAAUUUAGAAAACUAAAACAUGGAAUUUUAAAAGCAUAAAUUAGCAAACAAAUUGAUGGAAACUAAAUUUAGAUAACUUAAGAAUAUUUUUCUUAUCCUUCAAUUUAAAUCAGUAAGCCAACAAUAAAAAAUUAUAGAAACAUGGAAUAUCAAGAUCAAUGGGAUACCUAAACUAUAAUUUUUAAAAGAAAAUAAACUAAGCAUAAUAUCUACAAAGCAACUAAACUAACAUUUUUUUAAAAAUAAAUUAAACAUGACAUUAAUGGAGUAACCAAACUAAAUUAAAGUAAACUAAAAACAUUUAUGAAUUUUCAAACAUGGAAUCAGCUUUCUUAGUAAAUUAAAAUUAUUAAAAUAAAAUCUAAGCUUAAAAAUGAAUUAAAUACUAACUAAAGCAAAUCUAAAACCAAAUAUUUAACACAUAGGAUCAAUUAUAUUAACAAACUAAAAUUUUAUAAGAACACUUAAACCUAAAGUUGAAUUAAAAACUAACCAAUUUUUAAAACUAGAUCUUUAACCCAUAGGAUCAAUUAUAUUAACAAAUAAAUAAUAAAUAAUAAAUAAAUAAAACUCAAACCUAAAGAUGAACUAGAAAUGUACCAAAGUAAAUUCAAAACAAGAUCUUUAACACAUUAGAUCAAUUAUAUUGACUAACUAAAAAAAAAAAAAAAAAACACUCAAACCUGAAACGAUGUAUUAGAAACUAACCAAAGCAAAUUUAAAAUAGAGUCUUUAACACAUAGGAUCAAUUAUAAUCACUAACUUAAAUUACAAUUUUUGAAACAUGAACUAAUUAGUGUUGGAUUAAUUAAACUAAUUAACUAAAAAAAACUAUAAACUAGAAUACGGUGAAUCAAGAAUUCAAAUCAACAAACAUAAAAUAUGGGUACAAUGAAAUGAAAAUCUAUUAAACUAAUAAGACGGAAAUAUGACAAACUCAUGAACCCACAUUUUGAUCAACUAGGAAAUAGAAAUUAAUAGACCUGUAGCAUGGAUACAAUGAAAUGAGAUCAGUUAAAUUUAUUUGCCGAAAUUCUAAAAAACACAUACACUCAAAUAAGAUCUAAAUCUAAGACCAAGCAAAACUCAAACUUUCUCAAUCUAAUGCAAUGAAUCAAAACUAAAAUUAAAUAGAAAUCAAACCAUUUUUUUUUUAUCUAAUAUAAUAAAUCAAAGCUAAAACUAAACAAAAUCGAAUUUUCUUAAUUUAAUAUGAUGAGUCAAAGCUAAAAUUGAACAAAGUUCAAACCUUUAUAUAAUGGAUCAAAGUUAAAUCUAAAUGAAAUCCAUACUUCCACAAUUUGAUAUAACAAAUCAAAAAUAAAACUAGAUAAAAAAAAAGUCAAAGCCUUUCAACUUGACAUAGUGAAUCCAAACUGAAACGAAACAAAAUUUUAACUUUUCCAAUGAAACCCAAUAUAGAAAAAAUUAGCUUACCUUCUUUAGAAUAUAUGUAUGGGCCAUAAAGAAGUCACCUUGGUGCAUGUGUUCCUCACUUUGACGCCAAUGGACGACUUUCUAUGGUAGCAAAUGGAGAUCCUUUUUGGUGGUAACUUGCGUGUGGAAACCUAUGGUACAACCAAUGUCAUCUUUUAUUGUGCGUGUGGACCAAUUUCUUCUCGAGAACUCAUGUGUGUUGUGCUCAAAAUAUGUUGCCUGUGAGAAUCUAUUGGUAUACCCCACAUAUGGUUUCCUUGAGAGAAUCUGUGGUUGUGUGUGGGCGUUUUCUUCAUGACAGCAUGUGGAUGUUCCCAUCUAUGGUAGAUUGGUUGUGAUGCUUUAGUGCAUGGUCUCCAUAGGAAUAGUGUGUUAUGGAAAUUUGGUUUUUUUAUUGGUGCAUGUUGUCUAGACUUUCCCAUAUGCGUGGACUGUGUGUUCAUGCUUUUCUUUUCGGAUGGUCGCCUGUGUUAAUGUGUGGCGGUGUCUACAAUGAAAGAUACAACCCUUUCUCUCCUUCUGCGUGAUAGAAAAGUCAAUCCCCCAUGGUGCGACUAUGUUCCCUCGUCCUUUUUGAAAAAUUUUGGUGUUUUCCCCCCAAAAAAUCCCCUCCAAAAAUCUAAUUAUAAAUGUCUGCUUUGGCCUAAUGUGUGUGCUACUUUUUUUUUCCUUCUUUUUAUGGUUGUGCGUGCUUUUCUUGAUACGUGGCUUAUUUCUUAAGGAUAUGAUUCGCUCCCAAUUGGUGUCUCAGCUGAUUCAUGUCCUUUCAAUGGUCCCUGACAGUGGUGCCAUUUGAUUCGUGUCCAGCUGGUGUCCCUUGAUUGUGGUCCUCAGAAGGGAGUAAUCAAUAAAAUUUAUAACCUAUUACACCAUGUAUUAGGAUAGCCUUAGCUAGCAUAGCAUAGUGGCUCUAGGGUCGUUUAUUGGGAUGAGUUUUCACUUCACAAUUGAUAUUAAUUCAAGAGCUGAAUUGGUGCCUUUUCAUUUCAAGGUUAGCUUUAAAAGAAAACAUAAUCUUUGGUGGAAAAAGGUUUGGUUUUAAACUAACCAAAAAUAGUAACUGAUUUUACUUACAAAGAAAAGUGUUCUUUGGAGUUUAGAUCACUAGGCUCAGGUUCCUCAUACAAAAAGGAGAGUUCCGAUCAUUUGUUUCUUUUCCUCGCAUUAGAGAAUUAACAUAUAGUUAAUUCUCUAACCGGUGCGGUACAUAUGCUUCCCAUUAAUGGGUUCAAACACUAAAUACCUCUCACUGAUGCACCUUGCAAUGGCUCGUGCCUCUCACCUAGCAUUUAUCAUUCAAGGUGAUCUUUAACCUUGGAUUACCCAUCAAAAGCUCGCAAGAGAUAACUAAAGGAUGUCUCCUUAGAGUCCAAAAGCUUACCAAGUGUUGGUUAUUCUAGAAAAUCCUACCUUCAAACCACCUCCCAAAGGCUCGCAAGAGAUAAACAAGUGCAUCUCAAUGGAUGAAGAUCACUUGCCUUACCAAGUUUUGGCCCAGAUGAUUUAAUGACAUUUUAAGUUAACUAAAAAGAUAAAAACCAUUAACGGGUCACACUUUCUCUUCAUUAAAAACUAAAACAACAAAACUUCCAAUUUAUGCAUGAGGAAACUUACCUGGCUUUCUUCACUUCAAGAGAUGAAGAGCCUAGCCACUCAUCAUUUGAGGAAAAAUCCUCAGAGUUUGAUUUGCUAGAAAUAAAAAUAAUGAGAAAACAAAAAUAUAUAUAUGAAAAACAGAGCAAGUUCUCUGUAAUAUAUUUUUCUUCCUUAUACAAAAGGUUGUCUCUAAGAACAAGUUCCCGAGAUCUAUCUGAUUGUAAAUAAAAUUACAACUAUAUAUAAGAGGUUAUUCACCCCUUUGUUCUUUCUUAAAGACUAAGGAAUCCUAUGAUAGGUGGGUUACAAGGAGAGUUUGGGGAUUUAGACAUCAAAUAUCUAAAGCAAAAUAUCUCAAGAUGUUAGUCGGAAAUAUCAGGAAGCUUCAGGAGAACACCGCGACACUGUAUACUGAGAGAAAAACUCUCCGGGUAAGCUCUAUCAAAGGAUCCAGACAUGUCUGACUGGGAAAGUUGAAACGUCCUUCUCUCCCAUCCGGAUGUGAGAUAUCCGGAGAAAGUGAAAUGUCGGUCGGACAGAAUUCUUUCCCCGGGUGGAAUGAGUUGUGUUGCGCGUCGCAAGGGGGACCGUCUGCGUGUACAAGUUGUAGGGACCCCUCUCCCGGAUGACACCGAGCGCGUAAGGCUAUCCGGAUCAACUCCAUUCGGAUUCCCCAAGAGGACAUGUGGCGUGCUCCCCUAUCAGGACUCCCUUAGGGAGAAGCACACGACACUCGUGAACAUCAUACCCGGACGAUAGCAUGUCCUAUCCGGAUGUGUUGUCCGGAUCAUUGACUAAAGUGAGCAAGCCUUGCUACGUCAUUCGGACAGCUUGCCACAUACCAUGUUCCGUCGCCAUCUGAUGGUGUGUCCGAACGCCUUGUCCGGACAUCUUUUGCUCCUUGCAUUCCGGAUUUGCUUAUGACAAAGGACUUCAAAGCUUCGGUUCUUCAUGUUUCUGAGCUUUCCAUUGCUUUGCCAUGGAUUCCAAAGAACUCUCCUUAAUCACGGAUUGCUUUGGUGAUCAAAAAGUUAUCAAAACACAAAAACUUAACAUAGUUUGAUUAGAAUUGAUUGCAAGGGUUCUUAAUAUGUUAAUUGGGUUAAAAGGUGAUAACUACUACUCAAAAGUGUUUAUAAGAAUUAAUUACAAGCUAUGAAAUAACACUUUUUGAGUAGUAAUCAGGAUACAUCCUAGUUUUUCAUGGAAUUGAUAGUGGGUUGUUGUGCAUGAAUGCCACCAUUUCAACUAUGCUGUUGUUAUUUUUAAAAAAAAUAUGGAUUAUGCGCGAGUGGCAAUUCUCCACUAUGGAAAGUGGAUUGCUCCUUCAACCCAUGCAUGGCUACGUAUUCCUAUGUCUUUCUACUUGUGUUUGAUCCUCCAAAAAAAAUUUCGGUUUAGUGCUAGUAGAUUUUAAGUGGUGGAUCCCCAUUUUUUGAAAAUGAAGUGGCAGCCUCCCAUUUCAAGACAAAAUGGUAGCCUGCCUUUAAUCUUUGGAGAAAAAUCUGUGCAUGACCUUUUUUUUUCCCAAAAAAUCCGUGCAUGGUGUCCUUUAAUAUUUGGAGAAAAAUCUAUGUUGGAUCUUUUCUUUUCUAGAAACAUUUGUGUGGUCUUUUUUGUUAGCCCAAGGGUUCUUCUAAUCAAGUUUUGAUGAUAACAAACCAUGGUUAAGUGACUAAUUGGUUUAAUGAUUAAGAAUCUCAAACAUAAAAUCGAAAAUUCAUCAAAGGACCAAAUGGAUACAAGAUCGAGACGCUUGGAAGACUUGUAAUCAUAGGAAACUAAUGUAAGAUGAAUGCAUGAGUGCACUUAGGAUUUUCACACGUUUCAUGCAACUUAGAAAACCCAGUUUAUUCUUUAAAACUUCAUCCCAGUUUAUUCUUUUUAUGGUUGUGUGUGCUUUCCUUGAUACGUGGCUUAUUUAUUAAGGAUACAUCCCAGUUUUUCAUGGAAUUGACAGUGGGUUGUUGUGUGUGAAUGCCACCAUUUCAACUGUGCUGUUGUUAUUUAAAAAAAAAAAAAAUGGAUUGUGCGCGAGUGGCAAUUCUCCACUAUGGAAAGUGGAUUGCUCCUUCAACCCAUGCAUGGCUACGUAUUCCUAUGUCUUUCUGCUUGUGUGUGAUCCUCCAAAAAAAAUUUUGGUUUAGUGCUAGUAGAUUUUAAGUGGUGGAUCCCCUUUUUUUGAAAACUAAGUGGCAGCCUCCCAUUUCAAAACGAAGUGGUAGCCUGCCUUUAGUCUUUGGAGAAAAAUCUGUGCAUGACUUUUUUUUUCCCAAAAAAUCCAUGCAUGGUGUCCUUUAAUAUUUGGAGAAAAAUCUAUGUGGGAUCUUUUAUUUUCUAGAAAAAUUUGUGUGGUCUUUUUUGUUAGCCCAAGGGUUCUCCUAAUCAGGUUUUGAUGAUAACAAAUCAUGGUUAAGUGACUAAUUGGUUUAAUGAUUAAGAAUCUCAAACAUAAACUCGAAAAUUCAUCAAAUGACCAAAUGGAUACAAGAUCGAGACGCUUGGAAGACUUGUGAUCAUAGGAAACUAAUGUAAGAUGAAUGCAUGAGUGCACUUAGGAUUUUCACACGUUUCAUGCAAUUUAGAAAACCCAGUUUAUUCUUUAAAACUUCAAUUUCAUUAAAACCCGAGUUUUUAACUAAUGUACCUUAGGCAAAAUGUUUUAUAAUUGGCUUAAUAAUUCACCUAAAUACAUUUUCUAAGUGUUAGAAAAGAAAGGAAUUAAAAAAAGGUUUUCGGGGCAAAAAAGGCUCAACCGGUCGAGGCUAUGGUCAACCGGCUCAACCGGUUGAGGAACCAAUCGAUCGGUUGUGCUUGUCCGAUCGAAGACCAAUCGAGGGAUGCCAAAAAAUUUCUCUCUCUCCUAGUGGCCUUCUCUUCCCGGUCGAGGUUCGGUCUAGGCAACGGUAACAUGUCAAGCAUUAAAUGCUCCGACGACUAGUGAAUCGGUCGACCCCUAGCCCGAUCGGACGAGGUUGCCUUUUGCUGUUUUUGACUCCCGAGCUUAGAAACCUAUAAAUUGAGAGCUCCACUUCAUUUAUUGAUAAAAGAGAACACUUGCAUUCAAUAGUCUACCUACCUUUUCUUGAUCAAAAAGCUCUCAUUUCCUUCAUAGUGCAUUAAAUCAUCACUUGCAUAUCCUUUAGUGCACUAUUGUGUGUCAUCCUAGCUUUGUUUUGUAUUUGAGCUAUCCUUAAGCUAGGUUGAGGGAUUAUUUCUUAUAAAAAUCUGAGUGUUAAAGCCUUCAAGAGAUUUGAAUCUUGAAGAGAUUGUGUAAGAGCCCAUUGGAGCCGGAGUCCAAGUGUAAGAAGAUUGGAAGCUUGGUUGAAGCUUCAAGUUAGUGGAACCCUCACUCGGUUAGGAGGUUGAGGAGAGUGGACGUAGGUAAGGAAGUGUCGAACCAUUAUAAACCCGAGUUUGAAUUCUCUAACUCUAUCUCUUUAUUUUGCUUAUAUUGUGUUUGAAUUUGUUGUGAUUGAAAAGAUUUUAAAAACCUAAUUCACCCUCCCCCCUUUUGGGUUUUUUUUUCUUAAUUAAGCAUAACCUUUGUUUUCUAAUUUUCUUUUUAGGAAAAUCCAUGCGUGGUAUGUCCAAACUCUCCAAGUGGCAGUCUGCCUUCUUCUAAAAAAUUUGUUUCUAUUUCUUUAUUCGACUACCUUCCAUGUCUUCCUAAUGAGUGCUUGUGCUCAAUGGUCAAUCCCUGGUGGUUGCCUCCUUUUCCCAUAUAUACGUGUUGCAAAAUCAACAUCCCACUAUAUGUGGGUUGCCUCUAUGGCAAGUUCACAUUUCCCACAUGAAACCUAUGAGUUUCCACCAAAAAUUGCCAUGAAAAAGUCUUUAUAUGCAUCUCAUGCAAUAAAAAGUCAAGCCAAUACUCAUCUUAUCUCGAAAAAUAAGUAACCAAAAUCAAGAUCAUGCCUAAGUGAACUAUGCCAAAAGAAGUGUCCAAGUGACCUAUUAUGAAAAAAGUGCCUAAGUGACCUAAGGUGAAUGUGUGUAAGCUGGAAGGUGUCUAGGAUGUUUAGGACAAUGCCUAAGCCUAAAAUAGGGUUGCCAAGGGUCACAAUGGGGUUAGAUAAAUCUCUCAAUCAGAGUCUCCAAGGUGGCUCAUAAAAGAUAAGCUACACGAGUAAUGAUGGGCCACCAGGGAAUUAUUGUAAAGCACCAAACGAACACAUAAUAGGACAUGUGUUAGAAUGAAAAAAUGGAGGGUUUACAAGUGGUCUCAUGGAUGAGCUUGAUAAUUUAAAUGACUCACAUAAUGAACGUAUGUGAUGUUUCUCUCCAAUAACAAGCAAAACAUCACUAGCAAUAUGAUGAAUGUCUCCUAAAUCACUUGAAGUAGUCCUAGCAAAUCAAUUAGAAAAAUCACACAUAUUGCUCUAAUGUAAUAUUAUAUACAUCUGUCAAUGAAUGGGAGAACUAAUGACACAACCAUCAUGUUGAUAUCUCGAACCCUCUAAUCUCAUAUGUAGGUGGGAUCACACUUAGAAACUCAUAACACAGUAAUGACCAAUCUAAGUCAAAAUGUGUUGGUGAUCGGAGGCCCAUGAAUAUGAAGUUCUAGGAUGAUAAUGACAUCUUAUAAAGUAAUGAUCAUCUCCUUAAUAGAUAGGUGAAAUGUGUGUGUCUUAGGACACCAUCUCUCAACAAGACUUGUGAUCAAUCCCCAGUCUAGUGUAACAUGCCUAUUAUGACAUCCAUCGUAAAAUCUAGACUAGAUAAUAUAAGGACAAAUGUGAGGGUUCAUCUCCCUUUCCCACAUAAAUUUAAAAAAUUAUUAUUGACAAGUUAAGACCAAACUAAGUUGCAAAAUAUAAAUAAGUCCAUUAGAUAACAAAUUUAUGUUUUCUCAUUUUCUCAUUUUUAAAGAGAUAUUAUGUGCUUCCAUGUACAUACAUGCUAAAGUCAAUUAUACGAGACUUAUAUCCAUCUUGUAGAACCAAAUCGAACCUAUCUAAUAGAUCCAGAUUAGAAGUAUGUCCUCUAUACUCCAUAUUUAUAACACAUUUAUAAAGAUAAAUGCUAAAAAAAUGUUAAAGAUAUAAAUUUAAUGAACCAUACUUUAUGAUUUUAAUUCUCAAUUAUUGUUCAUAUUUAUAAGAGAAAAGUUAAAAAAAUUGAUAGAGUUUUCCCUCUAUCAUGGACAUUAUCCCAAAUAAAAAUAAAUUGAUUAUGCAAAUUACAUUAAUAUUUGUAACCAAAUGAUCAAUAACUAUCUUGUAUCAAUUUAGUAAAUAAAUUUAAGUAUAUCUUUUCAUUUAUGACUAACAAAUAACUCAUACUUGUCCAAUAAAAGCCACACCUAAUUUCUAAAAUUUUGUCUUCACCUCAAGUGAGUGUUACAUUGAGAAAGAAAAAAUAUGAAAGAAAAAAUGAACACCUUUUUCUUUUAAUAAAAAAAGGCCAUAACGAAACAUUAAAUCUCACUGUUACACCUAUCUUCAAUGGAAACAUGAGGAUGUGAAUGGUGGCGGUGAUAUUCUUUGCUUGAAGCUCAUAAACAAAUAUUCCUUACUAAGCCUAUGCCAUUUAGUAUUUCAAUAGUGGACCCCCCCCCCCCCCCCCCCCCCCUCCUUGCAUUUCAGAUUUAGCAAACUUAGAACCAAAUAACAAAGUGCAUUUGAACCCAUAAAGAAGUAAUGAGACUCUCCUAUAUUGGCAAUAGAAGAAAUUUUUGGAGGUAUAGGAGAUUCACGGAUGAAGAAGUUGGGCCCCAAUUGAGAUAAGACCCAAGAAAAGAUGGGGUAGAGAGGGAUGGUUGGAAAUUGUAAAGUAAGAUUUUCAAAAUGUAGUUGAUGACUAAGAUUUUGACAAUUUAAAAAAGGUUUAAAAAUGUAGUUAGCAAUCGGGGUUUUGUAACAUUUAAAAAAUAAAAUAAAAUCUCAGGCCACAUGGUAGCCCAUGUGAUUCAGAAGCUUGAGAAUUAUUUUAUAAGAAGACUUAAUUUGUGAUUUUUUUAUAACUAUAUUAUUUUUUUUCUUAACACACGAAAAAAAUUAUGAAAUAAGACAAUUUUCCUAAGAAAGCAUGUAAGUGACUCUUGGUUAUUUUAUUUAACUUCUUCUAGUUUGGAGAGGAUUAAUACCUUUGCUUUUACUCACUUGCUUGGAUAUGUACACGUUGUUCAUGUCACUUUUCAUUUAAUUUUCUGAUUAAGGGAAUUGGAACCGUACGUAACUGUCUUUAUUCCCUCUGAAACUUGGACUUGGAGUUGGACUUUCAAUCUCAUCAGUCGUGUUUCCAUAAAAAAGAAGAUGGAUUAACCAAUUUUCCUAUGCCUACUAAUCAUACACAAAACUCCACUUCCAAAUAAAAAGGAAUGGGAUAUCACUUGUUAAUAGUGGCUAAAGACUAUUAAUAACCAUGCAAAGAAAUGUCACAUUUUUUGUUCUACGCAAAUUUUAUUCAUCAACUACUAGAACCAUUUCAUACAAUAGUAGCUUUUCGAUCCUUUGAUAAAUGGACACUUGAUGUGAUAACACCAACUACACCUAUAUAUUCAAGCAAUCAUGCGUAUAUAAUAGUGGAUAUGGAUUACUUCUCUAAAUGGGCAAAAGUUUUGUCAUUCAAGGAAAGUGAACGAGGAAACACAAGUUUACUUUCAUCGGAACUAAUAUUAUAUAUUGAUAUGACUUCCCAUUAUUACUUACGAUGGAAUAUGCUUCCAUAAAAUGGCCUAGAUGAACAAACUAUCCAAGAAGUUUGGGAUCAAAUAAUAUAUAUAUAGUUCAUGUGUGAUUCUUUGGUUGACAACCUUGUUAAGGGGUGAGUGAAGCACUUUGGGCAUACCACAUACUACAUGCUAGACUUCCACCCAAGCUACCCUAUAUUCCUUAUGAACAAAGUAGAAGUUGUCAUCUCUCUUGAAUACCAAAUCCUUUCACCUAAUAAUGCUAUCUAAAAAGGUCUUAAAAAGGAUAAAAAUGCGCAUAUUUGAAUUUUUGAAUUAGGAGUGCUACUUAAAAAGAAGCUAGAUAUACAAUAAUAGAAUGUUAUCAAGCAUAUCUCUUCAAAGUUUUUGACCAAAAAAUAUAUGAUUUCUCAUUUUAGGUAGGAGACUUAGUACUCACUAUUCAAAAACCAAUUAUCAUUACUCAUAAAAACUAAUAGAAAGUUUGGGCCAAAGUAGGAUGGACCUUAUAUUAUGCAACAAUUAUGCCUAUAAAAUUGUUGCAAAAGAGGUUUUAGAAUCAAAUCAAUGAAUGAAAAAUUAUUAAAGCAUUACUAUGCUUGAAGGCUAGUCAUUUUCCCUUAAAGUGCAAUAUUAAGUUGCAUAGUACUAUGUGGAUCCGCAUUUUUCACAUGCGUUCCCACUCAUUGUCGAGACUCACUUUUUAGAAGUGAAAAAUUAGUUUUAUUAAAGUCGAAGUUGCCACUGGGGAUUUGAACCCUAACAAAAGGUUCAAUUUAAGGAUAAAAAUAUCGAUAAUCACAUAUAUAUAUAUUGGUACUUUGAUUUUAUGAAUAUAUUGAAGAAAUAUGGACAAAUAUUUUGACACAAAAUAUGUACAAAAUAAAAAUUAUAUAAAAAGUAAAAAUAAAUAUUUUAAAAUUAUUUUUUUAAAUAUAUAUAUAUAUAAUUUGACAUAUUUGAUAAUAAUAUAUAAGGGUCUCCAAAAAGCCCGUGGCCCGCUUUAGGCCCGGUCCGACCCGACAGGCUAAAGCCCGGCCCAAGCCCGCCGGGCCCAAGCUCGGCCCGAGCCCGUUUAUGGGUGGGCCGGGCCGCGAGCCCGUAGGCCUGCUCCUUUAAAAAAAAACUACAAAAAUAAAAAGUAUUAAAAAAAAUAUUCAUUUCAAAAUUUUAUUCAUUGAAUGUAUAAUUACAUUUGAAAAUGUGGGAAAAGUUUACAUCACUACAAAAUAAAUACAUCCCAACUAGGUUGGCACCUAUUUAUUUGUCAAUCAUCUGUAUUUUUCAACCACAAAAAAUAAAAAUAAAAAUAUAAUAUACAUUUAGUCAUUAUUUUCUGGCGGUGAUGGCGAACUAUCAUGCAUCCAUGAAGAUCUUGAUAAUUUUAAAGAUUCCAUAUCGGUAAGCAUCUUUGUUUCUCGAAUGGAAUCAUACAUCCUUUUAUCUGCUAUUUCCCAAUCUUUCACACAUAUCCCUGCUUUAAUAACAUCUGACGCUAAGUUGCAUCGUUUUUUACUAACUACUCUUCCACCUGCACUAAAAGCAGCUUCUGAUGCAACUGUACUCACAGGAACUGUUAGUACAUCACGAGCAAUUAUAGAAAGCACAGGAUAUUUGUGUUGAUGUGAUUUCCACCAUAUUAAAAUAUUAAAAUCUUCUUGAUCUUCAAAUGAAAUUAUAUCAGUAUUAAGAUAUUUAUCUAAAUCAGAUGUAUUAUUUGGAGAAUUAUUUGUUGUCUUUUUUCGACUUUUCAACAUUUCUAGAGCUCCUUUAUAAAAAGAUGAGGAGUUUGUAGAUGUAGGUGGUAAUUUAAUAGUAUUAAUAUCAUUACCAUAUUUUUCUUUAUAAUAGUUAUAUAAAUUAUAUAAUAAUGAAUUUAUUUCAUUUUUAAUUUCUUCAAUUUUUAUUUGGUCAUUAAAAUAAAUAAUUGUUAACCAUUCAUCCAAAGCUUCAAAUUUCAAUCUAGGGUCCACAAUUAAAGCAAUAUAAAAAAUUAAAGGUAUUUCUCCCCAAUAUUUUCUAAAUUUUUAUAUCAUUACAAAUAUUGUAUCAUUAAAUAUUUCAAAACUUAAAUAUUUUUGAAGUACAAUAAAAAUAUUAGUUAUUUGCGUAAUAACUCGAUUUGAAGUUGGAUAAUAUACACCACAAAAAAUGUUUGUUGAAGUAUCAAAAAUUUCAAAAAGAUCUCUUAAAACAUCCGCAAUAUGCCAAUCAUAAUCAUUUAAUGCAUAAAUAUCUGCUUCAUAAUCAUUGUUAAUUAAUUGUAUUUCAUAUAAUUCGACUACUUUUCUAUAUUUUGUAAUAUUUUCUAAAAGUUUAUAUGUGGAAUUCCAUCUAAUAGCCAUAUCCAAAUUUAUAUUUUUUCUUUUCAUAUUUAACAUUUUGCAACAAUCAAAAAAUAAUUCAUGUUUUGCUUGAAAACUAUUAAUACUAUAUGCAAUGCCUCUAAUUUUUUUCCAAUGUACUAUCAACAUUUUUUAAUCCAUCCUUUACAAUUAAAUUUAAAAUAUGUGCACAACAACGCACAUGAAAUAUUUUAGCAUGAUCUUCUUUUACUUGCCAAUAUCGUUUUAGUCUAUGUAUUGCUGCAUCAUUAUUAGCAGCAUUAUCUAAUGUUAUUGUCAAUAUUUUAUCACGAAUGCCUAAAUCUAUAAUUUCAUCAUUUAUUAAAGAUGCUAUAUUUUUACCACUAUGUGGAGUAUUUAUUAAUUUAAAUAAAAUUAUUCUUUUAUUUAAUUUCCAUUCAUUAUCAAUGUAGUGAACAAUUAUAUAUAAAAAACCAGUAUGAGUUAAAGAUGUCCAAAUGUCAGAUGUUAAACGAAUAUUUCCUUCAAAAUUUGCAAAAUUUUUUUUUAAAAUUUCUUUUUGUGUAUAAAUUUUUUUCAUAAUAUCUCUUUUAACUGUAUUUCCAGAUCAACCUUUAAAUUGAGGAUUAAUACCUCGUUGAAUUGUUCUUGCAAAAUCAUGAGUUUCCAUCAUGUUGAAAGGUUGUUCUGCUCUUAUUAUAUAAUCAAUCAUUUCUUCACAACAGUUAGAUUCAUCAUAAGAAAAUGUUUUUAAAUUUCCACUUUCAUUUUUACUUAAUUGCAUAUAAUUUCUAAUAUCUACAUUAUUUUUAGUUUUACAAUUUUCAUGAUGUCUUUUUAAAUGACUUGUAUCUGCAUUUGAGCCACCAGUAAGAAAUUUAUUACAAAUUUUACAUUUUGCUUUUAUUUUUUUUUUAUUAUUUUCUAAAAUUAUUUCUAUUCUAUCAAAAAAAUUCCAUAUAUUUAAAGUAAAUUUUUUGUUUGAUGAUAUUUCAUCACAUGGACUAGACGAAGAAGCACUUGUCAUAUUAUAAUUAUUGAUAAAAUAUUAUGCCAAAAAUAAUAAAGUAAUAAAUAUAAAAAAAAAUGUAACAAAAAAAAUAAAGUAGUAGGGGUGAAGUAUGUUACUCAAUUAGAGAACCUAUGCAGAAAUUCCUAGCAAAUUUGAACUCUUGGAGCCACCAAUGCUUGUUUUGCACCAUCAACAAUAUUGUAUAAUUUGAGGGAAAAAUAAAAGAAUUUAAAAUAUUGUAGAAUGUGAGAGAAAUAGAGAGAAUUUGAUGAAAAAAUGAAAAGGAAGAAAAUGUAUUUAUAGGAAGGUUAAAAAUAAUAAUAAUAAUAAUAAUAAUAAUAAUAAUAAUAAUAAUAAUAAUAAUAAUAAUAAUAAUUGGCCAUGUGACCGUUGGAGGCUUAGCUCCAACGGUCACAUGGGCUGGAGCUAGGCUCCAACAGUCACAUGACCGUUGGAGCCUUUAAUUUUUUUUUUUAAAAUAAUAUACUUUAUUUUUAUAUAUAUAUAACUAACUCAAUUAAUAAACAUAAAAAGAAUAUAGUUCAGUUGGUUAGAACCUUGAAGUUUAAACAUGAGGGGAGGGGUUUGAAUCCCUCCCUCUCCCUUAGGGGCUUUUUUAAAAGCCAUUUUGGCUUAUUUCAAAAAGCCUGUCGGCCCGACCCGCCCUGCAGCCCGCGGGCCUAGCAUUUUAGCAUGGCCUGGUCUGUUGACUAGUCAAAUGGCUCAUAGGCUCGGCCCGAACUGGGCCGCGGGCCUCUUAUUUACGGACCGGCCCGACCCGGCCCGCCCGUUGGAGACCCUUGAUAAUAUCUUCUAUAUUAAGUUACAUUAUAGUUUAUUUUACAAUAUUAUUAUGAUAAUAUGUCUAAUUUUAAAAUAUAUUUAAUAUUAAAAUUAUGAUCUAUUUUAAUUUAAAUGUAUUCAAUGAUAUCAAAUAAAUAAUAAUAUAUGUAUAAUUCUUUUAUUAUUUAUAUUUAUUAUUUUUAAUAAAUAUAUAGAUUAUAUAAAAAAGACCGGAUAUAUCUUUUCAAAUUUUGUAUCGCUCUCCAAGGAUAUUAGAUGUAUGGGAAUUUGUAUUGCUAUCUACGGAUACGUUGAUAUAUGGGUGAUUUAUCAGGAUAAUUAGAAAUUCUAAUUAUGUAAGCAGGUACGGAGUUCUGUGUCGGUGCGAUCUUGUCGACAACAGCUCCAAAUUGUGCAUCUUGCUCAUAGAGAGUAGCGGAAUGCACCAAUCGUAGGCUCAGAGUACCACUGAGUCGUCUGGCAGAGACCCAACUGAAGGUGCCUGUGUUGUUCCUGAUCUGAUCAGGCUUCAAACUACAAGGUGGAAUACUGGUUCCCCUAUAUCAGAAGCUGGAGAUACCCACCCCAUAUGCUCGUCUGGAUGUGCUCCUACCCUUUGAAGCCUUCUUCCGAGUCAAGUCCGAAUUGAUAAGGCUAGUGAGUUCCCAACCAACUGUACUCAGCAUGCUGCCAGGUGGAGACCCUCCAUAUUUGAUGGCUUCCUAAUAUUAAAAUGCUGACCACUGGUCUUCAUGUUCCACAGGCUUAAUUGUGUCCUUUGCUGAAAGAAUGGAUAGUGAUCCAUUUUAACACAUGAUUCACGCCGUCUUUGCCAUUCUUCAUGGUCUAGCCCUUUUAUAUAUAUGCUUCCUGAACUGUUGCUAUUAAUAAAAUGUGGUAUCUAUCCCGUACACCUUCCUGAUGGCCAGCGAAUGCAGAAGCUACAGAAACGGUUCCAUCUUUUGCUUCCGCCACUUUGGCAUCCUCCAUGAUGAGAUCGAAGGUGAAUAAUCAUAUUCUGGGGAUUUAUGUCCUGGAUAUUCUCAGUAAUGCCCAAUUUCCUGGUGCCGGCCUCAUUUCCAUGGGAACUGAUGGAUAACUUAAGGCUUCUACCAUCUGCGUGGUUCGCUUCUAACACAGGAAACUUCACGGCUAAAAGCAAGAUACCAAGAACAUCAAGGCUGUGACAAAAAUUAGUAUUUUUAACUUGUAGGAAUUUGAAAGGCAACCAACCAUCUAGCUCUGUUCUUAAAGCUCCCAUAGGAGGAUCAGAGGCUGGAUUGCUCAAGAUGAACUCAUCCAUUGUUGCACUUAAAAAGAAUUGGCAUGAAUUGUGGCCGCUCUAAUAGGUUCCCUAAACCAUCAUCCAAGUGGGCUUGCGGAAGGUAGCGAGUUUAAAACACCUAGGGCGAUGAACAGUGGACUGUGAUGCUCACAAAAGAGAAAAGGAAGAAUUCAAUAAUUCCUAAGAAUCCAUUUGCCUGUCAUCCAAAUUUUUAUAUUCUCUUCAGUCUGACGCGUUAUGCCAUAUAUUAAAAAUAGCGGCUUCUUCCAAGCCGAGACAGACUGUGCAAAGUUCGCAAGGCCAAUCAUCACCAUAAUCUGAAGUUGGCCUCCUCAAUCGCAGCUUGUAUCCGAAUGCUCACUUCACGGGAUGGAUUGUAAUGAAAACUAAUCUCAGUCCCAGCUAUGGCAGCAUCCUCACUUGACAGCAUUUUCUGCAUAUUCUAGAACAAAGCAAUAAACCCUCAAAGGCUCCUUCGGAUCAGAGUUAGAAGACUGUCCCUCAGGAACGUGAACACUAUGGUGGUUCUGAUAAGCAGUGAUAUUGCAUUAGAGCCUUUUGGAACAAGAGGAUCUUUUCAGGUGGAAACUGUAAACUGCUUCAUGUUGGGCUGCAACCUUUUCUUCAAGCAAUACUUUCUUUCUGUAUCACGACUUAUGUUGCUUCCGGAGCCAUCCCGUGUGGACUGCCCUUCAGUGAAAGAAUAUGUGUGUUGACAUGUUGGAUUGUAAUCUUUGUUCCACUCUAAUGGCUUUUGGUCCUCCUCUUUCUCUUUAUGACAGAGAACCAUUUAGUGAUCCAUCUCUAUAUUGUAGCAUUGCUGGUGCUUUGCAAUACUACACUCUCACCAAGCAUAACAUCUAUUUUUCCGUGACCAAAGUAUGUCGGUUUAUGCAUGCGCAAACUCUUAUUCAUUGGCAAGUUGUCAAGCGUAUCUCAUGAUUUCCCAAAGCCACAAGUUCUUAUGGUCUUUCUGUUCAAGCUUACAAUGAUCUAUCUUUUCUUGGUUAUACUGAUGUCGAUUGGGCUAGUUGCCCUGAUAACAAGCACAAUACUAGUGGGUACAACACUUUUCCUGGUCCUAAUCUCAUUUCAUGGGCAUUUUCAAAGCAGAAGGUUGUGUCUCACUCCAAUAACGAAUCUGAAUAUAGGGGACUCACUAAUUAAUGUUGUUGCCAAGGUCACUUGGAUUGAAUCUGUCUUACGUGAGUUGCGUGUUUCUCUACCCCAACCACCAAUUUUGUUGUGUGACAACAUUAGUGCUACACACUUGGACAAACCAUGUUGAAAUACACUAUCAUUUUAUCCAUGAAAGGCUUAUGCAUCACACACUCAAAAUUCAAUACACCUCUUCUAUAGACCAACUAGUCAAUGCUAUGACCAAAGCUCUUCCUUCAUCUCACUUGUACAAUCUUCAGUGCAAGCUGAUUGUUCUUCCCAAACCACUCAACUUGAGGGGAGAUGUUAAGCCAAUUUAAUAAAUUGAUUUCUUUUGGUUAAUUUGUUAGAAUCAUUUUUAUUAGAGGUUUGUUUGUACAAUUACAUCCAUUUAUCAGGAGAGUACACGUGUACAACUCCUCUUUUAAUCUCACCAUUGUAUAUAUAUGAUACACGACCUUACUCAGAAUUGCAUAACAUUUCCUCUGCUCAUUCCUUUUCUUCUUUGAAUUUUCCCUUACCUCACUGAUUUUGAUUUAUACCUGGUGUUUUCACCUUUGGUCUCUACCUUUCUAGCCAGUUUUCUAAUUAAUCCGUAUAUGGUAUACCUGUCAACUAAUGAGGAGAAAGAGAAAAGGGGAUUGCUGUUCCACCAGCUACAUAUAAUAAUUAAUUACAAUCAUGGUAAUGGAUCCUGAAAUCCAUCCUUUGUGGAUUUUGUACGGAAUAUUGUUGUUAUGUAUGUGGGCUCACUUAGAUGUAUAUUGCUAGCCUGUCUGGGAAAUGUGAUUGCAGGUCCAGAUUAUGAUGUUGAUAUUAGUGGGAUAAGCAAGAGAUGCAGUUAACACGUAUGUGAUGGACUUGAGUAACUUUUCCAUUUCAGUCCAUUUUUUAAGAUUAUGCUUAGUCUUAUUACAAGGAAAGACCAUAAGAAUCAUGAGUCAUUGGCAAGGUAAUAUCAUUCCCUCUUUACAGGCUUCUUCACCUUUUGGUUUUUUUAAUAUCCAUCAAGAUCUUUUAAUUGGAGGACAAUUACAAGUAUAUAUAUAUGUAUUAAAAGGGGAAAAUAUUAAAACAGGAAAUUUUAGGGAAAAUAUAAUAAUUAUUUCUUCCUUCUUUCCCAUAUAGAACUACACAAAAUAAAACUUUAAUAAUUUUUUCUUAUCUUUUUUAUUAUUAUUUUUUCUUAGAAACAUCCGUGGUCUCACAAGCUUGUAAUCCUAGAUUGUUAGGCUCCUUUAACAGUGCCCCAACAUCGUGGUCCAAUGACAAGCUUCCACGCCUUAAAAUCAGAAAAUGCCAUUAAACUUUAUCAGACAUUACAGUUCAAGACAAAGCUUUCAUUUGCUUAAUGUGAUAAUGAAAUUGUUAAUUUCAUUUCGUGGGCAUCUAAAUUUGGACGAGCAAGACCUCUGAAUUCCCUGUUUUUAUCACCAGCAGAGGAGAUAAAAUCUUAAUGGUGAGAAUCUCCACGUGAAAUUUAUGUGUACUGUCAACAUAUUUUUGUUUAUAUAGUCCAGUAGCUGCAGGAAGUCUAGAUUAUAUAGGUAGCAGUAGCACUAUUUAUAGCACUCGAUAUUCGCUGUAUGAAUACAUUAAACCUUGUUUUCAAUACGCAUCACAAGCAAGUACUAGAUACUACAAGGAGUGACAGUCGCAUCAACAUUUCUUGAUAAUAGCAGUGACUGAUUUAUACACAGAACAGUACUGUACACGUACCAGUCACCAGAGAUAGGAUCUUAUUCCUACAUACGACUCUUAUUGAUCGAAGUCACUCAGUUGGGGUAGCCUGGAGUUGGAGGUUUGUGUGGUGGCUUCUUCUUUGGAGGAGGCUUUAUCUUUGGAGGCAUCAUCUUUGGAGGCAUCUUGUGUGAGUCUUCUUCAGCAUUCUCUACAGGAGGAUGGCCAGGCUUAUGACCCUUAGGUGGUUUGCCAACUGGGAUUGGUGGCUUGUGUCCUGAGAGUGGCUCCUCUUCUUCGGGAGGUUUGCCAACUGACGUUGGUGGCCCGUGUCCUGGGGGUGGCUUGUGUUUUGGGGGUGGUUUCACUCCACCGGGAGGUUUACCAAUUGGUGUUGGUGGUUUGUGCUCAAUCGGUGGCCUCUCAACUGGGGGGCGCUUGGGGUAAUCAGCGAGUGAAGAAGUGGUGAGAACCACCACUCCAAGCAACAACACUAGCAAGUAUGUGGAAGACAUCUUUGAGUUUGGCUCAGAUGGUGUAGAACUAGAAUCCUGGGUGGCCUUUUAUAUUAGUUGGGCCCUAUGCCCGAACGACAAGUGUCAUGGUGACACAUAAAGUGAUGGGGUCGAUUUGGGCCUACCGGAUUUGAAAACUUGGACAAUUCGAGAAGCGUCUCCUGACUCCGGGUUGUAAAGUGAAAGAUUAGGUAUCGACCAUUGAAGUAUGAUCACAACUUUUGGCCUUUGGCUCUCUCUACUGCCGUAUAGCUUUUUUCCUUUGGAUAUUUUUCUUAGCUAGACACAAUUAUUGAGCAGUCUAAUCUCGAAAUGGGAUUAGUAUAGCUUUAAGCAAAUUUAUUAUAGUUAGUGGAGGACUUUUAAGAGUGCAGACGACAUUUAACACAUGCAUGCAGUAGUAUAGGGGACAUAACACUAUUCUUUUUCCAAAGAUUCACAUGAUUUUUAUAUUAUAGUAUUGGCACAUUGUAUGUAGCUGGUUUUGUGGUUAAAAUUCCAUAUGUAGACACUGGCGUUUCUCCAUUUCUCACAAUUGAUGUUUACCUCCACGAUUACUAGAUUAGAUAUACCAAACAAUAACACAUUGUAUAAUCUAUCCGCCCUUCAAAAUCUACUGUAUGAUGAAAUGUUUCAUGUGUGUGUGAAGUGUUAGAAAUGCACUAUAGGCAACAUCAUCUUCUUUUGUCUAGGCUUGGGCCUCAAAUUAUACUCCCAUGCCAUGAUAAAUUUUCAUGUGCAUUCUCUAAAGAAGAGUGUCUUGAAUGUGCCAAAUCAUUUUGAUUGAUUUUAUGAUGUUAAUUGCUCCGCAUAUGGAUGGGUAUGUGCUUUAUUUGCUUAUUCAAUCCACAAUUACCUUGAACUGAAGUCCUAUUGGAGCUCUAUUAUUUUAGCAACGUCCUGUCAAAUAGGCUGCUAACUUGGGGUGGUAUGGACCCAAUGAUCCAUCUUAAUCUUGGGUUGAUUUUGUCUGACUCUAUCUAUCUCAGAGAGAACCAGGAUCACCAGUGCUGGUCUGCUUAAAGAAGACUCAGUACUGGAUUAAUAUUGGUUUGGGUCAAUAGCUUAUAAUGCAUUGAAUGCAGAAUAAACAAGAUCAAUGAAACCCAAAACACACUGCCCACACAACUUCACUCUGGUGUCUGUUAUUCAUCAAUUCUAUUCCCACAUGAACUGGUUCAAGUUUAAGAAAAUGACAACGGAUCCACUGUAUUAACUUGGUUUUGCUUGGUUUUGAGCUAGUUGCCAAACCAGCCAUGAGUUUUACCUCUAAUGUCAAUGAACAAACCCCAAAUGAACAACUGCAACAGCUUAAAGAGAAGGAAUGGAGAUGAAAAUCCCUGUUUCUUCUCAUUCUGGGGACAAAUUAGAACAUAACUACAAAGGUUCUAUUAAUUGACUUACUCUACCAUGAAUUAUGGUUCUUUGGUUUUCCAAAUUUAAAUUGUACAUGAGAUUAUUUUUUUCCUUUAUAUAUAAACAUAUUAAGGUUUUCUUAUUUCGUGGGCAAAUGCGCUAAGGAUGAAAGUCAUUUCAUUUGGCUGCAACAGCAUCUUAUAAUCAACAUGCAUAAGCAGCAGUUUUAAUUGAUCGAUUGAACACCGACUCACAAGAAUAGAUAGAAUGGUACAAGACAGCUCUUAUUAAUUUAUACUCGUUACUCAUUUUAUGUAGCCCCAUUAAGAUGGCUGGCUGGACCACCGAGGUCUGGGGGUGGUGUUGCUUGUGUGAUGCAGCGGGCCGGGCAGACACUUCUCUAGUUGCUUCUAUUUGGAGUUAGAGGAUCAGUCUCUGCCAACCUUGAGGACUCUCUACCUCAGAGGGUCCAGGUGGUGGACUCUGGUGUCGGUAGCUUUGAACUCUCAGUAGACUAGUGUGUCUUAAUCAGUCACUGCCAGAGGCUGGCGUAGGCAGUGACGAUAAGGUGAGACAAAUUACCGAAUAGUCAAUAUCGACUGCACUUGACCAUUAUAGAUUUGUUCUGACAAAAGUGAGAAAAGGGAGAAAAUCGGAUGUUGACCUUUAUAGAAAAAGAUAAGAUUUACUGCAACACAGAGCACUGAUUUGUUACUUGGAAACCAAGUUAUGCUAUUAGCUAGCCUCCAUUAGCAGCAGGGUACCUUGCUGCCUGAUCCUAAUCUGAGUUCCCAAGGUUUCAAUCUUCGUUUGUUAACGCUUCAGGAUUUGGAUAUUUCAGCUUCGUUUCUCCAUUUAGCCAACGCUGCCUGGUUUGGAUUUCAAUCCUCAUCUGGAACAUUCUUUUUUCGGUCUGAUUCAGGAAGUGUUUGGUGAUAGUUGAUUAAAAUUAAACAGUACUAUCAUACAAAUAAAGCUGAUCUAAUUUUGGUGGGCAAUAUACCAACUCAUUUAUUCUUGAAAACACCAUGGGGAAUUGGAGGUCCAUCCGAAGUACUAUUUGAUGGGACUCACAAAAAGAACAGGUGCACAUUUAUGAGAUCCGUGGAAGAGAUAACUAUGACAGCUAUGCAUGUACAACAGAUUUAUGUCGAGUUCACCUCGUAGAUAUUUUGUUUUCAGUGUCGGUGGACCCCAAAAUGGAAAUCGGAAAUUAAGGUUAUAUUUAUUUUUUUAUUUAAUUUUAAAUAGAAUUUUAAUUUUUAAUAAUAUUAAGUAUUAAAUUAUUUUUUUAAGGGUAUUUUAUUUUUAUUAAGUAUUAAAAAGUAAAAAAAAUUAAUAUGUUGCUUUUUUAUUUUAAAAAAAUUAUAUAUUUUAAUUUUUUCUAUUUACUAAAAAGUUUAUAAUAAAUUAUAAAAAAAUAAAAAAAUAAAAAACUUAAAUUCUGAAAAUAAAUUAUUUUUAAUAAAAAAAUCCAAAAAAGCAAACACCACCUAAAUUUGAGAUGACUCAAAAUUUUAUAUUUUUUUUCACCUAAAUUAUAUUCAUAAAUUUAAAAUUAAAAAAUUAGGAAGUUGAAUUUUAUUUUGGAUAAUUGGAAACUACAAGAAAUCAAUAAAAAUAUUUGGAAAAAAAAGAAAAAGAAAAACUAUCUAUAUAUUCACCCCCUUCUAAGAAACAUAACUUUAGUUUUUAACUAUUUUUUAAAAUAAUUUUUGAAAAAUGUUAUAUAAUAUUUUAUAAAACAAAAAAUCUGUUUGACAAUUUGAUAUGUCUUUAACUUAUUUUUAAUAUUUAUAUAUAUAUAUUUUAAAAAUAAUUUUAUAUUUAGAACUUUAUCUUUAAUUAUUAUAUAUAUUUAUAUAAUUAUUUUUUUUAAAACAACUCUUAAAAAAUAAGUGAAAGUAAUUGAAAACAACUCAAAGAUAUUUGAUGAAAACACUCUAAUUUGUAUUUUUGAGAAUAAAAAAAUAAAUAAAUAAAUUUCUAGUUAUCAAAUGUAUUUUUUAAUUCUUUUAUUCUAAAAAAUAGAAAAUCGUUUUUGAAAAUAAUUAUUAAACAACAUUCUUAAAAAUUCACUCGUUACAAUCUAGAUUUAAUGCAAGAAUGAUUGAAGGAGUCCUCCAAUAGAACCCAAAGUUAUAAACAUGAACAAGAAGCCCUAGAAACACCAAAGAUCUCAUAUGGUAUAUAUAUGAGCUUGAUUGAGAACUGUUUUAAAUUCAGUUUUUUUUUUUUUUUUUUUUUUUUGUUUUCAAAGUCAAAACAAGUUUACUUUUAAUUUUUACUUCUUUUUUUUAAUUUUAUAAAUAACAGUUUUUUAAUAAUUUAUUUUGAAAACAUGAUUAUUUUUAAAACUUAUAAUGAAAAUAGGAAUUUUUUUUUUAAUAUCAUGGUUAUUUUCCCUUCUUUUAAGGAGGGCUAUUUUAAAAAUAAAUUUACAAAUAUGAAAAAUGAUUCAAACUAAAGCAGUACAAAUAAAAAACAUUUUUAAGAAAUAUUUAAAAAUAGAGAAAAUUAUUUGAGAACAUUUGAAGUCCUUAAAUAGACUUUUGUUUUAGAAAAGGCAAGAUAAUUAUUUUUGAAAAUUGUUUUCAUAAUGAUAUGCAAAAACCUACGUAAAAACCAUAAUUAUAAUCGGCCACAUAUCAAAUCUACUAAAUAUGAAAAGUAAGUACAUAAUUAUAUUUGACUUAGAUGCAAGGAGGAAAAUGUCGCGAUAUUAUCGCCGAAAUAUCGUGUGUCGAAGGGUAUCGACACGAUUUUUCUUGCAGAAAUAUCGGCCAGUCGAUUUUUCGGGAUAAAUCUCGAGAAAUCGGCAAUUUAUCGCGAUAUAUCGGCGAUUUUUCCUCGAUAUAUCUUCUGGUCAACGCGGGUCAACGGAGUCAACACGCUACAGUGAAAGUCAAAUGUGCUACAAUGUCCCCGCUACAAUCACCUCCCCAAACAAAUUGCCAAAUUGCUUCCGAGGGGAUUUGAACCAGCCUUCUUGCCAUUUGGGCUAACUCGCCCUUAUGAUAUAUAUUGCAUUAAACAUAUAUAUACUUAAAGUCCUUAUAUAAAGAAAAUGUUAAAAAAAUAUUUUAAAGAGCAAAUUAAUUAUAAUUAUUUUAUAAUUAAAAGCAAAAUUUUCUUUUAAUUAAUUACCAAAAAUAUAAAAAUUAUAUAAUUUUCUUCAUAAUGUUUUUAAUAUCAUUAAUAAUUAAUUAAAUAUUAAAAAAUUAUAUAUAUAUAUAUAUAUAUAUAUAUAUAUAUUAUAAUUUAUUUUAUAUUGUUUAAUACAAUUGAAUUAAAUGGAUCAUAUUUUAAUAUUAAUAUAUAUUUUAAAAUUAGACAUAUUGUAAUCAAAUAUCAUAAUAUUAUAUGUAAUUUAAUAAUAAAUGUACACUUAUAAAAUUCAUAUUUUUAUCGAUGCAUACAAUAUUAUUAUCAAAUAUGAUAAAUCAUGUUAUACAUAUAUCAAAAUUUUCAAUAAAAUAACUUUAAAAUGUCUAUUAUACUUCUAAUUAUAUUAUUAUGAGGUUUUCUUUACAUUUUCAUGAGUUUUAAACAAUUUUAAGCACCAAUAUUUUUUUCCAAAAUAUCCACCGAUAUAUCUCCGAUAUAUCCAAUAUAUCUCCGAUAUCUCCGAUAUAUCCGUAAAAUCGAAGUACCGAUAUAUCCGUGAUUACCGAUAUUUUCAUCAUUGCUUAGAUGCAACCUUCUUCCAAAUGACAUACUUUAGUCAAUACUUAUAUUUUUUCGUUUCACUUCUUUGAUACAACACCUCAUGGAUUUAUUGUUUAAUUUAUUUGUAAUUAUAAAACUAUUUUUCAUUUUUAAUAAGACUUGAAUUAAUUUAAUAAAUAUUAUAUAAUUUGAAUUUAUAAUUCUUUUUAUAAAAUCAAAGUAUAUUAAAAAAAAAACAAUUUAUCCGAAGAAAGUUUUUUAUUUUUUAUUUUUUAAAACCGAUUUUAAAAAUAACUAGCUAGACACCCUUAUUUUGAUAAAAUACGAAAUAAAAGUGUAAAAACAACAUGGCCAAAUAGGGGCUUAAAUUUUAUUUUUAAAACAUUUUUUUACACUAAAGUGCAUUUUAAAAACACCAUCAAAACCAACUACAAGUUAUGCUUCUUCCCGUAAUAGAAAUAUUUUAGGCCAAAAUAGAACCUCCCCAAAUAAAGACCCUAUACUAAACUCCUUUUCAUUUUAUUAAUACAAAAGUGGGGAAAAAAGGUCUAUGCUCACCUAAAAAACAUGAAUAUUGUGAAUUCACCAUUUCUAUAAGGAAGUUGAAAACUUCAAAAUUUUAUCAACAAAUUCUCUAAAAUCCUCAAAAUAUAUAGGGCCUGUUUCACAAAGUUUUUUAAAAUUUGUUUUUAUAAAUUGCUUUUAAAAUAUAGAAUAAAUAACAGUUUUUUAGAUUUUUUGAAAAAUAAGAGUGUUUGGUAAGAUGUUUUUUUUUUUUUUUUUUUUUUUAAGAAUUAAAUAAAAAAUAAAAAAAUUGUUUAGAUAAAAGAAUUUGUAUUGUUUUUAAAAACAAUGUCUUACUUUUAUGUUAUAAAAAUUUUAUUAAUUUAAUUUAUAAUAAUAUGAAAUGAAAUUCAAGUUAAGUCUUAUUAAAAAAUACAAAUUAAAUCUAUAAUUAUGCAUGAGUUAAAGAUAAAUAUAUAUUUUUUAAAACUAUAAAAUAAAUUUUCUAUUAUAGUGAAACAAAAAUUACUAUAAAAUAAAAAUAAUUUUAAUAUUCAUUUUUAAUACAAGUCAAAUAAGUACUUUAAUUAAUUUUUUUUAUCAUGAUUUCUUAUGUUUUUUUUUUUUUCUAGAAAUUAUUUUAAGUAAUAUAACUAAUUUUUUUUUUAAUGUUUUAUAAAAAUAAGGAUAUUUGGCAAGUUGUUUUUAUAAAAGGAUUUUAAAAAUAAAUGGAUUUUUUUUUUUUUUAAAAAAAGAACAAAAUGAUUUGUUUGAAUAAAUUGUUUUGAUUUUGUAAAAACAUUUUAAAUUCAAUUUAUAUAAUAUUAAUUAAUUAAAUUAAAUUGAAGUUUUAUUGAAAAUAAAAAUAAUUUUGUAAUUAAAAUUAGAUUAAAAAAUAUAUAGGUUUUAAUAAAUCGUAAAUAGUAAUAUUAUAAUAAAAUUAUAAAUUAUAUUUUUAACAUAAAAUAUACUAUUUAUUACAUAUUAAAAAAAAUAUUUUAUUAUAUUAAUAAUUUUAUGGUAUUAAUGAGUUUAUUAUUUAAGUUUUAAAUUAUUUUUAAAAAUUAAUAAAUUUGUUAACAAAUGCAAUGUACUAAAUGUGGUUUAAUUUGGAGUUAAUUUGUUUAGGGAAAAAAAUAAAAAAUAAAAAUCUUAUGUAAAAGAGAAAUAAUAGAGUGUGUGUGUUUUUUUUUAUUAUUUUUAAAAAUCAGUAAAAAGAACUUUUACUUAUUGCCUAAAAAUUAUUCUCUAUUUUAUUUUAUUUUUUAAAUCUAGAAAUAGAUAACAAUAAUAAAAAAAAUUAAAAAAGAAAAAUGUUUUUUAAAACUCAGACUUAUAAUUGCUUUUGUUUCUCAUUCGCACCCCUGGAUUCCUGGAUUCUAAACACAAAAUUAAGUUGAAUCGUCCAUCUAUCUUGUAAGCCAAGAAUUCACAUAGAAGAAAUAAUCGGAAUUUGAUUUGAUAUCAGAUUUAGAGUGGCUCACUACUCAUGCAUUGUCCCACAAUAGUAAUGCUUUGGGCCGAGAUAAACCCAUUUGUGGGCCCAAAUAAAACCCCUGGUUUGAAAACAUCGAUUUUACAGUGGCCCAAAAGAUUAUCUAUGAGGGGAAGAUAACUUGGAAGUCAAGCAAACACAUUUAUCGCUAACUUUUCUCUAAUUAUAAAAUUAUAACUUGGUCUUCUACACGUCUCACUUAAGAGGCGGAGCCACUUGGCACUACCUUUCCAUAUUGUAAAAGGAGAAGAAGCAGAAGGAGAAGAUUCUUAUGCCAUUCCACACACCAUGGCUAGUACUGCUAUGCUGCUUGGCCCGCCGGCUCUCCGCCAUCCUAAUUCUCCCGCCGGCACUGUCUUUGAAGAUGGGGUCAUUCUAACGGAUUCCCUGAUCGUCCGCACCAGUAAUCUGGAGCUUUCUGAAAAACCGCCACUGGAAUCCCUGGCGUAGUGCUCUGUCAGUGGGGAUAUUGCUAUGGAUUGUUUGGAUUCCCAAGCCCACAAUCUUCAUCUUCCCGGGAAACCGCCGAUGGGCUUAACGGAAAACAAGUCUCCGACCUUUUUGUCUUCCGGGAACCCGUGCUUGGACUUCUUCUUCCAUGUGGUUCCCGAUACGUCGUCUGAUGAUCUGAUCCGACGGUUUGAGUUGGCUUGGGAAUUCAAUCCGCUGACGACGUUAAAACUGAUAUGCAACUUGAGAGAGGUGAGAGGCACCGGAAAAUCUGACAAAGAGGGUUUCUACACGGCGGUUCUCUGGCUCCACGACCACCAUCCCAAAACCCUAGCCUGCAAUGCUAGGGUGUUGGCCAGCUUCGGUUAUUUCAAGGAUUUUCUCGAGAUUCUCUACCGGCUUCUGGAGGGCCCUAAAAUUCGAAGAAUCGAAAAGAAAGACUGGCUGGAUCGAAAAGGAAGGAAGAAAAAUUCCCGGAAAAGGAACUCAAUAUUCAAGCGAGAAAAUAGGCCUGGAGUUGAAUUUCCUGUAGAAGAGAAGGAUGUGGAGUAUAUGGUGGAAGAAUUUGUGGAUAAAGAAAAGGCUAGGGUACUGAGAAAGGAGAGAGAACUUGCUCUUGCCAAAAGAGCCCUGCACAAGUAUUCUACUGAUUCUAAUUAUCAGUUCUUACAUGAUCAGAUUUCAGAUUUAUUUGCUGAACUUCUGAAAUCUGAUAUUCAGUAUUUAAACUCCGGUGAGCUUUACAAGAUUAGUCUCGCAUCCAAAUGGUGUCCCACAAUUGAUUCUUCUUAUGAUAAAUCCACCUUGAUAUGUGAAAAUAUUGCUCGAAAGGUUUAUUCUCGCGAGGAAUAUAUAUCCAGAAUACCAAGGAAUUGAGGAGGCUCACUAUGUUAAUAGAGUCAGGGAUAGGUUGAGAAAACAAGUACUUGUUCCAUUACGUAAGGCCCUGGAGUUGCCAGAGGUUUUCAUGUGUUCGAACCAGUGGGGAUCACUUCCCUACAACCGUGUGGCUUCAGUGGCCAUGAAAUCAUACAAGAGCCUCUUCUCAAAACAUGAUACAGAGCGGUUUGGUGUGUAUCUUGAGAAAGUGCAAACUGGGAAGGCUAAGAUUGCAGCUGGUGCAUUACUUCCCCAUGAGAUUAUAGCUUCAUUGAAUGAGGAGGAUGGCGAGAAAGUUGCAGAGCUUCAGUGGGCGAGAAUGGUGGAAGAUUUAUCAAAGAAUGGGAGGCUCACAAAUUGCAGUGCGGUAUGUGACGUAUCAGGAAGUAUGAGUGGAACUCCAAUGAAGGUGUGUGUGGCUCUGGGGCUGUUAGUUUCAGAGCUCAGUGAAGAUCCAUGGAAAGGUAAUGUAAUUACUUUCAGUGCAAGUCCUGAGCUUCACAAGAUCCAAGGAGACAGCCUUGUAUCCAAGACUGAAUUUGUGAGGAUGAUGGAAUGGGGUGCGAACACUGAUUUUCAGAAAGUUUUUGACAGAAUCUUACAAGUAGCAGUGGAGGGAAAUCUGAGUGAAGAUCAAAUGAUAAAGAGGGUUUUCGUUUUCACUGAUAUGGAGUUUGAUGAAGCUUGUGGGAGGUAUAACUAUUGUGAAUAUGACUAUGAUAUGGAGGAAAUUGAUGAGAGUCAGAAGGCAUCUCAGAAGUGGGAGACAGAUUAUGAAGUGAUACAGCGGAAAUUCCAGGACAAAGGAUAUGGAAAAGUUCCGGAGAUAGUGUUUUGGAACCUUAGAAACUCAUCAGAGACUCCAGUGAUGGCCACAGAGAACGGGGUGGCCUUAGUAAGCGGGUUUUCGAAGAAUCUGUUAGACCUUGUUUUUGGAAGGAGGUGGAAUUCUGACCCCUCAGGAUGUGAUGGAAUUAGCCAUCUCUGGUGAAGAUUACAAGAAACUUGUUCUAUUUGAUUAAGAUAUCAAGAGAUUUAUCAAUAAUAAUAUGUUUUUUUUUUUCUAUGUGAAAUACAUGUAAUAUUAACUAUGGAGUUAUCAAAGUUCUGGAAAUUUAAUUAUUUCUUCUUUUCAAGUUUUGUUUGUCUUUGUUAGGAAUUCCCCUUGGGCGGACCCAGCUGGGGACUUGGAUUGAGGAAGUAAGGAGGCGAAAUUGUGUUCUUCUAUGGACAGAGAAAAAAGAUAAAAAUAAAAAAUAAAAAAGGAGGUUAUUUGCAUUUGGAUGUCAUGUGGUUUCAGGGUACAACUACAAGUUCGAAAUUGUACAUAAUGUGAAAAUUCCUGUGUGGAGAACAGCAUAAAUAUGUAUCUCAGUGUGUUUUGUUUGAGCUAAUUGGCAAAUUCGCUUUAAACAUGGUCACAUGGAUGCAUAUUUAUUUGUGAAAUGAUAGUAGUCGAUUACUUGGUCAGUAAGGUUUGUAUCUCUAACUCCAACAUCUUAUUGUAGUCUUUUAAAAUGUCAAAAGUUUAAUGCUAGCUUGAGAAAUUUUGGAAUGGAGACAUUCUAAACAAAGUUAAUAAUCCAUGAGACUUGGUAAAACCGAUCAGAUGAUGCUUACGUACAUGAAUGCCUUCUUUAAGCCGUAUCCUAUUUUCAUUGAAUGAGACGUGCCAUCUAGUUUUGUUCUUGUCUUGAUUGGAUCAUGAUCCCGGGAAUUGAUUACUGUUCUGAAUUUGCGAAUGUUCAAGGUAUUAGAGAAAGUUAAUAUUAUCGUUAAUUUACAUAUUAGUAUUUAUCUAGUUAUUAUAUAUUAGUUUGAAUUAUAAUAUAAUAUAGAAUUUGAAUCAAGUUUACUAUUAGUUUGAAUUACAAUAGGAAAUAAAGUUUGAAUUAUAGUAUAACUCAAAUAUAUUUGUAUAUAAAUAUCCAUCUUUAUCAAUGAGAAUAGUAAACCAUAUUUUUCUCUAUCUUCUUCUUUCUCUAUAUAUAUGGUAUCAAAGCCUCCAAAUCCUAAACCUAGUCUCAACUUAGAGCAAAUUUAGGGUGCAGGGUUUAGGCCCCGCCUCCCCCAACCCUUACCACAAAUGGUAGUGACCUUGUUAUGCCUAUGUAUUGUCAAUGCCUCAUUUUCUAUGGUCUUCAAUACAAUAUCUAGUUUCAAUGUCUCUUUCCUUACUAUCUCCAAUGCAAUAUAUUGAUUUCAAUAUCUCUUUACAACCAAGAGCUCCAAAUUUUCCUGGUUCAAAUCUACCAUAAUUUUUAUUCUCCUUUGCUUUUUACCAAUAUUAGUUCCCCUAAUUUAAUAUAUAUCUCUUUAUUACCUUCAACUCUACCUCUCUCUUUCUUUAAAAGCUUCCUCAAAGAUUUGAUUGCUUUCUUGCAUGUUUUGGGAAAACAAACAUGCUCAUAUUCUAUUACCUCUACUUGAGAUCUGCCUUAUACUCUACCUUCUUCUUUACCUCCUAUAUCAUCUACUACAUUAGCUUCAAAAACAUUAUUUAGUUUGAUGCUAAAUAAGGCUCCUAAUCCUACCCUUCCUUCAACUAACUUUCUUUUACAAGUCCCUCAAAGUUUUUUUUUUUUUUUUUUUGGAAAUUUGGCUUAGAAAGAUUUCAUUACUCUUACCUAAUCUUUCAACCAUCAAGUCGAAUCCACUUAUCUCUUGAAUCCAAGGAGACUACCCUCCACAAAAACAAGGAGAUUGACCCCCACAAUAACAAAGAGAUUGUCCUCCAUAGAAACAAAGAGAGCUUCCUUCAUGGAAGCCGAAUACAUCGCAAUCUAUUUUCUUUCUCUCAAGAUCAAAUCUCCAAUCGGAGCUCCAUCUUGUGGGGAUAUAUUAGAAAAAGUUAAUAUUAUCCUUAAUUUACAUAUUAGUAUUUAUCUAUAUUAUAUAUUGAAUUAGAAUAGAAUAUAGAAUUUGAAUUAAGUUUACUAUUAGUUUAAAUUACAAUAGGAAAUAGAGUUUGAAUUAUAGUAGAACUCAAAUAUAUUUAUAUAUAAAUAUCCAUCAUUAUCAAUGAGAAUAGUAUUCCAUAUUUUUCUCUUUCCCUGAGGCUUCAGAAUGUGAUCUUGAACAUUUGAUCUUUUGGAUUCUUCUUGUUUCGGUGGUUUAAUAUAAUGGAAUGUUUAAUUAUAGCCUACUUUAUCACCAUGGAUGUGCUCCUGCAGAUUUCUUGAGGGUGAUGGUUAUUUUGUCAUGUUUCUUGAAUGGUUUGCAUCAGCUGCCUGAGCUGUUGUUGCUGGUCACUUUUGCAACCAGGGAAAGAAUCAUGGCUUUGGAGAAGCCAGCUUCUGUUUUUGUUGCCCAGCUGUUAGUUCACUAAGAUUGGGGGUCCUAACAUGUAUGUAUAAUCAUAAGCAAGGAAAUUUUAUGUCUUACGCUAGAUAGGUACCAUGAUAUGAUGUUUGAUUGAUUUAUUAACUCUACCUGUUUCAAAAGGCAUCAACAUUAAUUUUACCCUUUUAACACAUUGGAUUGUUUGACCUUACGAGAUUUUCUAUUUCUGUACUAUUUGAACUGCAAUCGUUAUGGUCCUUAGGUCUCUAAACCUUCGUUUAAAAUAAAAGUAAGGAGCACACAUAGUAAAAGUUAAUUUUGGGUAACUUUUAAAACAAAGAGAAAAGUAAAAGUUGUUUUUGAGAAAAACAUAUAGAAAUUGAAAGAUUUUUUAUUUUGAGAAAAAAAAGUCAUAGAAAAGAAAUAAUAUCCCCAUAUAAGUAGAUAUGAUCUAUCCGAAGUGUAGCUACUCUCCUGGAUUUAUUCUAACAUUUUAAAAUUUUUCUCAAUGGGCAAAGGAAUAUCAAAUCAAGCUUGAGUAGGAUUAAUUUCUUAAUUUUUAAAAUAACUUAUAAUUAAAAUUUUUUGGUGUUUUCUUUUUUGGACAAUUUUUUAUGAAGACUCUGAAUCAUGCAAGAGAUAUGGUUAUUUUAAAAAAAAAAAUAAUUUAAAACUCAAAUACAUAAUCAAUGUCACAAAUUUAUAAACAAAAGGUUUUUAAAAAAUACUAUUAUUUCCCCUCUACACAUAAUUUUACUUUUCCGAUUUAUUUAUUUUUGUUGGAAAACAGUCUUCAAAUCAAGUAAAAUUAAUAUGUUAAAUUUGUUAAACAAAUAAAUUUUAAAAUACAAUUUGGAACUCAAAAAUCAAUUCAAGUAAUGCUAAAAUUCAAAAAAUCAAAUUUGGAAUAAAAUGACUUUGUAAAUUUUUUUACUAAACAAAUGAAUUUUAAAUCAAGUGAGAUUUAAUACAUUGGAUUUUUAUGAGAAUAGUAAUUUUAAAAAUUAAUUUGGAACUCAAAAAUAGACACAAUAAAUACCAAAAAUCAAUGAACCAAAAUUGGUUUGGAAUAACUCCAUAAUUUUUUAUUUAUUUAUAUAUUUAUUUUUUUGUGCACACGAAUUUCUUACUAAGCAUAUUGCUUCCAAAUUGAGAAAAAUUUACUAUUUAGAUUUUUUUAAUGAGUUUAAUGGUAUUUAAAAAUAAUUCAAAAAUUCGAAAAUUGACUAAUUUAAUAUUAUAAAUUCAUAAACCAAGACUAAUUCAAAAUGCAUUGGGGGCUAAGGGGGUUGAAAUUAAUGCUCCAUUUGGUUGUGGCCACCAAUUGGCAAUGGCCACCAAUCAACCAAUCAAGGUGGCUAAGGGGGUUGAAAAUAGGGACAAUGGGGUGGGUUUGGGACAGGACACUCAUAUCCCAUUCCCAUCCCAAUUACACAGUUAUUUCCCAUCCUUAUUCCAAACUUGUGUUGGGGCAAGUUGAUUUGUUCCCAUCUUUGUUAACGAAAUGACUAAUAACCUCAUCCUCUCCUUGUCUUAGAUGUACAUUUUCUCAAAUUUGGUCAGGUAUGAUUGAUUCAAGCCCUAACCUUAAUUGGUAAUGAGUGGAUACCACACCUAAUUGCAUUCUUCUUUCGUUGCAAAAUAAUGAGAUUAUAAUAAUCUAGCAAAUAAGAAAAAAUAGUAUGGAAGUUCAAAUUAACACCAUAACUAUCAAUAAUUUUAAGCUUAUAGAUGACUUAAAUGAUUGAAAACUAAUGCAAAAUACUAAAAAAAAAAAAAAUCAUCUAAAGAAUUCACAAGAGAAUAGAACGAACAAAACCAAAUAGGAACAUGGGUCAACAUUAGUUACAGAUUUUGAUCCCUUUCAAGGCCAAUCUUUGAACCAAGACUUCAUCAAAUCUACUACUUCAAAGGCUUUUGUGUUCUUCUUGAGUUGUACUCUGGAACAAAGACUUCGAGGUGAUGCUUUAGAUGAUUGCAUUACACAUAUUUAGGGUAGGGAGAUUGGAGAAGCUUGAAGAUGCCAACGAUGGGUACAAUUGAGUGGUCAAUAAGAACAAUGUGGCCUAUGACUAGUUUGAUGUCAUGGUAUAGGAGUUUUGGGCAUUGAGGUGAAAGCAAGAGCAACAUGGAAUUGAUUUCAAAGUCUUUCAAUUAGUGUAAAGGAGGAAGAAGAAGUGGUAUUGAUCCUAGAAAUAGUGUUUUAGGUGUUGCAUUAGAGGAAAAGAAAAAGAAAAAGAAGGAACCAUUGGAAUUAGUACGAGUGUGAAGAGAGAAGUGUAUACAUAAGGGGAAGUAAAAGCAAAGUUCUAAAAAUUUAUUUUUUUAUUGGUGGUGUAUGGUUGCAUGAUUAUCCCUAUAAAUAAUAGGAGUUUUUUGGUGUUCUACUAGUAGUUGAAGGAUAAUUUCAUAAGAUAAUAUUUAGAGCGGGGUGGGGUGAGUUGUGACAAAAUCCAUACCCGUCCCAAACAUUGGUUCAGGUUUUUAAAAUAUUUUCAAACUUAUCAUAUACCCAAUUUUAUAUUUCAUACUUGUCCUAAUAGAGACAGGUUAGUCAGGGUUACUUGAGUAGCCUACAAAACUAUCAUCCCUAGUUGAAAUGCUCUUUUUGGCAGUGGCAGCUAGAAGCUCGAUCGAUUGACCUACAAGACUAGUUGUCAUCAUUUUAAAAAGAGUUUUGGCUUUGGUUGUGAGUGCAAUUGAAUCUAAACUAACAUUUCCUUAAUGCAUCUACUUCAAUCCUAAACUUCUUACUUAAGCCUCAAUUGUUGUUAAGAUUUUGGAAAACCCAUUUCCUUAAAUUGUAAAUUUAAGAAAAAAAAAAUUAAAAGUGAGACAUUUCUUGAUUGAAUGUUGUUAAAGGUCCCUUGGAAUUAAGACUUGGUUGAAGCCUUGGAAGAUUAGCAGAACUCUCAACUUAUGUUUGAACCUUGAGGAGAGUGGACGUAGGCCAAAAUUUUGUCAAACCAUUAUACAAAUUGAGUUUGAAUUCUCAUUUCUUGAUUUCUUAUUUAUUUGCUUUUUCUUAUUAUUACUUGAAUUGUCAUUUGCAUUCAUUAAUGUUAAAAUUGGUUAUAAUUAGCCAACACUAAUUCUCUUUCCCCUUCCCUUAAUUUCUUGGGUGUAAACCUAGGUUGGAUUAACUAGAUUUUAUCAAAUCUAUUAAGAUGGUAAAAGAAUAAUUAUUCUUAACAUACAUAAGAUCAUCUUCAAUCAAAUGACUCAUUGGCUGAUAUGUUGAAUUUGCUUAUUACUUGCAACUCAAAAUUGUGUUCUAGUUGAUAUGUCAAGUCCUGAGUGUAUGGACAUUAAAUUUGUAGUACGUGAUGAGUAUUUAGAUGGUCCAAUUCCAAGAAAGUGAUUGAAAACUAGUUCAAGAAAGGUGCAAAAGGGAAUUGUUUUGGUAUUUUCGUUUUUAUUCUUGAAGGUGGCAGAGCUAAAAUUUGAGAAAUCAAGCAAAACAUACUGAAAUUACAUUGAAAGAAAGAAAAUGGGAGUUAAUGUCUUGCAGUACAUGAUAAGGACUUCAUGCAUGUAGUGUGACCCAUGUCUUGGACUGAUGCCACACUCACGGUUACACUUAUACCCUUAGUUCUCUCUUUACUACCUUAGCUAACCUAGAUCAGGUUAUGAGAUAGGCACCUCACCACACCAUUACUUGCCCAUUAAUUAGUGACAUUUUCAAGCAAUGAGGUAACAUGGUGACACCAAGAGGGUAUAUUCCUCACCCCCAACAAGCCUAGACCUGGUCUAAAAAAAAUGGAGAAAAAUGACGUGUUGUUAUGCAGAAAUAUAGCAACCAUGCCUUCCUCAUUACUUAGAUUCAGAAUGUGAAGGUGAAAUUGAGAAACAGAAACUCUUGAAACCAAAAUGAAAAUUGAUACUUUUACGAAGAAUUACAACAACAUUAGAGGAAGACUACAUUCUUCCUCUUUAUUCCUACAUUUCUACACUACUUCUACUCCACUCCAUAUUUCUACAUACAUCUUUAAUCAGUCUUCCCUCCUUUAUAUAGAGCCAUCUUCACACAAAUUCCGCAAGGUAGAAAAGAGGAAUGAAACUUGGAGCAAGGUUCGACUACUGGCUGUAGCUUGUCAAGGCUGAAAGUGAACUUUUUUUCUUGGCUUUUCUGGGCAUAGGUAGUAACUUGUAGGUUCCUUUUUGGAAUGAAAAUGGUACGGCUAGAACAUGUGGCACUCUCUUGUUGGAUGAUGUGUCAAGCAUGUGGCAGCCAUCUAGUGGAGAUUAUGUCAAUUUUGGGAUGGAGAGUUGGCAUCCAAUUGCAAAGAAAUAUGACAUCUACCAACAUGCAAUGUCAACCUAUGUAGAUCAUAUGAAGAUAGAGAGGAAAAAUAUAGAAAUGGAUAUAUAACUAGAACUAGCUUUUUAUUAAAUGAGACGGAGAGCCAACAAUGAAGGAAAAUCAAAAUUUUUGGCUCAUAUCAAAGAAUUCACAUUGUGUUACCCUAGGUUUUCUUAAAACUUACUUUUAUGAUAAUAAAAAAUCAUUAUUGUUUAAUCCUUUGUUUUAAACGCAUGUUUAGCAGGUUGUAAAAUGUAAAUAUCUUUCGAAAUUCAAAUAUGAAGAUAUGACAUCAUUUCAAGCAAUAUAGUCUCUAGGAAUUAAUGUAAAGCUAAAUUAAGGUGCAAUUAAGUUAGUUCAAUGCAUUAUUUUAAGAAACUUGACCUAUCAAAACCUUGUCUUACUUCAAAGCCUCUUUUUCUUUUCUUCCAACUAACAUUUUAAUAAGUGAUCGCAAAAGUACAAAAUUAGAUGAAAUCCAUUUCAAUGGUUAAAAUGAUCAAAUUCAAACUUUUUCUAAGUAUCUUUUAAAAGCAUCAAUAUUGAAAGACAAUUUUAUAUUUAGUCAAAGCUUGGACAGAGCCAAAAAGCACACAAAAAUUUAUAUUUUCUAGCUCUCUACCUUGGAUGGUCUCUUGAUCCUACUUGGAGAUGUGCAUAAAUAAAAGGAUUUGAAAAUGACAAUUGACUAAGUAUGUAGUCAAUCAAUUACUCAUUGAUUGACUAGUUGAUCAAUUAACUUUGCAACAUCAUAUGCAAUCCUAAUAGCUAGUCAUCUAAUCAACUAGGUAGUAAAUCAAUAGGCCAAAAAUAUGUUUAUAAUGACUAUUUUGUACAAAAACCACUUAUAUAGUUAAAUAUAAUGCAUUUCAUUUAUAAAUCUUCUAAUUCUUGAAUAACAAUCCUAUCAUCCUUUGAAAGUUUUUAUUACACCUUUUCUACAUUUGUUCUAAAACUUAUACAUCACCCUUAAUUGUACCAUGAGAACCUAGCAUUUUUUUUUUUUUUUUUGUAUUUCAUCAAAGUUAGCUCUUGUACUCAUUGUUGUAUUAUUUUUAUUGUAACUUAGAGAGCGAGUGUUUUCAAGUGAGUGAAAUUGACUUGUAAAUAUUGUAAAGAUUCAUUGAUAUGUAUCUCAAACUAGGUGUACAAGUUGAAACAUUUGCUAGUAGAUUUUCUCAAGAUUUAGAAUGAGCUUAAGGCUAUCGAAUUAGGUGGGGUUGCGCCAAACCAUAUCACAUCGUUGUUUGCACCUUUUUUUUCACUCUCUUUUACUUAGUUGCUCUAUAUAUAUUGUCUAGCAAUAUCCUAAAGGCUUGAUGGGCUAGGGAGCAUCCCUCUGAAUGAAAAAUUUUCAUUCAAUUCUUAGUUGUAUUACGCAUAUAUAAAAUGCCUCAUUGUUUUAAUGGUAUUCAGUCGUGGCACCACAGAUAUGGACAUCUAAAUUUUAAAAGUUUGAAACUUUUAGCUAAAGAAAAUAUGGUGCUUUGCCUUUUUGGAAAGCAUGUUGAUGAAAUCCAUGAGAAUUGUAUACUUGGAGAGCAACAUCGAGAUAACUUUUUUUUUUUCUUUUUUUAUAAUGCAUUGUUUGUCCAAAUUCCGUACAAAUUAGGCCACCACAUGUUCAUAAUUCUCCCUUCUUGAAUUUGAAAACUCGGACAAUUUGACAAUGCGACACCUAAGUCCGGUUUUUAAAUGCUAAAGUGAAAGGGCAGGUAUGGACCAUUGAAAUGUGAUAACAACUUUUGGCCUUUUCCUUUUCUCUGUAGCCAUGUUGUCUCUUUUUAAUUUCUUUUGCAUGAUUUUCUUACCUAAACAGAAUCAUAGACUUGUUUAAUCUCUAAGUGGGAUUUCAUCCACCUUAAGCUACUGUAUUAUAUCUCGGUGGAGGACAACCGACAUAGAGCACAUGCAAGUGGGUAUAUGGGACAUGAAAUAUCUUCUUAUAAAGCUUGUUUUGCAGUUAAAUUAAUUGGAUAAGUAGACACUGGCGUUUCUAAAUUUCCCACCUAAGAUAAUGACCUUAUCCUUGACUGCUAGAUACACAAACAAUUAUACCUUCAAAAUCUACUGUGAAGUGCUUCAUGUAUGUGUGAAGUAUUAGAAAUUUCUUUCUUGGCAACUUGUUUUUUUCUUUGCGGUCUACUGAUAGGUUUGACUAAAAUUAUAUUCCCUGUCCUGCUAAUUAAUUUUCACGUGCAUGCUCAAAAGAAGAGUAUGACCUUAGUGCACCAAAAUCACUUUCAAUAAUUUGUGAUAAGUUUUUUUGCAUGACAUUAACCUUAUUCAUUUAGAUAAUGUUUAGUUCUCAUAAAUAUUAAGAAAAUGAAAAUAAAUAUUAAGAAAAAUAUUCUUAUAUUUGAUUGUAUUAUGAAAAAUAUCAUAAAAAAUCAAAUAUAAUUAAAAUUAAUUAAUAAUUUAUAUAUUUUAAAAUUAUUUAAUUUUUAUAUUAAAGAUAUAAUAUAAAUGAAAUGAGUUUUAAGUAUUAUAUAAAAAUGAUUUAUUUAUUUAUUUAUAUAUAUAUAUAUAUAUAUAUUUAGUUUUUCUCUUUAUUUUAUUUUCCUUAUGUUUUCCUCACAUUUUCCGGAAUCAAAGAUAGGGAAAUCCACAAUUACCUUCAACUGAGUAGAUUCUAUUGUUUUAGCAAUGUUAGGCUGCUAACUUGUGGUGGUACGAACCAAAUGAUCCAUGUUAAUCUUGGCUUGAUUUAAUUUGGCUCUAUCUCAGAGAACUCAAGGAUCACGUCAACUCUGGUUUCUACUAUUCAGGUCCAUUCCCAGAUGAACUGGUUCAAAUUUGAGAAAAUGGUAACAGACCUUUAGUGAUAUUGGUUUGGAGCCAGUUGCCAAACCUGCCCUGAGCUUUACCACUAAUGUCAAGGGACAAAGCCAUUUGAACAAAAACAAUAGCUUCAAGAGACUGAAUCGUGGAUGAAAUCUGAUCCACAUUUCUUCUCAUUUUGGGAAAAAAUGAGGACUUAACCACAAAGAUUCUACUGCCUCAUAGUGCUUUUCCUGAUCUAAGGUUGGCUCGUUUCCCAAAUUGUGAGGUGCACGUGCCACUCUCACGCUCAGGAGUGUAUCCACGUGGUGGACAUAAGAUGGUGGCUUAAUAUCUGGUGUCGGUGGCUUUACUUUACUAGGAGAGUAGUGUGUCUUCAUCUCAUUCACUGCCAGAGGGUGGCGUAAGCAGUGACGCUAAGGUGGGGCACAGUCAAUAUCAUUUGCAUUUGACCAUUAUAAUUUUCUCCCGGCUUUAAAGUAACCUUAUCGUGAUAAUGGAUUACUAGCACUAGUUCAGAUGACAGUCAUGUUAAAUUCGGACCAUGUUUGUGUCACAUUAUCAGCAACCAUGUGCUUGUGGUUCAUGCUAUCUGCAACUAAACUUGAUAUAUAACCAGGUGAACUUCAAUCUAAAUUCUGGAAGUACUCAUGUGAUAGAUGGUGCCUGUCUGCAGUGAGUGUAUCUAUAAGAGGGAAGGCUUGGCAAAUGUUCAGUUUUCUGGGAAUUCAACAGGGAUCUAAAAUAGAUUGUUUUCUUUGCUGAUUUCAAUGGUUGAAAUUUGAGAAGAUUGUGUCCACAUAACACAACUAUUACUGGUCCUUCUGUUGCAAUUUAUCCUCUAAGGCUCUAACAUGUCUUCCAAUUCCCACUUCCCACUUCCCUGUUACUCCAGGAAAGCUGUUUCUGUCAUUGUGAAGAAGAAAAGAGACUGUACAUAUCGAUGCUUUUAAGUGGACUGGAGAAUUCAUAUCAGGUGGUCUGCAGCCAUACAUGCCACUUUGUGAAGGUUGGAACAGUCAAUCACUAGGCUAUAUUAGUGGGGCCCAGCCACUUCAAUCAAGGACAAGUCUUCAUACUUAAAGUCAAAUUCUGCCUUUAGUCUCAUUAUAAAUUGCUGUUUAAAUAUCAAGCAAACAUUUGUUUAAUGCGAUUAAGACAGCACUAACUCAAUACUUGUUCUAUUUUUGGAUGCAAAUGCUUGAUAGUUUCAUCAUUGGAGGGGAUAAAGGUGCAUUCAUGAUUAUGAAUACUUGUAGUUAUAUUUUCAUUCUCUUUUUUCUCAAUGGGACUUGUUGGCACAAUUUUGCUGUUCAGAAACCUACCUCUCCAUGGAAAAUCAGUUGUGAUUGAUAUUACUGGAUAUAUUCAAGAAAGCUAAAUGUAGAUAGCACAAAAUAUUAUCGACAUAAAUAGCAUUAACAGCGUACGUAUGUCUCAAUGCUCAUCAGCUAUAAGCAAGGGGCAAACACUUACUAUGAGCAACUUACGUCAAAAUUCCGGAAUAGGACAUAGAAGUGACAGGUCAGUAAAUAUAGAACACUGCAUAUGAGUCACAAGAAAGGAAAUUACGGGUACAUAGCAGCUCUUAUUUUACAUCCUACUCAUACUGAUCAAAGUCACUCAGUUGGGAUGGGUGGGAGUGGGAGGUUUGUGGGGUGGCUUGUGCGGAGGAGUUGGCAGCUUCUUUCCAGGACCUGGUUGCUUCUCUGCUGGAGUUGAAGGAGGCUUAAUCUUCCGAGGUGGCUUGUAUGAGUCUUCAGCAUUCUCAGCAGGAGGGUGACCAGGGUUGUGACCACAAUGUGGUGGCUUCUCUCCCUUAGGUGGUUUGCCAACUGGGGUUGGUGGCUUGUGUUCCGGAAGUGGCUUCUCUUUGUGUUCAGGAGGUGGCUUCUCCACUGGAGGCUUGUGUUCAGGAGGUGGCUUCUCCACCGGAGGCUUGUGUUCAGGAGGUGGCUUCUCCACCGGAGGCUUGUGUUCAGGAGGUGGCUUCUCCACCGGAGGCUUAUGCUCUGGUGGUGGCUUCUCCACCGGAGGCUUAUGCUCUGGUGGUGGCUUCUCCACCGGAGGCUUAUGCAAUGGUGGUGGCUUCUCCACCGGAGGCUUGUGUUCAGGAGGUGGCUUCUCUACCGGAGGCUUAUGCUCUGGUGGUGGCUUCUCCACCGGAGGCUUAUGCUCUGGUGGUGGCUUCUCCACCGGAGGCUUGUGUUCAGGAGGUGGCUUCUCCACCGGAGGCUUGUGUUCAGGAGGUGGCUUCUCCACCGGAGGCUUGUGCUCUGGUGGUGGCUUCUCCACCGGAGGCUUAUGCUCUGGUGGUGGCUUCUCCACCGGAGGCUUGUGUUCAGGAGGUGGCUUCUCCACCGGAGGCUUAUGCUCUGGUGGUGGCUUCUCCACCGGAGGCUUGUGUUCAGGAGGUGGCUUCUCCACCGGAGGCUUAUGCUCUGGUGGUGGCUUCUCCACAGGAGGCUUGUGUUCAGGAGGUGGCUUCUCCACCGGAGGCUUAUGCUCUGGUGGUGGCUUCUCGAAUGGGGGAUGCGUAGGGUAAUCAGCUAGUGAGGGGGCGGUGAGAACCACCAGGCCAAGCAACACUACUAGCAAGUAUGUAGGAGACAUCUUUGGGUUUGGGCUCAGAUGGUGCAAAACUAGGAGAAUUGGCUAGCCUUUUAUAGCGGAUCGUACCCAAUAAUGAAAUGACACGUGUCAUUAUGACCCAUGUGUCAUGUGGUCGAUUUGGGUCCUACAGUGUUGAAAACUUCGACAUCCACUUUUUUGGCCUUUUGCUUUCUCUACAGUCGCCUUGCUUUUUCCCUCUUUUCUUUUGUUUUCCUCCUGCCCCAUUCUAUCAACUAAUCACAAUUAUGUAGUUGUUUAAUUCUUAAAUGAGAUAUUAUCCGUCAAUCAUAUUAUCUUUUAUCAAGAGAGAACGGAGUGAAAAGUGGCAAUCCAAAGAAAGAAGAUCCAUAAUGCAGCUGUAAUUUUAUCGUUUACUUUUAUCUCUAGGACCACUGCAUUUUUGUUGAGAGGUGCAAUAAUACACGUCUUUAUCUGCCAUUCAAUGUUUACAGUAAAGAGAGGGCACAAAACUCUUCACUGCUCUGCAUGUGCCCCAAAAAUGCAAUUGGACAAAUUAUGAUUUGCAUGCUAAAAAGAGGCAAAUGAGGUUAAUUAGCACCAAAAUUAUUUUGUUUUCUGGACACCCCGGGGCCCUUUGGUUGGUUUGGGGGUCAGAAAAUGAACAUCAUAGGGGGUUUUUCCCUAAUGUGCAUUUGCAUUUGUAUCUGAUGGCUUUAACUCGCCUUGUUACUACAAAGAAAUUGUCACAGAUAGGAACUUAUUCCAGGCUGAGUAUCUCCGCAUGGACCCUAUAAAAGAAGACAAGUCAUAAUGAACAUCUAACCUUUGUUCAAUUUGAUUCAAUGCCCCUAUUGUGUCCAUCUCACAAAUCUGAAUUAUUAUAUCCAUUGAAUACAUAAAUUAAUGAAGAAAAUAUGAAACCCAAGAUACAUCUCUGCACAACCUCAACCCUGGUUGCUAUGUUUCACUUCUAUUCACAUGAGGAUAUUGAUUACGGAAUAAGGAAACCUAGCAAGGGUUUACUCGGCUCUGGUUUGAUGCUAAUUGCCAAACUUGCAACAAGCCCUGAGUUUGACACCUAAUCGAUGGGCGAAUUAAAAGUCUCCUCCAAACAUAUAUUCCACAGCUUGAAGCUCACAGAAGAUGCUAUACAGGCAGGGAAAAACCUUCAGAGUUAGCUACCAAAGAUAAUUAUCAAGGAGAUAUCACCAAGAGAAUUCCAUGGAGUCUGAAUCAAAGACAAAUUGCUCGCUCGUGGGGGUUCUUACUUAAUUUCUUUUGGGUAUAACUCACUGAGGGCACUGGCUUUGUUAUUUGCAUUUCGCAUUUAGAGUUCUGUUCUGGAAGGUUUGUUCUGGAAACAUAUAAAAGGAGCAUCAUUUUGUUCUAGGGUAACCCAUAGUUGUGAGUGGGUCCAUUUGCAUGCUACUUAGUUGAAAAGUUGGACAAUUUGCUCCGACGCCUACCUCCUGGAUUCCAUGCUCGGAUAAAGCAAGAAUAAUAAAAUAUUUAUAAUUUACAAAUGGGGGAAAGAAAAAAAUGUCAACAACAAACUAGGAAAAAAGAGUAGUAAAAUUUAUGCCACAUGCUAUUGAUAGAAGGGGCAUGUAUUAGAUCCAUCACCAUUUGGUAAGAUUUUAGUAUUAUAUUUUUCAAGGUUCAUUAUUUGAGGGUGUGUUCUUCAUCUCUGUUGCAUUGCUUCUUACUAGGCCCACUGAGGUGGGUUCUUCACCUUUUGUAUAUUCUCUGCACUAGAUCAAUGAGAAAGGGGGAAUUUUGGUGAAUUUGCAGCCGUUGGAUGAUUGAUUCUAGGCUCAGUCCACCAAUGAUGCUCUCUUCACUCUUUCUCAUCUAGUGUCAUUCACAACUAUGUUUUGAUUCAUAUUUGUACUAUCAAAGAUAUCUCAUUAUUCUAGCUCAUUAGGUAGAGUUCCUAAUCUUCCUCCUUUUUGGUCUAUGGACAGUAUUGGCUUCAUAUUAAGAUCAUGUUUCAAUAAUUGCACAUUAAUGAAUGGAUCAUGACCCACAUAAACAGAGUCAGGGUUGAGUCAGUGAACCCUAAAAUUUCACAAUUCUAAAUUUGGGUUCUUUAACAAUGCAGGGUCAAGGACGCGUGGUGAUGAAGGAAAGCUGGUAAGCUCAGUGUUACUUCAAUUCCUGCCAUGUAGGAUGGUGAGGAGAUAUUCACUAUGCAAUUAAUAAUAGACAAUAUUCACUAUGCAAUAAUAAAGCAUAAAUUAAGUUGAAUGAAAAGCAUUUUCUUUGCAAGGAGUUGAUUUUGGUUUCAUAGUUUGUUCAACUGCUAUUUUGGAUAGGAAAGUGUGAGGAGAAGAAAAUAAAAAAUAAAAAUAAAACAAAAAAUAAAAAAUAGAUUUUAUAAAUUCAUUUAAUUUAUUUUUUUUUUAUAAAAAUUAACUAAUUUAAAAUAUAUGUAAAUUUCUAAUUAAUUUAAUUACAUUUUUUUUUUCAGUUUUUCAUAAUAAACCAAAUAUUAGAAAAUUAUUUUUAUUAAGACACCCAAGAUGAGGUAAUAUGCAAUGAAAACAUGAAUUAUAUUAAAAUUCAAAACAAAUUAAGAGAAAUCGGAAAAUAUACAUAGAUAUCUAAACAAAGAAAUUUAAAGAGAAGGAACCACAAACUUUAUUUACAUAAUUUGAAAAUAAAAAACAUAAAACAUACUUAUAGUAAGGAGAAAUUGAAUAUCUUACAAUGGAAGAAGGGAGAAAAGCUUUGAAGAAAGCUUUUGCUUGGAAGCUUACAUGGUGAGAGGUAGAGAAAGGAGAGAGAGAGAAGAAAAUGAAAAAUGAGAAGUGGAGAAAAUUGGAAGUUUUGUGUGCUUACAACUGAGGAUAGAGCCUCCUUAAAUAGCAAAAAAUGGAAUAUUAAAUAGUACCAAUCAGGAGACAAAAUAUUGUUUGCUUUUGAAACCCGUGCAUGAAUAGUAAUCCCGUGAGUGAAUAGUGAAUAAUAAAAGUGAAUAGUAAAAGUCACUUUCUACUAUAGCACUUUAGACUUUUUCAUCGAGAAUCUUACUUUCGGCUGAGUGAUGAUAGCUGAUAGGUUGCUUUGGAUUGUGGAGUCAUAUGUUUGAUGUUUUCGGUGCUGAAACCGCUUAGUUGGAGAAUAAUCUCGUCAGUAGAGCAUCAUGAGAAGCUUGAAUGGAGAGAGCUUAAUGAUGCCAUAUGAUUGGAAGGAAUCCUAUUUUAAUUUCCUUAUUGGAGGGAGAAUACCCUCACAAUCAUCUUCAUUAUCUUGAAGGUAGUUUGAUAUAGAGUCAUCUGACUCAGCAUAAGAGUCCUCUUGGGAGAAGCUUGAACUGCUUUUGUCAAGGAUUUUCUGAAAUUCUUGAGGGGUUUUUGCUAUUGCUAACAUGGUUUGGAGUUGCUGUUUCUUAAGAAGAAACUGUGCAAUAUCAUAAGAUGAUGAAGCUUGUGUAGGAUGCUUUAGGAAAUAUUGCUUUAUUGCUUGUAGUGAGGUAUCAUUUUUCAAGGCAUCCCACCACUUAGACUUGAAAGUCCUUCCAAGGGUUGGAAAGGCUGCUGAUUCAUCUGCUAUAAUGAUAUAAUCCCACUGGACUAUCCAGGCAAGGCCAAAUUCACUAAAAAAGAAUAAUAAUUGGGGAAAACUGAAAGUUCUCUAGGGAUAACAAAAGAACUUUGGAAUAGCUCAAAGCCAUCCAAAAUGGGUUUUGGGAGAAUUUUAAUAGUUGGACCAAAAUAUGUCCACCAAUUGUGGAACCAAAAUGGAAAAGAGGGGAGUUGAUGCUUAGAUGGGAAAUAGAACAUCCCUGAAUGAUGGAAGUCCUUGUUCUGGAUCAGAAAAGCAUUGAACCAUACUCUUUGGUAGUCUCAAUAAUUGAAAAUUUUAGGUUUUGAAGGCUUAGAAAAUUCUCUUGAAAAAUUAGGAUUCCCACCCCACUGCUUAACUGUAAGGAUUUUAUAAAUAUGGUAAGUGGAGAAUGCCAAAUCCAAAUUGCUGAAUUUAUCAGCAUUGUGCUUGAUUUUAACAGAGCCGGUUUCCAUAAGGAUUGCUUCAUAAAAUUCUCUUGUUUUUAAAAGAUCACCAAAGGGAUAAUGAAAAUUUUCAUGAAAAGCUUUUGCUGCAAUAUCUCUAGGGUUUUUAGAGAAAAACUCUUUUUCAAUAACCAAAAGAGGUUGAUUUAAAUCUUUUUGCCAAUAUCUUGCUUUUGCUGAAAGAGGUGUGGGGUUGGCUACCACCACAAUUUGCUUAUUUGAAAAAGAAGAGCUUGAUGCUAAUUCAUUUUGAGAGGGAUUAGCUUUAGUAACCUGCUUAAAGGUCUGAGACACAGUAAUAGUUGGAUACUGAGUAGCCUUGACUGGUUUAGAAGGAUUCGAAGGAUCAUAGUACAAGGACAAAAUCUUAUUAGGCAUAUGGUCAGAAGAAUGAAGCCUUGCUUCUUCUUCUAGCUCAACUUGUUGGCUCCAAAGUAUUUUAUGGGGAGAAGGUUCUUUGCUGGUUUUAGAAGACUAGGAUUCUGGAAGUUUAGGAGCUUGGGUAUUCUUUUUAGGGGCCAUGGUUUCGUGAAUCCUGUAAAAUUCACAAGUUAAGAAAUCAGGGCUCGAAGAAUGUUCUCCUUUAAUAUACUCAAUUUGUAAAUUAAAAUUGCUUAAAAUAGCUUGAUAUAUAGCAAAAAUAUGCUUAGAAGUUAUAUUCUUAACAUCCUUUUGUAAAACUAAUUUUGCAAAUUUACAAUCAACUCUUAAUAAAAACUUUUGAUUCAAAAGAUCAUCUUGAAAUUUUGAAAUGCAUAAAACAACGCUUAAAGUCUCUUUUUUAAUGAUGUUAUGAAUGAGUUGGGUAGUAUUCCAGGUUCUUGAAGUAUACCUAACUAACAUCUCAAGGUUACCAACACUUUGCUUAAGAAUCCCACCAUAACCUAUGUCUGAGGUAUCGAUCCCAACAAACUCAAAGGUUUCUGGAUUGAUAGAGCCUAAACAUGGUAGGGUCUUGACUUUGGACUUAACAUCAAUAAUGAAAACAAUGGUGAAAACAGAAAACUGGUUAAAGUUUUCAUCCAUUAUAUUCUGGAAUUCUGAGGUGCAUUCUUAAGAUCAAAGGGCAUUAUGAACCAUUCAUAAUGUCCAAGAGAUACCACAAAGGUGGUCUUAUUUGGAAUAGGACACCUAAUCCAACUUAAUGUAUCAUUAAGAGGCAUGUAGUUGACGACUAGUCUAGGUGUUCCUUUUUCUGAUUCAACUUGUUCCUGAACAUAGAAGGUUGAACAACUCCAAAGGGACUUAGACUUCCUUAUCAACUUUUUAUCAAGAAGAUCCCAAAUCUCCUUAUCACAAUAGCUUAACAAACCCUUGUUCAUCUGGAUAGGUCUUGAUUUAGUGGGAAUAUUCUUGUCACUAAAGUCUAGUUCAUAAGGUAAUUCUACCUCAUGUUGUUUCCUAUGCCAAAAUGCAUUAGGAAUGUUAGAGCAAACUUCUUCAACAAUCAGAUUAAUUUCUUGCUCAUGACUUUCCUUAGCUUGAAUCACCUGAUCCCUUAAGGUGUUUAUAUUUUUCUUAUUAGGUGGUUGGCAAAUUCAAAAAUAAUUUCCUUAUCUAAGAGCUUUGUUCUUAUACUUUGGUCAUCUACCCACAUGGGAUAGAUGGAGCUUAAAAAGGGGAUUCCAAGGAGAGCUUUCUCCUUAAGAUCCUUAACUAGAAUGAAGGUUUGCUUGAUGCAAAUGCCUUGGUUAUUUAUGUGAGCAUCUGACAGCUUAUACUCAAUGUCAAGCCUUUUACCAUUAGCUCCAAAGAGAGAUUCUUUGGUUUUCUUACAAAACUUAAUAGGACCUAGACCUUCUUGUAGGCAAUUCAAAGCUGUUCCUGAAUCAAUCAAAGCAACAAUAUCAAUGACAAAUUUACUCUUAAUUACUAUAGUAAGGGAGACUUUCCACCUCUGGAAAAUAACCCUACUAACAGUAUUUAAGUAUCCAUCCGUCUUUUCAUCAUUAGCAUGUGAAGAUUCUAGAACCUCUUCAAGGUUUUCCUAGUUAUCAACAAGAUUUUCUAUAACAAUCCUAUUUAUUUGUUCUUGGAGAUCUGAAAAACCUAAGCUUGUGUAUUGUCUUAAAUCUUUAAUUUCCUUCUUAUACUGUCUUACUUCUUCUUGAAGAUCCUUAAUGGUUACGUCUUUGGUAGACUACUGGUUAAAUCUUCCUAAGAUUUCAUUUAAGUUAUAAGAAUUUACUGUCUUCUUAAUCUCUUGCUUAUCGACAAAUUUCUUAAAAACUUCAUAAAGAUCUUGUUUAGUUUUUUCAUCUUCAACUUUCCUUAAAACAUCUAGGACAAGUUCUUGAUCUUGGCUUAUGACAUUUAUAGUCUUAGGUUGGCAAUCACAAUUAUCCUUAAUGUAUUCUUCUUGGUCACUAGAAGUUUGGCUUGAGAUUUCCUCACCACUACUAUCUAGUUGGUUAAUACCAUUUUCAUUAUCUGAAUCAAUCCUUGAUUCAGACUCUGUGGAAUUUAACAUUACUUUACAAAGCAUAUCUUUUAAGUCUUCUGUGACAUUUAAGUUAUUAAUUUUCUGCUUAACCCUACAAUCUUUCUUAUAGUGGCCUAUCUUACCACACUUAAAACAAACUGGCUUAGAUUGUGAAGGAGCUUCUAGCUUUUUAUGGGCUUCUUUGUUCAUCAUUCUUUGGAUGUGCCUUUGUUUCUUAGUUUCAUUCAUCCUAUAGUUGCCAUGAGUUCCUCUCUUGUUGUGAUAGGACUUUUCCUUACUAGGCUUUGUACUUACUUGUUUCUUACGUUGCUUAGAGGGGGGCUUAGUUUCUUUUUGGUUGAAUCCAAACUAGCUACAAAAUGAACCAAACUCAUUCUUGUAGAUCCUUUGUUCAUUUUUCAUCUGUUGCUUAAGCUUAAAGUCAUUGCACAGUUUAAUUGCUUCUGAUGUGACAAUGCUUAUAAUUUCUCCAUAAGAAAGCUUAUCAUAAGGGAUUUGUCCAUUAAACUGUUCCCUUAUCUUAAUCCUAAUCCUCUCAGAGAAAAGUCUAGGUAGUCCUAAGAUGAAUUUUUCUUUCCAAAAAGACUGGUUAUAGUUUGAUCUUAGUAUGACUUUGGUUAGGAAAACUUCUCUAUACCAUCUAAAGUCAUGAAGCUUGGGACACUUAAGGUUGGUUAAGAGAUCUACAAUCUUAUCCUUAAUCUUUGCAGGAUCUCCAAUGAAGUGCUUUGAAAUUGAAUAGAUUAGAGUAGCCACUACAUCCUCUAUAUCUUGUCCAUCUUCAUCCUUAACCACUUCAUUUUCCUCAUUAAUCCUAUAGGCUUUUAGGAUACCAUUUCUAUCCUCAAAGGUGAGAUAAUUAUCCCACCAACCCUAAAGUUGACCUGUAAACCCAACAACAAUUGUUUGAGCUACAGCAUGGCCUGACAAUCUAUUGUUUAACUUAUAGGUUGUACUAACCAUGGUCAUUUCUUGAAGCUUAGUGAGUAUGUUGUACUCAAUCAUACCAUCUAUGUUCCAUUCAUAGAUAGUGUCACUAGUGUAGGAAGCUUGAGUAUGCUGGUUUCUUUCCUCAUACUACAUAUCAGGAAAAGUUGGUCUAGGGUAGUAAUUCCUAGUUCUUGGUUGUUGAUAAUCCUCAUAACUGUUUGGUUAGGAGGUUCCUUAAAAAUCUUAAUUAGUUCAUCAGCCUCUGCUUCAGAACUAAUUUCUCCUUUAACCAUAUUGAUUCUCUUGUGAGAUGGUUGAGGUGUCUCAGAGACAACAAGGCUAUCCUUAACCUUUUGGCUUAUCCUAUCAAUGAGGGCUUGAUCAAUAUGGAGAUUCUCUAGGAAUUUCUUAGAGAAUUCAAAAGGCUUAAAUAAAGACUUAUUAUCUUUCUUAACAAACGUAGUCUUAAUGUAGUCUUGUGUUUCAAUGAUAUCCUCAAACUUGUUGAGUUGAUCGCCUGUAGUCUUAAGAAACAUGUUAGUGUAGUUGUUUUGUUCCAUGAUUCUUCUAACGUCAACAACACUAUCAAUUCCUUUAUUCUUUGGCCUAGUCUUAAAAGGUGAAGCUUUGACUAUGGUUCAAUUAAUGUUCUUUUAUAUCUUAGCUUCUAGAGGGUGGAUGGAUUCUAUGAUAGUAUCGUCACUAGUUUUCCAUAUCUUAGUUUUUUUGGAUGUGUCAUUGACACGCUUACUAGGGUAAUCUAGAUAUUCCUCUUGUUUGAAGAGUUCAAACCAGAUCCAAUACUUAAUGUUCUUCUUUUCUUGUCUUAAGUAUGUGUAGAAUUCUUCUUGGUAGAGGGUUCUAAUGUCUUUAAGGACCUUGCUAAAGAACCAAACUCUCCUUUUCUUAUUGACUUCAGAAUAGAAGUCUUUCCUUAAGAGGUCCUUGUUGAUUCAAAGUCUUCGUUAAUUAGGCUUACAGUGUUAAUCAACUGAGAAUAAGUAGGAGACAUAUCAGGAGAUUCGUCCUGAUGUGAUUCUUGAGUAAACUCAUUUUCCUCCAUGUAAAAGGGUUUGGCCACGUUGGUGUGACUUCUAACACCUGUUAGCUUAAUAUUCUUAGGAUUUGCUGAACUAGAUCCUUCCUCUAUCCUAGUGGUUCUUAUUGGGAUAGAUGAACUUGAAGCUCUAGAGGGCUCAUAAUAUGAAAUUCUAAGGCUGCUAGAAUGAUGAAAAGAGUUGGAGAAAAUUAGAUCUCGUUCUCCAUCAGGAUAUUGAACAAUCUGUUCAAUUCUUUCAGAUCUUUGCUCUAUGGCUGGGACAACAUUAGCAAAAUGCCAAUUUUCUGGAAACUCAACCUCAUUCCACUUGAUUUUCAUGGGGACUAUGAAAUUAGACUUGUUUAUCAUAUCUAAGUGGAAGAUAGUGGUUUCACCCUUGGGACUGGUGCACAAUGCUCCAAAUCCAACGCUUAUGGUCAUGCUCUUAUAGGCAAAUCUGGUGAUGAUGGAAACAUGAUUGUUUCCUUGCUUGAACUUAAAGUCAUGGGUCUUAACAUGAAGGACAACUGAAUCUAAGAUGUUGACAUCUCUUAGUCUAACUGUGAAGUUAGGGAAACACUGGAAAUAAACAGGACCAUCAUUUAAUCCUGCUUGGGUAGCUCCAAUAAUAGAAUCUCGGUAAUCAAGAUGUCUAUUAUCUCUUAAACACAUGACAAUAAAGGUGUUUAGACCUAGUCUUGUCAAGGGCUUAGCUGCAACUUGAAUCAUGCCAAAGUGUAUGAAGUUGUAGUCUCGCUUAUGCUUAUCAAUGGACUUACUAUCCAAGAGUCUUAUGACUUGAUCGUCGUGUUCUAAACUUACUGACAUUUCAGGGGUUUUAAUGGUGUAAUCUGUAAAGAACUUAAAGGUUCCUUUCUUAUAAAUUUCUUGAUUAGGUACCUUGGGUAACUUCCAAUCAUCUAAAUCAUCUUGGAUCUUAGGAUAAUUGAUCUCUUCAUUGUUUACUCUUGAGAAUUUGUGGAUUUCCUAGACAUGGUUCUGAAAAUCAAACUCAUUUUAAGGUUUUAAUCUAGAGCCUAAUAGCAGAUUAACAGACCUAGUGAGUAAUCACCCCAACCCUUUUCCAACCUUAACAAACGCCUAUCUCCAGCUAACAAUGGGCUCAACUCGGCAAGGAUCGCACUCAGGCACACUACUAUCUUUCCUAGGAUAGAUCAAAACACCCAAAACAAACCCGACUUCCUUUUCCUAGGAUAUAUAUAGUAUUUUGGGUUUGAGUAGGAGUUCAUGUUUUGUAUGUAAUUGUAGUCUACGUUGGACUAGGUUGUUUGCUCCUAAUUGAAAUAGGAAUGGUUGGUGUCACAUCUCAUUCAUUUUCUCAUCUAUUUCCAUGUUUAGAUAACUCAAGUAAUCAUAGGAAUGAAAUUAAGAAUGAUUUGAGGGAAAUGAAAUCUCACUUGUAAGUGGGAUCUCAAUUCAUCAUUAAUAGAAGGUAUUUUGAUUACAUAGUGCAAGUUAUUUUUAAAAACACUUUUCAAAAAUUGAAAAACCAAAAACUCUCUUGGAUAAGUUGUUUUUAAAAAGAAUUUUUGUAUUUUUAUUUUGUAAAAAAAAAAAAUAGUAAUUCAAUUUAUAUAAUAUAAAUAGACUUUAAUUUUAUUAAAAAUAAAAAUAAUUUUUUAAUUACAAAUAAAUUAAAAAAUAAAUAUUUGUAAUAAAAUAUGAAUAGUAAUAUUAUAAUAAAAUCAUAAAUAAAUUAAAAAUAUUUUUAAAAACAAAUAAGUUUAAUUUUUUUGAGGUACAAAUGAGCCAAAUUUUUCAUUAGGUACACAACCAACAAUUUUUAUUGGAAACAUUCCUCAAAAAAGAAUUCGUUUCCCAUAUAGCAAAGAUAUUUAUUAUUUAGUAUCUAACCAUCCGUAGUAAUCAUAUCAAUUCUACUAAGUUAUUUAAUAAUUCAUUUAUAUAUAGUACUCAAUUAUGAAUUUUUUUAUUUGAUGUAUAAUUAAUUAAUCAAUGUUUUGAAUUUUGAAUUAUUCUUAAAAUUUAAAACAUUAAUUAUGUCUAUUACUUUUUAUAGUCAUUAUAUAUAUAUAUAUAUAUAUAUAUAGAGAGAGAGAGAGAGAGAGAGAGAGAGAGCUUAAAUUUAUCUUUAAAAAUUAUUAAAUUUAUUAAUAAAUUCAAUACAAAGACUCAUUUGAUUUGAAAUUCAUUUCUUUAGUGAAAAUUUUGAAACUAAAUAGUACUUUGUUUUACUUUGUUUUUAAAUCAUACUCACAAAUAAGUUUUUAUCAUUUAGCCAAAAAAUCUCAAAGAUGUUUCUAAUUUUAUUUAUUUAUUUAUUUGUAAAUGAAAAUAAAAAAUUAGUUUAAACUAAAUAUGCGGAUAUUAUUGUUAAUUUAUUUCAUUUUUUAUUUCCAUUGUUAUUUAACAUUGAAACGGAAACAAAUAAUCAUUCCAAUCUUACAUUCUUAUAUGCAUCUAAACACAAGAAUUGAAAUCACCAAAUUCAUAUUCAAGGCAAAAUAGAAAUGGAAAAAAAAUAUUCAUUUUCAUUCCUCAUUCUCAUGUGCUAAACAUGACAUUAGUUCUACUACCUAUUUCACCAUUCUUCUUGAUAAAUUUGGUAUAUGCAAUAUUGAUCUAAGUGUGAGGUGAAUAAGAAUGAUGAUGGGAUGGGCUUGGAAAUAAGGGCAAAGUUUCUAGGUGCUAUCUAGAGGGGCAACGCGACUUUUUCAAAUUUCGAAUAUUUGUUCUCAACAUAAAGCAAAACUUUACUCACACAAUAGAUAAGACUCUGUUUGUUUUCUUCAUCCACGACUAUAUAAUGUAUAGCUCUUACUCAAGGGAUGAGCUACUUACUAUUAAGGAUUGGGUAAGAUAUUGCCUAAUGGCCAAGAAGGCAUGUCAAAAAAUAAAUCUAAUCACCAUAAAAAAUAAUAGGGGAAAAUUAAUAUAUUAUGAAUGAUGACUUUACUAUUUCUCUAUAUACAUAAUUAUAUAUUUUGAAUUUUCUCACUAGGUAAUGAGAUUCUAAAUCAACUGAAACAUAAUUAAUAAUUUAUAUUUUUAAUGAAUCUUUUAAUUUUUAAAAAUAAUUUAAAAUUUUAAAAAACAAUUCAAUUAAUUACAUAUUAAAUCAAAACAUUUCAAAAUAUUGUGUUUGUAGAUGAGUACUAAAUGCUUGCAUAUAAUAAUAAUAAUAAAAAAAUUGACUCAUUUAGAUGUUAAAAAAGUUAAAUGUUUUUCAUUAUUCAUUUUAAGUAAAAUAUUAUUGACAUUAUUAUUAUAAAAUUAUUAUUAUUCAUUUUUAACAAAAAACAAAAUAAGUUAUUCUUUUACCAAGAUGUCAAUAUCUAUAUUUUUCUAACAUAUAUUAAAAUAGUAUACUUUUCUUUUAUUAAAAAUAAUAAUUAUUAUUAUAUUAUUAUUCAAGUUUUAUUAAAAAAAUUUAUCUUUUAAUUCAUUUGUAAUUACAAAAUAAUUUUAUUUUAUUAAGAAUUUAAUUUAAUUACGCUUUUUUUUUUUAUAAAAAAAACAGUUAUGCUUUUACCAAGAUGUUAAUAUUCAUAUUUUUCUAGCUAACAUAAAUAGAAUAGUACACUUUUUCAUAUAAAAAAAUAAUUUAUGAUUUUAUUAUAAUGUUACUAUUCACAUUUUACUAAAAAUAUUUAUUUAUUUUAUUUAUUUUUAAUUAUAAAAUAAUUUUAUUUUCAAGAAUUUAAUUUUAAAAAAAUAGAAAUCAUUUAUUCUUUUACCAAGAUGUUAAUAAACAUAUUUUUCUAACAUAUACUAAAAUAAAAAAGUUUACUUGUUCAUUAAAAAAUAUAAUUUAUGUUUUUAUUAUAAUACUACUAUCUAUGUUCUACUAAAAAUAUUUAUUUAUAAUUAAAAAAUAAUUUCAUUUUUAAUAAGACUUGAACUAAAUUAAAUUUAUAAUUUUUUUUUAAAAUAAAAUAGAAAAUUAUUUUUUAAAAACAACUUAUUGAAAGAAAUUUUUUAUUCUUUACUUUUAAGAACUGUUUUUAAAAGCAACCUAUAAACCCCUUUGGGUCUGUUUGGCUAUGUUUCAUGCAACUUGUUUUUAAAAAUUGUUUUUUAUUCUUUAAUUUAAUUUUUUUUAAGUUAAAGAAUAAAAAACAACUUUCUAGUGUUUUAUAAAAAUGAGAGCUUUUGACAAGUUGUUUUUAAAAACCAUUUUUAAAAAUAAAAAAUAAAAAACUUAUUUAGAUAAAUUGUUAUAUAUAUAUAUAUAUAUAUAUUUGUAAAAACAUUUUAAAUUCAAUUUAUAUAAUAUAAAUUUAAUUUAAUUUAAGUCUUAUUAAAAAAAAAUUGUUUGGAUAAGUUUUUUUUUUUAAAUAGUUUAUUAUUUUUGUUUUGUAAAAACAUUGCAAAUUCAAUUUAUAUAAUAUAAAUUAAUUUAAUUCAAGUCUUAUUAAAACCAAAAUAAUUUUAUAAUUACAAAUAAAUUUAAAAAUAAUUUUUUUAGUAAAACAUGAAUAAUAAAAUUAUAAAUUAUAUUAUUGUGGACCCUGCAUUUAUGCUCAUGCGCUUCCACUUGUUGGCGAACUCAUUUUUUAUUUGAAAAUGAUUUAUUUUUUUAGAAAAUGACUUAGAGUCGCCACUUAUUUUUGUUUUAUUUUUAAAGGGCAAGCAAAAUAAGAAAGAAAACCCUAAGUGUGACUCCUUAUUCGAAAAAGGUAGUCUGUGUAAAACCGGAUCAGGGUUCAGGGAUCAGGUUACUUAUUGGGAAGGUAUGACAAUGACCGUAGCACUCCUCUAAGUCCUUAAAAACGGGCCUCUACUAAAAAAAAUAAAGUAAUCAUGGCAAUCAGUAAGGAAAUCACUGGAUACCCAGAACAAUUAUGCACAUGUGAGAAUUAAAACAUGCAUAAGAAUGGACAAAGUGAGAGUGGGUGCGUACCUUGACAACGAACCACAAUGCGUUAUCAAGAAAUGGGGUUAGUGCACGAUCAAUGAACAUAAAACACGUCACACAUGUCACUAAGCAGAGUGAGAAAUCAUCAGAUAUUACAAUUCAAUCAAAUUUAUUUUUAGAAGAAACAUCUGUUGAUGUAGAGCCCCUACCAAAGCCUAAUUUAUUUUUGCAUGAAUCAAUUUCAUAAAUUCAAUCGCUUGGAAUUACAGAAUUAAAUUCAUGCUUAUUUUAAAACAUCUUUUUAAAAUCAUGGAAGAUGUGAAAAUGGUUUUCCAAAGAGAAAAUGACAACUGAUUUUAUUGAAAAUGGGAUUUUGGGGACCUAAACGUUAAAGAGGGAUUAGGAAUUGAAAAUUAAAUCAUUUGAAAAUUGAAUUUUUCAAAAAUCAGUUUUGAAAGCAUGCAUGCAAGUAUGGACUGUGAAAGUGGGCCUAGGGAGGGUGGCCAUGCAAAAUGAGGUCAUACACGUGGGCCUUGGGUACAAUUGGGACUACUUUGCUGGUGCCAGUGGUGCUUGCAGCUGUCAUCCAUGAUUUCUUCAUUGGGAUCAAUUUCCAUUCUUACUGCCAAACAUUCCAUAACAAUUGACCAAACUAGUAACCCUGACCUUGCAUGAAAAUGAACGUUACCUAGAAACUCACUGCCAGUGAGAUUCAUUGCUCUUUCAAAAGGUCUCAUUUUCUUUCUCAUCCAAUUGCUUUAAGGAGCAUUCUAGCGUCACGAUUGGUGACUGCGCAUCAUCUAGAGCCUUCUUUCUUCUCAGAAUCAGGUUUGCGUGCAGAGGCCUGUGCUUGUUCAAGGUUGACCUAAAUUCAUCUAGGUUUAGAACCGACCAGUUGAGCUUGGGGAGCAACGACAAGAAUAUCAGUCACUUGCGAAGAGAAAACUCGAGAUCUUUCAAGUAAUGCCUGACAUAGAUUCCUCCAACCUGUGGCCAAUAUCUCAUUCCUUGUUGGCCAGACGCCUAUUAGGGCGUAUCUCAAUCAAUAAUAUGAUUUUUCGUUUGUUCACAAUAAAGACCGGAAGCCAUGGUUGUGAUUUAUGCAGUACAGAAGAAGUUGCCAUGGCUGGUAUCCUUACAAAUUCUGGUGUUUCUGCUAUCUGUUCAAGUGCAAAACACAACAGCUUUAUCAAGUUUGUCCCUAACAACUGAUAUUGAGCCCUCUGGAGGAAACCUUGAUAAAUUCAUAAUCACUUUUGACUCAUGCAUGGGCUGCCCAUCAAAUUUUCCUAGCAACGAGACGACUGCUGUCAUCUACUGCAAAGAGAAUUUCUUCUCGCAAAGACAAGAGGAGUUUAAGAAUACACACUAUUCUGCCAUUUCAUUUCCUCUUUCUCCACAACCAACAUAAACCAUAGUGUCUACAUUAGAGUACUUAGAAAGAGCUUAACUGAUGACCGUUUUUCCACAACCAAAUGCCCCAGGUAUGGCACAAAUUUCACCGAAAACAGAAGGGAAAAGGGCAUCAAGAACACGCUGUCCUGUAAGUAGUGGGGUAUCAGGACUACUCUAGGGAAGUUAUUUCUGUCAUUUUGAAAAAGAAAAAUUAAAGAAUGUACACAUGCUUUCAAGUGGACUGGAGCAUUCUACAUAUCAGGUGGUCUGUAGCCACAUGUGCCACUUUGUGGAAGUUGGAACAGUCGAUCACUAGGCUAUUUAGUGUGGCCAAGCCACGUUAAUCAAGGACAAGUCUUCAUACUUAAAAGUCAAAUGGUGCCUUUAGUCUCAUUACACAUGGCUAUUUAAAGAUGAACUAAUCUUUAGUGUAAUGUGAUUAAGACAGUACUAACUGAUCAAUAUUUUUUCUAAUUUUGGAUGCAAAUGCUUGCUGGCUUCAUCAUUGGAUGGGAUAAAGGUGCAUUCAUGACUCUGAAUACUUGCAGUAAUACUUGCAGUAAUACUUCAUUCUCUUUUUUCUCGAUGAGACUUCUUGGCACAAUUUUGCUUCUCAGCAACCUACCUCUCCAUGGAAAAUGAGUUGCGAUUGAUGGUACUGGAUAUUUUCUAGGAAGCUAAAUAUAGAUAUAUAGCACUCAAUGUCAACGAUAUAUAUAGCAUUAACAGUAUAUGUCUCAAUGCUCAUCAGCUACAAGCAAGGGACAAACACUUACAAUGAAUAACUCACGUCAACAUUCCUAAACAGGACAUAGAAGUGACAGAUCUAUAUAUAGAACACUGCAUAUGAGUCACAAGAAAAGAUAAUACGGGUGCAUAGCAGCUCUUAUAUUACAUAUUACUCAUACCGUUCAAAUUCACUCAGUUGGGAUGGGUGGGAGAAGGAGGCCUCUGGGGUGGCUUGUGCGUGUGAGAAGUGGAAGAAAGUUGAAUGGAAUGAAACUGAAAAACAGGGUAGAAUAGAGGUUUCUUGAAUCUUCUGAAAUCUUUAUUUUUCUGAGAUUUAUUCUCUGUUUUUGUGAGUCGUGACUCUACAUAUAUACAUGUAUUUAAAGUUAGUUAUGCCUUAUAACUAAUUAUCUAACAGUACCAAAACUAAUCAUCUAGUUGCAUGUUUCUAAUUAAUGCUAUUUAGUUACAACUAUAUAUGGCUUAACAUCCUCUCUCAAACUCAAAAGUCUAGCUAGAACAGUGAGUUUGCUUCAUAGAUUGAGAAAUUGUUGAAUAGGUAAGGCUUUGGUAAGAGCAUUAGCAAUCUGGUCAUAAGAAGGAAUGUGUUGAACCACCAAAGUCUUAUUGAGCACCUUUUCCUGAACAAAAUGGCAAUCUAGUUCCACAUGCUUAACUCGAGAAUGAAAAUAGGAUUGGCAGCAAGAAAGGUGGCUGAAAGAUUGUCAUAGAACAAAACAAAAUAGGAGAAUAAGAAGAUGAGAUAGAAAACUCCUGAAGAAGAUGUUGAAUCCAUUGAAGUUCAAAAGCAACAUUUGCUAAGGCCCUAUACUCAGCUUCAUUGCUGGAACGAGACACAACUUUCUGCUUACUGGAGUUCCAGGAGACUAGAUUAGAGCUAAAAAAGAUGCAAUGACCACUUGUACUUCGACGAUCAUCAGGGCAACCAACCCAAUCAACAUCAGCAUAAGCAGUAAGUUGAAAAUCAGGAGAAGAAUAAAAGGAAAGACCAAAGGAAGUAGUGCCCUUAAGAUAAUGCAACAAUCGUUUAACAACUUGCCAAUGAAGAUCAGUUGGUUAUUGCAUGAAUUGGCAAAGUUUAUUGAUAGAGAAAGAGAUGUCAGGCCUUGUAAUGGUACAAUAUUGCAGGGCUUCAACAAUGUUGCGAUAUUGAGAAGGGUCAGCCAAGAGGGAACCUUUAGAGGCAGAUAAAGUGUGAGAGGUAGUCAUUGGUGUAUCAAUAGGUUUAAAAUAUGGAAGACCAGCACGAGUUAACAAGUCCUGAAUAUAUUUGGUUUGGGAAAGAUGAAGAGAAGAUCCUUGCCAACAUACUUCUACACCCAAGAAGUAAUUCAGAAUACCAAGGUCCUUGAGAGCAAACUGAAAGUGUAAAGACGAAACCAUUUGGUGGACUAGCACGGUAUUAAGACCACUAACAAUAAUGUCAUCAACAUAGAUGAGAAUAAUGAUCAUGUCAGUCCCUUUCCGAAGAGGAGCUUGCUUCAGACCCUACAAGGCUUUGCGAAGUUUACAGAAAAAACCGGGUUUAGAAUGAUCAACAAAGCCUGGAGGUUGAACCAUGUAAACCUCUUCUUCUAACUCACCAUUGAGAAAGGCAUUAUUAACAUCUAAUUGUUCCACUAACCAACCAUGAGAAAUAGCAAGAGAAAGAACAAUUCAUAUAGUAGUUGGUUUAACAACAAGGCAAAAGGUUUCAAAAUAAUCAAUACCAUAUGUUUGAUUAAAACCCUUUGCAACUAAGUAGGCUUUAAAACGAUCAAUUGAGCCAUUAGCUUUGAGUUUCAGCUUGUAUAUCCAUUUACAACUAAUAAUGCGUGUAUUAACAGGUUUAGGAACCAAUGUCCAUGUGGAAUUGGUGAGAAGAGCAUCAUACUCAGUCUUCAUAGCAGCUUGCCAAUUAGGAUGCAAUAUUGCUUCUUUGAAAGAGGAGGGUUCGACAACAGUAGUUUGGAUAGCAAGGCUAAAUAUUUUUUUGGGUUUAAAAAUACCAUUUUGGCUACGAGUAACAAUAGUUCGGUUUGGAAGUGAAAGAGGAUCAGUGGAGGAGGCUGGAACAAGGGAUUGUGGUAAAGUAGGAAAGGAAGGUGGAUGAGAUGGAACAAAAUCAGUAGGGACAAUAAUGGGAGAAGAAAAAUUAGGUGGAGAAUGAUGAGGAUUCCUUGAAGAUGGUGUAGGAAUAGAGAGAAUACCAGAAUCAAGAAGUGUUAAAGAAGAGUUGGAUGAUGAUACUGGUUGACAGGAUAAAGACUUUGUUAAAAAUGGAAAUCGAGUUUCAUCAAAUACAACAUGACGAGAAGCAUAUAUCCGAGAGGAAGCCAUAUCCAAACAGAGGAAUCCCUUGUGUUUAGCACUAUAACCCAAAAAACAGCAAACAACAAAUAUAUUUGCUAGCUUGUGAGAAGCAUAAGGGCGAAGAUAAGGAAAACACAAGCAUCCAAAACUUCAAAGAGAUGUAUAAUAAGGUAAACGAUUAUAAAGAACUCCAUAAGGAGAAUUUUGUGAAAGAACAGCAGAGGGAAGGCAAUUUAUGAGAAAAAUGGCAGUUUGAAAUGCAAAUGACCAAUAUUUGAGAGGGUAUACCAGCUUGUAUUAACAAAGAAAGACCAACUUCCACAACAUGACGAUUCUUUCUUUCAACUCUUCAAUUUUGCUAAGGAGUAUAAUGACAAGAGACUUGAUGAAGAAGACCAUUUGUAGCCAAAUAAUUCUGAAAAGCUGAAACUGAAACUCAUCAAAUUGAUUUUUAGUAUCAAAUUUUCUUCAGACUGAACACAUUGAUUUUUAGUAUCAAAUUUUCUUUCAACCAUGGCUUGAAAAUGUUGGAACAUAAGUAAAGCUUCAUCUUUAGUUUCCAAAAGGUACAACCAUGAGAAUAUGCUAAAAUCAUCAAUUAGCAAGAGGAAAUAUUGAGCAUUACCAUUGACAGAAACUAUAGGAGUUGCACCCCAAAGAUCAACAUGGAUGAGACCGAAUGGUUUUAUUGCUCUAGAAGUGGAUAUUUCAAAUGGAAAACGAUGGCUUUUAGCCAACUGACAAGACUCACAUACAGAGUUAUUAUUGUCAUGUUUCAAAGGUAUUUUAUAAAGAGAUAAGAUUUUGGAAACUACAUUAAUAGAGGGAUGACCAAGUCUAUUAUGCCAAAGCCUCAAAGAACCAACGGCUAAAGUACUACUAGUAGAGUAAAAUACUAGUGGAUGACCAACAACUCUUGGUGUAGCAAGAAGUUUAUAGAGACCCUUCUCAAUUUUUCCUUGAAGAAGAGCAAGUCUCGUUUCCUGAUCCUUUACCACAAAAUGAGAAGAACGAAAUUCAAUAAAGGUGCCAUUGUUUGAGUAAAAUCGUUGCACGCUAACUAAGUUGGUGGUAAUAGAAGGAACAUGUAAGACAUCAUUGAAAAACAAAGAACCACUUGAAGAGGCAAGAGAAAAUUUACCAAUAUUUGCAAUGGAUAAACCCUUACCAUCUCCAACAAUUACUUUGUCACCACUGGUAAAUGGAUUAUGGAUUGUUAAAUUGUUAAGAUCAGAUGUGAGAUGAUGGGUAGCCUUUGUAUCAAGAAACCAAUAAGUGUCUCCCAUUGUUGCAGAAGUUGUAGUCAUAGCCUCAGGAUUGUUAGAGGUGGAAUGUUUAGAAUCUUUUGGCUGAUAAUCAGAGUUAAACCGAUACCAGCAUUGUAAAGCGGUGUGUCCGAACUUACAACCGAGAGAAAUAAUCUUUACUUAUUCUCUAAAAACUGUUCUUUAUUCCACACAUUAUUUCUAAAAACUGUUUCUAGAUAACAAUGACAAAAUAGUAUUAGGAAUUUUUAAAAAUAAAAAUUGUUUUUAAAUUACAUGAUCUAUAUCAUUCACAUUUGACCAUUAUAGCUUUGUUCAGGAAAACACUUGAAAGUAACCUUAUCGUGAUAAGAGAUAUAAGUUGGCUGUAGUUUCAAACUGAAAACAGAGGAUGGCAAUAGAAAGCAAAGCAUUAGUUAUCUGCAAUCAGUGGUGAUCAUGCCCCAUGUCAAUUUCGGACCCAUAUCUUAAAACCGUAUAAUUUGCAUUUCAACAUUUCUGAUUUCUCAGAUGUUUCAUACUCCACAGAAGAACAUUGUUUGUGAAAGCAUGCAUUUAUGCUGGAUUUUGGAUGAUGUGGGAACUGGGGCAAGGAUCAUAUGGAAGAGUGGUCGAUUUUUUCUGUACUUUAACAUUUGAAAUAGGAGCAGCACGGGCAUUUGUGGGGCUUAAUUGAUUUUGAAGCCUGAAAUUGCGUUUCUGUCAUUUUGUAAAAAAUAUGGCAGAUUCCAUGCUCUCAUAUGUUUGGUCUGUGGCCAUGUAUAGAUGCCACUUAGUGACCAGUUUGUAACUGUCAAUCAUAGUGUUUUGACUCUGGCUCAACAACAUCAGCCAUUGACGGAUUUUCAUACAUGCAAAUCAAAUAGUCUUCUUCCUCCCUUAGGAAUUUCGGUUUAAAUGUUAUUAAGCAUACAUUUGGCUGACAAUUAUUAACCACUUCAUGAUAUGGUUUCUUACCCUUAAUCAAUGGUUUCUAAGUGAAUAUAUGCAGAAGGAAAUCUGAACUGUAGACAGCAGUAUUGAUAAUUAUCAAUAUUCUUUAUAUAAGAGAAUAAACAACGUCAUAGUGAUCGUCGCCUACAAGAAAGGUACAUUUCCCAACAAGAUGUAGUUGUGACUGGUACAUGGACGUAAUUAACUCGUAGAAAAGGAUAAGACCAGUGCACGGCAGCUCUUAUUUUACAUGCUAAUUAUGCUAACCAAAGUCACUCAGUUGGGAUGGGAGGGAGAUGGAGGUUUGUGCGGUGGCUUGUGGGGCGGAGUUGGUGGCUUCUUUUCAGGAGCUUGUGGCUUUUUCGGAGCUGAAGGAGGCUCAAUCUUAUGAGGCGGCUUGUACGAGUCUUCUUUACUCUCGACAGGAGGGUGGCCAGGGUUGUGACCAUAAUGUGGUGGCUUCUCUCCCUUAGGUGGCUUGCCAACUGGGGUUGGUGGCUUGUGUUCAGGAAGUGGUUUCUCUCCCUUGGGAGGUUUACCAAUUGGGGUUGGUGGCUUGUGUUCUGGGAGUGGUUUCUCUCCCUUGGGAGGUUUAGUGGGUGACUUGUGUUCUGGAGGUGGCUUCUCCACCGGAGGCUUGUGCUCCGGUGGUGGCUUCUUGGUUGGAGGGGGCUUGGGGUAAUCAGCAAGAGAUGGGGGGGUGAGAACCACCACUCCAAGGAACAACACUAGCAAGUAUGUGGGAGACAUUUCUGAGUUUGAGCUGAUCAGAUGAUGCAAAACUAGAAGAAUUACGUGACCUUUUAUAGCAAGUAGCUCCCAAUACCCACAUGACACGUGUUACUGUGACCAUAAAUAUUAUAGGGUCCAUUUGUGCCCUACCGGGUUGAAAACUUGGACGCUUGGCCGAGGACACACCGAACUAUGGAGGACUAUUGACGUGUGAUCACAGCUUUUGGAUUUUUCUUCCUGUGCAGCUGUCUAGCGGUUGGCAUUAUUUUUUUAAUCUUAAAUAAAGGCAUAGUUAUAGAGUACAUUUAUAUAUCUUCAGAUAGCCAUUAAUAUAUUUGAUGAAGAAAGACAAGUGCAUACAACAUGUAUACGGCUUGCUUCAAUCGAGUACAUUUAUGAUCAGUUUUCCAGUGCAAGUAAACCAGUUUUUUGUUCCACAACUAUUUUGGAAUCUUGUUUAUCAGUUUCUAUCAUUAUAAUGUCACAUAGGCUGCAAACUUGGGCACCCAAAGAUCUAGUUGGGCAAAUUUGUUUCAGAAUUUCAAUGGUGGAUUCAGUAAUUGUUAAAAGGUGUUUCUUCAUUAAGGAAAGAGUCCUGUAAAAAUAUUGUUAAAAGGUGUCAUAGAAACUAUAAUAAUUAAAUAACUUCUUUUCCCCGUGGGUGGUGUUUCUUCUGGGGAUACCCAAAAUGAGUUCAGAUUAAAAUUGGUUCGAGUCAAAGCUGUCUCUUUUGUCCAGAAAUCAACUAUUUUGCGCAUUGCAUGAAUCGAUAAAGAAAAAAUGAAAGCCAAAUCACACCUCCCCUGCAAAACCUAAACCCCGGUUGCUAACUUUCUAUGUUUCAGUCCUAUUCAUACAGGAAUAUUGGUUCAAGUUUGAGAAAAAUGGCAACUUACCUAGGGAUUACUUGGUUGUGGUUUGCGACGACUAUUUACGCAACCAACCAUGAGUUUGACUUUAACGUCAUGGGUUGAAGCCUCCUACAAUCGUGUAUGAUAGUUCAAAGCUCGUAGUAGAAAUUAUACAGGAAGGAAGAAACCUCCAAAGCUAGCUCCAAAAGAGAAUUAUCACAUCGAUAGCUCCAGAGAUUCCCAAGGGGACUGAAUCAAAGACAAGUUCCUCACUUUUUCUUCUUUUGAGGCCAAAUAUGAACCAAGGAUCACACGACCUCAUUCAACUUCAUAAGUUUGAUUUCAUGCAGUUGAACACUGGGUGAAGGCCAUGACAAGAAUUGAUUAAAAAAUUCUACCACUGUUUUAAGUAAUGGAAGAUUAUUAUCUCUGAUUGGCACCACAACAGCACAUGCUGCUAGAUCUUUCUAGACACUCCAUGCAAUGAAAGUACAAUGGAUCUUGUAACGAUAGAAACUAAGCCAUGCUACAGUACUAGAUGACGAGGUAAAACUAUUAGACAUGGGUGGCAGCCUAUAUGGGAGGGACACAAGUCUAAUUGAUUUGCAUUUCAGCGUUCUAGAUGGGUAUGUUUUGGAAGAUUUGUUCUGGAAAUACCGCACCAAGUAGGAUUCUUUUUUCUCUUGAGUGGGUCCACUUGCAUGCCAAUUAUCGAGUUGAAAAGUAGAGCACCUACCUCGUGCUCGUGGAACCGAAGGUCAGUGAAGUGGGGCUCCUUUUGGCCUCUUGUGUUUCUGUUCCAACCAAGGCGGCGGAGGGAAAAACAGCAAUAUGUCUCCGCUAAAUAUCAACGCAUGAUAGCGAAUGAGGGAGAAAAAAAGUAAUUGGCAUCUCAAUCUCACAAACUUGGUACAGUAGUGACAUUAAUAGUCUUCCACAUGGUUUUUAUUUUAUUUUAUUUUAUAUUUUAUAUUUUCCAUUUUUUUAUUUUUUUGUAUGUCAAGGCUAAUGAAUAAAAUGCGUUAGCUUGUUUUGUGAUUGGAACUGCAAAUGUCCAAAUUGGAGUUUCUCCAUUUCUCAGUUCGGAUGGUUAACUUUAUAAACAAGAUAUAGGAAACAUGUGAACGUCUUGAGGAACAAUUCGAAUUAUUGAUUAGAACUCCUAGGUUGAGUUCCAAGAUUUAAAUCAGACCCCUCUAGCAGCUUCAGGGGUACCUAGCAAUUAGAACAUAUUAAUGAAGAUUUAGGAUUUAGACUCCGGAAUACAAAUUAAUAUGUAUCUUAUGCUCUGACUAGCUUCCCUGCAUAUGCACAAAAUGGAGAUGACCCAAAAAAUAGCAGAAUCGCCUUAGUUUAUGUGGUUAAGGUGAUUCUCCGGUUAAUAUCCACAUUGGCUCAUUAUGCAAAUCAACUGAGCUAUUUUUUUUUUAAUGUCAAAUAGGAACUCCUAAUUAACCUAACCAUUGGCCUGUGUAAAUUGAUUUCACAUGCACAAUGUUGUAGUAGAAGUCCACAUUUUGAAUUUUAUUUUUGGAAAGGUAAGGAAAAUGAAGCAUUGUGUAAUUAUAAAAAUAACUUCAUUGGAAUUCACAAGGUUCACCCAAAAUGGAGCUACAUCCGUAUUCUAUCUUACAGUAGACUAUAUAGAUUGUACAAUAGUAAAUUGCAAAUACAAUUAAUAAGUCUUGUGUUUCCUUACUAAUAAUCCUUUGACAUAAACAUUGCAGCACUAAGGUCCUCUUGGGCAGACACCUUGCACCCAUGAGAGCACUAAGAGGAAGCAAGGCGGAGUCAUGGGUGCAAUGUCAUGACUUGUUGCACUAAGAGAGGCUUGGUGAUGGCAUAGUGCUGCAGUAGCAAGAAUGUUGCCUUGGCAGGGACACGAUCUAGGGACAGAUGCCAAGAAAGGCUUAGCACUCACAUGAGUUGCACAAAGAUGAAUGAAAUAGAACAUCAAAGAGACAUCUUGGCAAGCUCAAGAAAGACAUGUGGGUUGGUAAAUGAAUGGAUGCAAGAGGCAACAACAUGAGGAGUUUCAAAUGGAUAGGGAAUGAGUCAAAGACAUUUGAAAGCUACAAGUUGGAUUCUAAUUACGAUUGCAAUUUGAGUUUGAGUAGGAGUUUAUAUUAUGAUUGUAAUUGUAGUAUGAGUUGGACUAGGAUUGCUUAUCCCUAGUCAAAAUAGGAGUUGUUCAUGCCACACCCUAUGAAAAGAGUUUGAGUAGGGACUAGGAUUGCUUGCUCCUAGUCAAAUAUGGAGUAGGUGGUGCCACACCUAUAAAAAAAAAAGGGACAACAUGAGAGAGAGAGAGAAUGAAUUCACCAAAGAUAUUGUGGGAGUUUUGCUUUGUUACAUCUUGUAUUAUUAUUUAGAAUAGUAAUAAAAUACAAGUUGGGGCUAGAGCCCCAUAAUCUCGUGUGCCUUUGUGGGUUAUUCUUUAUUUGCCAUCUCGUGUGGAUUGGAUUAGAUUGAUGAGGCGAAAUAUUAUGUGGGAAAUUUAUGUUGGGACACUUACCAUAACCAGGUAAAAUCUACCAAGUCUUUUGUAAUAUCUUCUACAAAUAUUUUAGACCAGUUCUUCACAAAACAUCAUAAUAUGUUUUGUGUUUCUCUUGGAUUUUGAGUUGAAUUGUCUUAGAUCAAUUGAAUGCAUCUCAAUAUUAUUAUCUUGUUUGAAGGCUUGAUGAUUUUCCAUUUAACUUUACUUUCUUUAGGUUAUGCUUGAUUCCUUAAAAGUACUAAGGAAAACAAAAAAUAAAAAAAAAUAAAAAAUGCAGAGGGUUAGGACAUGUGUUAUCUAAUUGUCCUAUCCAAAGAUAUUAAGAAAGUCAUGUAGGAAAGUAAUUGAAAACUAGGUCAAGAAAGGAGCAAAAGGGAAUUGUUUUGGUAUUUUCUUUUUUAUUCUUGAAGGUGGCAGAGCUAAAAUUUGAGAAAUCAAGCAAAACAUACUGAAAUUACAUUGAAAGAAAGAAAAUGGUAGUUAAUGUCUUGCAGUACAUGAUAAGGACUUCAUGCAUGUAGUGUGACGACCCAUGUCUUGGACUGAUGCCACACUCACGGUUACACUUAUACCCUUGGUUCUCUCUUUACUACCUUGGCUAACCUAGAUCAGGCUAUGAGAUAGGCUCCUCACCACACCAUCACUUGCCCAGUAAUUAGUGACAUUUUCAAGCAAUGAGGUAACAUGGUGACACCAAGAGGGUUUAUCCCUCGCCCCAACAAGUCUAGACUCGGUCUCAAAAAAAUGGAGAAAAAUGAGGUGUCGUUAUGCAGAAAUACAACAACCAUGCCUUCCUUAUUACUUAGAUUCAGAAUGUGAAGGUGAAAUUGAGAAACAGAAACUCUUGAAACCAGAAUGAAAAUUGAUACUUUUACGAAGAAUUACAACAUUAGAGGAAGACUACAUUCUUCCUCUAUAUUCCUACGUUUCUACACUACUUCUACUCCACUCCAUAUUUCUACAUACAUCUUUAAUCAGUUUUCCCUCCUUUAUAUAGAGCCAUCUUCACACAAAUUCCGCAAGGUAGAAAAGAGGAAUGAAACUUGGAGCAAGGUUCGACUACUGGUUGUCGCUUGUCAAGGCUGGAAUUGAACUUUUUUUCUUGGCUUUUCUGGGCAUAGGUAGUAACUUGUGGUUCCUUUUUGGAAUGAAAAUGGUACAGCUAGAACAUGUGGCACUCUCUUGUUGGAUUAUGUGUCAAACAUGUGGCAGCCAUCUAGUGGAGAUUAUUUCAAUUUUGGGAUGGAGAGUUGGCAUCCAAUUGCAAAGAAAUAUGACAUCUACCAACAUGCAAUGUAAACCUAUAUAGAUCAUAUGGAGAUAGAGAGGAAACAUAUAGAAAUGGAUAUAUACCUAGAACUAGCUUUUUAUUAAAUGAGACGGAGAGCCAACAAUGAAGGAAAAUCAAAAUUUUUGGCUCAUAUCAAAGAAUUCACAUUGUGUUACCCUAGGUUUUCUUAAAGCUUGCACAAAGCCAAAAAGCACACAAAAAAUUAUAUUUUCUAGCUCUCUACCUUGGAUGGUCUCUUGAUCCUACUUGGAGAUGUGCAUAAAUAAAAGGAUUUGAAAAUGACAAUUGACUAAGUAUGUAGUCAAUCAAUUACUCAUUAAUUGACUAGUUGAUCAAUUAACUUUGCAACAUCAUAUGCAAUCCUAAUAGCUAGUCAUCUAAUCAACUAGGUAGUAAAUCAAUAGGCCAAAAAUAUGUUUAUAAUGACUAUUUUGUACAAAAACCACCUAUAUGGUUAAAUAUAAUGCAUUUCAUUUAUAAAUCUUCUAAUUCUUGAAUAACGAUCCUAUCAUCCUUUGAAAGUUUUUAUUACACCUUUUAUACUUUUGUUCUAAAACUUACACAUGUACAUCACCCUUAAUUGUACCAUGAGAACCUAGCUUUUUUUUUUUUUUUUUUUGUAAUUCAUCAAAGUUAGCUUUUGUAUUCAUUACUGUACUAUUUUUAUUGUAACUUAGAAAGCGAGUGUUUUCAAGUGAGUGAAAUUGACUUAUAAAUAUUGUAAAGAUUCAUUGAUGUGUAUCUUAAACUAAGUGUACAAGUUGAAACAUUUGCUAGUAGAUUUUCUCAAGAUUUAGAAUAGAGCUUGAGGCUAUUGAAAUAGGUGGGGUUGCACCAAACCACAUCACAUUGUUGUUUGCACCUUUUUUUCACUCUCUUUUACUUAGUUGCUCUAUAUUUGUUGUCUAGUAAUAUCCUAUAGGCUUGAUGGGUUAGGGAGCAUCCCUUUGUGAAAAAUUUUCAUUCAAUCCUUAGUUGUAUCACGCAUAUAUAAAAUGCCUCAUUGUUUUAAUGGUAUUCAGUCGUGGCAUCACAGAUAUGGGCAUCUAAAUUUUAAAAGUUUGAAACUUUUAUCUAAAGAAAAUAUGGUGCUUUGCCUUUUUGUAAAGCAUGUUGAUGAAAUCCAUGAGAAUUGUGUACUUGGGAAGCAACAUCGAGAUGACUUUUUUUUUUUUCAUUUUUUAUAAUGCGACACCUAAGUCCGGUUUCUAAAUGCUGAAGUGAAAGGGUAGGUAUGGACCAUUGAAAUCUGAUCACAACUUUUGGCCUUUUCCUUUCUCUGCAGCCAUGUUGUCUCUUUUUUCUUUUGCAUGAUUUUCUUACCUAAACAGAAUCAUAGACUUGUUUAAUCUCUAAAUGGUAUUUCAUCCAGCUUUAAGCUACUGUAUUAUAUCUUGGUGGAGGACUUUUAAGAGUGAAACCGACAUAGAGCACAUGCAAGUGGGUAUAUGGGACAUGAAAUUUCUUCUUAUAAAGACUGCAUGGUUUUUAUAUUAGAGUUGUUGAGGCGCAAUGUAUUUAGCUUGUUUUGCAGUUAAAUUAAUUGGAUAAGUAGACAUUGUCGUUUCUAAAUUUCCCACCUAAGAUAGUGACCUUAUCCUUGACUGCUUGAUGAGAUACACAAACAAUUAUACCUUCAAAAUCUACUGUGAAGUGCUUCAUGUAUGUGUGAAGUAUUAGAAAUUUCUUUCUUGGCAACUUGUUUUUUCUUUGCCCUCUACUGAUAGGUUUGACUCAAAUUAAAUUCCCUGUCAUGCUAAUUAAUUUUCACGUGCAUGCUCAAAAGGAUCACGUCAACUCUGGUUUCUACUAUUCAGGUCCAUUCCCAGAUAAACUGGUUCAAAUUUGAGAAAAUGGCAACAGCCCUUUAGUGAUGUUGGUUUGGAGCCAGUAGCCAAACCCGCCCUGAGCUUUACCACUAAUGUCAAGGGACAAAGCCAUUUGAACAAAAACAAUAGCUUCAAGAGACUGAAUCGUGGAUGAAAUCUGAUCCACAUUUCUUCUCAUUUUGGGAACAAAUGAGAACUUAACUACAAAGAUUCUACUGCCUCAUAGUGCUUUUCCUGAUCUAAGGUUGGUUCGUUUCCCAAAUUGUGAGGUACGUGCCAUUCUCACGCUCAGGAGUGUAUCCACGUGGUGGACAUAAGAUGGUGGCUUAAUAUCUGGUGUCGGUGGCUUUACUUUACUAGGAGAGUAGUGUGUCUUCAUCUCAUUCACUGCCGGAGGGUGGCGUAAGCAGUGACGCUAAGGUGGGGCACAGUCAAUAUCAUUUGCAUUUGACCAUUAUAGUUUUCUCCCGGCUUGAAAGUAACCUUAUCGUGAUAAAGGAUUACUAGCACUAGUUCAGAUGACAGUCAUGUUAAAUUCGGACCAUGUUUGUGUCACAUUAUCAGCAACCAUGUGUUUAUGGUUCAUGCUAUCUGCAACUAAACUUGAUAUAUAACCACGUGAACUUCAAUCUAAAUUCUGGAAGUACUCUUGUGAUAGAUGGUGCCUGUCUGCAGAGUCCAUCAAUUGAAAAAUGGAGUGAGUGUAUCUAUAAGAGGGAAGGCUUGGCAAAUGUUCAGUUUUCUGGGAACUCAACAAGGAUCUAAAAUAGAUUGUUUUCUUUGCUGAUUUCAAUGGUUGAAAUUUGAGAAGAUUGUGUCCACAUAACACAACUAUUACUGGUCCUUCUGUUGCAAUUUAUCCUCUAAGGCUCUAACAUGUCUUCCAAUUCCCACUUCCCUGUUACUCCAGGAAAGCUAUUUCUGUCAUUGUGAAGAAGAAAAGAGAAUGUACAUAUCGAUGGUUUUAAGUGACUGGGGCAUUCAUAUCAGGUGGUCUGCAGCCAUAUAUGCCACUUUGUGAAGGUUGGAACAGUCAAUCACCAGGCUAUAUUAGUGUGGCCCAGCCACUUCAAUCAAGGACAAGUCUUCAUACUUAAAGUCAAAUUCUGCCUUUAGUCUCAUUAUAAAUUGCUGUUUAAAUAUUAAGCAAACAUUUGUUUAAUGCGAUUAAGACAGUACUAACUCAAUACUUGUUCUAUUUUUGGAUGCAAAUGCUUGAUGGUUUCAUCAUUGGAUGGGAUAAAGGUGCAUUCAUGAUUAUGAAUACUUGUAGUUAUAUUUUCAUUCUCUUUUUUCUCAAUGAGACUUGUUGGCACAAUUUUGCUGUUCAGAAACCUACCUCUCCAUCGAAAAUCAGUUGUGAUUGAUAGUACUGGAUAUAUUCAAGAAAGCUAAAUAUAGAUAGCACCAAAUAUUAUCGAUAUAAAUAGCAUUAACAGCGUACGUAUGUCUCAAUGCUCAUCAGCUAUAAGCAACGGGCAAACACUUACUAUGAGCAACUUGCGUCAAAAUUCCAGAAUAGGACAUAGAAGUGACAGAUCUAUAUAUAUAUAGAACACUGCAUAUGAGUCACAAGAAAGGAAAUUACGGGUGCAUAGCAGCUCUUAUUUUACAUCCUACUCAUACUGAUCAAAGUCACUCAGUUGGGAUGGGUGGGAGUAGGAGGUUUGUGGGGUGGCUUGUGCGGAGGAGUUGGCAGCUUCUUUCCAGGACCUGGUUGCUUCUCUGCUGGAGUUGAAGGAGGCUUAAUCUUCCGAGGUGGCUUGUAUGAGUCUUCAGCAUUCUCAGCAGGAGGGUGACCAGGGUUGUGACCAUAAUGUGGUGGCUUCUCUCCCUUAGGUGGUUUGCCAACUGGGGUUGGUGGCUUGUAUGAGUCUUCAGCAUUCUCAGCAGGAGGGUGACCAGGGUUGCGACCAUAAUGUGGUGGCUUCUCUCCCUUAGGUGGUUUGCCAACUGGGGUUGGUGGCUUGUGUUCUGGGAGUGGCUUCUCCCCCUUGGGAGGUUUUUCCAAUGGGGUUGGUUUGUGUUCAGGAGGUGGCUUCUCCACUGGAGGCUUGUGUUCAGGAGGUGGCUUCUCCACCGGAGGCUUGUGUUCAGGAGGUGGCUUCUCCACCGGAGGCUUGUGUUCAGGAGGUGGCUUCUCGAAUGGGGGAUGCUCAGGGUAAUCAGCAAGUGAGGGGUUGGUGAGAACCACCAUGCCAAGCAACAGGACUAGCAAGUAUGUAGGAGACAUCUUUGGGUUUGGACUUAAGACAGUGGAAAACUGCGAGAAUUCUCUAGCCUUUUAUAGCGGGUCGACCCAGUACUCACAUGACACGUGUCAUUAUGACACAUGUGCCAUGGGGUCGAUUUGGGUCCUACAGUGUUGAAAAGUUGGGCAUUUGAGGUGUGAGCACAACUUUUGGCCUUUGCUUUCUCUACAGCCGCCAUGCUUUUCCCUUUUUUCCUUUUCCUUUUGUUUUCCUCCUGCCUCGUGUUCUCAACUAAACACAAUUAGGUUGUUUAAUUGUUAAAUGAGAUUUUUGUCUGUCAAUCAUAUUAUAUCCUAUCAAGAGAGAACAGAGUGUAAUGUAGUACACAUAACACGAGGCAGUAGUAAUUUUAUCAUUUAUUUUUAUAGCUUGGACCACCGCAUUUUUUCUUCUAAAAUAUUCUGUCUUGUUAAGAGACGCAAUAAUACACAAUUUUAUCUGCCAUUCAACAUUUACUGUAAAGUUCUUUUAUCUCUUUGUAGUUCUAGAAAAGUACAAAAUGGAACAUCAUGUAUAUGGUGCCUUCUGUCCUAAAAAAGAAACUGGACAAAUUAUGAACUGCAUGCUAAAAAGAGGCAAAGGAGCUUAAUUCGCAGCAUAAUUAUUUUGGUUUCUAGAGAGCCCGGGGCCUUUUGGUUGGUUUGGGGUCAGAAAAUGAACAUCAUAGGGAUUGUGCCCUUAACUGGCCUUGUUACUACAAAGAAAUUGCCAUAGAAAUUUAUUCCAGGCUGAGUAUCUCCGGAUAGACCCCAGAAAAGAAGAGUCAUAAUGAGAAUCAACCUUUGUUGAGUUUGAUUCCAUGCCUCCAUUGUGUUCAUUUCAUGAAUCUGAUUUGCAUUUAACAUUACAGUUUUGUUCUGGAAACAAUCAAAGGAGCAUCGUUUGCUUCUUGGGUGACCCAUAGUGGUGGGUGGGUCGAUUUGCUUAGUUGAAAAUUGGACAAUUGGCUCCAUCGCCUACCUCUUGGAUUCCAUGCUCGGAUAAAACGACAACAAAUAAAUAUUUAUAACUUACAACUGGGGAAAGGAAAAAAUAGUACUAAAUUCAUGGUACAUGAUAGUGAGAGAAGGGGGUGUUACACUCAGCUAAAGUUCUUUUCUAAAUAUUGCAUGGUGUUUAAUUUUAUGUGUCGGCGCGCGUGUGAAUGGAACCUGCAAAAGUCCAAAUUGGCGUUUCUCCAUUUUCCACAUAGGAUGGUGACGUUAAUAGACAAAGAUACAAUAUCUGUAGACAUUGCUUAAAAAUCGAUGUGAAGUAUUAGAAAUUACAGGCCACUGUACUGGGGGAGCGGCUGCCCCGCCAAAGGAAGAAUGUAGCAAUUUCUUCUGUUAGCCAGGCCUUAGGAUUUAUGCAUGGGAUGCCUAAUAACAAACAGAGAAAAUAUGCUUUUGGGGAAGGUAUCCAACAACAGACACCAUCAUUCAGAUGGUGGGAAGGUAUCCAACAGAUGCCAUCAUUCAGAUGGUAACAUAUAUAUACAUUUAUUAGUGAGUUUUUUUAAUACCUAUAAAAAAAAUAUACACUUUGAUAUUGUGGCUGAAUCCAUUACAUACUCAACUAACCUUGCUCAUUAGGGAUUUGACGUAACAAGGGCAACGUUGCAGUAAAAGCUCGAAACUUUAUGCAGGUGACAUUACAUUUGGUAAAGAAGAGGAAAAUAAGGAAAGCCAUCCAUAAAAGCAAAAUUCCUCAUGGGAUGAAAUUCACAAACUUCAUUUACGUUAGAGUCGCAUCCAGGCAAUUAAUUCCACAUUAGACCGCCUUUUGACAUGUGUACGGAUCUUUUUUCAAAAAUUAUUUAUAAAUAAUUGAUACUUACAAAAAUAAUUUAAGAUUUAUAAAGGAUAAAAAAAUAUUUUCAAAUCUAUGACAAUUUAUAAAAUAUUAAUAAAAAAUUAUCUCUUAAACUUAGUAUAGUUUUAUCGUAUUAAACUUUUAUUUUGAACAAAUAAUUUUAAUCUAAGUUUUAAAUUCUAAAAUUAUUUCCUUAAAAUAAAAUUUUAAAAUUCAACACUUCAAUUGAAAUUGUCUUUUAAAAAAAAUAUCUUCUUAUUUUAAUCCUUAUAAACUAUAGUUGAUUGAAAAUACUAUUGAAGUUCUCUCUUCAAAAAAAGUCUUAUUUUAAUCUUCAUAAAUUGCCCUUGAUUUGAAAAUAAACUUUGGGUUAUCAUAUUUUAAAUAAUAUAUAUAUAUAUAUAUAUAUAUAUAUAUAUAUAUAACAAAUACUCUAUUUUUUUUUUAAAUGAACUAAUUUUAAUUAUAUUUUAUUUUAUUUUUUUAUAUAUUUUUAAUGAUAAACCAAACAUAGAAAAUCAUUUUUCUAAAUAUUUUAAAAUUUCUAAGCAACCAAACAUAAUCUUCAAAAUAAAAGGAGAAUAAGGAGGGACAAGUGAGAAAUGGCGAUUAAAAAAAAGUGUACAAAAGCUCAAUUAAUUUUCUUCUAGUCUUUUAUAUAAAAAAGUAUUGGUAUGUAAAUUAAUAUUUGGAUUUUAAUAGUAUUUUAUUUGUCUUUCUCUAUCUCAUGUAAAAGAGAAUUUAAGAUAUUUCCUAAAGCAAAGCAUUAGUUAUCUGCAAUCAGUGGUGAUCAUGGUCCAUGUCAAUUUCGGACCCAUAUCUUAAAACCGUAUAAUUUGCGUUUCAACAUUACUGAUUUCUCAGAUGUUUCAUACUCCACAGAAGAGUAUUGUUAGUGAAAGCAUUUUGUAACUGUUACUCAUAGUGUUUUGACUCUGGCUCAACAACAUCAGCCAUUGACGGAUUUUCAUACAUGCAAAUCAAAUAGUCUUCUUCCUCCCUUAGGAAUUUCGGUUUAAAUGUUAUUAAGCAUACAUUUGGCUGACAAUUAUUAACCACUUCAUGAUAUGGUUUCUUACCCUUAAUCAAUGGUUUCUAAGUGAAUAUAUGCAGAAGGAAAUCUGAACUGUAGACAGCAGUAUUGAUAACUCUCAAUAUUCUUUAUAUAAGAGAAUAAACAACGUCAUAGUGAUCGUCGCCUACAAGAAAGGUACAUUUCCCAACAAGAUGUAGUGGUGACUGCUACAUGGACGCAAUUAACUCGUAGAAAAGGAUAAGACCAGUGCACGGCAGCUCUUAUUUUACAUGCUAAUUAUGCUAACCAAAGUCACUCAGUUGGGAUGGGAGGGAGAUGGAGGUUUGUGCGGUGGCUUGUGGGGCGGAGUUGGUGGCUUCUUUUCAGGAGCUUGUGGCUUUUUCGGAGCUGAAGGAGGCUCAAUCUUAUGAGGCGGCUUGUACGAGUCUUCUUUACUCUCGACAGGAGGGUGACCAGGGUUGUGACCAUAAUGUGGUGGCUUCUCUCCCUUAGGUGGCUUGCCAACUGGGGUUGGUGGCUUGUGUUCAGGAAGUUGUUUCUCUCCCUUGGGAGGUUUACCAAUUGGGGUUGGUGGCUUGUGUUCUAGGAGUGGUUUCUCUCCCUUGGGAGGUUUAGUGGGUGACUUGUGUUCUGGAGGUGGCUUCUCCACCGGAGACUUGUGUUCUGGAAUUGAUUAAAAAAAUUCUACCACUCUUUUAAGUAAUGGAAGAUUAUUAUCUCUGAUUGGCACCACAACAGCACAUGCUGCUAGAUCUUUCUAGACACUCCAUGCAAUGAAAGCACAAUGGAUCUUGUAACGAUAGAAACUAAGCCAUGCUACAGUACUAGAUGACGAGGUAAAACUAGUAGACAUGGGUGGUAGUUGAUUACUACUCAAAAAGUACUCUUUUAUAGUUUGAAACUAACUGUUUUAAACACUUUUGAGUAGUAGUUAAUAAAUUUUAACUCAAUUGGCACAUUAAGGAACCUAGCAAGGGUUACUAAUAAACUUUUGGCAAGUUUUGGUGUUUUUGGUAGUUAUUCGAUCAUUGAAACAAGCCAAGAAUGAGGGAGAAUUUUGUGAAGUCCAUGGCAAUGCAAGUUAAAGCUCAAAUACACGAAGAAUCCAAGCUUUGGAGCACUACAUAGCCCUUUGCCAAGCCAAUUAGAGAUGCAAGGAACAAAACCAAAGGAAGAAAUCCAACAACCAACAUUUUCGCAUGGUUGUGUGAAAUUUCGCACACCAUGCGAAACCACAAGAGGUAGCCAAAGAAUUUCACAUGGUAUGCGAAAUCUUCUCAUGCACCGACUCCGUUAGAUUUUUAUCUUCAGAUAUUUUGUGUAAUUUCCUAGUUUCUCCUUGUAACCAACCUAGAUAUUUUCUUUUAUAUCUUUUUUUAUAUUUUUUAGGUAACAUCAUAUAUAAGGGGAGAGACAUAAGGAGGAUAUGGAUGUUUUUCAUAGAACACUUGUAAAUUUUCAGUAGUAAGAAAUAUACAAAGCUUUUUGCUAUGCCUUACCUUCUCAUUUUGUUUUCACCUGUCUUUCUAGCCAAACAACCUCUAAGGAUGAUUUCUCAGGGGAUGAGUGGCUAGGUUUUACGUUUCUUGGAGUGAGGGAAGCUAGGUGAAGGACCUGAAUGCAAAGAUGAGAGUUUUCCUUGCUUUAAAUGAAAGUAGUUGUUAAACAUUAAUGGUUUUUAUUUUAAGGUUUAGCUUUAAAUCCCUUAAAAACACCUUGAAUGACCAAUACUUGGUAAGCUUUUCGGAUUCUAUGGAUGCUUAUUGCUAGAUCCAUGGAUGUCUAUUAGUUAUCAUUUACGAGCCUUUGGAAGGUGAUUCAAGGUGAGGGUCUUUAGUGUUUGAAGCCAUUAAUGGGAAGCAAUUACCAUUUUUUCAUGAAUCCUUUGGAUCAAAUCUUAAUUGCUAAAUAUAAAACCGAUUUGGGAAAUAACCAUCCUUUAUGUUAUUAUCCCCAACGCAAGGAGAAGAUCCGGAAUCUUCCCUUUUGUCUAAGGAACCCGAUCCUAGUGACCUAAAGCUCCAAGAGACCUUUUCUUUGUAGUUAACUUCAUUUAUUGUUUUUGCUUAACUUAAAAUCAAUCUUUGCAACCACAAUUCCAUUUUCUUUAAAAGCUAAUUUUUAUAAGGAAAAACACCAUUUUAUUUCCUUCACUAAGUCAACUGUACGAUGAAAACCCAUCCCUGUGGACGAUCCUAGAGCCAUUAUACUAUGUUAGCUAUGCUACCCUAGUGUGAGGUGAUUUAGGUUUUAUAAAUUUUGUUGAUAACACCCAUCUGAGCCAGAAUCAAAUGGCACAACUGAACCAGGGACGAAUCAAAUGGCGCCGCUAUCGAGGAUGGUGCCAAAGUACAUUGACAUGACUUUUGGUGAACACUUGUGAUCUUCAUCACAAGUUUGGUGAUUUUUCUAUUACUAAUUUUUUUCUUUGUUUUUAUUUUAGCUUAUCUUUUAUUUAGUUUUUAGCUAACCUUAACUUUUUCUUAGAAUUGUAUUUCUUCUAUUUUCUUUGUUUUUGUUUCAGUGAUCUUUAGUUGUGCAUGCCCUAUUGGAUAAGAAAUAUUGAGGGAAUACUUGUGAAGAUUGAAAAUCCUCGAGAAACUGAGUUGGAAGUGUGAUUGAACAUCAUGGAUGUUCCACCUGAAGACCAGAAUAGCCAACAUGGUUAAGAGGAUAAUUUCAAAGCAUACCGAUCCAUGAGGGACUGCAUGCAUCCACCUCGUAUGAGUGCACCGUCAUGCAUAGUGCCUCCCACUGAGCAACUAGUAAUCUGACCUCACAUUGUGCCACUCCUACCUACUUUCCAUGGGAUGGAGAGUGAGAAUCUCUACUCGCAUAUUAAGAAAUUCGAGGAGGUUUGUAAUACAUUCCAAGAAGGAGGAGCUUCAAUUGACUUGAUGAGGCUCAAGCUAUUUCCUUUCACUUUGAAGGAUAAGGCUAAGAUUUGGCUUAAUUCUUUAAGGCCAAGGAGUAUCCGAACUUGGACUAAUUUGCAAGCCGAUUUUCUUAAGAAGUUCUUCCUUACCCAUAGGACCAAUGGUUUGAAAAGGCAAAUUUCGAACUUCUCAGCUAAAGAGAAUGAGAAAUUCUAUGAGUGAUGGGAGAGGUACAUGGAAGCUAUUAAUGCUUGUCCUCACCAUGGCUUUGACACAUGGCUCUUAGUGAGUUAUUUUUACGAUGGUAUGUCUUCUUCAAUGAAGCAACUCCUAGAAACUAUGUGUGGAGGAUACUUCAUGAGUAAGAAUCCGAAGGAAGCCAUGGACUUUUUGAGUUAUGUGGCUGAAGUUUUAAGAGGAUGGGAUGAACCAAAUGCUAGAGAGGUGGAAAGAAUGAAGUCUCAACCUAAUGCUAAGGGUGGGAUGUAUGUUUUGAAUGAAGACAUUGACAUGAAAGCAAAGGUUGUAGCUAUGGCAAGGAGAUUGGAAGAGCUAGAAAUGAAGAAGGCACAAAAAGUGGAAGCCAUUUCUGAGACAUCAGUGCAAGCUAUGCCUUGUUCCAUUUGUCAACCUAAUGCUAAGGGUGGGAUGUAUGUUUUGAAUGAAGACAUUGACAUGAAAGCAAAGGUUGUAGCUAUGGCAAGGAGAUUGGAAGAGCUAGAAAUGAAGAAGGCACAAAAAGUGGAAGCCAUUUCUGAGACAUCAGUGCAAGCUAUGCCUUGUUCCAUUUGUCAAUCUUAUGAGUACCUAGUGGAGGAGUGUCCUACAAUUCCAGUAGUGAGAGAGAUGUCUGGUGAUCAAGCAAAUGUUAUUGAUCAAUUCAAGCCUAAUAAAAAUGCUUCAUAUGGCAACACCUACAAUUCAAAUUGGAUGAACCAUCCAAAUUUCUCUUGGAAACCAAAGCUACCUCAAUACACACAACCUGCUCAAGCACCUUAGCAAUCCUCGAAUCUUGAACAAGCUAUUGUGAACCUUAGUAAGGUUGUGGGAGAUUAAAAGUCCAUCAAUGCUCAACUGAAUCAGAGAAUUGACAGUGUAGAGAGUACAUUGAACAAAAGGAUGGAUGAGAUGCAAAAUGAUCUGUCUCAAAAGAUAGACAAUGUCCAAUAUGCAAUCUCAAGGCUUACCAACCUCAACACAGUGCAAGAGAAAGGAAAGUUUAUUUCUCAACCUCAUCAAAAUCCCAAGGGUAUCCAUGAAGUGGAGGCUCAAGAGAGAGAAUCUUCAAAGGUGAGGGAAGUCAAAGCAGUUAUCACCUUGAGGAGUGGUAAAGAGGUUGAUCAACCCACAUCCAAGCCAAAGCAUAAUGAAGAGAGUUUUGUAGAAAAAGAAAAGAGAGGAAAAUAAAGGAAAGAGAAUAGAGAAAAGUACAAAGAAAGAUGACCAUGAGUCUAGUGUGGAUGAAGAGCCCAAGAGGAUAGUGAUCAAGGAAAAUAUGAUGAAGAAACACAUGCCUCCACCUUUCCCCUAAGCUUUGCAUGACAAAAAAGGAACCAAUAAUACAUCGGAAAUUUUUGAAGUAUUGAGGCAAGUGAAGGUCAAUAUCCCUUUGCUAGAGAUGAUCAAACAAGUGCCGACAUAUGCAAAAUUCUUGAAGGACUUGUGCACUGUAAAGAGAGGGUUGAAUGUGAACAAGAAAGCUUUCUUGACCGAGCAAGUGAGUUCCAUCAUACAGUGCAAGUCUCCAGUGAAGUACAAAUAUCCGGGCUACCCUACCAUCUCAGUGAGUAUUGGAGGUACUUGUGUGGAAAAAGCUUUGUUGGACUUGGGAGCAAGUGUGAAUUUGCUACCCUACUCUGUCUAUAAGUAGUUGGGACUUGGAGAGUUGAAGUCAACAUCCAUCACCCUAUCUCUGGCAGAUAGAUCAGUGAAGAUUCCAAGAGAGAUGAUAGAAGAUGUCUUGGUUCAAGUUGACAAAUUCUACUAUCCAGUGGAUUUUGUUGUUCUUGAUACGGAUCCGAUUGUCAAAGGAACUAAUUAUGUUCCUAUCAUACGAAGACCCUUCCUAGCUACAUCAAAUGCAAUCAUCAAUUGUAGGAAUGGAGUCAUGAAACUCACGUUUGUCAACAUGACAUUAGAGCUCAACAUCUUCCAUUUGUACAAGAAGCAUAUCCAUUCAGAAGAAAAAGAAGGUCUAGAGGAAGUGUGCAUGAUUGACACUUUAGUGGAGGAGCAUUGUGAUCGACAAUGCAAGAAGAUUUAGUUGAGAGUUUUGGGGAUCUUGAUGAAGGGUUACUUGAACCCUCAGAUUUGCUUGCUACCCUACUCCAUUGGAGGAAGAGAGAAGAAAUUCUACCCUUAUUCAAUGAGGAGGAGACACAAAGAGCUGCUAAAGAUAAGCCCCCAAAGCUUAUUCUUAAGCCACUACCCACAGAGUUGAAGUAUGCAUACUUGGAAGAAGACAAGAAGUGCACUGUUGUUAUAUCUUUAGCUCUUACCAUUCAUCAGGAGGAUUGUCUACUUGAAGUCCUUAGAAGAAGUAAGAAGGUAAUAGGGUGGCAAAUUUCUGAUUUGAAAGGGAUCAGCCCUUUUGUCUGCACCCAUCAUAUUUACAUGGAGGAUGAAGCUAAGCCAAUUCAUCAACCUCAGAGAAGGUUGAACCCUCACAUGCAAGAAGUGGUGAGAGUUGAAGUUCUUAAGCUACUUUAGGCUGGUAUUAUUUACCCCAUAUCAGAUAGCCCAUGGGUGAGUCCUACUCAAGUUGUGCCAAAGAAGUCGGGGAUCACGGUGGUGCAAAAUGAUAAGGGAAAAGAUGUCUCUACAUGUCUCACUAUAGGUUGGAGGGUGCGUAUCAAUUACAGGAGGUUGAAUGUAGUGACAAGGAAUGACCAUUUCUCGUUGCCCUUUAUUGAUCAAGUGCUUGAGAGGGUCUCUGGGCAUCCUUUUUAUUGUUUCUUGGAUGGCUACUCGAGGUAAUUUAAGAUAGAAAUUGAUGUUGAAGACCAGGAGAAGACCAUUUUCACAUGCCCAUUUAGAACCUAUGCAUAUAGGAGAAUGUCUUUCGGCUUAUGCAAUGCACCCACAACUUUCCAAAGAUGCAUGUUAAGCAUUUUCAAUGAUAUGGUGGAGCAUAUUAUGGAAGUCUUUAUGGAUGAUAUCACCAUAUAUGGAAGUGCAUUUGAUGAAUGCUUGGUCAACUUAGAAGUUGUUCUGAACCGAUGCAUUGAGAAAGACUUAGUGCUUAAUUGGGAGAAGUGCCAUUUCAUGGUACACCAAGGGAUUGUCCUUGGGCACAUCAUCUCCAAGCAAAGCAUUGAAGUUGACAAAGCAAAGGUUGAACUCAUUGUUAAGUUGCCAUUCCCAACAAAUGUCAAAGGAGUAAGGCAAUUCCUUGGCCAUGCCGGGUUCUAUAGGAGGUUUAUCAAGGAUUUCUCUAAGCUUGCAAGGCCUCUUUGUGAAAUAUUGGUGAAGGAUGUUAAAUUCAUAUGGGAUGAUAGAUGCCAAAGGAGUUUUGAAGAAUUGAAGCUAUUUUUGACAACCUCACCAAUAGUGAGGGCUCCCAACUAGCAACUGCCCUUUGAGGUAAAGUGUGAUGUCAAUGACUUUGCUAUAGGAGCUGUUCUUGGGCAAAGAGAAGAUGGAAAACCUUAUGUGAUCUACUAUGCGAGCAAGACAUUGAAUGAGGUGCAAAGAAACUACAUAACCACCGAGAAAGAAUUGUUAGCUGUAGUUUUUGCCUUGGAUAAGUUUCGUGCUUACUUGGUGGGAUCCUUCAUCGUGGUUUUUAUUGAUCACUUUGCUUUGAAGUAUCUAUUGACUAAGCAAGAUGCUAAAGCAAAACUGAUUAGAUGGAUUUUCUUGCUUCAAGAGUUCAAUCUCCAGAUCAAAGACAAGAAAAAAAUGGAGAAUGUGGUAGUAGACCACAUUUCAAGGCUAGCUAUCGCACAUAAUUCCCAUGCUUUGCCCAUUAAUGACGAUUUUCUAGAGGGGUCUCUCAUGUUGGUGGAAGUUGUCCCUUGGUACGCUCACAUUGCUAACUACCUGGUCACAAGAGAAGUUCCAAGUGAGUGGAAAGCACAAGAUAAGAAGCACUUCUUUGCAAAAAUUCAUGCCUACUAUUGGGAAAAGCCAUUUCUAUUCAAGUAUUGUGCGGAUCAGAUAAUAAGGAAGUGAGUUCCUGAAGAAGAGCAACAGGGGAUCCUCAGUCAUUGCCAUAAAAAUGCAUGUGGAUGCCACUUUGCUUAUCAGAAGACAACCAUGAGGGUGCUGCAAUCGGGUUUCUGUUGGCCAUCACUUUUCAAAGAUGCCCACACCAUGUGCAAGAGUUGUGAUCGAUGCCAGAGGCUUGGGAAGUUAUCAUGUAGGAACAUGAUGCCUUUGAACCCCAUUUUAAUAGUUGAUCUUUUUUAUGUUUGGGGCAUUGACUUCAUGGGACUUUUCCCUAUAUCUUUUGGCUACUCUUACAUCUUGGUGGGAAUAGAUUAUGUUUCUAAGUGGGUUGAGGCAGUCCCAUGCAAACACAAUGACCAUAGAGUGGUUCUCAAGUUUCUUAAGGAGAACAUCUUCUCAAGAUUUGGGGUGCCCAAAGCCAUAAUUAGUGAUGGGGGUACUCAUUUUUGCAACAAGCCUUUUGAAACUCUCCUAGCCAAGUAUGGGGUGAAGCAUAAGGUAGCUACACCUUACCACCCUCAAACUAAUGGGCAAGUUGAGUUAGCAAACAAGGAGAUUAAAAACAUAUUGAUGAAGGUGGUGAACACAAACAGAAAAGAUUGGUCAGUCAAGCUCUUCGAUUCACUAUGGUCAUGUAGAACAGCUUACAAGACCAUUAUCGGGAUGUCUCUUUAUCACCUAGUCUAUGGAAAAAAUGCCAUCUCCUUGUGAAAUUGGAAUACAAAGCUUGGUGGUCAAUCAAGAAGCUCAACAUGGAUUUGAGCAGAGCUGGGUUGAAGAGGUUCUUAGACCACAAUGAGAUGGAGGAAUUGAGAAAUGAUGCCUACAUCAAUUCAAAAAUUGUAAAAGAAAAAUUGAAGAGGUGGCAUGAUCAGUUGAUUUCCCGCAAGAAUUUUCAAAAUGGAUAAAGAGUCUUGCUCUAUGACUCUAAACUCCACAUCUUUCCGAGCAAGCUGAAAUCAAGGUGGAUAGGUCCUUUUACCAUUCACCAAGUGCAUUCAAAUAGAGUAGUGGAACUACUCAACUCCAACAACAUCGGGAGCUUCAAAGUGAAUGACCAUUGUCUCAAGCCCUUUGUAGAGUCUUUUUUCUCGCGACAAGGAGGAAUUCAUCCUCCUUGAUCCACAUCAAGCUUGACAAGACCAGUUUUUUUUUAUGGACUUAGUCUUUCUAAAGACUAUCGAGUCCAUAACUUUUUAUUUUAUUUUUUAUUUGAGAGUUUUUCGGUAUUAUUACUUGUUUUGUUUUUUAUUUUUCGUUUUACUUUUAUUUGGUUUGAUUUAACUUAGAUUUUUUAUGAUCAAUUGCAGGGGGGAUUUCAAAUAGAGGAAAAACCAAGAUAAUUCGCACACCCUGCGAAAAUUUCGCAAGGCAUGCGAAAUUUAUGGCUCAUUUCGCAUGGGAUGCGAAAUUUCGCACACCCUACGAACCAAUUUCGCACACUUUGUGAAAAUAAACCAACCCUACGAAAUCAUUUCAAAUACUCUACGAAAUUUUCGCAGAGCAUGUAAAAAAUUUCGCAGACCAAACACCAUUUCGCAUACUAUGCGAAAAUGUAAGGGGUCUACAAAACCAUUUCGCACCUCCAAAGCCAUUUCGCACAUUGUGCAAAAAUGAAAAGUCGCCCUAUCAUCCAUUUUUAAACCCCUUGAGCCCUGAAAUCCCCAUUUCGCAAGCACCCCUGUCCUUGCGAAUCCCUCAUUUUCCUCUGCCACCUUGCGACCUUGUCCCUCUCCAUUUGAUAUCGUGCCCUGCGCACAUCUCAUUUCAAAGACUCGCACUCUGCGCCCUCUCAAAGCACGAACCCAAGGCUCACAUUCCAUUUCCGACAUGGCACAGACCCGAGGAGCCCUUCCCGCCCCUUCAUCGAGACGCACACCAAGGUAGAGAGCCUCUUUUGCUCAGAUGCCAAGUGAUUCUCCAUUUCAGGCCACGGAGGCCCUGCGGAUUCCACAUUCCAAGGGUAGAACAGCCACUGGUCCUUCCUCUUCUAUUCCUCAGCGUAGAUAUGAGACGAGGAGACCACCUACUACACAAAGGGCGACUACUUCGCGCCAUGAGAAUUCGGUACGACACCCUCCUGCCAAGAGGGCCAGGACUUCAGGCCCAGGCGAGUCAUCCAAAGCUUCACAGCCUGAGCCUCCUGCAGAUUCCGAGGUUCCUACUGACAUAUCAUCGGAGUCUAUUAUCAAACGCCCGAUGCUCACAGCACCGCCCAUUGAGGGCAACUCUGAUUGUAGAGCGAGACCUUUCCACUUGGAGCUAUAUUUUAAUUAAGAGGCCAUGCCACAGCAGCCUGAGCUCCAAGACUCUUAUGGCUUACUACAGAGGUACCAUCUUGAGGACCUUAUGACUCCUCGUGAGUUCUUUUAUCCCAGAGUAGCACUAGACUUUUACCAGUCCAUGACUACUCGUGGCGUCCCGAGUCCUACCGCGAUGCACUUCACCAUUAAUGGACGUCAUGGUAUCCUCGAGGCCAGACAUAUUGGAGAGGCUCUACAGAUUCCUUUCGAGCUAGAGGACCCAUCUGUUUUCUGCCAAUGGUCCCCAAUAUCUCAGAGGGACAUGGUCCAUAUUUUAUCCAGGGGGACAUCUACAUAUUCGAUCCUUCUACGGAAGGAGCUUCGACCUGGGAUACUCCUCGUAGAUGUGGUGCUACUUUCCAACCUCUUUCCCUUUUAGCAUUCGAUACAUAGGCGAGGAGCUAUUUUGGACGCUUUAUUCUGUAUAUCAGAGGGCUUCUACUUUGGCCCGCACCACUUGAUCAUGGUUUCCCUCAUCCAUUUUGAGGAGAAGGUCCAUAGAAAGAAGCUUCAGAGGGCGAACACCAUUCCAUUACUAUUCCCGAGGUUGCUCUACUAGAUCUUGGAGUACAUGGGCUUUCCUACUGAGCCUCGGCUUGUGUGCCGCCGCCUUUGUCAAGAGCGAUCCACUCUCGACAAAUGGAAUCAGUUGGCGGGCUAUUCUACACCUCCAGGAGCCCCUCCCAUGGUAGCACCUCUAGUGUCCCCACAGGCAGAGUAGGGCAAGCUCCCGGUAGAGACUGCACCCCUAGUGCCCACACCUGAGGCUACUUCUGCUGUUCCGCCUACGACUCCUACUGUUCCACCAGUUGGUCCUUUUACAUCUGAGUCUUCCAUCAACAUCUCGACUUCGGAGUUUCGCGCCCUUGUGCAUACCUUUCAGACACUCACCACCACACAUACUGCUCUCUUCUAGAAAAUGGCUGAGAUGCGUGCCCAUCAGGACCAGCAGACUACUAUACUCCGCCAAAUUCAACAGCACCUGGGACUUCUGCCUCUGCCUCAGCUUGACCUUCCCACAUCAUCAGAGCCUCUAGCUCCAGUUGAGGAUACUAUUCCACCUGAGGACACUACCACAGUAGAGGUUCAGAUUCCACCACCUCAGGAGGCCACCACAGCUACAUUAGAGGAUGCAUCAUCUCCACCUGAGGCUCCCACUACUUGAUCAUAGGACAUCUCUUUAUCUUAUUGUAUUUACAUAUUAUAUUACUGGAGAUUUGUCUUUGUUUUGAUACUUUAUAUUCUGGCAUUGAAUGUAUUGCCUAAUGAUAUCUCAAUUGUACUUUCUCAUAUUAAUAUAUAGACAUCAAUUUUUUUUAGUAUACUUAGGAUUUUUCUAUUUACUCUACUCAUUACUCUUUUGUUUUUUUUUUUUUACUCAUGUGGUUUCUCCUAUACGACUCAGACUCCAUUUCACUCAGGAGGUACCACUUCUUCCCUUUAUUUUCAAUUGCUCUUGAAACAUUGAGGGCAAUGUUGAUCUUGGUUGGAGGGAGAGUUGAGGAAGGAAGUGAUUACUACUCAAAAAGUGCUAUUUCAUAGCUUGUAAUUAACUCUUUUAAAACACUUUUGAGUAGUAGUUAUCACCUUUUAACCCAAUUAACAUAUUAAGGACCCUUGCAAUCAAUUCUAAUCAAAUUGUGUUAAGUUUUGGUAUUUUGAUAGCUUUUUUAUCACCAAAGCAAUCCGAGAUUGAGGAUAUUUAUUUGGAAUCCAUGGCAAAAGAUGUUUGGACAGGACGUCCGGACACACCAUCGGAGGGCGGCGGAACGUGGGCUGUGGCAGGCUGUCGGAAUGACGUAGCAAGGCUUGUGCACUUUAGCCAAUGAUCGGGAUAACAUAUCCGAAAUUCUGCUCCGCCGACAUUCCACCCGGAUGUCUCACAUCCGGAAUUCUGCUCCGCCGACAUUACACCCAGAUGUCUCACAUCCAAAAUUCUUCUCCGUCGACAUUCCAUCCGAAUAUUUCACAUCCGACGCUUGACGCCGGAUGGGAGAGGAGGGCGUUUCAACUUCCCCGGUCAGACAUAUCCGAAUCCUUUGAUAACGCUUACCCGGAGAGUUUCGCAGCCAUUUUGCACAGUGCCGCGGUGUUCUCUUGAAGCUUCCCGAUAUGUGCGACCGACAUUUUGAGAUAUUUUGCUUUAGAUAUUUGAUGUCUAAAUCCCCAAACUCUCCUUGUAACCCACCAAUUAUAGGAUUCCUUAGUUAUUAAGUUUGGAAAAAUGGUGAAUAACCCCUUAUAUAUAGUUUGCAAUUUUCAUAAAAAAGAUAUGUAGAAUCUCGGGAGCUUGUUCCCAGAGAGACGCAUCCUUUGUACAGUUUUGGAAGGAAGUAAAAUACAGAGCACUUGCUCUGCUUUUCAUAUAUAUUUUUGUUUUCUCGUUCUUUUUAUUUCUAGCCAAUCAAAGUCUGAGGAUUUUUCCUCAGAGGAUGAGAGGCUAGGCUCUUCGUCUCUUGGAGUGAAGAAAACUAGGUAAGUUUCCACAUGCAUAAAUUGAAAGUUUUGUUGUUUUAGUUUUUAAUGAAGAGAAAGUGUGACCCGUUAAUGGUUUUUAUCUUUUUAGUUAACUUAAAACGCCUUUAAAUCACCCGGGCCAACACUUGAUAAGGCAAGUGGUCUCCAUCCAUUGAGAUGCACUAGUUUAUCUCUUGCGAGCCUUUGGGAGGUGGUUUGAAGGUAGGAUUUUCUAGAAUAACCAACACUUGAUAAGCUUUUGGACUCUAAGGAGACAUCCAUUAGUUAUCUCUUGCGAGCUUUUGACGGGUAAUCCAAGGUUAAAGAUCACCUUGAAUGGCAAGUACUAGGUGAGAGGUAUGAGCCAUUGCAAGAUGCAUUAGUGAGAGGGAUUUAGUGUUUGAACCCAUUAAAGGGAAGCAUCUGUACCACACCGGUUCGGGAAAUAACUAUAUGUUAAAUCCCCAAUGAGAGGAAAAGAAACAAGUGACCGGAACUCCCUUUUUGUAUAAGGAACCUGAGCCUAGUGAUCUAAACUCCAAGAAACACUUUUCUUUGUAAGUAAAAUCAGUUACUAUUUUUGGUUAGUUUAAAACCAAACCUUUUUCAUUCAAACAUCUUUAUGUUUUCUUUUAAAGCUAACCUUGAAAUGAAAAGGCACCAAUUCAUAUUUGAAUUAAUAUCAAUUGUGAAGUGAAAACCCAUCCCAGUGAACGAUCCUAGAGCCACUAUGCUAUAGUAGCUUUGUCUUUGCUACCCUAGUUCAUGGUUUAAUAGGUUAUAAAUUUUGUUGAUUACUCCCACAAUCAAAGGAGCACCAGUUGGACAUGAAUCAACUGAGACACUAAUUGGGCACAAAUCAGGAAGUUUUGUUAAUAAUGCUAGGUUAAUUUGUUAAUUUAGUUACUUUCUGCUUAAUUUUAAAAGUUUUCACUUUACUUUCCAUAGUUAUUAAGGAAAAAUUCUCAAAAUGAAAUGGGAGAAAUUGAAUUCUUACAUUUUUACUUGAAUUUUAGAAUUUGUAUUAUGCUUAUUGAAGCUGAUGAAUUAUUGAAACUCCUAUUGAAUUCAACCUUAUUUCUUCCACUUUAAUCUUACCACACACGGUGCACAUUAGGUUCCGAUUAUAAGAGGUGCGUUCUUAGCCUAUUGGAGGUUGGUCAAUUUGUUAAAGUUUGAGAAAGAUCUAGGUUAGGGGAGAGAGAAUAGUCUGACAUACUAUAAUCGAAAACUAAUAAACUUAACACUUAGAUCUUUGUGGAAGAGUAAGGAUUGGACCUUUGGGAGUGGAAAUUCGUUUGAUGCUUAAAUUUGCAUAAUGCUUACACUUUAUAAAUUGUGAUUAGGCAAGAGAUUUGAUGACUCUUGUUCAAGGUUGGGUUUUGCCUCUUUGAUGUUCCAUGAGAGAGUAUAAUCCUCAUCAUGCCACUUGAAAUUUUUUUUGGAGUGAUUAACAUGAUUUUGUAAAUUACUUUACUGUCUAUUUUUUUUUUAUCUCUCCUUCAUUGCUAAUGGACUAGCAAUAUGUCAGUUGAGGGGAGUGAUUACUACUCAAAAAGUACUCUUUUAUAGCUUGAAACUAACUGUUUUGAACACUUUUGAGUAGUAGUUAAUACCUUUUAACUCAAUUGGCACAUUAAAGAACCUAGCAAGGGUUACUAAUUAGUUUUUGGCAAGUUUUGGUGUUUUUGGUAGCUAUUUGAUCAUUGAAACAAGCCAAGAAUGAGGGAGAAUUUUGUGAAGUCCAUGGCAAUGCAAGUUAAAGCUCAAAUACAUGAAGAAUCCAAGCUUUGGAGCACUUCAUAGCCCUUUCCAAAGCCAAUCAGAGAUGCAAGGAAGAAAACCAGAGGAAGAAAUCCAACAAUUAGCAUUUUCGCAUGGCUGUGCGAAAUUUCGCACACCAUGCGAAACCACAAGAGGCAGCCAAAGAAUUUUGCACACUAUGCGAAAUUUCGCAUGGUAUGCAAAAUCUUCUUGUGCACCAACUCCGUUAUAUUUUUAUCUCAAAUAUUUUGUGUAAUUUCCUAGUUUCUCCUUGUAACCAACCUAGAUAUUUUCUUUUAUAUAUUUUUUAGGUAACAUCAUCUAUAGGGGGAGAGACAUAAGGAGGAUAUGGAUGUUUUUCAUAGAACACUUGUAAAUUUCCGGUAGUAAGAAAUAUACAGAGCUUUUUGCUCUACCUUACCUUCUCAUUUUGUUUUCACUUGUCUUUCUAGCCAAACAACCUCUGAGGAUGAUUUCUUAGGGAAUGAGUGGCUAGGUUUUACGUUUCUUGGAGUGAGGGAAGCUAGGUGAAAGACCCGAAUGCUAAGGUGGGAGUUGUCCUUGCUUUAAAUGAAAGUAGUUGUUAAACAUUAAUGGUUUUUAUUUUAAGGUUUAGCUUUAAAUCCCUUAAAAACAUCUUGAAUGGUCAAUACUUGGUAGGCUUUUUGGAUUCUAUGGAUGCUUAUUGCUAGAUCCCUGGAUGUCUAUUAGUUAUCAUUUAUGAGCCAUUGGAAGGUGGUUCAAGAUGAGGGUCUUUAAUGUUUGAAGCCAUUAAUAGGAAACAAUUACCAUUCUUUCAUGAAUCCUUUGGAUCAAAUCUUAAUUGCUAAAUAUAAAACUAGUUCGGGAGAUAACCAUCCUUUAUGUUAUUAUGCCCAACGCGAGGAGAAGAUUCGGAAUCUUCCCCUUUGUCUAAGGAACCCGAUCCUAGUGACCUAAAGCUCUAAGAGACCUUUUCUUUAUAGUUAACUUCACUUAUUGUUUUUUCUUAACUUAAAAUCAAUCUUUGCAACCACAAUUCCAUUUUCUUUGAAAGCUAAUUUUCAUAAGGAAAAUCACCAUUUUAUUUUCUUCCCUAAGUCAACUGUACGAUGAAAACCCAUUCCCAUGGACGAUCCUAGAGCCACUAUACUAUGUUAGCUAUGCUACCCUAAUGUGAGGUGAUUUAGGUUUUAUAAAUUUUGUUGAUAACACCUGUUUGAGCCAGAAUCAAAUGGCGCAACUGAACCAGGGACGAAUCAACAACUUAUAUGGGAGGGACACAAGUUUAAUUGAUUUGCAUUUCAACGUUAUAUAUAGGUAUGUUUUGGAAGAUUUGUUCUGGAAAUACUGCACCAAGUACGAUUCUUUUUGUCUUGAGUGGGUCUACUUGCAUGCCAAUUAACGAGUGGAAAAGUAGGAGCACCUACCUCAUGCUCGCGGAACCGAAGGUCAGUGAAGUGGGGCUCCUUUUGGCCUCUUGUGUUUCUAUUCCAACCAAGGCGGCGUAAGGAAAAACAACAAUAUGUUUGUGCUAAAUAUCAACGCAUGAUAGAUGUUUUUGUUUUUUGGUAUGUCAAGGCUAAUGAAUGAAAUGCUUUAGCUUGUUUUGUGACUGGAACUGCAAAUGUCCAAAUUGGAGUAUCUCCAUUUCUCACUUCGGAUGGUUAACUUAUAAACAAGAUAUAGGAAACAUGUGAACAUCUUGAGGAACAAUUUGAAUUAUUCAUUAGAAGUCCUGGGUUGAGUUCCAAGAUUUAAAUUAGACCCCUCUAGCAGCUUCAGGGGUACCUAGCAACCUAUAGCAUAUUAAUGAAGAUUUAGGAUUUAGACUCUAGAAUACAAAUUAAUAUGUAUCUCAUGCUUUGACUAGCUUCCCUACAUAUGCACAAAAUGGAGAUGACCUAAAAAAAUAGCAGAAUCUAGCUUCCCUACAUAUGCACAAAAUGGAGAUGACCCAAAAAAUAGCAGAAUUUCCUUAGUUUCUGUGGUUAAGGUGAUUCUCCGCUUAAUAUCACAUUGACUCAUUAUGCAAAAUCAACUGAGCUAAUUUUGUUUAUUUAUUUAAUGUCAAAUAGGAACUCCUAAUUAACCUAACCCUUGGCCUGUGUAAAUUGAUUUCACAUGCCCAAUGUUGAAGUAGAAGUCCAUAUUUUGAAUUUUAUUUUUGUAAAGGUAAGGAAAAUGAAGCAUUGUGUAAUUAUAAAAAUAACUUCAUUGGAAUUCACAAGGUUCACCCAAAAUGGAGCUACAUCCGUAUUCUAUCCUGCAGUAGACUAUAUAGAUUGUACAAUAGUAAAUUGCAAAUACAAUUAAUAAGUCUUGUGCUUCCUUACUAAUAAUCCUUUGACAUGAACAUUGCAGCACUAAGGUCCUCUUGGGAAGACACCUUGCACCCAUGAGAGCACGAAGAGGAAGCAAGGCAGAGUCAUGGGUGCAAUGUCAUGACUUGUUGUUGCACCAAGAGAGGCUUGGUGAUGGCAUGGUGUUGCAGUAGCAAGAAUGUUGCCUUGGUAGGGACAUAAUCUAGGGAUAGAUGCCAAGAAAGGCUUAGCACUCACAUGAGUUGCACAAAGAUGAAUGUAAUAGAGCAUCAGAGAGACGUCUUGGCAAGUAAAUGAAUGGAUCCAAGAGGCAACAACAUGAGGAGUUUCAAAUGGAUAAGGAAUGAGUCAAAGACAUUUGAAAGCUACAAGUUGGAUUCUAAUUACGAUUGCAAUUUGAGUUUGAGUAGGAGUUUAGAUUCUGAUUGUAAUUGUAGUAUGAGUUGGACUAGGAUUGCUUAUCCCUAGUCAAAAUAGGAGUGGUUCGUGUCACACCCUAUGAAAAGAGUUUGAGUAGGGACUAGGAUUGCUUACUCCUAGUCAAAUAUGGAGUAGGUGGUGCCACACCUAUAAAAAAAAAGGGACAACAUGAGAGAGAGAGAGAGAGAGAGAGAGAGAGAGAGAGAGAGAGAGAGAGAGAGAAAGAGAUAAUGAAUUCACUAAAGAUAUUGUGGGAGUUUUUCUUUGUUACGUCUUGUAUUAUUACUUAGAAUAGGAAUAAAAUACAAGUUUGGGCUAGAGCCCCAUAAUUAAUCUCGUGUGCCUUUGUGGUUAUUCUUUAUUUGUCAUCUCGUGUGGAUUGGAUUACAUUGACUUAGAGGGCUUCUAAGCACCACCUUUGUGGGUUAUUAUUUAUUUUCCAUUUCUUGUGGAUUAGAUUAGGUUGACUUUGAGGGCUUUUAAGCACCACCUUUGUGGGUUAUUCUUUAUUUUCCAUAUCGUGGGGAUUGGAUUAGGUUGACGAUGAGAAAAAUUAUGUGGGAAAUUUGUGUUGGGACACUUAUCAUAACCAGGUAAAAUCUGCCAAGUCCUUUGUAAUAUCUUCAACAAAUAUUUCAGACUAGUUCUUCACCAUAAACAUCAUAUUGUGUUUUGUUUUUCUCCUGGAUUCUGAGUUGAAUUGUUUCAAGUCAAUUGAAUGCAUCUGAAUAUUAUUAGCUUGUUUGAAGGCCUGGUGAUUUUCCAUUUAACUUUACUUUCUUUAGGUUAUGCUCACUAUAAGAAAAAUGAGAAAUAAUGACGCUUUUUACGCGUUAAGAAAGGCAACAGAUGAUGCUUCUCUAAAGCGUCCUCUUCGGCUCUGUCAUUAUAUGUGUUAGCCAAUAAUGACGCUUCUAGGAAGUGCCAUCUUUGAAUAAUGUUAAUAACGACACUCGUAAAAAGUGUCAUCUUUAAACAUAUUCUGGUCAAAUAAUUUUUACAAAAUUAGUAAUCUUCAAGCCGUUUCUGAAUCAUAUCUGAGCCUAUUUCUGGGGACCAGAAAACCAUCUUUUUUCCAUUCGCCUGAGAGGUCUGAUUAGCAUUUCUGGAAUCAAUCUCUAAACCCAAGCUUCCCUCAUCUACCCAUUUAACCCUCAUGCCCUCCUGUUUGAACAACUUUCCCACUAUAUACACAAAUUUUUUACCUUCUGUUGUUGGUAUUCGACCUCUUCCCAUUCCCAGCACAGAAUCCACCAUUAGUGCCACUUUGUGAAUAAAAUCAUCGAACCAGAUCUUUCGGGCGGAAGAUGAGCUCCAGAGAAAUAAAAUUUUUGGGGUCUUCCCAGCAUGAAAGUCAUAGGUAGCAUUAAUGACAUCAAGAAAUGGGGCACUGUUGAGAAAAAACAUGUUCCCAUCAACCACCCAAGAAUUGUACCAGACUCCAAACACUUCUGGAUUACAUAUGCCUUUACUAAGAUAUAUUUCUUGAUCUCCAUAUCAGAAUCUUGGAGACUCUUCAUUUUAUGAGCUCUGACACUACUGUGAAAUUGGUCCACAUCAAUCACAGGAUGACCCCUUCUAGCAAGAUCAAGCAGGAAGUCUGAAUUCGGGCCCAUAAAAAUGUAGUUCUGAAUAUUGAAACUCUCAAAGUGGCACAACAAAUUCCUUAUGACUCUUUCAGAUGCUCCAAACAGGCUCACAAGUAUAAUGGUAUCCUGUUUUUGCACAGAGUAAAGAAAAUAUCCGAGUUCUUCAAAACUCCUUACAACUAUUCCAGGAUGUACUUCUUUGAAACAGAAAUCGUACCACUUUAGCUUAGUCAGAGGUUGAAUCUAAAAUAACAAAACCCAAACUGAAAUCAAAAUCGAAAUCAACCCUAAUAGAUUUCAGAAACAACAAAUUAAAAGAGUAAAGCACAAAAGGGGGAAAACACAUAUGAAGCAAUCUCCAUACAAGCCCUAACCUUAGAUAAACCCAAAAAAAAAAAUCAAAGCAGAGAGUUACCAUAGAGCAUCUCUGUUUCAAGCUUAGAAAAUGUUUAAUGCCAUUGAUAACUAGUUGGCUAGUGGUGGACUUCAAGCUUCUCUAUUUCGGUGUUAGUAGCUCUCAAUGGCUAUGGUGAGAACAAAGAAAUGAGAGGCUUAGGGUUUGGGAUGUGAGGUUAUUGAUGAUGAUGAGGAUAAAGUUAUGGGCUCUUGGAGGGGUUAGGGAAAUUGAAGAUGGCUGAGAGUAAAGGCUAGGGUUUUUGAGAUAGUUAAUAGCUUUUUAGGGUGUGACUGUCCAUAGAUAGAAGAUAAAUGAGGGUGUGAGAAUUUAUAGAUCUCUAGGUGAUAUGGCGGGUGUGAGAAUGAAAUUUUAGAGGGAAUUGUGUGUUUGGUAGAAAUUUCACACAUGCAUAUAUAAUGUUUCAGAACAUGGCACUUUAAAAAUACGACAAGGAAGAAAUUAUUUAUUGACGCUUAAAUAAAGCGCCAAGGUCUCCAACAUUUUUGCAAUCAAUGACGUUUGUAAAAGGUGCCAUUGAAUAGGAGUGCCAUUGCUUUCCCACAAAGCAUCAUUGUUAAUCAAGCCUUUAAAAAACGCCAAGAUAUGUUGCCACUUAGGUUAAAUAUUGACGCUUUUAAAAAACGCCAAGGAAAAAAACGUCAUUAUUCAUGUUUUUUGUAGUAGUGGCUUGAUUCCUAAAAAGUAAAGGAAAGCAAAAAGUAAAAAAAUAAAAAUGUGGAGAGUUAGGACAUGCGUUAUCUAAUUGUCCUAGUCCCAAAUAUAUUAAGAAAGUCAUGUAGGUUACUUGGAGUAACGAGUCAAGUAAAGCAAGCCUUCUAGUGUUUAAGACAUUAGAUAUUACCGAACUGAUUAUGUCAUUAAUGUAUUGCAUUUGUUGUUUCUAAUAUAUAGAAGAAGAUGAAAUUAUUGGAAUAAGUGGGAAAUAGGAAUAAAUCCAAGGUACCAAAAAGUCACUUUAUCUUAGAUGUUGUUGGAAACAUAAGUGAUUUCACAAUAACGACUAUGAGACAAUCAAGGAUUAAUAAGAUAGACUUUAUAUGAUAUACCUCCCAAUUAGAGCCUAAAAAUAUGGAUGAAGCACUUAGAGAUGAAUCUUCAAUUUUUGUACUAUAGGAAGAAUUAAAUCAAUUUGUUAGCUAUUCUUUGGAUAUUUGAUUCAUCACAAGCUACAAAUCACUUUUGAUGACCAAACACGAAACUAAGAGGAUUGGGCCCAAUUCGAUGCCUAUCAACAAUGAUUUGUAUUCCACCUCAUUAAUUAUUCAAAGUUGGGAAGCUAGGUCUAACCACUUUCUCUACCUGUUCACCCUUAGAGGAGCAGAAGAAAAUUCUAACUUUGGUGCCUAAUGCCUUUGACAAUCUUUCGACAAAGAGAGUUCACUAAUUACUUUGAUUAUUUCUCUGUUGGUCACUGGGGGACAAGACUUUUGUAAUGAAGUCAACUAGAACUUGCCCUUUGAGGGCCAUUCAUGGACGAUAUUACACCAUGAAUUCCCUUAGGUCAUGUUUGGUAUGUGAGAAUGAGGAGUGGAAUGGACAUCUUAUUCAUUUUUUCAUCUAUUCAAAUGUUGGGAUAACUCAAGUGACCAUGAGAAUGAAAUCAAGAAUGAUUCAAGGGAAAUGAAAUCUUACUUAUAAGUGUGAUUUCAAUUAAUCUCUAAUAGAAAUUAUUUUGAAUCAAUAGUGCAAGUUAUUUUUAAAAACAUUUUUCCAAAAUUAAAAAAAUCAAUUUUUUUUUUUUCGAUAAGUUGUUUUUAAAAGGAUUUUUUUUAUUUUGUAAAAAGAAAAUUGUAAUUCAAUUUAUAUAAUAUAAACUAAAUUUUAUUUUAUUCAAAAAGAAAUAAUUUUUUAAUUAUAAAUAAAUUAAAAAUAAAUACUUUUAAUAAAAUAUAAAUAGUAUUAUUAUAAUAAAAUCAUAAAUAAAUUUAAUUUUUUUUAUAAAUAUUAUAAAAAUAUGGAUAUUAACAUUGGAUAAUUGAUUUAUUUUGUUAAAAUAAAAAAUAAUAAUUUUUAAUAUUAUUUUAUGUUAAAUGAAUUUUAAAAUAAAGAAAGUUUAAUUAUUUUAAGGUAUAGAAGAGCCAAAUUUUGCAUUACAUACAUAACAAACAAUAUUUAUUAGAAACAUUUCUCAAGGAGAAUCUUAUUCCAUCUCACAAAGAUACUCGUUUAUUCGAUGUUUGACCAUCCGUAACAAUCAUGUCAAUUCUACUGAUUUAAUAAUUCCUUUACAUUUAUUACUCACUUAUGAACAUGGUAUUGUGAUUUAUUUAUUUAUUUGAUGUAUAAUUAAUUAAUCAAUUUUUUAAAUUUCAAAUUAUUUUUAAAAACUAUUCAUUAAGGAAUUUAAAGCAUUAAUUAUGUCUAUUAUUUUUUAUAGUCAUUAUAUAUAUAUUGAGUUUUAAUUUAUUUUUAAAAAUUAUUAAACUUAUUAAUAAAUUCAAUAUAAAGUCUCGUUUCAUUUGAAAUUCAUUUCUUUAGUGAAAAUUUUGAAAAAAAAAUUGUUAUUUAUUUUACUUUGUUUUAAAAAAAUUGUUUCUAGAGAACAAUAAUCAAAUAAUGGUAUGAAUUUUUAAAAACAAUUUUGUUUUUAAAUCAUAUGCCCAAAUAAUUUUUUUUUAUUUAGCAAAAAACUUUGUUGUAGUAUGUGGCUCAUAUUGAGGGAAAGACAUAUAUGGAGAAAAAUGUGCAAAUGUUGGAGUGGAGCGGAGUGGAAUGACGACAUUUGUCAUUCAAACUUGUAUUUUUAUUGUUAAGGGUGACCGAUAGGUUGGUACGGUUUAGGGGUAUUUUUGGAAUUUCAUUACCUGAGGGUUAGUAUAAAUACCAUUUUAUGUAACCCUAAUUUUACAUAUAAUGUAAGUUUUCUUCCUUGUUCUUGUGGACAUAGGCAAUCCGUCGAACCACGUUAAAUCUGUGUGUUUUUUUUUCUUUUUUCUUUUUCUCUAAUUUCUUCACCAGGAAUCGUUACACUAAGAUCAACAAACUCUCAAAGAUGAUUUUUAAAAUGAAAAAAAUAAUGUAUAGUGUGAGAAUUUUUUAUUUUUUAUUUUUUUAAAAUGAAAAUAAAAAAUUGCUUUAAGGUAAAAGUGUGGAUAUUAUUGUUAAUUUAUUUCAUUUUUCAUUUUCAUUUCCAUUGUUACCUACAAUUGAAAUGGAAACAACUAAUCAUUACAACCUUACAUUCUUAUAUGCAUCCAAAUACAAAAAUUGAAAUCACCAAAUUCAUAUUCAAGGCAAAAUAGGAAUGAAAACAAAUAUUCAUUCUCAUUCUUUAUUCCCACGUGUCAAACAUGACCUCAAAGUUAUAAACAUGAACAAGAAGUCCUUGAAACACCAAUGAUCUCUUCUGGUAUAUAUAUGAGCUUGAUUGACAACUGUUUUAAAUACAGUUUUUUUUUUUUUUGUUUUCAAAAUCAAAACAAAUUUAUUUUUAUUUUUUAUAAAUAGUAGUUUUUUAAUAUUUUUUUUAAACCUUAUUAUGAAAAUAGGAUGUUUUCUAAUAUCAUAUUUUAAUUAUUUUCAAUUAUUUUCCCUUCUUUUAAGGAGGGCUAUUUUAAAAAUAUGAAAAAUGAUACAAAAUAAAGCAUUACAAAUAAAAAUCAUUUUUAAGAAAUAUAUGAAAAUAAUUUGAGAACAUUUGAAGUUCCUUAAUUAAACUUUUGUUCUAGAAAAUGCAAGAAAACUGUUUUUGAAAAUUGUUUUCAUAAUGAUAUGCAUUGAUCGUUUAAAAUUUAAUUACAUGAUAAAAAGACCUAUGUAAAAACCAGAGUUAUAUAAUCAGUCAUAGAUCAAAUCUACUAAAUAUGAAAAGUAAGUACAUAGUUGUAUAUGACUUAGAUGGAGCCUUCUCCGAAUGACAUUCUUUAGUCGGUACUCAUAUUUUUUUGUUUCGUGUCUUCAACAUAACACCUCAUGAUCCUUAAUAAAUCACCUGAAAACUAUAUUAGCACCUUAUUGUUUAAUAUUUCUCUAAAUUUUUUUAUUAAGCAAAUAAAUUCCAAAUUUAAAAUGACAAAUAAAAUUUAUUAAUUUUUAAAAAUAAUUUAAAACUCAAAAACCAAUUUAAUUGAUAUUAAAAGUCAUGAAACUUAAUAAUAUUAGAAAGUCAUGUAUCCAAAUUUAUUUUAAAUGACUUGUUUAAUUUCUUGUUUAUAUAUAUUAUAUUUUUAUAAUUUUUUUUACUAUACAAAUAAAUUUUAAAUUAAACAAAACUUAAUGCGUUGAAUUCAUUAACGAGUCUAAUAAUUUUUAAAAGUUACUUAAAAUUUAAAUACUAAAUCAAUUAGUACCACAAAUUCAUGGAAAAAAAUUGAUUUAUUACUACUAUAUUGUUUCUCUAUUGCAUAGAACCAUUAUUUUUCAAUUUUUUCAUUUGGCAAAUGAACAUCAAAUUAAACAAGACUAAGUGUAUUAAAUUCAUUAAUGGGUCUAGUAAUUUUUUAAAAUAAUUUAAAAUUCAAAUAUUGAUACUCCAAAUUAAACAAGACUUAGGUGGUGUUUGUUUUUUGGUUGAAUAGAAAAAGGUAAAAUAUUUGACUUUUUCUAUUUAGUUAAAAGUAACUUGUUGACAUCGUCCAAUAUAAUUAAAGUAAACCUAUUGAGGGCAAGUUCACUUUAAUUAUGUUGGACGAUGUCAACAGGUUACUUUUAACUCAAUAGAAAAAAUCAAAUAUUUUGACUUUUUUUUUAACUCAAAUAAUAAAUCCAUUAAUACAAAAAAAUUAUGGAUAAUUUGAAACUUUCUUUCUUUUUUUUUUUUUUUUUGCUACACAUAGCUAUAUUUUUAUAAAUUUUAUCAUUAGAGAAAUGGAUUUCAAAUCAAGUGAAACUUUGUAUUGAAUUAAUGGAUUUAACAUUUUUUAAAAAUAAUUUGGAACUAAAAAAAAAAGAUUUAAUUACUAAGAAAAUCAUAGAUCAAAACUAAUAUAUUCUGAUCCAUGAUUUUAUUAUUUUUCCUAUACAUACAAUUAUAUUUUUAUAAUUUUCUCACUAGGUAAAGAUAUUAUAAAUUAAGUGACACAUAAUUAAUAAUUUAAAUUUUUGAAUGAAUCUUUUAAUUUUAGGAAUAAUUUGAAAUUUAAAAAGUUGAUCCAAUUAAUUGUAAAUUAACUUAAAAUAUUAUAAAAUAUUAUGUUCAUAAUUAAGUACUAAAUGUAUAUAUGUAAUGAAAACUUAACUAGUUACAUGUUACAAAAGCCAAAAUUUAUUCAUUCUUUAUUUUAAAUAAAAUAUUAUUAAUAAUUAUUUUUUUUAAAAUAAUAUUUAGUAAUUAUUGUUUUUAAAUUAUUAUUAUUAAUUUUUAAUAAAAAAAUUGCAAAGUUAUUAAUAUCAUUAUAUUUCUAACAUAAAUUUAAAUAGUAUAUUUUUUAAUAUAUAUAUAUAUAUAUAUAUAUAUAUAUAUAUAUAUAUAUAUAUAUAUAUAUAAUUUAUGAUUUCAUUAUAAUAUUUUUAUUCAUGAUUGACGAAAAAUUAUUUAUUGUUUAAUUUAUUUGAAUUGCAAAACUAUUUUUCAAAAUUCAAGCGAGAAAAUAGGCCUGGAUUUGAAUUUCCUGUAGAAGAGAAGGAUGUGGAGAAUAUGUUGGGAGUAUUUGUGGAUAAAGAAAAGGCCAGGGUACUGAGAAAGGAGAGAGAACUUGCUCUUGCCAAAAGAGCCCUGCACAGGUAUUCUACUGAUUCUAAUUAUCGGUUCUUACAUGAUCAGAUUUCAGAUUUAUUUGCUGAGCUUCUGAAAUCUGAUACAGUAUUUAAACUCCGGUGAGCUUUACAAGAUUAGUCUCGCAUCCAAUUCCAAAUGGUGUCCCACAAUUGAUUCUUCUUAUGAUAAAUCCACCUUGAUAUGUGAAAAUAUUGCUCGAAAGGUUUAUCCUCGCGAGGAAUAUCCAGAAUACUAAGGAAUUGAGGAGGCUCACUAUGUUUAUAGAGUCAGGGAUAGGUUGAGAAAACAAGUAGUUGUUCCAUUACAUAAGGCCCUGGAGUUGCCAGAGGUUUUCAUGUGUUCGAACAAGUGGGGAUCACUUCCCUACAACCCUGUGGCUUCAGUGGCCAUGAAAUCAUACAAGAGCCUCUUCUCAAACCAUGAUACAGAGCGGUUUGGUGAGUAUCUUGAGAAAGUGCAAACUGGGAAGGCUAAGAUUGCAGCUGGUGCAUUACUUCCCCAUGAGAUUAUAGCUUCAUUGAAUGAGGAGGAUGCCGAGAGAGUUGCCGAGCUUCAGUGGGCAAGAAUGCUGGAAGAUUGAUCAAAGAAAGGGAGGCUCACAAAUUGCAUUGCAGUAUGUGACGUAUCAGGAAGUAUGAGUGGAACUCCAAUUGAGGUGUGUGUGGCUCUGGGGCAGUUAGUUUCAGAGCUCAGUGAAGAUCCAUGGAAAUUAAGGUAAUGUAAUUACUUUCAGUGCAAAUCCUGAGCUUCACAAGAUCCAAGGAGACAGCCUUGUAUCCAAGACUGAAUUUGUGAGGAUGAUGGAAUGGGGUGCCAACACUGACUUUCAGAAAGUUUUGACAGAAUCUUACAAGUAGCAGUGGAGGGAAAUAUGAGUGAAGAUCAAAUGAUAAAGAGGGUUUUCGUUUUCAGUGAUAUGGAGUUCGAUGAAGCUUGUGGGAGGUAUAACUAUUGUGACUAUGACUAUGAUAUGGAGGAAAUUGACGAGAGUCAGAAGGCAUCUCAGAAGUGGGAGACAGAUUAUGAAGUGAUACAGAGGAAAUUCCAGGAGAAAGGAUACAGAAAAGUUCCAGAGAUAGUGUUUUGGAACCUUAGAAACUCAUCAGCGACUCCAGUGACGGCCACAGAGAACGGGGUGGCCUUAGUAAGCGGGUUUUCAAAGAAUCUGUUGACCUUGUUUUUGGAAGGAGGUGGAAUUCUGAUCCCUCAGGAUGUGAUGGAAUUCGCCAUCUCUGAUGAAGAUUACAAGAAACUUGUUCUAUUUGAUUAAGAUAUCAAGAGAUUUAUCAAUAAUAAUAUAUUUUUUUUCUAUGUGAAAUACAUAUAAUAUUAACUGUGGAGUUAUCAAAGUUCUGGAGGUUUAAUUAUUUCUUCUUUUCAAGUUUUGUUUAUUUAAGGUUUUCUUUGUCUUUGUUAGGAAUUCCCCUUGGGUGGACCCAGCUGGGGAGUUGGAUUGAGGAAGUAAGCAGGCGAACUUGUGUUCUUCUAUGGACAGAGAAAAAAAAUAAAAUAAAAAAAUAAAAAAGGAGGUUAUUUGCAUUUGGAUGUCGUGGUUUGAGGGUACAACUACAAGCUCGAAAUUGUACAUAAUGUGAAAACUCCUGUGUCCAUUGCUGAGAACAGCAUAAAUGAUGGUGAUUUUCAAGUUGUGCCUGGUAUUCUACAGGAUGAAACAAGAAAGGAUCCAGGUGGUAUAUUGAACAAUAUCCCAAUCAUGUUGGUGGCAUCUUUAUUUAGUUAAUGGUAUUCAUUUGGUGGAAGCUGGUUGUUUAUGAUGUUUUUAAUUUUUUUUAACAUGAAGUUCGAUCAAAUACGUAUCUUAGUAUGUUUUGUUUGAGCUAAUUGGCAAAUGCGCUUUAAACAUGGUCACAUGGAUGCAGUUUUAUUUGUGAAAUGAUAAUAGUCGAUUACUUGGUCAGUAAGGUUUAUAUCUCUAACUUCAACAUCUUAUUGUAGUCUUUUAAAAUGUCAAAAGUUUAAUGCUUGAGAAAUUUUGGAAUGGAGACAUUCUAAACAAAGUUAAUAAUCCACAAGACUUGGUAAAACCGAUCAGAUGAUGCUUACGUACAUCAAUGCCUUCUUUAAGCCAUAUCCUAUUUUCAUUGAACGGGAUGUGCCAUCUAGUUUGGUUCUUUAAGCCUCCAAAUCCUAAACCUAGUCUCAAUUUAGAGCAAAUUUAGGGUGCAGGGCCUGCAUGCCUCCCCCUCCCCCUUCCACAAAUAGUAGUGACCUUGCUAUGCCUAUGCAUUGUCAAUGCCUCAUUUUCUAUGGUCUCCAAUGUAAUAUCUUAGUUUCAAUGUCUCUUUCCUUACUAUCUCCAAUGCAAUAGAUUGAUUUCAAUACCUCUUUACAACUAAGACCUCCAAAUUUUCUUGGUUCAAACCUACCAGAAUUUUUCUUCUCCUUUGCUUUCUAUCAAUAUUAGUUCCCCUAAUUUAAUAUAUACUUCUUUAUUACCUUCAACUCUACCUCUCUUUCUUUCUCUAAAAGCUUCCUCAAAGAUUUAAUUGCUUUCUUGCAUGUUUUAAGAAAACAAACAUGCUCAUAUUACAUUACCUCUACUUGAGAUCUACCUUAUACUCUACCUUCUUUCUUUACCUCCUAUAUCAUCUACUACAUUAGCUUCAAAAAUAUUAUUUAGUUUGAUACUAAAUAAGGCUCCUAAUCCUACUCUUCCUUCAACAAACUUUCUUUUUACAAGUUCCUUAAACUUUAUUUUUUAUUUUUUAUUUUUUGGAAAUUCGGGUUAGAAAGAUUCCAUUACUCUUACCUAAUAUUUCAACCAUCAAGUUGAAUCCACUUAUUGCCUAAAUCCAAGGAGUCUGCCCUCCACAAAAACAAGGAAAUUGAUCCCACAAUAACAAGGAGAUUGCCUUCCACAGAAACAAAGAGAUCUCCCUUCACAGAAGCCGAAUACAUUGCAAUCUAUUUUCUUUCUUGUAAGAUCAAAUCUUCAAUCGAGCUCCAUCUUAUGGGGGCAUAUUAGAGAAAUUUAAUAUUAUCCUUAAUUUACAUAUUAAUAUUUAUCUAUUUAUUAUAUAUUGAAUUAAAAUAGAAUAUAGAAUUUGAAUCAUAGUAGAAGUUUACUAUAAGAUUGAAUUACAAUAGUUAAUAGAGUUUAAAUUAUAAUAACUCAAAUACAUUUAUAUAUAUUUGACCUUACGAGAUUUUCUAUUUAUGUAUUUGAACUACAAUCCUUAUGAUCCUUAGGUCUCUAUACCUUCGUGAUGGGCUCCUUGACAUUUCAUAGGUUGUGCUACACAUGCAUUUGAAAUUUAGAGUGCAUUUGACAGUGAUUCUGGGAAGUGUUUUUGGCAUUUCUAACACUUAAAAUUUUUUAUUUUUCAAGUAUUAGAAAUGCUACAAACACUUUUGAAAAUUACUGUCAAACACACUCUUAGGAGCGCAUAUAGUAGAAAACUAGAAAUUGUGGUUUUUUUAGGAUUUACUGUAAUGUCAUUAGGAGGGUAGUAAGUUGAAACUGAGUAUGAAUAAAUAUUUCUUUCUUUGGGAUGUUCUUCUGGUAGGUGCUGAUGAAACUGUUCUUUUUACUGCCAAUGUCACAUAUCAGCCAGAAAUUGAAAAUUUCAGUCAAGGUGUCCUCGGUUUUAGUGGUGAGGAAAGCUAGAAAUUUUAAGGUGAAGUUCUGUUAAAAACCUUAAGUAGCUGGGAUAUCAGGCCUGUUUUGCUUGAAAAAAAAAGUUGCAAGAUAACUCAUAUGCCAAACAGGUUCUGAUAUUGUGAAUCUAUCGGCAGACAUCAGUAAUCUCAUCUUCUGAGAUGGAUGUUGGGGGUGCAUGUGGUGGUGGAGGGGCAAGGUUUCAUUUGGUUUAUUUUGUUGAUGGAUAUUGUCUAGCCCCCUGCGCCAAGUUUGAGGGGUGGUGGGUUGUGAUGGCCCUACAAUUACUAUUAAUUUCUUCCUCUUUUACCGAUUAAAGUGUCCGAACAGUCGAAGUUACCCUUAUGCAUGUCAACUUGAUCACUUACCUCUUCAAUGGAGUUUAUGCUGGUUCAUUUAGGAACUGAUUUUUAUUGUUAUGCAUUCUAUGCUGAUGUUUAGGCCUCUCCAUCAUCACUAUAUACAAAAAUUCUAGGUUGAUACUAUAGGUUGAGAUUUAUUUUUUAAAUAAAAAAUAAUAAAAAUAAAAAUUAUGGUGAUGUUUAGUUGUUUUAUGGAAAAUUUUAACAAGUUAUUUUUGGGCAAGUUUUCAAACAAAAAGAAAAGUAAAAGUUGUUUUGACAAAAACAUAUAGAAAAAAAAAAUCAUAGAAAAGAAAUAAUUUCCCCAUAUUCUAACUUUUUUUAAUUUUUCUCAAUGGGCAAAGGAAUAUCAAAUCAAGUUUGAGUAGGAUUUCUUAAUUUUUAAAAUAACUUACAAUUAAAAAAUUUUGGUGUUUUCAUUUUUGGACAAUUUUUUAUUAAGCAAAUGGACUCUGAGUCAUGCAAGAGAUAUGGUUGAUUAAUGGGUCAAACAAUUUUUUUAAAAUAAUUUAAAACUCAAAUACAUAAUCAAUGUCACAAAAUUUAUAAACAAAAAUAGGUUUAGAGAAGAUCUACACAUAAUUUUACUUUUCUAAUUUUAUUUUAUUUUAUUUUUUUGUUGGAAAAUAGUCUUCAAAUCAUGUAAGAUUUAAUAGGUUAAAUUUGUUAACAAUAAAUUUUAAAUUAUAAAAUAUAAUCUGGAACUUAAAAAUCAAUUCAAGUAAUGCUAAAAAAAAUCAAAUUUGGUAUAGAAUGACUACGUAAAAUUUUUUACAAAACAAAUGAAUUUUAAAUCAAGUGAGAUUUAAUGCAUUAGAUUUUUAUCAAAUAUAGUAAUUUUAAAAUUUAAUUUGGAACUCAACAAUAGACACAAUAAAUACCAAAAAAUAAUGAACCAAAAUUGGUUUGGAAUAACUCCACAACCUCUUUUUUUUUUUUUUGGUGCACACGAAUUUUCUUACUAGGUAUAUUGCUUUCAAAUUGAGAAAGAUUUACUAUUUAGAUUUUUUUUUUUAAUGAGUUUAAUGGUAUUUUAAAAUAAUUCAAAAUUUCAAAAAUUGACUAAUUACUAUUAUAAAUUCAUAAACCAAGACUAAUUCAAAAUGCAUUGGGGGCUAAGGGGGUUGAAAAUAGGGACAAUGGGAUGGGUUUGGGACAUGACACUCAUAUCUCAUUUCCAUUCCAAUUACAUAGUUAUCUCCCAUCCUUAUCCCAAACUUGUGUUGGAGCAAGUUGAUUUGUUCCCAUCUUUGUUGAUGAAAUGACUAAUAACCUCAUCCCCUCCUUAUCUUAGAUGUACAUUUUGUCAAAUUUGAUCAGGUAUGAUUGAUCCAAGCCCUAACCCUAAUUGGUAAUGACUGGAUACUACACCUAAUUGCAUUCUUCUUUCGUCGCAAAAUAAUGAGAUUAUAAUAAUCUAGCAAAUAAGAAAAAAUAGUAUGGAAGUUCAAUUUAACACCAUAACUAUCAAUAAUUUUAAGCUUAUAGAUGACUUAAAUGAUUAAAAACUAAUGCAAAAUACCAAAAAAAAAAGUUCAUAUAAAGAAUUCACAAGAGAACAAAAUGAACAAAAACCAAAUAUGAACAUGGGUCAACAUUAGUUAUGGAUUUGGAUUCCUUUCAAGGCCAAUCUUUGAACCAAGACUUCAUCAAAUCUACUACUUCAAAGGCUUUUGUGUUCUUCUUGGGUUGUGCUCUCAAACAAAGACUUCAAGGUGAUGCUCUAGAUGAUUGCAUUACACAUAUUUAGGGUGGAGAGAUUGGAGAAGCUUGAAGAUGCCAACGAUGGGUACAAUUGAGUGGUCAAUAAGAACAAUGUAGCCUAUGACUAGUUUGAUGUCGUGGUACAAGAGUUUUAGGCAUUGAGGUUAAAGCAAGAGCAACAUGGAAUUGAUUUUGGAGUCUUUCAAUUAGUGUAAAGGAGGAAGAAGUGGUAUUGAUUCUAGAAAUAGGGUUUUAGGUGGUGCGUUAGAGGAUGAAGAAGAAGAAAAAGAAGGAUCUGUUGGAAUUAGUGUGAGUGUGAAGAGAGAAGUAUAUAAAUAAGGGGAAGUAAAAGCAAAGUUCUAAAAGCUAUAUUUUUUUUUAUUGUUGGUGUAUGGUUGCAUGAUUAUCCCUAUAAAUAAUAGGAGUUUUUUUGGUAUUCUACUAGUAGUUGAAGGAUAAUUUCAUAAAUUUAUAUUUAGAGUGGGGUGGGGUGAGUUGUGACAAAAUUCAUACCCGUCCUAAACCUUGGUUCAGAUUUUUAAAAUAUCCUCAAACUUAUCAUAUACCCAACUUUUAUAUUUCAUACUUGUCUUGAUAGAGGCAGGUUAGGCCGGGUUACUUGAGUAACCUACAUAAUUGUCAUCCCUAGUUGAAAUACACUUUUUUGGCAGUGGCCACCAACUGAGCUAGAAGCUUGAUCGAUUGACCUACAAGAUUAGUUCUCAUCAUUUUAAAAAAAGUUUUGGCCUUGGUUGUGAGUGCAAUUGAAUCUAAACUGGCAUUUCCUUAAUGCAUCUACUUCAAUCCUAAAUUUCUUACUUCCUAAGCCUCAAUUGUUGUUAGGAUUUUGGAAAGCCCAUUUCCUUAAAUUGUAAAUUUAAGAAAAAAUAAAAUAAAAGUGAGACAUUUCUUGAUUGAAUAUUGUUAAAGGUCCCUUGGCAUUAAGACUUGGUUGAAGCCUUGGAAGAUUAGUGGAACUCUCAACUUGUGUUUGAAUCUUGAGGAGAGUGGACGUAAGCCAAAAUUUUGUCAAACCAUUAAACAAAUUGAGUUUGAAUCCUCAUUUCUUGAUUUCUUAUUUAUUUGCUUUUUCUUAUUAUUACUUGAAUUGUCAUUUGCAUUCAUUAAUGUUAAAAUUGGUUAUAAUUAACCAACACUAAUUCUCUUUCCCCUUCCCUUUCUUGGGUGUAAACCUAGGUUGGAUUAACUAGAUUAAUUUAUAAAAUCUAUUAAGAUGGUAAAAGAAUAAUUAUUCUUAACACACAUAAGAUCAUCUUCAAUCAAAUGACUCAUUGGCUAAUAUGUUGAAUUUGCUUAUUACUUGCAACUCAAAAUUGUGUUCUAGUUGAUAUGUCAAGUCCCCAGUGUAUGGACAUUAAAUUUGUAGUACGUGAUGGUAAUUAGAUGGUCCAACUCCAAGAAAGUGAUUGAAAACUAGUUCAAGAAAGGUGCAAAAGGGAAUUGUUUUGGUAUUUUCGUUUUUAUUCUUGAAGGUGGCAGAGCUAAAAUUUGUGAAAUCAAGCAAAACAUACUGAAAUUACAUUGAAAGAAAGAAAAUGGGAGUUAAUGUCUUGCAGUAGAUGAUAAGGACUUCAUGCAUGUAGUAUGACCCAUGUCUUGGACUGAUGCCAACUCACGGUUACACUUAUACCCUUGGUUCUCUCUUUACUACCUUGGCUAACCUAGAUCAGGCUAUGAGAUAGGCUCCUCACCACACCAUUACUUGCCCAUUAAUUAGAGACAUUUUCAAGCACUGAGGUAACAUGGUGACACCAAGAGGGUUUAUUCCUCGCCCUCCUCGCCCUCAACAAGUCUAGACUUGGUCUCAAAAAAAUGGAGAAAAAUGAGGUGUCGUUAUGUAGAAAUACAACAACCAUGCCUUCCUCAUUACUUUGAUUCAGAAUGUGAAGGUGAAAUUGAGAAACAGAAACUCUUGAAACCAAAAUGAAAAUUGAUACUUUUACGAAGAAUUACAACAACAUUGGAGGAAGACUACAUUCUUCCUCUUUAUUCCUACAUUUCUACACUACUUCUACUCCACUCCAUAUUUCUACAUACAUCUUUAAUCAGUCUUCCCUCCUUUAUAUAGAGCCAUCUUCACACAAAUUCCGCAAGGUAGAAAAGAGGAAUGAAACUUGGAGCAAGGUUCGACUACUGGCUGUAGCUUGUCAAGGCUGGAAGUGAACCUUUUUUCUUGGCUUUUCUGGGCAUGGGUAGUAACUUGUGGGUUCCUUUUUGGGAUACAAAUGGCUAGAACAUGUGGCACUAUCUUGUUGGAUGAUGUGUCAAGCAUGUGGCAGCCAUCUAGUGGCGAUUAUGUCAAUUUUGGGAUGGAGAGUUGGCAUCCAAUUGCAAAGAAAUAUGACGUCUACCAACAGGCAAUGUAAACCUAUGUAGAUCAUAUGAAGAUAGAGAGGAAAAAUAUAGAAAUGGAUAUAUACCUAGAACUAGCUUUUUAUUAAAUGAAACGGAGAGCCAACAAUGAAGGAAAAUAAAUUUUUUUGGCUUAUAUCAAAGAGUUCACAUUGUGCUACCCUAGGUUUUCUUAAAACUUACUUUUAUGAUAACAAAAAAAAAAAAAAACAUUAUUGUUUAAUCCUUUGUUUUAAACGCAUGUUUAGCAAGUUAUAAAAUGUAAAAAUCUUUCUAAGUUCAAAUAUGAAGAUAUGACAUCAUUUCAAGCAAGAUAGUCUCUAGGAAUUAAUGUAAAGCUAAAUUAAGGUGAAAUUAAAUUAGUUCAAUGCAUUAAUUUAAGAAACUUGACCUAUCAAAAGUACAAAAUUAGAUGAAAUCCAUUUCAAUGGUUAAAAUGAUCAAAAUCAAACUUUUUCUAAGUAUUUUUUAAAAGUAUCAAUAUUGAAAGACAAUUUUAUAUUUAGUCAGAGUUUGGACAAAACCAAAAAGCACACAAAAUCCAAGCGACCAUCUCUAGCUUGGAUGGUCGCUUGAUCUCUAGCUUGUGUACUUGGAAAGCAACAUCGAGAUGAUAUAUAUAUAUAUAUAUAUUUUAUAUAAUAUUGUUUGUCCAAAUUCCCUAAAAAUUAGGCCACCACAUGUUCAUAAUUCUCCCUUCUUGAAUUUGAAAACUCGGACAAUUGGACAAUGCGACACCUAAGUCCGGUUUCUAAAUGCUAAAGUGAAAGGGUAGGUAUGGACCAUUGAAAUGUGAUCACAACUUUUCUCUGUAGCCAUGUUGUCUCUUUUUUCUUUUGCAUGAUUUUCUCACCUUAACAGAAUCAUAGACUUGUUUAAUCUCUAAAUGGGAUUAAUUUCAUCCAGCUUUAAGCUACUAUAUUAUAUCUAGGUGGAGGACUUUUAAGAGUGCAACCGACAUAGAGCACAUGCAAGUGGGUAUAUGGGACAUGAAAUUUCUUCUUAUAAAGAUUGCAUGAUUUUUAUAUUAGAGUUGUUGGGGCGCAAUGUAUGUAGCUUGUUUUGCAGUUAAAUUAAUUGGAUAAGUAGACAUUGGCGUUUCUAAAUCUACUGUGAAGUGCUUCAUGUACGUGUGAAGUAUUAGAAAUUUCUUUCUUGGCAACUUGUUUUUUCUUUGCGGUCUACUGAUAGGUUUGACUAAAAUUAUAUUCCCUGUCAUGCUAAUUAAUUUUCACGUGCAUGCUCAAAAGAAGAGUAUGACCUUAGUGCACCAAAAUCACUUUGAUUAAUUUGUGAUAGGUUUUUGUGCAUCAUGACAUUAGCCUUAUUCAUUUAGAUAAUGUUUAGUUUUUAGAAAGUAUUAAGAAAAGGAAAAUAAAUAUUAAGAAAAAUAUUCUUAUAUUUGAUUGUAUUAUGAAAAAUGUCAUAAAAAAAUCAAAUAUAAUUUAAAUUAAUUAAUAAUUUAUACAUUUUCAAAUUAUUUAAUCUUUAUAUUGAAGAUAUAAUAUAAAUGAAAUGAGUUUUAAGUAUUAUAUAAAAGUGAUUUAUUGAUCUUGCAUAUAUGUAUUUCUUUUUUUUUUCUUCUAUUUUUUUUCUUUAUUUUAUUUUCCUUAUGUUUUCCUCAACAUUUUCCGGAACCAAACAUAGCCUUAGGAAAUCCACAAUUACCUUCAACUGAGUAUAUUCGGUUGUUUUAGCAAUGUUAGGCUGCUAACUUGUGUUGGUACGAACCUGUUAAGCCUAAAGAUGUAAUUAGUUAGGAUAUUCUUUUCCCUCUAGUCUUGUAGCUCCACGUGUAUAGUUGGUUAGGACCUCAUUGUAUAUAAUGCCUGCCCUGUUAUUGUUGAAGACAACAGAGAUAAAUAAUAUUAACAUUUUUCCUCUCAUCUCUCUUUGUUUCCCUCUGUUUUCAUCUCCUCUCUCAUCUUGGUAUCAGAGCCUCCAUGGAUUCUUUCAAAGAAACCUCCGAAUCACCUUCUGCUAGCAUUGUUAAUGUGCAAAACCCAUUAUCUCAGUCAAACAACCUUCCUUCACCAGCAGCCACACCCUCUUUUUCUUUCUUGUCUAUGAAUCAACCUCUCACAGUGAAGCUGGAUAAUGGAAACUACCUCAUCUGGAAGAAUUAGCUUCUGAAUGUCAUCAUUGCGAACAGACUCGAUGAUUUCAUUUAUGGAACUCGACCCUGCCCUCCUUGAUUUCUCAAUCUGCAACAACAAACCCUCACUCCAGAGUACUCGGUCUAGCAGAGAUACAAUCGACUUCUAAUGAGUUGGCUGUACGCAUCCUUGUCCGAAGAUAUAAUGACUCAGAUUGUUGGGUAUUCAACAACUGUGGAGAUUUGGAACGUCCUUAAUCAGAUUUACUCUGCCUCUUCAAUGGCGUGGGUUACCGAGCUUCACACCAAGCUUCAAACGCUCAAGAAAGAUGGACUCUCAGUUGGUGAAUAUAUUCAAAGGCUCAAAUCCAUUUGCAAUAGUCUUGCAGCAAUAGGAGAACUAGUUUCUGAGAAAGACCAGCUUAUCUAUUUGUUCAAUGGAUUAUAUUGUGAGUAUAAUUCUUUUGUUACCUCCAUUCAAAAUCGAUCUGACCAACCAACUAUUGAGCAAAUCCAUAGCCUAUUGCUUAGCUAUGACUUUCGGCUUGAACAACAAAACUCUGUUUCUCUCCAUUAUGCCCAAGUCCGUAUGGCUCAUCUGAACAAGAAACCUUAUAAAUCAACUCCUCAACCUACAUUCAAUCAUAUUCACAUUCAACCUAGAUACUCUUCUCCACCUUUUAAGCCAACCACUAGUCAAUAUCAACCCAGGAUUUUGGGCAAACCACAACCACAACCAUGACAGCCUCAACCUCAAUGGAAACCACAUUUUUCAAUCCAGAAUCAAAAGCCUCAGUGCCAAAUUUGUGGUAAAUUUGGACACACUGCUCUUAUUUGCUUCCAUUGCACAAAUUUGAACUAUUCACCCCAACCUUCUCCUAAAUCUUUCAAUACUGUUCUCACCACAAAUUCCCAGCUCCCUAAUCCUCCAAAAUUUUCUUACCCUACAAUGGCUCAUCCUGCUGCUACGCAUAACACGAUUCCUGAUACAAAUUGGUACAUGGACUCAGGUGCUACACAUCACUUUACUCCGGACAUCAACAUGCUUGACACUGUGACACCAUUUAGUGGUUUAGAACAGGUGACAGUUGGGAAUGGUAAGCAACUCUGUAUCUCACAUCUUGGUACUGCAAAACUACCAUCCUCGUAUUCUCCUCUUGUUCUACAUCAGGUAUAUCACACUCCAAAAAUUUCAAAUAAUCUUAUUAGUGUUAGAAAAUUGUGUUCUGAUAAUAAAGUUUUUGUUGAAUUUUAUGCCACUCAUUUUCUUAUCAAAGAUCAAGUUUCGAAGAGAGUUCUCUUUCAAGGUCAACUUGAUAAUGGCUUAUACAAAGUUCAGUCGUCAUGCUCUCCUUCUACUAUUUCCUUUCAUCCUCAAGUUUUCAUAGCCAACAUCAAGGAUCAAAAUUUGUGGCACAAGAGACUAGGCCACCCAGCUUUAUCUGUUAUUAAUCAAAUCUUGGAUUCUUGUAACAUUGCUCGAACACAGAAAAUUGGUUUUAAUUUUUGUAGUUCUUGUCAAUUAGCAAAAAGCCACAGGCUUCCUUUUUCUCUGUCUCCAUCCAUUGCAGAAAAACCUUUUGAGUUAAUUCAUACAGACCUAUGGGGUCUUUCUCCUGUUCGCUCUAUUUCUGGUGCUCGUUAUUUUUUACUUUUCAUUGAUGAUCAUACUCGUUUUACUUGGUUUUAUUUGCUCAAAACAAAAGAUGAAGCAUAUCCUACUUUUCUCAAGUUUCAAGCUCUCAUUGAAAAUCAAUUUAAUACCAAGAUUAAGGUUGUCCAAUCUGAUUGGGGAGGUGAGUUUCGAUCUCUCUCCAUACUGUUUUCAAAUAUGGGCAUUGUCUAUCGUUUAUCAUGUCCAUACACCUCACAACAGAAUGAGUGGGUUGAGCGAAAAAAUCACCAUGCGGUUGAAAUGGGAUUGUCCUUUCUUGCUCGCUCGGGUAUGCCCUUAUCUUAUUGGCCUUAUGCCUUUCAAACUGCCACUUACCUUAUUAAUCGUCUCUCUACCCCUGUGCUGCACCAUCAAUCCCCUUACUUCGCACUCUAUCACAAAUUCCCAGCUUAUACUCAUCUUAAGGUCUUUGUUCCUCUUGUUUUCCAUAUUUACGCCCUUAUAAUACCCAUAAACUCCAAUACAGGUCACUGGAGUGUGCUUUUCUUGGUUGCAGUUCACACCACAAAGGUUAUCUAUGUCUUGACAUUCAUUCUAGCAGGGUGUAUAUUUCUCGCCAUGUGAUUUUUAAUGAAGAUUCUUUUACAUUCAAGAAUUUGAAAUCUUCUCUCUCUUAGUCUAUUUCUUCUUCCUCUUCUUUAUUAGUUCCUCUGUUCAUUUCCUUGCCUCCCCUCUCCCCAUAUCCUCCUAUUUCUCCAUCUAUAUCUCAUUCUUUUCUCUCUUCUUCUUCUACCUCUAGUACUUGUUCCCCUCUCGUUGCUCCUACCUCUCUUCCUCCCUCUUCACACUUUGUGUCCCAUCUAUUCCACCUCCUUCUCCACCUUCUUCGAGUGUGGACCUGCUUGUACCUUGUGUGAAUACAAAUUUACUUACUUUUUCUCGCACUCACAAUAUUCAUCCUAUGGUGACCAGAUCUAAGGGUUUGUAUCUAUAAACCUAAGUUGCUAUUGAGUGUCUCCAUAGGUUCUCUCACUAAGCCUACUUCCUUUCUUCAAGCUAUUAAAGAUCCUUCAUGGAAGCAAGCCAUGGAAUUGGAGUUUGCUGCCCUUCAACACAACAAGACCUGGCAUCUAGUUCAUUCACCUUCCUCAGGCAAAGUAAUUGGUUGUAAAUGGGUCUAUAAGAUAAAGCUUUAGCCUGAUGGCUAAUUGAGAGAUACAAGGCCCGCUUAGUAGCUUAGGGUUAUCAUCAAACUGAAGGUAUUGACUACUUCGAAACAUUCAGCCUGGUUGUCAAGCCUUCUACUACCGUAUUGUGCUCAGUCUUACUUUUUCCCAGAAUUGGUGUAUUAGACAGCUGGAUGUUCAUAAUGCCUUCUUACAUGGUGACUUAGCUGAAGACGUUUUCAUGGAACAACCACCUGGAUUUGUUGAUCCUCUCUAUCCUACUCAUGUCUGCAAGUUGGAUAAGUCUCUCUACGGUCUUAAUAGUCACCUCGGGCUUGGUAUACUAAGCUGAGUACUUCUCUACUACACUUGGGAUUUGUUACUUCUAAGAAUGACUCUUCCUUAUUUAUUUGUCAUUCGUCUCAUGGGUUACUUCUUGUUCUUGUCUAUGUGGAUGAUAUAAUCGUCACUGGGAGCCACUCUCCUCAAGUUACUCACCUUAUCCAAUAGUUGCAUCAUCAGUUUUCUUUAAAGGAUCUUGGUCAUUUACACUAUUUUCUGGGCUUGGAGGUUCAUCACACCCCUACUGGUAUUCACCUCAGCCAAGCAAAGUAUAUCACUGAUCUCCUUACCCGGGCGGCUAUGUUGGAUGCCAAGCCAUGUCCCACUCCUAUGUCCUCCAACACAUAUCUUUCUCUUCAUGAUGGAGUGGCUCUUGAAAAUGGUUCAGAUUAUUGAAGUUUUGUUGGUGCCCUUUAGUAUUGUACCAUGACACGCCCAGAUAUAGCUUUUGCAGUAAAUAAAGUGUGUCAAUUCAUGCACCAUCCCUCUGAUGUUCACUGGCAGGCUAUAAAACGUAUUCUCCAGUACUUAAAGGGCACAUCUCAUUUUGGUCUCUUCCUACAGCCUUCCUAUGACUUCAACAUCACUUGCUAUACAGAUGCCGACUGGGCUUCCUGCCUUGAUGACAAGUGUAGCACCAGUGGCUACUGCCUCUUUCUUGCCUCUAAUCUGGUUUCUUGGUCAUCUUCCAAACAAAAAGUGGUCUCCCGCUCCAGCGCCAAAUCAGAGUACCGAGGGGUAGCAAAUGGGGCUGCUGAAAUUGCUUGGACUGAAUCUCUUCUUUGUGAACUUUCCACCCACUCGACCUCCCCUCAUUGUCUGUGACAAUAUCAGUGCCACAUACUUAGCUGUCAAUCCUAUUUUGCAUGCCCGCACCAAAACAUGUGGAAAUCGACUAUCACUUUGUCUCGGAACGUGUUCUUCAACGCUCUCUCUCUCUCCAGUUUACACCUUCGGAUGAUCAACUUGCUGAUUGCAUGACCAAGCCUCUCUCCACCCAACGUUUCAUCACUCUACGCUCCAAGCUCACUGUUCUCACUAGACCAAUGAGCUUGAGGGGGGAUGUUAAGCCUAAAGAUGUAAUUAGUUAGGAUAUUCUUUUCCCUCUAGUCUUGUAGCUCCACGUGUACAGUUGGUUAGGACCUCAUUGUAUAUAAUGCCUGCCCUGUUAUUGUAGAAGACAACAGAGAUAAAUAAUAUUAACAUUUUUCCUCUCAUCUCUCUCUCUGUUUCCCUCUGUUUUCAUCUCCUCUCUCAUCUGAACCAAAUGAUCCAUGUUAACCUUGGCUUGGUUUGAUUUGGCUCUAUCUUAGAGAGCUCAAGGAUCACGUCAACUCUGGUUUCUACUAUUCAGGUCCAUUCCCAUAUGAACUGGUUCAAAUUUGAGAAAAUGGUAACAGACCUUUAGUGAUGUUGGUUUGGAGCCAGUUGCCAAACCCGCCCUGAGCUUUACCACUAAUGUCAAGGGAGAAAGCCUUUUGAACAAAAACAAUAGCUUCAAGAGACUGAAUCGUGGAUGAAAUCUGAUCCACAUUUCUUCUCAUUUUGGAAACAAAUGAGAACUUAACUAAGAAGAUUCUACGGCCUCAUAGUGCUUUUCCUGAUCUAAGGUUGGUUCGUUUCCCAAAUUGUGAGAUGCACGGGCCAGACUUCAGAACUCUCACGCUCAGGAGUGUAUCCACGUGGUGGACAUAAGAUGGUGGCUUAAGAUCUGGUGUCGGUGGCUUUACUUUACUAGGAGAGUAGUGUGUCUUCAUCUCAUUCACUGCCGGAGGGUGGCGUAAGCAGUGACGCUAAGGUGGGGCAUAGUCAAUAUCAUUUGCAUUUGACCAUUAUAGUUUUCUCCCGGCUUGAAAGUAACCUUAUCGUGAUAAAGGAUUACUAGCACUAGUUCAGAUGACAGUCAUGUUAAAUUCGGACCAUGUUUGUGUCACAUUAUCAGCAACCAUGUGUUUAUGGUUCAUGCUUUCUGCAACUGAAAUUGAAAUUGAUAUAUAACCAGGUGAACUUCAAUCUAAAUUCUGGAAGUACUCAUGUGAGCGAUGGUGCCCAUCUGCAGAGUCCAUCAAUUGAAAAAUGGAGUGAGUGUAUCUAUAAGAGGGAAGGCUUGGCAAAUGUCCAGUUUUCUGGGAAUUCAACAAGGAUCUAAAAUAGAUUGUUUUCUUUGCUGAUUUCAAUGGUUGAAAUUUGAGAAGAUUGUGUCCCACAUAACACAACUAUUACUGGUCCUUCUGUUGCAAUUUAUCCUCUAAGGCUCUAGCAUGUCUUCCAAUUCCCACUUCCCUGUUACUCCAGGAAAGCUAUUUCUGUCAUUGUGAAGAAGAAAAGAGAAUGUAGAUAUCGAUGCUUUUAAGUGACUGGAGCAUUCAUAUCAGGUGGUCUGCAGCCAUAUAUGCCACUUUGUGAAGAUUGGAACAGUCAAUCACUAGGCUAUAUAUUAGUGUGGCCCAGCCACUUUAAUCAAGGACAAUUCUUCAUACUUAAAAGUCAAAUUCUGCCUUUAGUCUCAUUAUAAAUUGCUGUUUAAAUAUUAAGCAAACAUUUGUUUAAUGCGAUUAAGACAGUACUAACUCAAUACUUGUUCUAUUUUUGGAUGGAAAUGCUUGAUGGUUUCAUCAUUGGAUGGGAUAAAGGUGCAUUCAUGAUUAUGAAUACUUGUAGUUAUAUUUUCAUUCUCUUUUUUCUCAAUGAGACUUGUUGGCACAAUUUUUCUGUUCAGAAACCUACCUCUCCAUGGAAAAUAAGUUGUGAUUGAUAGUACUGGAUAUAUUCAAGAAAGCUAAAUAUAGAUAGCACAAAAUAUUAUCGACAUAAAUAGCAUUAACAGCGUACGUAUGUCUCAGUGCUCAUCAGCCAUAAGCAUGGGGCAAACACUUACGAUGAGCAACUUACGUCAAAAUUCCAGAAUAGGACAUAGAAGUGACAGAUCUAUAUAUAUAGAACACUGCAUAAGAGUCACAAGAAAGGAAAUUACGGGUGCAUAGCAGCUCUUAUUUCACAUACUACUCAUACUGAUCAAAGUCACUCAGUUGGGAUGGGUGGGAGUAGGAGGUUUGUGGGGUGGCUUGUGCGGAGGAGUUGGCAGCUUCUUUCCAGGACCUGGUGGCUUCUCUCCCUUAGGUGGUUUGCCAACUGGGGUUGGUGGCUUGUAUGAGUCUUCAGCAUUCUCUGCAGGAGGGUGACCAGGGUUGUGACCAUAAUGUGGUGGCUUCUCUCCCUUAGGUGGUUUGCCAACUGGGGUUGGUGGCUUGUGUUCUGGGAGUGGCUUCUCCCCCUUGGGAGGUUUUUCCAAUGGGGUUGGUUUGUGUUCAGGAGGUGGCUUCUCCACUGGAGGCUUGUGUUCAGGAGGUGGCUUCUCCACCGGAGGCUUGUGUUCAGGAGGUGGCUUCUCCACCGGAGGCUUAUGCUCUGGUGGUGGCUUCUCCACCGGAGGCUUAUGCUCUGGUGGUGGCUUCUCGAAUGGGGGAUGCUUAGGGUAAUCAGCAAGUGAGGGGGCGGUGAGAACCACCAGGCCAAGCAAGACCACUAGCAAGUAUGUAGGAGACAUCUUUGGGUUUAGACUCAGAUGGUGCAAAACUAGGAGAAUUGUCUUUUAUAGCGGAUCGCACCCAAUAAUGAAAUGACACGUGUCUUUAUGACCCAUGUGUAAUGGGGUCGAUUUGGGUCCUACAGUGUUGAAAACUUCGACAUCCACUUUUGGCCUUUUGCUUUCUCUACAGCCGCCUUGCUUUUUCCCUCUUUCCUUUUGUUUUCCUCCUGCCCCAUUCUAUCAACUAAACACAAUUAUGUAGUUGUUUAAUUCUUAAAUGAGAUAUUAUCCGUCAAUCGUAUCAUAUUUUAUCAACAGAGAACGGAGUGCAAUGUGGCAAUCCAAAGAAAGAAGAUCCAUAAUGCAGCUGUAAUUUUAUCGUUUACUUUUAUCUCUUGGACCACUGCAUUUUUGUUAAGAGGUGCAAUAAUACACGUCUUUAUCUGCCAUUCAAUGUUUACAGUAAAGAGAGGGCACAAAACUCUUCACUGCUCUGCAUGUGUCCCAAAAAUGCAAUUGGACAAAUUAUGAUUUGCAUGCUAAAAAGAGGCAAAUGAGGUUAAUUCGCACCAUAAUUAUUUUGUUUUCUGGACCCCGGGGCCCUUUGGUUGGUUUGGGGGUCAGAAAAUGAACAUCAUAGGGGGUUUUUCCCUUAUGUGCAUUUGUAUCUGAUGGCUUUAACUCGCCUUGUUACUACAAAGAAAUUGUCACAUAUAGGAACUUAUUCCAGGCUGAGUAUCUCCGCAUAGACCCUAUAAAAGAAGACAAGUCAUAAUGAACAUCUAACCUUUGUUCAAUUUGAUUCAAUGCCCCAUUGUGUCCACCUCACAAAUCUGAAUUAUUAUAUCCAUUGAAUACAUAAAUUAAUGAAGAAAAUAUGAAACCCAAGAUACAUCUCUGCACAACCUCAACCCUGGUUGCUAUGUUUCCCUUCUAUUCACAUGAGGAUAUUGAUUACGGAAUAGGGAAACCUAGCAAGGGUUUACUCGGCUCUGGUUUGAUGCUAAUUGCCAAACUUGCAACAAGCCCUGAGUUUGAAGCUCACAGAAGAUGUUAUACAGGCAGGGAAAAACCUUCAGAGUUCGCUGCCAAAGAUAAUUAUUAAGGAGAUAUCACCAAGAGAAUUCCAAGGAGUCUGAAUCAAAGACAAAUUGGUCGUUCGUGGAGGUUCUUACUUUCUUUUGGGUAUAACUCACUGAGGGCACUGUCUUUUUUAUUUUCAUUUCACAUUUAGAGUUCUGUUCUGGAAACAUAUAAAAGGAGCAUCAGUUUGUUCUUGGGUAACCCAUAGUCGUGAGUGGGUCCAUUUGCAUGCUACUUAGUUGAAAAGUUGGACCAUUUGCUCCGACGCCUACCUCCUGGAUUCCAUGCUCGGAUAAAACAAGAAUAAAAAAAUAUUUAUAAUUUACAAAUGGGGGAAAGAAAAAAAUGUCAACAACAAACUAGGAAAAAAGAGUAGUAAAAUUCAUGUCACAUGCUAGUGAGAGAAGGGGUUGUUACACUCACUCGAAGUUCUUUUCAAAAUAUCGCAUGGUAUUUUAUUUUAUGUGUGAGCGCAGUUGUGAAUGGAACGUGCAAAAGUCCAAAUUGGUGACCUUUAAUAAAUAUUUAAAACAAAAAACGAAAAAAAGGAGGGAAAAGGGAUCAGAAAAGAUAAAACAAUGUGUACAAAAGCUCAAUUAGUUUGCAAAUUACUGUUUGGAUUUUGAUAGUAUUUUAUUUGAUGUAAAAGAGAAUUUAAGAUAUUUCCGAAACAAAAGCAUUAGUUUGCUCCAUGUCAAUUUCGGCAUUUCUCAUAUGUUUCACACAUACACAGAAGAGCAUCGUUUUUUAAAGCAUGCAUUUAUGUUGGAUUAAUUUGGAUUUUGUGGGAACUGGGGCAAGGAUCACAUGGAAGAGAGGUUGACUUUUUUCAGUACUUCAAUGGUUGAGACAGGUGAAGGCCUGAUUGAUACUGAAGCCUGAAAUUGCGACUCCGUCAUUUGUCAAAACAUAUGACAGCUUCCAUGCUCUCGUUUGGUUGCAUUGUUCUGUGGUCAUGCAUACAUGCCACUUAGUGAUCAGUCUGUAACUGUCAAUCAUUGGGCUUUGACUGAACAACAUCAGCCAUGUAUAAAUACUUGCAAAUCAAACGGUCUUCUUCCUCCCAUAAGGAAUUUCGGUUUAAUUAUGAAGCAUGCAUUUGGCUGACCAUCAUAAACCACUUCUUUAAAUUGAUGAAUGAUAGUUUUUCAUUCAUUCUUUCAUUCGUUCAUAUACAGAGUAUAUAUAGAGGGUAAUCAUCAUUCUAAGAAUGGGAAAGAAUGAUACAAGGAAAUAAUGAUAUAAAGAAAUAACAACUAAUAUUCUAAUAUCUCAACUUUCCUAAUAUCUAAACAUUCCUAAUAUCUCAACACUAAAUGAUAUAAAGAAAGAAUGAUAUAAGGAAAGCAUUCCUAAUAUCUCAACACUCCUCCUCAAGUUGGUGCAUAGAUGUCAAACAUGUCCAACUUGUCUAAAAAUUUUGAGAACAGUUGACUUGAGACAUCUUUGGUGAGGAUAUCGGUCAAUUGAUCUUCUGAUCGAAUCUUAGGCAAUUCCACAAUCUUAUCAUCCAACUUUUCCUUAAUGAAAAAUCUAUCCAUCUCGACAUGCUUUGUACGAUCAUGUUGUACUAGAUUAUGAGCAAUGUCACAUGCUGCUUUAUUGUCACAAAACAAUCGGAUUGGUUGCCUAGAUAGGUAACCUAAAUCCUAUAAGAGGAGUCUUAGCCAUAAUGCCUCACAAAGUCCUAAAGUCAUACCUCUAAAUUCCGCUUCUGCACUUGAACGAGCGACGACAUUUUGCUUCUUACUUUUCCAUGUCACAAGAUUACCACCUACAAAGGUAAAGUAACCAGAUGUAGAUCGCCUAUCAUCCACUGCACCGACCCAAACAGCAUUAUACUUCUAUACUCUGAUGAUCAACAUUUUUAGCGAACAAAAUUCCCUUCCUAGGAGCAUUCUUCAAAUACCUCAAAAUACGCAUGACUACAUUCAUAUGUUGCUCUCCAGGAUUAUGCAUGUAUUGACUCACUACACUCAAUGUAUAAGCAAGAUCUAGUCUUGUAUGAGCUAAGUACAUUAAUCUCCCCACAAGUCUCUGGUAUCUUCCCUUAUCGAUUGAUACUUGAUUAGGCUCAACACACAAUUUCAGACCUUCUUCUAUUGGUGUAUUAAUAGGUUGACAUCCCGACAUUCCAGUUUCCUGUAGAAGAUCUAAGGCAUACUUUCUUUGAGACAGAAAAAUUCCUUCACUUGAUCGAGAAACUUCAAUCCCAAGAAAGUAUUUCAGACGACCAAGAUCUUUCAUUUCAAAUUCUCUAGAUAGAUACUUUUGCAAAGCUUUUCUUUCUUCAGGAUCAUUUCCUGUAACUACAUGUCAUCCACAUAUAUCAUAAGUGUCGUAAUCUUACCAUGUUGCUUUUUCAAGAACAAAGUGUGAUUUGAAUUACUUUGAUGAUAGCCAAAAGCUCUCAUUGAUUUUGUGAACCUUCCAAACCAUGCUCUCGGGGAUUGCUUCAACCCAUACAAUGACUUCUUCAAUUCGCACACCUUCUGACAUUGCUUUUCUGACACCAUGCAUCCUGGUGGAAGAUCCAUAUAUACUUCUUCAGAUAAAUCGCCAUGCAGAAAGACAUUUUUUACAUCGAACUAUUGUAAUGGCCAAUCUAGGUUUGCAGCUAAAGACAAUAAUACUCGAACUGUGUUGAUCUUAGCUACAGGUGCAAAUGUCUCUGUGUAGUCAAUUCCAUAAGUUUGAAUGUACCCACUAGUCUUGCUUUAAAUCGUUCAAUACUACCAUCUGCCUUGUACUUCACAGUAUAGAUCCAACGACACCCAACUAGCUUCUUUCCUGGUGGACAUUCUACGAGUUCCCAUGUUUCAUUUUUCUGCAAUGAUUUCAUCUCUUCAUUCAUGGUUGCUUUCCACUUUGGAUCAGCUAAAGCUUCCUGCACACUAUUAGGAAUAGCUACAGUAGAUAAUUGAUUUACAAAUGACUUAUUUGAUUCAGACAAACCAUGGUGUGGACCCGCAUUUUUCACGUGCGCCUCUACUCGAUCGGCGAGACUCGCUUUCUAUUUGUGAAAAAUUAAUUUUAGAAAAGUUGGAGUCGCCACCUAUUUUAUUUUUAUUUUGAAGGGAAAAUAAAACAAGAAAGAAAAACCCUAAAAAGUGACUCCAUAGUUUUGGAAAAAGCAUGUCUUUGGGAAACCUGAGUCUAGGUCCGGGGAUCAUGUUACUUAUUGGGAAGGUACCUCUAGGAGGUAGCACCCCUCUAAGCCUUAUGAAGGUCUCUACUAACUAAAUUAAGGGAAGUGUGGCAAUAAAUCGAUUGAUCAUAGAUACCUAAGUAGACUAGGUGAUUUUAAAGUGUGGCAUGUCAAACACAAUCAAAUUGCAAUAAAGGAGAGUUAGGGCGCGUACCUGAACCGCUUCUCAAGCGCUAUCAUAAAACAUCAAUGGUUAAUUUAAAUAAUAUAUCAUCCAGCAUGUAUUUUAUUAGAAAUAAUCAAACAAUGAAACAUGUAUAUCAGAACACUCAAGCAUUAUUAGACAUAAGCAUUAUUUCACUAUUCACAGAAUUCAGAAAGUAGGUGAUAGAGGACAUACCUGGAUAGCAUAGAUAAUUUGUAAUGUGCUUCCUCAAGUUGUAAGGGGUUAGAUAACAAAUAAUAAAAUAUAGAAAUCCUAGCAUGCUCGUUAUCUAAUUAGCAUAGCAAAAGUGAUCACAGUAUACAGAAUCAUCAAUUAUCACAUACAUCUUGUAUAUAAUUCCUAAAAAAAAUAGAUAGACAUGAUUUCAACAAGUGUCAAAUGUGGCAACAAAAAUAAAUUUUGAAAAGAUUUUCUUAUGUAGGGGUUUCACCAAUUCCCCAAAUUAAUAUACACGAAUUUAGCUUAGAAUUAUCCCAUUUAUUUGGGACUACAAGCUUUGAUUCGUGUUUUUGUUCAAAACCAAAAAUUUUUGUUGAAAAUCAAGAAGGAUGCGAACCGAACAAGAUAUGGUUGCAUAUUAUUUUUAAAUAAAUAAAUAAAUAAAUAAAGGAGAUUUUGAUCCUGAGGACUUUAAUGAGUUUUUUUUUUUAAAAUAGAUUUUUAAAAUGAUUUUUUUGAGAAAAGUAUUUUAUUUUAAAAUAAAAGGGAUUAAUUUGGGAAAAAAAUAAAAUAUAAGAAAUAAAAUACCAAACAAAACAAAAAUGAAACCUCAAAGUAAAAUUUUUUUAGUAAUUAACAAAAAUGAUAAUGGUGAUGGUAGAGGGCAAUCUUCAUGAUUUUCCAAUGGCCUCAGAAAGAAAAUCAAAUUAAAUGAAGGAUCACUAACAGGCAAGACAUUCUAAAUUAGACAAACUAACAAAGUAUCAAUUCAUGAACUAACCGCUAGGAUUUUGAAAGCAUAUAAGCUAAGAUAAGGGUGAUCAGGAACUAAUAUUAAUGAUUUUGAAAUAAAAACUAAAAAAAAGGAUCAAUUCGGGUAAGGAACUAAAAUUAUAAAAGUACCUAAACUAAUUAUGACGAGUUUGACUAAAUUAAACUAAAAACAUGAACUUUCAAACAUAGAAUUAAUUUUACUAAUGAACCAAAGCAAACUAAAAAUAUGUACUUUCAAGCAUAGAAUUAAUUUUAUUGAUGAACUAAACUAUAACAAAUAUCUAAACUAAAUAUAAUGAAUCAAAUUAAAUUAAAGCAACUUAAAAACGCAAACUUUCAAACAUAGAAUCAAUUUUAUCAAUGAAUUAAAACUAUAAAUGUAUUUGAACUAAAUAGAUGAAUCAAACUAAAUCAGAGCAAAAUUAAAAAAAAAAAAGAACUUUCUAACAUGAAAUCAAUUUUAUCAACAAAUAAAUGAAUGAAUAACAAGUAAUUAAAAGAAUAGCUACUACAUGAAUAACUGAAUGAAUAAAAUUCAAAUGUUUUCAAUCUGAAGCAAUCAAUCAAAAUUAAAUAGGGAUCAAAUCAAAAUAAUCGAAAUCGGAAAAACAAUAUGCAAUCUUUCUAAAGGUUUAACCAGACAAUUGAAUUAAAAUUAUGAAUAGAAUAAAUUAAUAAACCAAAUCGAAACCUAAAUUGUACCUAAAAAGAUUAAUUAAUUAAACUAAGAAAUCAAAAUCAAUAACAAAACUAAACUAAGGAGUAAAUUAAGACAAGACUAAUUAAAUUAAACUCACAAACACGUUUUAACUAUCAUAUGGAUUAAAACAAAAUUAGCAUGGACUUAUGAAUUACGAACAAAAAUAAUCAAAACUAUUUUAAAAAACUCACCUCUAUUAUAAGAAAAAAUCUGCCUUUGAUGCGUUGAGGUGGCUCCCCUCUCUGUGUGGAUCUCUCUGCUCCCCAGAAAAAAAAUGUCUCUUCCUCCGUUCUCUUUUGUUUCAGCAAAAUAAUAUAUCCCCUGCUGUGGAUCUCUCUACUCCCAGAAAAUAAUAUAUUCUCUCCGUGUCCUAAAGUGGACCUAGGGUGCCUAAGUGGACCUAGGGUGCCUAAAUGGGCCUAGGGUGCCUAAAUGGGCCAAGUGUAUCUAAAUAGGCUUAGGGUGCCUAAGUGGGCCUAAGUCUAAGUGAGCCUAAGUCUAAAUCAAGACUACCAAGGAUCAUAAUAAGGGGUUAGGCAAUCCCUUAACCAAAGUCUCCAAGGUGGCUAAAAAAAAGUAAGUAGUAUGAGUAGCUAUGGGUCACCAAGGAACUACUGUGGAGCAUUGAAAACGAAUUUAAAGACAUGUGCCAAAGGGACAAAAUUGAGGGUCUACAGAUGGUUAGACACAUAGUUGCUCAUGGGAUAUUUGACUUUGGUAAACAAUUCAGAUUCAUAUGUGGGUUUAGGAAUACCUUUAUUAUGACGGUGUGGUAAUCGUUUCAUGAAUGGAUCAGGUUGCAAAUUAAGAACACCCUCAGCAAACAACGAUUGGUUUGGUAUUUCAGUGAAGACAUCUUCGAACCCAAAUUGUUGACCACUCAUAUCCAACUCACCCGCUUCCUGGUUCACUAGUUCAGAUUGUCCAAAUUCAUCAUUCUCAUAGAUAUGAUAAUCAUAAUCGAGAGUCUGAAUUUCCUUAUGGUACUCCCCCUGAAGUUCAGACUUAGAUGAAAAAUACAUCGAAUAUUCAUGAAACAGCNNNNNNNNNNNNNNNNNNNNNNNNNNNNNNNNNNNNNNNNNNNNNNNNNNNNNNNNNNNNNNNNNNNNNNNNNNNNNNNNNNNNNNNNNNNNNNNNNNNNNNNNNNNNNNNNNNNNNNNNNNNNNNNNNNNNNNNNNNNNNNNNNNNNNNNNNNNNNNNNNNNNNNNNNNNNNNNNNNNNNNNNNNNNNNNNNNNNNNNNNNNNNNNNNNNNNNNNNNNNNNNNNNNNNNNNNNNNNNNNNNNNNNNNNNNNNNNNNNNNNNNNNNNNNNNNNNNNNNNNNNNNNNNNNNNNNNNNNNNNNNNNNNNNNNNNNNNNNNNNNNNNNNNNNNNNNNNNNNNNNNNNNNNNNNNNNNNNNNNNNNNNNNNNNNNNNNNNNNNNNNNNNNNNNNNNNNNNNNNNNNNNNNNNNNNNNNNNNNNNNNNNNNNNNNNNNNNNNNNNNNNNNNNNNNNNNNNNNNNNNNNNNNNNNNNNNNNNNNNNNNNNNNNNNNNNNNNNNNNNNNNNNNNNNNNNNNNNNNNNNNNNNNNNNNNNNNNNNNNNNNNNNNNNNNNNNNNNNNNNNNNNNNNNNNNNNNNNNNNNNNNNNNNNNNNNNNNNNNNNNNNNNNNNNNNNNNNNNNNNNNNNNNNNNNNNNNNNNNNNNNNNNNNNNNNNNNNNNNNNNNNNNNNNNNNNNNNNNNNNNNNNNNNNNNNNNNNNNNNNNNNNNNNNNNNNNNNNNNNNNNNNNNNNNNNNNNNNNNNNNNNNNNNNNNNNNNNNNNNNNNNNNNNNNNNNNNNNNNNNNNNNNNNNNNNNNNNNNNNNNNNNNNNNNNNNNNNNNNNNNNNNNNNNNNNNNNNNNNNNNNNNNNNNNNNNNNNNNNNNNNNNNNNNNNNNNNNNNNNNNNNNNNNNNNNNNNNNNNNNNNNNNNNNNNNNNNNNNNNNNNNNNNNNNNNNNNNNNNNNNNNNNNNNNNNNNNNNNNNNNNNNNNNNNNNNNNNNNNNNNNNNNNNNNNNNNNNNNNNNNNNNNNNNNNNNNNNNNNNNNNNNNNNNNNNNNNNNNNNNNNNNNNNNNNNNNNNNNNNNNNNNNNNNNNNNNNNNNNNNNNNNNNNNNNNNNNNNNNNNNNNNNNNNNNNNNNNNNNNNNNNNNNNNNNNNNNNNNNNNNNNNNNNNNNNNNNNNNNNNNNNNNNNNNNNNNNNNNNNNNNNNNNNNNNNNNNNNNNNNNNNNNNNNNNNNNNNNNNNNNNNNNNNNNNNNNNNNNNNNNNNNNNNNNNNNNNNNNNNNNNNNNNNNNNNNNNNNNNNNNNNNNNNNNNNNNNNNNNNNNNNNNNNNNNNNNNNNNNNNNNNNNNNNNNNNNNNNNNNNNNNNNNNNNNNNNNNNNNNNNNNNNNNNNNNNNNNNNNNNNNNNNNNNNNNNNNNNNNNNNNNNNNNNNNNNNNNNNNNNNNNNNNNNNNNNNNNNNNNNNNNNNNNNNNNNNNNNNNNNNNNNNNNNNNNNNNNNNNNNNNNNNNNNNNNNNNNNNNNNNNNNNNNNNNNNNNNNNAACCAAAGGAAGCAUGUUCCAGACGUCGAUGCCACAACCAAAUUUCAGACUUUUUCUUCUCCUCCUUAGAUCCAUCUGCCAUCAAGGCUUGUUGCAACUUAUUUGAAUCCUUUGAUUGCAAGUCCAAGUAUAGAGUUUCCCCCGCUUAAUACGACAACCAAUCGUCUGUCUUGUUUGAAUGUCCUUAAUCACACAAAAUUCAGGCCAAAAAAUGACAAUACAAGAUAAGGCUGCAGUGAUUUGAGAAACUAACAAAAGAUUGUAAUCUAAAGAUGGAACAACUAAAACAGAAUCCAAAUUCAAAGUAUCAGUAAGAGUUAAGGAUCCUUCCCCAAUGACUGGGGUUGUGUUACCAUUGGCUGUGGAAACAAUUUUUUGUGAGGAAGGUCUAAGGGGUGAAACCUGUCUAGAAUCAAAAGUCAUAUGAUCUGUAGCACCAGAAUCAAUUAUCCAUGCACUAUUAAUAACAGGUGUAAAAGUAUUUAAAAACUUACCACAAUGAUCUGUAGCGGCUACUAAUGCAGAGACUUUCUCAACAACAUUAGUCUUUGUUUUUAUUUCGGUAACAGUUGCAAUCAAGGUUUUCUUGGAAUUCUUCUUCCGUUGAUCACGAUUAUUAUCAUUAAUAACAAAGUGUUGAUAGCCUAAACAUGAUCUAAAGGUCCAUGGUGCAAACCCUCGGUUCCUCAUUGUUUUCCUGGUCAUACCAAGAGUUGUUGCUUUGAAAUUGUGGGAUAUCCAGACUGGUGGGAUCAGUUUUAUUGCAGUGAGUGCAUUUGAAUGUUGACUUAUCAAUAUUAGGGCUUGUCUUCGGAUGGUUGAUUGCUGUUGGACUACCAUAGCGACAAAAUAUCCAGGAUUUCAAUUCCAGGGCUCUGAUACCAUCUUCAAAUUGAUGAAUGAUAGUUUUUCAUUCAUUCUUUCAUGUACAGAGUAUAUAUAGAGGGUAAUCACCAUUCUAAGAAUGGGAAAGAAUGAUACGAGGAAAUAAUGAUAUAAGGAAAUAAUAACUAAUAUCCUAAUAUCUCAACUUUCCUAAUAUCUCAAUAUUCCUAAUAUCUCAACUUUCCUAAUAUCUAAACAUUCAUAAUAUCUCAACACUAAAUGAUACAAGGAAAGAAUGAUAUAAGGAAAACAUUCCUAAUAUCUCAACACCACUUCAUGAUAUAUAUAGUUUCUUACCCUUAAUCAAUGGUUUCUAAGUGAAUUUAUAUAGAAAGAAAUCCAAACUGUAGACAGCAGUAUUGGUAACACUCAAUAUUCUGUAUAUAAUAGAAUAAAUAGCGUCACAGUGAUCGUCGCCUACAAGCAAGGUACAAAUACCACAAAGAGUGACCCACAUAGACAUUCCCCAACAAGAUGUAGUAGUGACUGACACAUAGCCACAAUUAACACGUAGAAAAGGAUAAGACCGGUGCACAGUAGCUCUUAUUUUACAUACUACUUAUGCCAACCAAAGUCACUCAGUUGGGAUGGGAGGGAGAUGGAGGUUUGUGCGGUGGCUUGUGGGGCGGAGUUGAUGGCUUCUUUCCAGGAGCUUCUGGCUUUUUCAUCGGAGCUGAAGGAGGCUCAAUCUUAUGAGGCGGCUUGUACGAGUCUUCUUUGCUCUCGAAAGGAGGGUGGCCAGGGUUGUGACCAUAAUGUGGUGGUUUCUCUCCCUUGGGAGGUUUACCAAUUGGGGUUGGUGGCUUGUGUUCUGGGAGUGGUUUCUCUCCCUUGGGAGGUUUAGUGGGUGACUUGUGUUCUGGAGGUGGCUUCUCCACCGAAGGCUUGUGCUCCGGUGGUGGCUUUUUGGUUGGAGGGGGCUUGGGGUAAUCAGCAAGAGAUGGGGUGGUGAGAACCACCAGUCCAAGGAACAACACUAGCAAGUAUGUGGGAGACAUUUUUGAGUUUGGGCUGAUCAGAUGAUGCAAAACUAAAGCAUUACGUGACCUUUUAUAGCAAGUAGCUCCCAAUACCUACUUGACACGUGUUACUGUGACCCAUAAAUAUUAUGGGGUCUAUUUGUGCCCUACCGGGUUGAAAACUUGGACAAUUGGGCAAGGACCCGCCUGACUAUGGAGGACUACUGAGGUGUGAUCACAGCUUUAGGAUUUUUCUUCCUCUGCAGCCGUCUUGCCGUUGGCAUGAUUUUCUUAAUCUCAAAUAAAGGCAUAGUUAUAGAGUUGUUUAAUCUCUAAAUGGGAUUUUAUAUAUCUUCAGAUAGCCAUUAAUACAUUUGAUGAAGAAAGAAAGACAAGUGCAUACAACAUGUAUACGACUAGCUUUCAUGGAGUUCAUUUAUGAUCAGUUUUCCUGUACAUGUAAACCAAGAUCAUAUAUGUUUUUGUUCCACAACAAUUUUGGAAUCUUGUUUAUCCGUUUUUAUCAUUAUAAUGUCACAUAGGCUGCCAACUUGGGCGCUAAAUUAAAGAUCCAGUUGGGCAAGUUCGUUUCAGAAUUUCAAUGGUGGAUUCAGGAAUUGUUUUAUAAGAUAUGCAAAAUAGUAGAGGGAUGAAUAGUGUUUCAUUAAGAAAAGAGCCCUGUAAAAAUAUUGUUUAAAGGUGCCAUAGAAACUAUAAUCAAUAAAUAACUUUUUUUCCCCAUGGGUGGUGUUUCUUGUGGGGAUCAGUGACUGGUUUGAGUCAACGCCGUGUCUCUUUAGUCCAGAAAUCAACUAUUUUAUGCAUUGAAUACAUCAACAAAGAAAAUAUGAAAGCCAAAUGACACCUCCCCCGCAAAAACUAAACCCUGGUUGCUAACUUUCUAUGUUUCAGUUCCAUUCACACAAGAAUAUUAGUUCAAGUUUGAGAAAAAUGGCGACUUACCUAGUGAUAACUCGGUCUUGGUUUGCGAUUUGACUUUAACGUCAUGGGUUGAAGCCUCCUACAAUCAUCGUGUAUGCUAGUUCAAAGCUCGUGGAAGAAGUUAUACAGGGAGGGAGAAACCUCCACAGCAAGCUCCAAAAGAGAAUUAUCACAUUGAAAGCUCCAGUUGAACACUGGGUGAAAGCCAUAACAAGAUUGGUUUUCUAUCGCUCUUUUAAGUAAUGGAAGAUUAUUAUCUCUGCUUGUCACUACAACCGUGCAUGCUGCUAGAUCUUUCUAGACACUUCAAACAGUGAAACCAAGUAUGAUUCUUUUUCUCUUGAGUGGGUCCACUUGCAUGCCAAUGAACGAGUUGAAAAGUUGGACAAUUGGCCACAGCGCGCACUUACCUUCUGGAACCGAAGGUCAGUGAAGUGGGGUUCCUUUUGGCCCCUUGUGUUUCUGUUCCAACCUACUCCAGGAACCGAAGUUCAGUGAAGUGGGGCUACUUUUGGCCUCUUGUGUUUCUGUUCCAACCAAACAAAAAUGGGAGGGAAAAAUAGCAUUAUGCUUGUGCUAAAGAUCAACGCAUGAUAGCUGAAUAAGGGAGAAAAAGGCAUUGCUAUCUCAAUUUCAUAAACUUGAUAAGUAGUGACAUUAAUAGUCUUCCUCAUAGAUGGAUACAUGGUUUUAUUUUAUUUAUUUAUUUUUAUUUUUUUGUUUUAUGUCAAUGCUAAUGAAUGAAGUGCAUUAGCUUGUUUUGUGACUAGAACUACAAAUGUCCAAAUUGGAGCUUCUCCAAUAUAUUUCUCAGUGAGUUAUUGAUUAGAACUCUUGGAUUGAGUUCCAAGAUUUGAAUCAGACCCCUCUAGCAGCUUCAGGGGUACGUAGCAACCUAUAGCAUAUUAAUGAAGACUUAGGAUUUAGACUUAGGAAUACAAAUUAAUAUGUACCUCAUGCUCUGACUAGCUUCCCUGCGUAUGCACAAAAUGGAGAUGACUCCCAAAAAAAUAGCAGAAUCGCCUUAGUAUGUUUUUGUGGUUAAGAUGAUUCUCCACUUUAUAUAUCCACAUUGGUUCAUUAUGCAAAUUAAUCAACUAAGCUAUUUUUAUUUUUUCUUAAAUGUGAAAUAGGAGCUCCAAAUUAACCUAACCAUUGGCCUGAUUGAAUUGAUUUCACUUGCAUAAUGUUAUAGUAGAAGUCCGUAAUUUGAAUUUUAUUUUUGCAAAAGGUAACGUAAAUGAAGCAUUGUAAUUAAAUUUAUUUGUAAUUACAAACUAAUUUUAUUUUAUUAAGAAUUAAUUUAAUUACUCAUUUAAAAUAAAAAUCAGUUAUACUUUUACCAAGAUGAUAAUAUUCAUAUUUUUCUAGUUAACAUAUAUAAAAUAGUACACUUUUUCAUAUAAAAAAAUAAUUUAUGAUUUAUUAUAAUGUUACUAUUCACAUUUUACUAAAUUGAUGGUACAUGAUAGUGAGAGAAGGGGGUGUCACACUCAGCUAAAGUUCUUUUCAAAAUAUUGCAUGGUGUUUAAUUUUAUGUGUCGGCGCGCGUGUGAAUGGAACCUGCAAAAGUCCAAAUUGGCGUUUCUCCAUUUUCCACAUAGGAUGGUGACGUUAAUAGACAAAGAUACAAUAUCUGUAGACAUUGCUUAAAAAUCGAUGUGAAGUAUUAGAAAUUACAGGGCACUGUACUGGGGGAGCGGCUGCCCCGCCAAAGGAGGAAGAAUGUAGCAAUUUCUUCUGUUAGCCAGGCCUUAGGAUUUAUGCAUGGGAUGCCUAAUAACAAACAGAGAAAAUAUACUUUUGGGGAAGGUAUCCAACAACAGACACCAUCAUUCAGAUGGUGGGAAGGUAUCCAACAGAUGCCAUCAUUCAGAUGGUAACAUAUAUAUACAUUUAUUAGUGAGUUUUUUUAAUACCUAUAAAAAAAAAUAUACACUUUGAUAUUGUGGCUGAAUCCAUUACAUACUCAACUAACCUUGCUCAUUAGGGAUUUGACUUAACAAGGGCAACGUUGCAGUACAAGCUCAAAACUUUAUGCAGGUGACAUUACAUUUGGUAAAGAAGAGGAAAAUAACGAAAGCCAUCCAUAAAAGCAAAAUUCCACAUGGGAUGAAAUUCACAAGCUUCAUUUACGAUAGAGUCGCAUCCAGGCAAUUAAUUCCACAUUAGACCGCCUGUUGACAUGUGUACCAAUCUUUUUUCAAAAAAUAUUUAUAAAUAAUUGAUACUCACAAAAAUAAUUUAAUAUUUAUAAAGGAUAAAAAAAUAUUUUCAAAUCUAUAACAAUUUAUAAAAUAUUAAUAAAAAAUUAUCUCUUAAACUUAGUAUAGUUUUAUCAGAUUAAACUUUUAUUUUGAACAAAUAAUUUUAAUCUAAGUUUUAAAUUCUAAAAUUAUUUCCUUAAAAUAAAAUUUUAAAAUUCAACACUUCAAUUGAAAUUGUCUUUUUAAAAAAUAUCUUCUUAUUUUAAUCCUUAUAAACUAUAGUUGAUUGAAAAUACUAUUGAAGUUCUCUCUUAAAAAAAAGUCUUAUUUUAAUCUUCAUAAAUUGCCCUUGAUUUGAAAAUAAAUUUUCAGUUAUCAUAUUUUAAAUAAUAUCUAUAUUUAAAAUACUCUAUUUAAAAAAAAAUGAACUAAUUUUAAUUAUAUUAUAUUUUAUUUUUUUAUAUAUUUUUAAUGAUAAACCAAACAUAGAAAAUCAUUUUUCUAAAUAUUUUAAAAUUUCUAAGCAACCAAACAUAAUCUUCAAAAUAAAAGGAAAAUAAGGAGGGACAUUUGAGAAAUGGCGAUUAAAAAAAAGUGUACAAAAGCUCAAUUAAUUUUCUUCUAGUCUUUUAUAUAAAAAAGUAAAGGAAUUGAAAAGUAUUGAUAUGUAAAUUAAUAUUUGGAUUUUAAUAGUAUUUUAUUUGUCUUUCUCUAUCUCAUGUAAAAGAGAAUUUAAGAUAUUUCCUAAAGCAAAGCAUUAGUUAUCUGCAAUCAGUGGUGAUCAUGCCCCAUGUCAAUUUCGGACCCAUAUCUUAAAACUGUAUAAUUUGCAUUCAAACAUUACUGAUUUCUCAGAUGUUUCAUACUCCACAGAAGAGCAUUGUUUGUGAAAGCAUGCAUUUAUGUUGGAUUUUGGAUGAUGUGGGAACUGGGGCAAGGAUCAUAUGGAAGAGUGGUCGAUUUUGUUCUGUACUUUAACAUUUGAAAUAGGAGAAGCUCGGGCAUUUGUGGGGCUUAAUUGAUUUUGAAGCCUGAAAUUGCGUUUCUGUCAUUUUGUAAAAAAUAUGGCAGAUUCCAUGCUCUCAUAUGUUUGGUCUGUGGCCAUGUAUAGAUGCCCCUUAGUGACCAGUUUGUAACUGUCAAUCAUAGUGUUUUGACUCUGGCUCAACAACAUCAGCCAUUGACGGAUUUUCAUACUUGCAAAUCAAAUAGUCUUCUUCCUCCCUUAGGAAUUUCGGUUUAAAUGUUAUUAAGCAUACAUUUGGCUGACAAUUAUUAACCACUUCAUGAUAUGGUUUCUUACCCUUAAUCAAUGGUUUCUAAGUGAAUAUAUGCAGAAGGAAAUCUGAACUGUAGACAGCAGUAUUGAUAACUCUCAAUAUUCUUUAUAUAAGAGAAUAAACAACGUCAUAGUGAUCGUCGCCUACAAGAAAGGUACAUUUCCCAACAAGAUGUAGUUGUGACUGGUACAUGGACGCAAUUAACUCGUACAAAAGAAUAAGACCAGUGCACGGCAGCUCUUAUUUUACAUGCUAAUUAUGCUAACCAAAGUCACUCAGUUGGGAUGGGAGGGAGAUGGAGGUUUGUGCGGUGGCUUGUGGGGCGGAGUUGGUGGCUUCUUUUCAGGAGCUUGUGGCUUUUUCGGAGCUGAAGGAGGCUCAAUCUUAUGAGGCGGCUUGUACGAGUCUUCUUUACUCUCGACAGGAGGGUGGCCAGGGUUGUGACCAUAAUGUGGUGGCUUCUCUCCCUUAGGUGGCUUGCCAACUGGGGUUGGUGGCUUGUGUUCAGGAAGUGGUUUCUCUCCCUUGGGAGGUUUACCAAUUGGGGUUGGUGGCUUGUGUUCUGGGAGUGGUUUCUCUCCCUUGGGAGGUUUAGUGGGUGACUUGUGUUCUGGAGGUGGCUUCUCCACCGGAGGCUUGUGCUCCGGUGGUGGCUUCUCCACCGGAGGCUUGUGCUCCGGUGGUGGCUUCUUGAUUGGAGGGGGCUUGGGGUAAUCAGCAAGAGAUGGGAUGGUGAGAACCACCACUCCAAGGAACAACACUAGCAAGUAUGUGGGAGACAUUUCUGAGUUUGAGCUGAUCAGAUGAUGCAAAACUAGAAGAAUUACGGGACCUUUUAUAGCAAGUAUCUCCCAAUACCCACAUGACACGUGUUACUAUGACCAUAAAUAUUAUAGGGUCCAUUUGUGCCCUACCGGGUUGAAAACUUGGACGCUUGGCCGAGGACACACCUGACUAUGGAGGACUAUUGACGUGUGAUCACAGCUUUUGGAUUUUUCUUCCUGUGCAGCUGUCUAGCGGUUGGCAUUAUUUUCUUAAUCUUAAAUAAAGGCAUAGUUAUAGAGUUGUUUAAUCUCUAAAUGGGAUUUUAUAUAUCUUCAGAUAGCCAUUAAUAUAUUUGAUGAAGAAAGACAAGUGCAUACAACAUGUAUACGGCUUGCUUCAAUCGAGUACAUUUAUGAUCAGUUUUCCUGUGCAAGUAAACCAGUUUUUUGUUCCACAACUAUUUUGGAAUCUUGUUUAUCAGUUUCUAUCAUUAUAAUGUCACAUAGGCUGCAAACUUGGGCACCCAAAGAUCUAGGUGGGCAAAUUUGUUUCAGACUUUCAAUGGUGGAUUCAGUAAUUGUUAAAAGGUGUUUCUUCAUUAAGGAAAGAGUCCGGUAAAAAUAUUGUUAAAAGGUGUCAUAGAAACUAUAAUAAAUAAAUAACUUCUUUUCCCCAUGGGUGGUGUUUCUUCUGGGGAUCAGUGACUGGUUAGGGUCACCCAAAAUGAGUCCAGAUUAAAAUUGGUUCGAGUCAAAGCAGUCUCUUUUGUCCAGAAAUCAACUAUUUUGCGCAUUGAAUGAAUCGAUAAAGAAAAAAUGAAAGCCAAAUCACACCUCCCCUGCAAAACCUAAACCCCGGUUGCUAACUUUCUAUGUUUCAGUCCUAUUCAUAUAGGAAUAUUGGUUCAAGUUUGAGAAAAAUGGCAACUUACCUAGGGUUUACUUGGUUUUGGUUUGCGACUAUUUACGCAACCAACCAUGAGUUUGACUUUAACGUCAUGGGUUGAAGCCUCCUACAAUCAUGUAUGAUAGUUCAAAGCUCGUGGAAGAAAUUAUACAGGAAGGAAGAAACCUCCAAAGCUAGCUCCAAAAGAGAAUUAUCACAUCGAUAGCUCCAGAGAUUCCCAAGGGAACUGAAUCAAAGACAAGUUCCUCACUUUUUCUUCUUUUGAGGCCAAAUAUGAACCAAGGAUCACACGACCUCAUUCAACUUCAUAAGUUUGAUUUCAUGCAGUUGAACACUGGGUGAAGGCCAUGACAAGAAUUGAUUAAAAAAUUCUACCACUCUUUUAAGUAAUGGAAGAUUAUUAUCUCUGAUUGGCACCACAACAGCACAUGCUGCUAGAUCUUUCUAGACACUCCAUGCAAUGAAAGCACAAUGGAUCUUGUAAUGAUAGAAACUAAGCCAUGCUACAGUACUAGAUGAGGGGGUAAAACUAGUAGACAUCUUUCUAGACACUCCAUGCAAUGAAAGCACAAUGGAUCUUGUAAUGAUAGAAACUAAGCCAUGCUACAGUACUAGAUGAGGUGGUAAAACUAGUAGACAUGGCUGGCAGUUGAUUACUACUCAAAAAGUACUCUUUUAUAGCUUGAAACUAACUGUUUUAAACACUUUUGAGUAGUAGUUAAUACCUUUUAACUUAAUUGGCACAUUAAGGAACCUAGCAAGGGUUACUAAUCAACAUUUGGCAAGUUUUGAUGUUUUUGGUAGCUAUUUGAUCAUUGAAACAAGCCAAGAAUGAGGGGGAAUUUUGUGAAGUCCAUGGCAAUGCAAGUUAAAGCUCAAAUACAUGAAGAAUCCAAGCUUUGGAGCACUUCAUAGCCCUUUGCCAAGCCAAUCAAAGAUGCAAGGAAGAAAACCAAAGGAAGAAAUCCAACAAUCAGCAUUUUGGCAUGGCUAUGUGAAAUUUCGCACACCAUGCGAAACCACAAGAGGCAGCCAAAGAAUUUCGCAUGGUAUGCGAAAUCUUCUUGUGCACUGACUCUGUUAGAUUUUUAUCUUCAGAUAUUUUGUGUAAUUUCCUAGUUUCUCCUUGUAACCAACUUAGAUAUUUUCUUUUAUAUCUUUUUUUAUAUUUUUUAGGUAACAUCAUAUAUAAGAGGAGAGACAUAAGGAGGAUAUGGAUGUUUUUCAUAGAACACUUGUAAAUUUUUGGUAGUAAGAAAUAUACAAAGCUUUUUGCUCUGCCUUACCUUCUCAAGGGAUGAGUGGCUAGGUUUUCUUGGAGUGAGGGAAGCUAGGUGAAGGACCUGAAUGCAAAGGUGGGAGUUUUCCUUACUUUAAAUGAAAGUAGUUGUUAAACAUUAAUGGUUUUUAUUUUAAGGUUUAGCUUUAAAUCCCUGAAAAACACCUUGAAUGGCCAAUACUUGGUAAGCUUUUUAGAUUCUAUGGAUGCUUAUUGCUAGAUCCAUGGAUGUCUAUUAGUUAUCAUUUACGAGCCAUUGGAAGGUGAUUCAAGGUGAGGGUCUUUAGUGUUUGAAGCCAUUAAUGGGAAGCAAUUACCAUUUUUUCAUGAAUCCUUUGGAUCAAAUCUUAAUUGCUAAAUAUAAAACCGGUUUCGAGAGAUAACCACCAUCCUUUAUGUUAUUAUCCCCAACGCGAGGAGAAGAUCCGAAAUCUUCCUUUUUAUCUAAGGAACCCGAUCCUAGUGACCUAAAGCUCCAAGAUACCUUUUCUUUGUAGUUAACUUCAUUUAUUGUUUUUGCUUAACUUAAAAUCAAUCUUUGCAACCACAAUUCCAUUUUCUUUAAAAGCUAAUUUUUAUAAGGAAAAACACCAUUUUAUUUCCUUCACUAAGUCAACUGUACGAUGAAAACCCAUCCCUGUGGACGAUCCUAGAGCCACUAUACUAUGUUAGCUAUGCUACCCUAGUGUGAGGUGAUUUAGGUUUUAUAAAUUUUUUUGAUAACACCCAUCUGAGCCAGAAUCAAAUGGCACGACUGAACCAGGGACGAAUCAAAUGACGCCGCUACCAAGGAUGGUGCCAAAGUACAUUGACAUGACUUUUGGUGAACACUUGUGAUCUUCACCACAAGUUUGGUGAUUUUUCUUUUACUAAUUUUUUUUAUUUUAGCUUAUCUUUUAUUUAGUUUUUAGUUAACCUUAAAUUUUUCCUAGAAUUGUAUUUCUUUUGUUUUCUUUGUUUUUGUUUCAGUGAUCUUUAGUUGUGCAUGCCCUAUUGGAUAAGAGAUAUUGAGGGAAUACUUGUGAAGAUUGAAACUCCUCGAGAAACUGAGUUAGAAGUGUGCUUGAACAUCAUGGAUGUUCCACCUGAAGACCAGAAUAGCCAACAUGGUUAAGAGGAUAAUUUCAACACAUACCGAUCCAUGAGGAACCGCAUACAUCCACCUUGUAUGAGUGCACCGUCAGGCAUAAUGCCUCCCACUGAGCAGCUAGUAAUCUGACCUCACAUUGUGCCACUCCUACCUACUUUCCAUGGGAUGGAGAGUGAGAAUCCCUACUCGCAUAUUAAGGAAUUCGAGGAGGUUUGUAAUACAUUCCAAGAAGGAGGAGCUUCAAUUGACUUGAUGAGGCUCAAGCUAUUUCCUUUCACUUUGAAGGAUAAGGCCAAGAUUUGGCUUAAUUCUUUAAGGCCAAGAAGUAUCCAAACUUGGAUUGAUUUGUAAGCCGAGUUUCUUAAGAAGUUCUUCCCUACCCAUAGGACCAAUGGUUUGAAAAGGCAAAAUUUGAACUUCUCAGUUAAAGAGAAUGAGAAAUUCUAUGAGUGUUGGGAGAGCUACAUGGAAGCUAUUAACGUUUGUCCUCACCAUGGCUUUGACACAUGGCUCUUAGUGAGCUAUUUUUACAAUGGUAUGUCUUCUUCAAUGAAGCAACUCCUAGAAACUAUGUGUGGAGGAGACUUCAUGAGUAAGAAUCCGGAGGAAGCCAUGGACUUUUUGAGUUAUGUGGCUGAAGUUUCAAGAGGAUGGGAUGAACCAAAUGCUAGAGAGGUGGGAAGAAUGAAGUCUCAACCUAAUGCUAAGGGUGAGAUGUAUGUUUUGAAUGAAGACAUUGACAUGAAAGCAAAGGUUGCAGCUAUGGCAAGGAGAUUGGAAGAGCUAGAAAUGAAGAACAUACAAAAAGUGCAAGCCAUUUCUGAGACAUCAAUGAAAGCUAUGCCUUGUUCCAUUUGUCAAUCUUAUAAGCACCUAGUGGAGGAGUGUCCUACAAUUCCAGCAGUGAGAGAGAUGUUUGGUGAUCAAGCAAAUGUUAUUGAUCAAUUCAAGCCUAAUAACAAUGCUUCAUAUGGCAACACCUACAAUUCAAAUUGGAGGAACCAUUCAAAUUUCUCUUGGAAACGAAAGCCACCUCAAUACACACAACCUACUCAAGCACCUUAGCAAUCCUCGAAUCUUGAACAAGCUAUUGUGAACCUUAGCAAGGUUGUGGGAGACUUUGUGGGAGAUCAGAAGUCCAUCAAUGCUCAACUGAAUCGGAGAAUUGACAGUGUGGAGAGUACAUUGAACAAAAGGAUGGAUGAGAUGUAAAAUGAUCUGUCUCAAAAGAUAGACAAUGUCCAAUACGUAAUCUCAAGGCUUACCAACCUCAACACAGUGUAAGAGAAAGGAAAGUUUCCUUCUCAACCUCAUCAAAAUCCUAAGGGUAUCCAUGAAGUAGAGGCUCAAGAGGGAGAAUCUUCAAAGGUGAGGGAAGUCAAAGUAGUUAUCACCUUGAAGAGUGGUAAAGAGGUUGAUCAACCCACAUCCAAGCCAAAGCAUAAUGAAGAGAGUGUAGCAGAAAAAGAAAAGAGAGGAAAAUAAAGGAAUUAGAAUAGAGAAAAAUACAAAGAAAGAUGACCAUGAGUCUAGUGUGGAUGAAGAGCCCGAGAGGAUGGUGAUCAAGGAAGAUAUGAUGAAGAAACACAUGCCUCCACCUUUCCCCUAAGCUUUGCAUGACAAAAAAAGAACCAAUAAUACAUCAGAAAAUUUUGAAGUAUUGAGGCAAGUGAAGGUCAAUAUCCCUUUGCUAGACAUGAUCAAACAAGUGUCGACAUAUGAAAAAUUCUUGAAGGACUUGUGCACUGUAAAGAGAGGGUUGAAUGUGAACAAGAAAGCUUUAUUGACCGAGCAAGUGAGUUCCAUCAUACAGUGCAAGUCCUAGUGAAGUACAAAGAUCCGGGUUGCCGUACCAUCUCAGUGAGUAUUGGAAGGACUUGUGUGGAGAAAGCUUUGUUGGACUUGGGAGCAAGUGUGAAUUUGCUAUCCUACUCUGUCUAUAAGCAGUUGGGAUUUGGAGAGUUGAAGCCAAUAUCCAUCACUCUAUCUCUAGCGGAUAGAUCAAUGAAGAUUCCAAGAGGGAUGAUCGAAGAUGUCCUGGUUCAAGUUAACAAAUUCUACUAUCCAGUAGAUUUUGUUGUUCUUGAUAUGGAUCCGGUUGUCAAAUGAACUAAUUAUGUUCCUAUCAUACUUGGAAGACCCUUCCUAGCUACAUCAAAUGCAAUCAUCAAUUGUAGGAAUGGAGUCAUGCAACUCACAUUUGUCAACAUGACAUUAGAGCUCAACAUCUUCCAUUUGUACAAGAAGCAUAUCCAUCAGGAGGAAAAAGAAGGUCUAGAGGAAGUGUGAAUGAUUGACACUUUAGUGGAAGAGCAUUGUGAUCGAGAAUGCAAAAAGAUUUAGUUGAGAAUUUUGGGGAUCUUGAUGAAAGGUUACUUGAACCCUCAGAUUUGCUUGCUACCCUACUCCAUUGGAAGAGAAGAGAAGAAAUUCUACCCUUAUUCAAUGAGGAGGAGACGCAAAGAGCUGCAAAGGAGAAACCCCCAAAACUUAUUCUUAAGCCACUACCCACAGAGUUGAAGUAUGUAUACUUGGAAGAAGACAAGAAGUGCCCUAUUGUUAUAUCUUCAACUCUUACCAUUCAUCAGGAGGAUUGUCUACUUGAAGUCCUUAGAAGAUGUAAGAAGACAAUAAGGUGGCUAAUUUCUUAUUUGAAAGGGAUCAGCCCUUUAGUCUGCACCCAUCAUAUUUACAUGGAGGAUGAAGCUAAGCUAAUUCAUCAACCUCAGAGAAGGUUGAACCCUCACAUGCAAGAGGUGGUUCGAGCUGAAGUUCUGAAGCUACUUCAGACCAGUAUUAUUUACCCCAUAUCAAAUAGCCCAUGGGUGAGUCCUACUCAAGUUGCGCCAAAGAAGUCUGGGAUCAUGGUGGUGCAAAAUGAUAAGGGAGAAGAUGUCUCUACACGCCUCACUACAGGUUGGAGGGUGUGUAUCAAUUACAGGAGGUUGAAUGCAGUGAUAAGAAAGGACCAUUUCUCAUUGCCCUUUAUUGAUCAGGUGCUUGAGAGGGUCUCUGGGCUUUUUUUUUUAUUGUUUCUUGGAUGGCUACUCCGGGUACUUUCAGAUAGAAAUUGAUGUUGAAAACCAAGAUAAGACCAUUUUCACAUGCCCAUUUGGAACCUAUGCAUAAAGGAGAAUGCCUUUCGGCUUAUGCAAUGCACCCGCAACUUUCCAAAGAUGCAUGUUAAGCAUUUUCAGUGAUAUGGUGGAGCGUAUUAUGGAAGUCUUUAUGGAUGAUAUCACCAUUUAUGGAAGUGCAUUUGAUGAAUGCUUGGUCAACUUAGAAGCUGUUCUGAACCGAUACAUUGAGAAAGACUUAGUGCUUAACUGGGAGAAGUGCCAUUUCAUGGUACACCAAGGGAUUGUCCUUGGGCACAUUAUCUCCAAGCAAGGCAUUGAAGUUGACAAAGCAAAGGUUGAACUCAUUGUUAAGUUGCCAUCCUCAACAAAUGUCAAAGGAGUAAGGCAAUUCUUUGGCCAUGUCGGGUUCUAUAGGAGGUUUAUCAAGGAUUUCUCUAAGCUUGCAAGGCCUCUUUGUGAAAUAUUGGUGAAUGAUGUUAAAUUCAUAUGGGAUGAUGGAUUUGAAAGGAGUUUUGAAGAAUUGAAGCUAUUUUUGACAACCGUACCAAUAGUGAGGGCUCCCAACUGGCAACUGCCCUUUGAAGUAAUGUGUGAUGUCAAUGAUUUUGCUAUAGGAUUUUUUCUUGGGCAAAGAGAAAAUGGAAAACCUUAUGUGAUCUACUAUGCGAGGAAGGCAUUGAAUGAGGCACAAAGAAACUACACAACCACCGAGAAAGAAUUGUUAGCUGUAGUUUUUGCCUUGGAUAAGUUUCGCGCUUACUUGGUGGGGUCCUUCAUCAUGGUUUUUACUGAUCACUUUGCUUUGAAGUAUCUGUUGACUAAGCAAGAUGCUAAAGCAAGGCUGAUUAGAUGGAUUCUCUUACUUCAAGAGUUCAAUCUCCAUAUCAAAGAUAAGAAAGGAGUGGAGAAUGUGGUAGCAGACCACAUUUCAAGGCUAGCUAUCGCACAUAAUUCCCAUGCUUUGCCCAUUAAUGACGAUUUUCUAGAGGGGUCUCUCAUGUUGGUGGAAGUUGUCCCUUGGUACGCUCACAUUGCUAACUACCUGGUCACGGGAAAAGUUCCAAGUGAGUGGAAAGCACAAGAUAAGAAGCACUUCUUUGCAAAAAUUCAUGCCUACUAUUGGGAAGAGCCAUUUCUAUUCAAGUAUUGUAUGGAUCAGAUAAUAAGGAAGUGCGUUCCUGAAGAAGAGCAACAGGGGAUCCUUAGUCAUUACCAUGAAAAUGCAUGUGGAGGCCACUUUGCUUAUCAAAAGACAGCCAUGAGGGUGUUGCAAUCGGGUUUCUGUUGGCCAUCACUUUUCAAAGAUGCCCACACCAUGUGCAAGAGUUGUGAUCGAUGCCAGAGGCUUGGGAAGUUGACACGCAGGAACAUGAUGCCUUUGAACCCCACUUUAAUAGUUGAUAUUUUUUAUGUUUGGGGCACUAACUUCAUGGGACCUUUCCCUAUGUCUUUUGGCUACUCUUACAUCUUGGUAGGAGUAGAUUAUGUUUCUAAGUGGGUUGAGGCAGUCCCAUGCAAACACAAUGACCAUAGAGUGGUUCUCAAGUUUCUUAAAGAGAAUAUCUUCUCAAGAUUUGGGGUGCCCAAAGCCAUAAUUAGUGAUGGGGGUACUCAUUUUUGCAACAAGCCUUUUGAAACUCUCCUAGCCAAGUAUGGGGUGAAGCAUAAGGUAGCUACACCUUACCACCCUCAAACUCAUGGACAAGUUGAGUUAGCAAACAGGGAGAUUAAAAACAUAUUGAUGAAGGUGGUGAACACAAACAGAAAAGAUUGGUCAGUCAAGCUUCUUAAUUCACUAUGGGCAUAUAGAACAACUUACAAGACCAUUCUCGGGAUGUCUCCUUAUCGCCUAGUUUAUGGCAAAGCAUGCCAUCUCCCUGUGGAAUUGGAAUACAAAGCUUGGUGGGCAAUCAAGAAGCUCAACAUGGAUUUGAGCAGAGCUGGGUUGAAGAGGUUCUUAGACCUUAAUGAGAUGGAGAAAUUGAGAAAUGAUGCCUACAUCAAUUCAAAAAUUGCAAAAGAAAAAUUGAAGAGGUGGCAUGAUCAGUUGAUUUCCCGCAAGGAUUUUCAAAAUGGACAAAGAGUCUUACUUUAUGACUCUAAACUCCACAUCUUUCCGGGCAAGCUGAAAUCAAGGUGGAUAGGUCAUUUUACCAUUCACCAAGUGCAUUCAAAUGGAGUAGUGGAACUACUCAACUCCAACAAUAUCGAGAACUUCAAAGUGAAUGGCCACCGUCUCAAGCCCUUUGUGGAGUCUUUUUCUCACAACAAGGAGAAAUUCAUCCUCCUUGAUCCACAUCAAGCUUAACAAGACCAAUUUUCUUGAUGGACUUAGUCUUUCUAAAGACUAUCGAGUCCAUAACUUUUUGUUUUAUUUUUUAUUUGAGAUUUUUUCGGUAUUGUUACUUGUUUUGUUUUUUAUUUUUCGUUUUAAUUUUAUUUGGUUUGAUUUAACUUAGGUUUUUGAUGAUCAAUUACAGGGGGGAUUUCAAAUAGAGGAAAAACCAAGAUAAUUCGCACACCCUACGAAAAUUUCGCAAGGCAUGCGAAAUUUAUGGCUUAUUUUGCAUGGGGUGAAAAUUUUCGUACAUCUUACGAACCAAUUUCGAACACUUUGCGAAAAUAAACCAACCCUGCGAAAUCAUUUCGAUUACUCUACGAAAUUUUCGUAGAGCAUGCGAAAAAUUUAGCACACCAAACACCAUUUCGCAUACUAUGCAAAAACCUAAGGGGUCUGCGAAACCAUUUCGCACCUCCAAAUCCAUUUCGCACAUUGUGCGAAAACCAAGAGGCGCUGUGCGAAAAUGAAAAGUCGCCCUGUCAUCCCUUUUUAAACCCCUCGAGCCCUAAAAUCUCCAUUUCGCAAGCACCCCUGUCCUUGCGAAUCCCUCAUUUUCCUCUACUACCUUGCAACCUCGUCCCUUUCCAUUUGAUAUUGUGCCCCGCGCACAUCUCAUUUCAGAGACUCGCACUCCGCGCCCCCUCAAAGCAUGGACUCGAGACCCACCUUCCAUUUCCGACGUGGCACGGACCCAAGGAGCCCUUUCUGCCCCUUCACUAAGACACACACCAAGGCAGAAAGCCUCCUUUGCUCAAGUGCCUAGUGAUUCUCCAUCUUAGGCCUCAGAGGCCUCGGAGGCCCCGUGGAUUCCACCUUCCGAGGGUAGAGCAGCCAUUGGUCCUUCCUCUUCUACUCCUUAGCGUAGAUACGAGACGAGGAGACCACCUACUACACAAGGGGCGACUACUUCGAGCCUUGAGAAUUCAGUACGAUGCCUUCCUGCCAAGAGGGUCAAGACUUCAGGUCCAAGUGAGUCAUCCAGAGCUUCAUAGCCUAAGCCUCCUGUAGAUUCCAAGGUUCCUACUGACAUAUCACCGGAGUCUAUUAUCAGAAGCCCGAUGCUCAUAGCACCGCCCAUUGAGGGCAACUCAGAUUAUAGAGCGAGAUCUUUCCACUUGGAGCUAUAUUUUGAUCAGGAGGCCAUACGACAGCAGCCUGAGCUCCGAGACUCUUAUGGCUUACUGCAGAGGUACCAUCUUGAGGAACUUAUGACUCCUCGUGAGUUUUUUUAUCCCAGAGUAGCACUAAACUUUUACCAGUCCAUGACUACUCGUGGCGUCCCGAGUCCUACCACGAUUCACUUCACCAUUGAUAGACGUCAUGGUAUCCUCAAGGCCAGACAUAUUACAGAGGCUCUACAAAUUCCUUUCGAGCUAGAGGAUCCAUCUGUUUUUCGCUAAUGGUCCCCAGUAUCUCAGAGGGACAUGGUCCGUAUUUUAUCUAGGGGAACAUCUACAGAUUCGAUCUUUCUACGGAAGGAGCUUCGACCUGGGAUGCUCCUCUUAGAUGUGGUGCUAUGCUCCAACCUCUUUCCCUUACAACAUUCGGUACAUAGGUGAUGAGCUAUUUUGGACGCUUUAUUCCGUAUAUCAGAGGGCUUCUACUUUGGCCCGCACCACUUGAUCAUGGUCUCCCUCAUCCACUUUGAGGAGAAGGUUCAUAGGAAGAAGCUUCAGAGGGUGGACACCAUUCCAUUACUAUUCCUGAGGUUACUUUGCCAGGUCUUGGAGUACAUGGGCUUUCCUACUGAGCCUCGGCUCGAGCUUUGCCGCCUUUGUCGAGAGUGAUCCACUCUCGACAAAUGGAAUUAGUUGGCGGGCUAUUCUGCACCUCCAGGAGCCCCUCCCAUGGUAGCACCUCCAAUGUCCCCACAGGCAAAGUAGGGCGAGCUCCCGGCAAAGACUGUACCACCAAUGCCCACACUUGAGGCUAUUUCUGCUGCUCUGCCUAUGACUCCUACUGUUCCACCAGUUGGUCCUUUUACAUCCGAGCCUUCCAUCACCAUCUCGGCUUCGGAGUUUCGCGCCCUUGUGCAUACCUUUCAGACACUCACCACCACACAUACUCCUCUCUUCUAGCAAAUGGUUGAGAUGUGUGCCCAUCAGGACCGGAAGACUACUAUACUCUGCCAAAUUCAGCAGCACCUAAGACUUUUGCCUCAACCUCAACCUAACCAUCCCAUAUCAUCAGAGCCUCUAGCUCCAACUGAGGAUACUAUUCCACCUGAGAACACUACCACAGUAGAGGUCCGGUUUCCACCACCUUAAGAGGCCACCACAGCUACAUCAGAGGAUGUGUCAUCUCCACUUGAGGCUCCCACUACUUGAUCAUAGGACAUAUCUUUAUCUUAUUGUAUUUACAUAUUAUAUUACUAGAGAUUUGUCCUUGUUUUGAUACUUUAUAUUCUGGGAUUGGAUGUAUUGCCUGAUGAUAUCUCAAUUGUACUUUCUCAUAUUAAUAUAUAGACAUCAAUUUUUUUUAGUAUACUUAGCAUUUUUCUAUUUCCUCUACUCAUUACUCUUUUGUUUUUUUUUACUCAUGUGGUUUCUCUUAUACAACUCAGACUCCAUUUCACUCAGGAGGUACCACUUCCUCCCUUUAUUUUCAAUUGCUCUUGAAAUAUUGAGUGCAAUGUUGAUCUUGGUUGGGGGGAGAGUUGAGGAAGGAAGUUUUGUUAAUAAUGCUAGGUUAAUUUGUUAAUUUAGUUACUUUCUGCUUAAUUUUAAAAGUUUUCACUCUACUUUCCAUGGUUAUUAAGGAAAAAUUCUCAAAAUGAAAUGGGAGAAAUCGAAUUCUUGCAUUUUUACUUGAAUCUUAGAAUUUGUAUCAUGCUUAUUAAAGUUGAUGAAUUAUUGAAACUCCUAUUGAAUUCAACCUUAUUUUUUCCACUUUAAUCUUACCACACACGGUGCACAUUAGGUUCCAGUUAUAAGAUAAAAAACUAUCUCACCCCCUAAACUUAGAAAAAUUUACACUUGGUACCUUUGACAUCGUUUUAAUAGUGUUGGGACACCUUAUAAAAGGCCAAUGAGCCUUUAAAAAAAAAAAAAAAAAAAAAAAGAGAAAGAACAAAGUAUUGCACUUGCCUUGAAACCUGAGCAAGAUCCGAGGGGUAUACAGUGAAAGUCUUUAAAACCUGGUGCCCUAAGCCUUGAUUGGUUGGGAGUCACCGACCUCAAUGCUCGUUAUAAGGGUGAAUAGGUGGAGUUUAACAUAUUGUAGGUGCUUGGGUAUUGAAUUUCAAUCUCAAAAGUCCGGGAAAAAAUCUAAGGAGUUAGUGGUCAAAAGAUCCUUAAAGCUUGAUGCCCUAAACCUUGAUUGGUUGAGAGUCAUUGAUGGAUCCCCGCUACAUGGACAUUUUAGAAAACAAUACCUUUAGCAUUGCACGCCUACAAUGAAAAAAAAAUGUGAAAUAAAAGAGGUGCGUUCUUAGCCUAUUGGAGGUUGGUCAGUUUGCUAAAGUUUGAGAAAUCUAGGUUGGGGGGAGAGAAUAGUCCGACAUACUAUAAUAAAAAACUAAUAACCUUAACACUUAGAUUUUUGUGGAAGAGUAAGGAUUGGACCUUUAGGGGUGGAAAUUCUUUUGAUGCUUAAAUUUGCAUAAUGCCUACUCUUUAUAAAUUAUGAUUAGGCAAGAGAUUUGAUGACUCUUGUUCAAAGUUGGGUUUUUCCUCUUUGAUGUUCCAUGAGAGAGUAUAAUCCUCAUCAUGCCACUUGAAAUCUUUUUGGAGUGAUUAACAUGAUUUUGUAAAUUAUUUUACUGUCUAUUUUUCUUUAUCUCUCUUUUAUUGCUAAUGGACUAGCAAUAUGUCAGUUGGGGGGAGUGAUUACUACUCAAAAAGUACUCUUUUAUAGCUUGAAACUAACUGUUUUAAACACUUUUGAGUAGGUGUUAAUACAUUUUAACUCAAUUGGCACAUUAAGGAACCUAACAAGGGUUACUAAUAAGUUUUUGGCAAGUUUUGGUGUUUUUGGUAGCUAUUUGAUCAUUGAAACAAGCCAAGAAUGAGGGAGAAUUUUGUGAAGUCCAUAGCAAUGCAAGUUAAAGCUCAAAUACAUGAAGAAUCCAAGCUUUGAAGCACUUCAUAGCCCUUUGCGAAGCCAAUCAGAGAUGCAAGGAAGAAAACCAGAGGAAAAAAUCCAACAACCAGCAUUUUCGCAUGGCUGUGCGAAAUUUUGCACACCAUGCGAAACCACAAGAAGUAGCCAAAGAAUUUUGCACACCAUGCGAAAUUUCGCAUGGUAUACGAAAUCUUCCUAUGCACCAACUCCGUUAUAUUUUUAUCUUCAGAUAUUUUGUGUAAUUUCCUAGUUUCUCCUUGUAACCAACCUAGAUAUUUUCUUUUAUAUCUUUUUUUUAUAUUUUUUAGGUAACAUCAUAUAUAGGGGGAGAGACAUAAGGAGGAUAUGGAUGUUUUUCAUAAAACACUUUUAAUUUUCUGGUAGUAAGAAAUAUACAAAGUUUUUUGCUCUGCCUUACCUUCUCAUUUUGUUUUCACCUAUCUUUCUAGCCAAACAACCUCUGAGAAUGAUUUCUCAGGGGAUGAGUAGUUAGGUUUUACGUUUCUUGGAGUGAGAGAAGCUAGGUGAAAGACCCAAAUGCUAAGGUGGGAGUUGUCCUUGCUUUAAAUGAAAGUAGUUGUUAAAUAUUAAUGGUUUUUAUUUUAAGGUUUAGCUUUAAAUCCCUUAAAAACACCUUGAAUGGCCAAUACUUGGUAAGCUUUUCGGAUUCUAUGGAUGCUUAUUGCUAGAUCCAUGGAUGUCAUUAGUUAUCAUUUAUGAGCCAUUGGAAGGUGGUUCAAGAUGAGAGUCUUUAGUGUUUGAAGCCAUUAAUGGGAAACAAUUACCAUUUUUUCAUGAAUCCUUUGGAUAAAAUCUUAAUUGCUAAAUAUAAAACUGGUUCGGGAGAUAACCAUCCUUUAUGUUAUUAUGCCCAAUGCAAGGAGAAGAUUUCGAAUCUUCUCAUUUGUCUAAGGAACCCGAUCCUAGUGACCUAAAGCUCCUAGAGACCUUUUCUUUGUAGUUAACUUCAUUUAUUGUUUUUGCUUAACUUAAAAUCAAUCUUUGCAACCACAAUUCCAUUUUCUUUAAAAGCUAAUUUUUAUAAGGAAAAGCACCAUUUUAUUUCCUUCACUAAGUCAACUGUAUGAUGAAAACCCAUCCCUGUGGACGAUCUUAGAGCCACUAUACUAUGUUAUCUAUGCUAUCCUAGUGUGAGGUGAUUUAGGUUUUAUAAAUUUUGUUGAUAACACCCGUCUGAGCCAGAAUCAAAUGGAACCACUGAACCAGGGACAAAUCAACAGCCUAUAUGGGAGGGACACAAGUUUAAUUGAUUUGCAUUUCAGCGUUAUAGAUAAGUAUGUUUUGGAAGAUUUGUUCUGGAAAUACUGCACCAAGUACGAUUCUUUUUCUCUUGAGUGAGUCCAUUUGCAUGCCAAUUAACGAGUUGAAAAGUAGGAGCACCUACCUCGUGCUCAUGGAACCGAAUGUCAGUGAAGUGGGGCUCCUUUUAGCCUCUUGUGUUUCUGUUCCAACCAAGGCGGCGUAGGGAAAAACAACAAUAUGUCUGUGCUAAAUAUCAACGCAUGAUAGAUGUUUUUUUUUUUUUUUUUGGUAUGUCAAGGCUAACGAAUGAAAUGCAUUAGCUUGUUUUGUGACUAUAACUGCAAAUGUCCAAAUUGGAGUAUCUCCAUUUCUCACUUCGGAUGGUUAACUUUAUAAACAAGAUAUAGGAAACAUGUGAACAUCUUGAGGAACAAUUCAAAUUAUUCAUUAGAAGUCCUGGGUUAAGUUCCAAGAUUUAAAUCAGACCCUUCUAGCAGCUUCAAGGGUACUUAGCAACCUAUAACAUAUUAAUGAAGAUUUAGGAUUUAGACUCCGGAAUACAAAUAAAUAUGUAUCUCAUGCUUUGACUAGCUUCCCUACAUAUGCAUAAAAUGGAGAUGACCCAAAAAAAAUAGCAGAAUCUAGCUUCCCUACAUAUGCACAAAAUGGAGAUGACCCAAAAAAUAGCAUAAUCGCCUUAGUUUCUGUGGUUAAGGUGAUUCUCCGCUUAAUAUCCACAUUGACUCAUUAUGCAAAAUCAACUGAGCUAAUUUUAUUUAUUUAUUUAAUGUCAAAUAGGAACUCCUAAUUAACUGAUUACUGUCGAAAAGUGCUAUUUUGUAGACCUAAUUAUAAGGGUUUUAAGCACCUUUGAGUAGUAAUCAUAUUCAUUUAACCUAAUUAAUUCAUUAAGCUCCUUAGUAAUUAGUUCUAACCAUUUUUAGUGGCAAGUUUACAUGUUUUUCAUCAGCUUAUGAACCAAUUCAAGCAUGCCAAUUGAUGGAGGAGCUACUUGGGCGAGUUAAGCAAGGAUUUUGGACGUUUACAGGCUUGAAUUUCAAGUGGAAACACGAGCACAAGCAAUGGGAACACCAUUUCGCAAGGGGAGGCAAUUCACCUUGCCAAAUGACCAAUUUCGCAAGGGGAUUUUCCUCAUGGUGCAAAAUUUGGUCAUUUCGCACCAUGAAGAAACCACCUUGCAAAAUUUCGCAAGGUGGAUUUAGGCACCUUGCGAAAUGCCAAAUUUCACAAGGUGGCUUUUCACCUUGCGAAAUUUGGACCUUUCAUCUUCCCCCCUUGCGAAAUGCCUUUGAAAUCCCCUGUUUUGAGACGCUGUUGAUGAUAUUCCACUGCCGGUUCUCCAAGAUAUUUUGCUUGACUUUUAGCUUUAUAAAUACCUAUUUUACCCUUGUAAUCAACCAAUGAAAAGGUUGCUUUUGUAAUAGCUCUUGUAAUUUAGCUUUUUAUUGUCUUUAAAUAGAGGUGAAGAGCCUCAGACACGAUCAUCUUGUAACCUGUAACUUUAUAAGUUAUAAGAGCACUUUUGUUCAUACGCUUCUUUUCUCUUUUCUUUCUCAUUUUCUUAGUAGCCAAACAUCCUUGGAGGAUGAAAUCCCCAAGGAUGAGAGGCUAAAACCUUUUAGUUUCUUGAAGUAAUGGAUGCCAUGUGAAGCUCCCGUGUCAGGAUGGAGAUUUCCAAGCCAUAAAUGUAAGUAGCUGAGCGUCAUAAAUGUUUUCAUUCAAAGUAAAGCUUUUAAUCCCUCUGACUUGCUUUGAAUGGCCAAUACUUGAUAACCUUUUGGUCUCAAUGGAUUCUUAUUGUUAGAUCCACUGACGUUCAUUAGUUAUCUCCUACGAGCCAUUGUAUUGCAAGUCGAGGAGAUGACCUAUACCAAUAAAAGAGCAUUUAUGAGGUUCAACUACCCUUUUUGUAAGUUUUCAAGGACUAAAACUCAGUUGUUAAACUCAUACCGGUUCGAGAAGUAAGCAUCACCUUAGUUGCUUCCCCAACUCGAGGUGAAAAGUCCCAAAAUCUCCAUUUUUACACAGUGAGUUAAGCAUGGCUAUCCAAAGCUUUAAGAAACUUCUUUUUCCAUCUUUUAACCUAUUUUCAUGUUAGUUUAGUUUACAACACCUUCAUCUUUUUAUGUUUUCAUCUUAACCUAAUUUUUAUUAAGAAAAGUUCACUCCAUCCUCCGAACUUCACCAGUUAAAGUAAAAACCCUUCCCAGUGUUCGAUCCUAGAGCCACUAUGCUAUAGUAGCUUUGCUACUUUAGUGUAAGGACCUUAGGUAUAAAUUUUGUUGAUACCCUUACAUGCCAAGCUACCAAGAGUCGGGUUAUCAUUAACCUAACCAUUGGCCUGUGUAAAUUGAUUUCACAUGCACAAUGUUGUAGUAGAAGUCCAUAUUUUGAAUUUUAUUUUUGUAAAGGUAAGGAAAAUGAAGCAUUGUGUAAUUAUAAAAAUAACUUCAUUGGAAUUCACAAGGUUCACCCAAAAUGGAGCUACAUCUGUAUUCUAUCCUACAGUAGACUAUAUAGAUUGUACAAUAGUAAAUUGCAAAUACAAUUAAUAAGUCUUGUGCUUCCUUACUAAUAAUCCUUUGACAUGAACAUUGCAGCACUAAGGUCCUCUUGGGAAGACACCUUGCACCCAUGAGAGCACUAAGAGGAAGCAAGGCAGAGUCAUGGGUGCAAUGUCAUGACUUGUUGUUGCACCAAGAGAGGCUUGGUGAUGCCAUGGUGUUGCAGUAGCAAGAAUGUUGCCUUGGCAGGGACACGAUCUAGGGAUAGAUGCCAAGAAAGGCUUAGCACUCACAUGAGUUGCACAAAGAUGAAUGUAAUAGAGCAUCAGAGAGACGUCUUGGCAAGUAAAUGAAUGGAUCCAAGAGACAACAACAUGAGGAGUUUCAAAUGGAUAAGGAAUGACUCAAAGACAUUUGAAAGCUACAAGUUGGAUUCUAAUUACGAUUGCAAUUUGAGUUUGAGUAGGAGUUUAGAUUUUGAUUGUAAUUGUAGUAUGAGUUGGACUAGGAUUGCUUAUCCUUAGUCAAUAUAGGAGCGGUUCGUGUCACCCUAUGAAAAGAGUUUGAGUAGGGACUAGGAUUGCUUACUCCUAGUCAAAUAUGGAGUAGGUGGUGCCACACCUAUAAAAAAAAGGGACAACAUGAGAGAGAGAGAGAGAGAGAAAGAGAGAGUGAAUUCACUAAAGAUAUUGUGGGAGUUUUGCUUUGUUACGUCUUGUAUUAUUACUUAGAAUAGGAAUAAAAUACAAGUUGGGGCUAGAGCCCCAUAAUUAAUCUCGUGUGCCUUUGUGGUUAUUCUUUAUUUGUCAUCUCGUGUGGAUUGGAUUAGGUUGACUUAGAGGGCUUCUAAGCACCACCUUUGUGGGUUAUUAUUUAUUUUCCAUCUCUUGUGGAUUAGAUUAGGUUGACUUAGAGGGCUUCUGAGCACCACCUUUGUGGGUUAUUAUUUAUUUUCCAUCUAUUGUGGAUUAGAUUAGGUUGACUUAGAGGGCUUUUAAGCACCACAUUUGUGGGUUAUUCUUUAUUUUCCAUAUCGUGUGGGUUGGAUUAGGUUGACAAGGAGAAAAAUUAUGUGGGAAAUUUGUGUUGGGACACUUACCAUAACCAAGUAAAAUCUACCAAGUCCUUUGUAAUAUCUUCAACAAAUAUUUUAGACUAGUUCUUUCAGUUAGUGUAAAGGAGGAAGAAGUGGUAUUGAUUCUAGAAAUAGGGUGUGUGUAUUUGAACUACAAUCCUUAUGAUCCUUAGGUCUCUAAACCUUCGUGAUGGGCUCCCUGACAUUUCAUAGGUUGUGCUACACAUGCGUUUGAAAUUUAGAGUGCGUUUGACAGUGAUUCCGGGAAGUGUUUUUGGCCUUUCUUACACUUGAAAAUUUUUAUUUUUCAAGUAUUAGAAAUGCUACAAACACUUUUGAAAAUUACUGUCAAACACACUCUUAGGAGCGCACAUAUAUAGUAGAAAACUAGAAAUUGUGGUUUUUUUAGGAUUUACUGUAAUGUCAUUAGGAGGGUAGUAAGUUGAAAUUGAGUAUGAACAAAUAUUUCUUUCUUUGGGAUGUUCUUCUAGUAGGUGCUGAUGAAACUGUUCUUUCUACUGCCAAUGUCACAUAUCAGCCAGAAAUUGAAAAUUUCAGUCAAGGUGUCCUCUGUUUUAGUGGUGAGGAAAGCUAGAAAUUUUAAGGUGAAGUUUUGUUAAAAACCUUAAGUAGCUGGGAUAUCAGGCCUGUUUUGCUUGAAAAAAAAAGUUGCAAGAUAACUCAUAUGCCAAACAGGUUCUGAUAUUGUGAAUCUAUCGGCAGACAUCAGUAAUCUCAUCUUCUGAGAUGGAUGUUGGGGGUGCAUGUGGUGGUGGAGGGGCAAGGUUUCAUUUGGUUUAUUUUGUUGAUGGAUAUUGUCUAGCCACCUGCGCCAAGUUUGAGGGGUGGUGGGUUGUGAUGACCCUACAAUUACUAUUAAUUUCUUCAUCUUUUACCGAUUAAAGUGUCCGAACAGUCGAAGUUACCCUUAUGCAUGUCAACUUGAUCACUUACCUCUUCAAUGGAGUUUAUGCUGGUUCAUUUAGGAACUGAUUUUUAUUGUUAUGUAUUAUAUGCUGAUGUUUAGGUCUCUCCAUCAUCACUAUAUACAAAAAUUCUAGGUUGAUACUAUAGGUUGAGAUUUAUUUUUUAAAUAAAAAAUAAUAAAAAUAAAAAUUAUGGUGAUGUUUAGUUGUUUUAUGGAAAAUUUUAACAAGUAAAAGUUAUUUUUGGGCAAGUUUUCAAACAAAAAGAAAAGUAAAAGUUGUUUUGACAAAAACAUAUAGAAAAAAAAAUCAUAGAAAAUAAAUAAUUUCCCCAUAUUCUAACUUUUUUGAAUUUUUCUCAAUGGGCAAAGGAAUAUCAAAUCAAGUUUGAGUAGGAUUUCUUAAUUUUUAAAAUAACUUACAAUUAAAAAAUUUUGGUGUUUUCAUUUUUGGACAAUUUUUUAUUAAGCAAAUGGACUCUGAGUCAUGCAAGAGAUAUGGUUCAUUAACCGGUCGAACAAUUUUUUUAAAUUAAUUUAAAAGUCAAAUACAUAAUCAAUUUCACAAAAUUUAUAAACAAAAAUAGGUUUAGAGAAGAUCUACACAUAAUUUUACUUUUCUAAUUUUAUUUUAUUUUAUUUUUUGUUGGAAAAUAGUCUUCAAAUCAUGUAAGAUUUAAUAGGUUAAAUUUGUUAACAAUAAAUUUUAAAUUAUAAAAUAUAAUCUGGAACUCAAAAAUCAAUUCAAGUAAUGCUAAAAAAAAAUCAAAUUUGGUAUAGAAUGACUUUGUAAAUUUUUUUACAAAACAAAUGAAUUUUAAAUCAAGUGAGAUUUAAUGCAUUAGAUUUUUAUCAAAUAUAGUAAUUUUAAAAAUAAAUUUGGAACUCAACAAUAGACACAAUAAAUACCAAAAAAUAAUGAACCAAAAUUGGUUUGGAAUAACUCCACAACCUUUUUUUUUUUUUUUUGGUGCACACGAAUUUUCUUACUAGGUAUAUUGCUUUCAAAUUGAGAAAGAUUUACCAUUUAGAUUUUUUUUUAAUGAGUUUAAUGGUAUUUUAAAAUAAUUCAAAAUUUAAAAAAUUGACUAAUUAAUAUUAUAAAUUGAUAAACCAAGACUAUUUCAAAAUGCAUUGGGGGCUAAGGGGGUUGAAAAUAGGGACAAUGGGAUGGGUUUGGGACAUGACACUCAUAUCUCAUUUCCAUUCCAAUUACACAGUUAUCUCCCAUCCUUAUCCCAAACUUGUGUUGGAGCAAGUUGAUUUGUUCCCAUCUUUGUUGACGAAAUGACUAAUAACCUCAUCCCCUCCUUAUCUUAGAUGUACAUUUUGUCAAAUUUGAUCAGGUAUGAUUGAUCCAAGCCCUAACCCUAAUUGGUAAUGAGUGAAUACUACACCUAAUUGCAUUCUUCUUUCAUUGCAAAAUAAUGAGAUUAUAAUAAUCUAGCAAAUAAGAAAAAAUAGUAUGGAAGUUCAAAUUAACACCAUAACUAUCAAUAAUUUUAAGCUUAUAGAUGACUUAAAUGAUUAAAAACUAAUGCAAAAUCCUAAAAAAAAUAAAAAUCAUAUAAAGAAUUCACAAGAGAACAGAAUGAACAAAAACCAAAUAUGAACAUGGGUCAACAUUAGUUAUGGAUUUGGAUUCCUUUCAAGGCCAAUCUUUGAACCAAGACUUCAUCAAAUCAACUACUUCAAAGGCUUUUGUGUUCUUCUUGGGUUGUGCUCUCAAACAAAGACUUCGAGGUGAUGUUCUAGAUGAUUGAAUUACACAUAUUUAGGGUGGAGAGAUUGGAGAAGCUUGAAGAUGCCAACGAUGGGUACAAUUGAGUGGUCAAUAAGAACAAUGUAGCCUAUGACUAGUUUGAUGUCAUGGUACAAGAGUUUUAGGCAUUGAGGUUAAAGCAAGAGCAACAUGGAAUUGAUUUCGGAGUCUUUCAGUUAGUGUAAAGGAGGAAGAAGUGGUGUUGAUUCUAGAAAUAGGGUUUUAAGUGGUGCGUGAUUACUACUCAAAAAGUGCUAUUUGAUAGCCUUUAAUUAAUCCUUUUUAACACUUUUGAGUAGUAGUUUAGGCCUUUUAACUCAAUUGGCAUGUUAAGGAUCCUUUAAAGCAAUUUUGAUCACUUUGUGCAAGUUUUGGUGUUUUUGUUAGUAUUUUGAUCACCAAAGCAAGUCAAGAAUGAGGAGAACUAUGAGGAAUCAUGGGCAAAGCUUAGAAUUCAAUUGCCAAGAGUGAAUCCGGAUUGCAAGGAGAAAAAGCAAAGAGAAUCUGUCAUGAAGCCUAUUCUUGAUGACAGUCGUAGCAGCCACUUUUGGAGCACUUUCUGAAGUCCAAAUGAUGCAAGCUAUAUACCAUUUCAAAGAUCAGGAAGUCAACAAUCCAAUGCUUCAAACGGUGCGCGAUUCGGAGUUGAAACGAAGAAGUUGCAGCCAUUACAAGCCAGUCACUCUAAAGUGUUGCGGAAUCAGCCUUUUGUUGCGAGAAUUUCGCAGCACUUUUGUACAGUAAGGUGUUUCUCCUUCUGACGAUGCACGAACCAUGCCGCGAGAGGGAAGCUAGGAACUUCAAGAUGGAAGCCAACUUUGCAGCCUGGUGAAGAUAGCUUGGUCUUGCGAAAUAAUUUCGCAGCCCUCUUGGGUGUCUGCGAAAUUUCGCAGGCACCACUUUUUUCCUGCGAAAUGGCUCCGGAAGCCUCCCGAAGCUUGCUACCGACAUUGGGAGAUAUUUUCCAUUAGAUUUUUGUUGUCUAAAUUCCAAAAUACUCCUUGUAAACCACCAAUUACAUGAUUCCUUAGUUUUUAAGUUAGUAAAAAGACCAAAUAUCUAUGUAAUAAUUAGUUUUAUAUUAGUUUGCUAUAAAUACCUCUCGGGAGCAUGUUCUCAGAGAGGAGUUCCUUCUGUAACCAUUUUGGUAAGCAAGUAAAGUCUUUUCUUUCUACUGCCUUACCUUCUCACUUUGUAUUUUCAUUUUAUUUCUAAGUUAUGAAUUCUCUGAGGAGCUUUCCCCAGAGAAUGAGUAACUAAACCUCCAAUUCCUUGGAGCUAAGGUUGCCGGGGAAGGUUCCAAGUGCAAGAAUGCAAAGCUCUGUGGUUUUAGCUAGUAAUGAAGAGGAAGUGAAAUCCUUUAGUGAUUUCAAUGUUUUUAGUUAACUUAAAACACCUUGGAGUCACCUGGGCCAACACUUGGUAAGGCAAGUGAUUUCCAACCGUGGAAAUGCACUAGUUUACCCCUUGCGAGCCUCUGGUAGGUGACUUCAAGGUAGGAUUUUCUGGAAUUACCAACACUUGGUAAGCUUUUGGACUCCUAGGAGACAUCCAUUAGUUAUCUCUUGCGAGUUUGUGAAGGGGAAUCCAAGGUUAAAGAUCACCUUGAAUGGUAAGUGCUCGUGAGAGGCAUGAACCAUUGCAAGUUGUAUCAGUGAGAGAAUUAAAGUGAAAUCUAAUUGAAGGAGUCUCUGUACAUCACCGGUUAGAGAAUUGACUAUAAGUUGAAUCUCUAAUGCGAGGAAAUGAACCAUCUGACCGGAGCUAUGUCUUUUGCAUGAGGAACCACCCCAGUGAACCUAAAUCUCCAAGGAAUGCUUUUCUUCCUAAAUUAUUCCAAACUUCUGUUAAGUUAGUUAGUUUAAGUCUAAACCUUUACCAAUCAAACUUUGUGUUUUAUUUCUUAAGCUAACCGUGAAAUGAAACAAAACCAAUUCACUUGGAAUUGGUAUCCUUGAUUGCUUGCAAAUCAUUCCCAGUGAACGAUCCUUAGAGCCACUAUACUAUAGUAGCUUUGUAUUUGCUACCCUAGUGUAUGGUGUUAUAGGUAUAAAUUUUGUUGAUCACUUCCUCAAUCAAGGAACACCAGCUGAACACAAAUCAGCUGAGACACCAAUUGGGCAUGAGUCAAAUGGCGCCGUUGCCGGGGAAUGAGUGUCAAGAUCAUUGUGAUACCAUUUUUGAGCACUUGUGAUUUUCAUCACAAGUUGGUAAAGUUUCUUUCACUUUACUAAUUUUCAUUCUCUCUUUGUUUAUUUACAAUCUAAGUUUAUCUUUUUAAAAUUUAGUCUAGUUUAAUUUUGCUAUUGUAGCCUUGUUUCUCUUGUUGUCCUCUGUUCUUGUUGUCCUCUGUUUUCAUUUUAGUUGCAGCUGAAUACUAGUUGUGUAUGCCAAAGUGGAUACGAGACAUUGGAGGUAGGCUUAUUAAGUGUGAUACACCUCAGAGAGGAGAAUUGGAAGUAAUCUUGAAUAUCAUGGAGGCUGCACCUGAAGAUCAGCAUAGUCACCAAGGUCGUCAAGACAAUCUCAAUGAAUUCAGAUCAAUGAGGGACCGUAUGCAUCCACCUCGUAUGAGUGCACCAUCAUGUAUAGUGCCCCCUACAGAGCAACUAGUGAUCAGACCAUAUCUUGUUCCACUUCUACCAACUUUCCAUGGGAUGGAAAGUGAGAAUCCGUAUGCACACAUCAAGGAAUUUGAAGAUGUUUGUAAUACAUUCCAAGAGGGAGGAGCUUCAAUUGAUUUGAUGAGGCUUAAGUUAUUUCCUUUUAAUUUAAAGGAUAAGGCCAAAAUUUGGCUUAAUUCUUUAAGGCCAAGGAGUAUCCGCUCUUGGACUGAUUUACAAGCUGAAUUCCUCAAGAAAUUUUUUCCUACUCAUAGAACAAAUGGCUUGAAAAGGCAAAUUUCAAACUUCUCAGCUAAAGAGAAUGAGAAAUUCUAUGAGUGUUGGGAAAGAUACAUGGAAGCUAUAAAUGCUUGUCCUCACCAUGGCUUUGAUACUUGGCUACUGGUGAGUUAUUUUUAUGAUGGUAUGUCCUCCUCAAUGAAGCAACUCCUCGAGAAAAUGUGUGGAGAAGAUUUCAUGAGCAAAAAUCCAGAGGAAGCUAUGGAUUUCUUGAGCUAUGUAGCUGAUGUUUCAAGGGGAUGGGAUGAACCAACUAAAGGAGAAGUGGGAAAGAUGAAGUCUCAGUUGAAUGCUUACAAUGCAAAGGCUGGGAUGUAUACUUUAAAAGAGGAUGAUGACAUGAAAGCAAAGUUGGCAGCUAUGACAAGAAGAUUGGAGGAGCUGGAGCUGAAAAGAAUGCAUGAAGUGCAAGCUGUUGCUGAAGCACCAGUGCAAGUGAAGUUGUGUCCCAAUUGUCAAUCGUUUGAACAUUUGGUAGAGGAAUGCCCUGCAAUUUCAGCUGAAAGGGAAAUGUAUAGAGAUCAAGCAAAUGUUGUUGGACAAUUCAGGCCCAAUAACAAUGCUCCUUAUGGAAAUACCUACAAUUCAAGUUGGAGGAAUCAUCCAAAUUUUUCAUGGAAGGCCAGAGCAACUCAAUACCAACAGCCGGAUCCACCAUCUCAACAAUCUUCAAGUAUUGAACAAAUAAUAGCUAAUCUCAGCAAGGUAGUGGGAGAUUUUGUGGGAAAGCAAGAAGCCACCAAUGCUCGAGUGGAUCAAAGAAUGGACAGAGUGGAUCAAAGAAUGGACAGAAUGGAGAGUAUGUUGAACAAAAGAAUGGAUGGAAUGCAAAAUGAUAUGAAUCAAAAAUUUGAUAACAUCCAAUAUUCAAUUUCAAGGCUUACAAAUUUGAAUACACUGCAAGAAAAGGGAAGAUUUCCUUCUCAACCUAACCAAAAUCCCAAAGGUGUCCAUGAAGUGGAAAGCCAUGAGGGAGAAUCAUCACAGGUGAAAGAUGUGAAAGCUUUGAUCACUCUAAGGAGUGGUAAGAAAAUUGAGCAGCCAACACCCAAGCCACAUGUUGAGAAAGAAGAAGAGAUGAAGAAAGGGAAGGAAAUGGAAGAUAAAGGCAGUGAGAUCAGUGAAGAAAAGAAGGACUCUGAUGCAACAAUGAAAGUAAUUCCAGAGAAGGAGCUUCUGAAGGAAGAAAUGCUGAAGAAAUCAACUUUUCCACCUUUUCCUCAAGCAUUACAGGGGAAAAAGGGGGUUAGAAAUGCAGCUGAAAUCCUAGAAGUAUUGAGGCAAGUGAAAGUUAAUAUUCCACUGCUGGAUAUGAUCAAACAAGUUCCAACGUAUGCAAAAUUCCUAAAGGACUUGUGUACUAUCAAAAGAGGGUUGACUGUAAACAAGAAAGCCUUCUUGACUGAGCAAGUAAGUGCAAUCUUACAGUGUAAGUCUCCUUUGAAGUACAAAGACCCUGGAAGUCCUACCAUUUCAGUCAUGAUUGGAGGAAAGGUAGUGGAGAAAGCCUUGCUAGACUUGGGAGCAAGUGUGAAUUUGCUUCCAUAUUCUGUCUACAAGCAACUGGGACUUGGAGAGUUGAAGCCAACAGCAAUCACUUUGUCUCUGGCAGAUAGAUCAGUGAAAAUUCCAAGAGGGGUAAUUGAGGAUGUAUUGGUUCAAGUAGAUAAUUUCUACUAUCCUGUAGAUUUUGUUGUUCUUGAUACAGAUCCUACUGUAAAGGAAGCUAAUUUAGUUCCUAUCAUCCUUGGAAGGCCAUUUCUUGCAACUUCAAAUGCAAUCAUCAACUGUAGAAAUGGGCUUAUGCAACUCACUUUUGGUAACAUGACACUGGAUCUAAAUAUUUUCUAUAUGUCUAAAAAGCAAAUCACUCCAGAAGAAGAAGAGGGUCCAGAAGAGCUAUGUAUUAUUGAUACUUUGGUGGAGGAGCACUGCAAUCAACAUAUGCAAGAUAAGUUGAAUGAAAGUUUUGUGGAUAUUGAGGAAGGUUUUUCUGAAUCUCCUAAUGGGCUUGCUACUCUACAAAGUUGGAGAAAGAUAGAAGGAAUUCUACCUUUGUUCAAUGAAGAAGAGGAGGCAGCUGUUGAAAAAGAAAUUCCAAAACUCAAUCUGAAGCCUUUACCUAUGGAGCUGAAAUAUACAUAUCUUGAAGAAAAUAAUCAAUGUCCUGUCGUAAUAUCUUCAUCUCAAACCAAGUCUCAAGUGAAGGAUGCAAGCUUCAAAUGGGAUCCGGGCAAACUGAAUCAGGAAGGGCAAAAAGUUUUGAUGUAUGACACAAGACUCCAUAUCUUUCCUGGGAAGCUCAAGUCAAGGUGGAUUGGUCCAUUUGUUAUUCACCGAGUAUAUUCCAAUGGAGUGGUGGACUUAUUGAAUUCCAAUGGCAAGGACAGCUUUAGAGUCAAUGGAUAUCGUCUUAAGCCGUUCAUGGAGUCAUUCAAAUCAGAAAAGGAGGCAAUCAACCUCCUUGAACCUCAAAAAGCCUAAGUGAAAUGGGUUUGCUGGACGUGGUUUUACCACAGUCCAAAAAUUUUUGUAAAUUUUGUAAAUUUUCAAGUUGUUUCCAUGCUUUUAAUCUUAGUUUUUGAUUUUAAAUCAUGUUUUUAGGUGUGUUUUAAUCGUUUUAUAUGAUCCCAGGCGGAAGAAAUUUCAAGGGGAUUGAAAAGAAAAAAAUCGGGUCGAAAUUGGAGCCGAAACAGAGCAAAAACAGGGGAAAAACAGAGCUCUGCGAAAUUUCGCAGGGUGAAGGAAACUUCUGCGAAAUUGGCAUUUUGCUGCCAAACCAUUCCGCAGCACUGUAGAAGCCUCUGCGAGUGUAUUUCGCAAUUGCGAAAGUGGAUUUGGCACACGAGUGCCACUUCGCAGCACAGUGACAUCAAUUUCGCAGCUGCGAAACUCACUGCGAAGUUGCUGCGAAAAUGGCAAGUUGCUGCGAAAUUGGCGUUUUGUUGCGAAACGUAAUCUGACCCCUGGGCUUCCGUUUUUCCUAUUUAUACCUGUCAAAAGUGCUGCGAAAAAGGUUUCAAAAAUUAGAGCACCAUUCUCGCAGCCCUUUCAUCUUCUUCGCCAAGCCACGCCGUCCGUUUCUCCGGUCGUCUUCUCCGUUUAGCAGCGCCGGCCAAAGAUCGAUAGCCCAAAAAUGGCACGAACGCGAGGGGCAAAGUCUUCAUCCCCUUCGAACCGCAAAAGGAGUCUGCGAAAGGAGCCAAGUUCAGGCUCUGUUCCAGAACCUGCUCCAAAGCCUUCGCCGUCGAGACCACAACCUUCUCCAGUGAAGCCGGCGCCACCAAAGCCGCCGGCAAGGCGAUAUUUAACCAGGUCAGGUGGUCAGCCAUUGAAGAAGAAAGCCAGAGUUGAGAGCUCUGAACCAAUCGAUUUGACUGAGCAAUCCCCUGAGAAAUCACCAAAUCCUUCACCGGUACAAAUUCCAGUGCCAUCACCGGUUCCCUCGCCAAUUCCCUCACCAGAAGCAACUCCAAUUCCAUCGCCGGUACCAUCUCCGGCACCCCAAGAAAAAGCUCAGGAGCCUCAAGCGCCAAUUCCAGAGCCCCAAAUUGCAGCUGAAGCACCUCUGGAAGAAGUGAUCCGAAGGCCAAUGCUGCCUCAGCCCCCAAUCGAAGGAAACCUGGAUUGCCGAACUCGGGCAUUCCAUUCUGAGCUUUGCUUCGAUUUAACAGCAUUCAGAGUGAGGCCAGAGCUUGCCCAAUCCUUCCAACUGCUGAGGAGAUAUCAUAUGGAGCAUCUGCUAGCUCCAAGGGAUUUUUUCUAUCCCCGGGUAGUCACGGAUUUCUACCAAACCAUGACAACCAAAGAAGUAAGAAAUCCAACUCUGAUUCAUUUCAUAAUUGAUGGAAGGCAUGGUAUUUUGGGAGCAAGACAUAUUGCUGAAGCCCUGCAAAUUCCUUUUGAGCCAACUCAAUUCGACAAUUUUAAAGCUUGGACAAAUCCUACUGAGUUAGAGAUGGUUAGCACACUAACCAGAGGAGCUGCAAAUCGAUCGCAUUUGUUGAGGGGGGAGCUACCUCCAGUUAUGUUUUUGAUUGAUGCCUUUUUGAGGCAUAAUAUCUAUCCCCUGCAGCAUUGGACCCAAAGAAGGGGAAUUCUCCUAGAAGCCUUGUACAAAAUGUCUGAAGGAUUCUUCUUUGGGCCUCAUCAUCUGAUCAUGGCAGCCCUUCUAUACUUUGAGGAGAAGGUUCACAAGAAGAAGCUUCAAAGAGCAGAUUGCAUUCCACUCCUCUUCCCAAGGCUGCUAUGCCAAGUUUUGGAGCAUCUCGGAUACCCCUCUGAGCCUCAGCAGGAAAGAAAGAGAAUAUGCCGUGAGCCUUUUACCCUUGAUAAAUGGAAUAAUAUGACGGCCUACAAAAUUGAUCAGCCUGGGCAGCCUCAGCCAGCAGCAAGGAGAGUCUCCCCAAGACAUAUACCUGAAGGUAUAACACUUGCUACUCCUGCCAUCCCUCGAGCUCCACCAGCUGCACCUGCUCCAUCACAGCCAUCCACAUCAGCUGAGCCGAGGAUGGCCAUCCCUAUAUCCGAAUAUCGAGAGCUGUGCCGUGCAUUGGAGACUCUUACAGCUUCUCAGAGCAAUCUUGCUCAGGAGUUGGCAGCCAUUAAAGCAUGCCAGGAGCAGAUGUUAGCCUCUCAGACUCAACAAGCUGCCAUCCUAAGGCAGCUUCAAGUCCAUUUCGAUCUGCCACAAGCUGUAGAGCCCUCUAUUCCUACUCCACCAGAGCCACACUCUCAGCCUUCAGAGUCUCAUCCUCCAGAACCCGAAGCACCAGCUGAUCCACCUACUGAGGAGGCAGAUCCUUCUGCCUAGCACCAUCACCCCCCUCAUCAGACAUUAUAUAUAUAUUUGCUGUUUAUGUUUUUAUGCAUGUUUGUUUUGUUUUAGUUGAAAAGAAAUCCCAGUAUUUUGGUACUAUAUAUGGGAUUCCUUGUGUUACUUGUCUUUAGUAUUGUAAUCACAUGAACUCAAAGUAAUACAAGUUGACUAUUUCUUGUUAAAAGUUAGCAUUAAAGUUUCCUUAUUUCCUUUUCUCACAUAUUCUAUUCUUUUUGAAACAUGUGGUUUUCCCCAAUCAAUAUUCGAAUUUGAUAUCAGCAUGGAGGUACCACUUCCUCCCUUUUAUUACAGUCACUCAAAUCACAUUGAGGACAAUGCUCAGUUCGGUUGGGGGGUAUGAGGAAGGAAGUAUUCUAAACCUUUUUGGUAUUGCAAUUAUAUUGGUUAAUUAGUUGUAGAUUUUACUUUUUACUAGUGUUACUCUAUUCUCCAUGAAUUUUGAGGAAAAAUUUUCAAAUUAAACCAAGAGAAAUUGAACUGUUGUUUUUCACUUGACUUAGAGUAUGGAUUAUGCUUACUAAAGUGGUUCAAUUGUUGAAACUUCUACUGAAAUUGAAUUGAGUUCUUCCACUUUAAGCUAUCCACACACUGUGCACAUUAGUUUCCGAUUAUAAGAUGAAAAGCUAUUUCCCUCUUGACUUAGUAUAUUUUUGGGACUUGGUAUAUUUGACCUCAUUUGAUAAAAAUUGAAACACCCUGCAAAAGGCCAAUGAGCCUUUGAAAUAAAGAAAGUUGUUUGCUUGCCUUGAAACCCGAGCAAGGUCUGAGGGGUAUAUGGUGAAAAUCUUUAAAGCCUGGUGCCCUAAGCCUUAAUUGGUUGGGAGUCACCGACCUCAAUGCUCGUUACAAGGGUGAAUAGGUAGAGUUAGCAUAUGGUAGAUGCUUGGGUAUUAGAAAUUCAUUCUUAAAAGUCCGGGGAAAAAUCCGAGGAGUUAGUGGUUGAAAGAUCCUUAAAACUUGGUGCCCUAAACCUUAAUUGGUUGGGAGUCAUCGAUGGACCCCCAUUACAUGGACAAGUCAGAAAGAGUACCCCAUAAAGCUACCUUAAAAAAAAAAAAAAAAAAAAAAAAAAAAAAAAAGAUGAAAGUGUGUUCUUUUCUUAUUGAUUUUGGUCAGUUUGCUAAAGUGUUGAAAAGAGAUAGGUUGGGGGGUGAGAUUAGUAGCAUAUUAUUCUCGGAACCUAAGGAACCAAUACACAUAGAUUUUUGUGGAAGAUUGAAGUUUAGUUCUUAGAAAAUGAAAUGAUUUUAAAACUUCAGUUUGCAUAAUGCACUCCCUUGAUUGACAGUGUUUAGCAUAGGUGUUAUGACUCUUGUUGAGAUUUGGGUUUGUAUUUCUUUAAUGAUUCAUGUGAGAAAUAGAUCAUCAUGCCACUUGAGAAUUAUUUUCCUUUUAGCAUGAUGUUGUAAAUUUUAGAUUAGUUUGCUAUUUAUUUUUUAUUUUCUCUCCUAUAUUGCUAAGGGACUAGCAAUAUGUCGGUUGGGGGGAGUGAUUACUACUCAAAAAGUGCUAUUUGAUAGCCUUUAAUUAAUCCUUUUUAACACUUUUGAGUAGUAGUUUAGGCCUUUUAACUCAAUUGGCAUGUUAAGGAUCCUUUAAAGCAAUUUUGAUCACUUUGUGCAAGUUUUGGUGUUUUUGUUAGUAUUUUGAUCACCAAAGCAAGUCAAGAAUGAGGAGAACUAUGAGGAAUCAUGGGCAAAGCUUAGAAUUCAAUUGCCAAGAGUGAAUCCGGAUUGCAAGGAGAAAAAGCAAAGAGAAUCUGUCAUGAAGCCUAUUCUUGAUGACAGUCGUAGCAGCCACUUUUGGAGCACUUUCUGAAGUCCAAAUGAUGCAAGCUAUAUACCAUUUCAAAGCUCAGGAAGUCAACAAUCCAAUGCUUCAAACGGUGCGCGAUUCGGAGUUGAAACGAAGAAGUUGCAGCCAUUACAAGCCAGUCACUCUAAAGUGUUGCGGAAUCAGCCUUUUGUUGCGAGAAUUUCGCAGCACUUUUGUACAGUAAGGUGUUUCUCCUUCUGACGAUGCACGAACCAUGCCGCGAGAGGGAAGCUAGGAACUUCAAGAUGGAAGCCAACUUUGCAGCCUGGUGAAGAUAGCUUGGUCUUGCGAAAUAAUUUCGCAGCCCUCUUGGGUGUCUGCGAAAUUUCGCAGGCACCACUUUUUUCCUGCGAAAUGGCUCCGGAAGCCUCCCGAAGCUUGCUACCGACAUUGGGAGAUAUUUUCCAUUAGAUUUUUGUUGUCUAAAUUCCAAAAUACUCCUUGUAAACCACCAAUUACAUGAUUCCUUAGUUUUUAAGUUAGUAAAAAGACCAAAUAUCUAUGUAAUAAUUAGUUUUAUAUUAGUUUGCUAUAAAUACCUCUCGGGAGCAUGUUCUCAGAGAGGAGUUCCUUCUGUAACCAUUUUGGUAAGCAAGUAAAGUCUUUUCUUUCUACUGCCUUACCUUCUCACUUUGUAUUUUCAUUUUAUUUCUAAGUUAUGAAUUCUCUGAGGAGCUUUCCCCAGAGAAUGAGUAACUAAACCUCCAAUUCCUUGGAGCUAAGGUUGCCGGGGAAGGUUCCAAGUGCAAGAAUGCAAAGCUCUGUGGUUUUAGCUAGUAAUGAAGAGGAAGUGAAAUCCUUUAGUGAUUUCAAUGUUUUUAGUUAACUUAAAACACCUUGGAGUCACCUGGGCCAACACUUGGUAAGGCAAGUGAUUUCCAACCGUGGAAAUGCACUAGUUUACCCCUUGCGAGCCUCUGGUAGGUGACUUCAAGGUAGGAUUUUCUGGAAUUACCAACACUUGGUAAGCUUUUGGACUCCUAGGAGACAUCCAUUAGUUAUCUCUUGCGAGUUUGUGAAGGGGAAUCCAAGGUUAAAGAUCACCUUGAAUGGUAAGUGCUCGUGAGAGGCAUGAACCAUUGCAAGUUGUAUCAGUGAGAGAAUUAAAGUGAAAUCUAAUUGAAGGAGUCUCUGUACAUCACCGGUUAGAGAAUUGACUAUAAGUUGAAUCUCUAAUGCGAGGAAAUGAACCAUCUGACCGGAGCUAUGUCUUUUGCAUGAGGAACCACCCCAGUGAACCUAAAUCUCCAAGGAAUGCUUUUCUUCCUAAAUUAUUCCAAACUUCUGUUAAGUUAGUUAGUUUAAGUCUAAACCUUUACCAAUCAAACUUUGUGUUUUAUUCCUUAAGCUAACCGUGAAAUGAAACAAAACCAAUUCACUUGGAAUUGGUAUCCUUGAUUGCUUGCAAAUCAUUCCCAGUGAACGAUCCUUAGAGCCACUAUACUAUAGUAGCUUUGUAUUUGCUACCCUAGUGUAUGGUGUUAUAGGUAUAAAUUUUGUUGAUCACUUCCUCAAUCAAGGAACACCAGCUGAACACAAAUCAGCUGAGACACCAAUUGGGCAUGAGUCAGUGCGUUAGAGGAUCAAGAAGAAGAAAAAGAAGGAACUGUUGGAAUUAGUAUGAGUGUGAAGAGAAAAGUAUAUAAAUAAGGGGAAGUAAAAGCAAAGUUCAAAAAGCUAUAUUUUUUUAUUGUUGGUGUAUGGUUGCAUGAUUAUCCCUAUAAAUAAUAGGAGUUUUUUGGUAUUCUACUAGUAGUUGAAGCAUAAUUUCAUAAAUUAAUAUUUAGAGCGGGGUGGGGUGAGUUGUGACAAAAUUCAUACCCGUCCCAAACCUUGGUUCAGAUUUUUAAAAUAUUCUCAAACUUAUCAUAUACCCAACUUUUAUAUUUCAUACUUGUCCUAAUAGAGGCACGUUAGGCCGGGUUACUUGAGUAACCUACAUAAUUGUCAUCCCUAGUUGAAAUACACUUUUUGGCAGUGGCCACCAACUGAGCUAGAAGCUUGAUUGAUUGACCUACAAGAUUAGUUCUCAUCAUUUUAAAAAAAGUUCUGGCUUUGGUUGUGAGUGCAAUUGAAUCUAAACUGGCAUUUGCUUAAUGCAUCUACUUCAAUCCUAAACUUCUUACUUCUUAAGCCUCAAUUGUUGUUAGGAUUUUGGAAAACCCAUUUCCUUAAAUUGUAAAUUUAAGAUAAAAUAAAAUAAAAGUGAGACAUUUCUUGAUUGAAUAUUGUUAAAGGUCCCUUGGCAUUAAGACUUGGUUGAAGCCUUGGAAGAUUAGUGGAACUCUCAACAUGUGUUUGAAUCUUGAGGAGAGUGGAUGUAAGCCAAAAUUUUGUCAAACCAUUAUACAAAUUGAGUUUGAAUCCUCAUUUCUUGAUUUCUUAUUUAUUUGCUUUUUCUUAUUAUUACUUGAAUUGUCAUUUGCAUUCAUUAAUGUUAAAAUUGGUUAUAAUUAACCAACACUAAUUCUCUUUCCCCUUCCCUUUCUUGGGUGUAAACCUAGGUUGGAUUAACUAGAUAAAUCUAUUAAGAUGGUAAAAGAAUAAUUAUUCUUAACAUACAUAAGAUCAUCUUCAAUCAAAUGACUCAUUGGCUAAUAUGUUGAAUUUGCUUAUUACUUGCAACUCAAAAUUGUGUUCUAGUUGUGUCAAGUCCCCAGUGUAUGGACAUUAAAUUUGUAGUACGUGAUGAGUAAUUAGAUGGUCCAACUCCAAGAAAGUGAUUGAAAAGUAGUUCAAGAAAGGUGCAAAAGGGAAUUGUUUUGGUAUUUUCGUUUUUAUUCUUGAAGGUGGCAGAGCUAAAAUUUGAGAAAUCAAGCAAAACAUACUGAAAUUACAUUGAAAGAAAGAAGAUGGGAGUUAAUGUCUUGCAGUACAUGAUAAGGACUUCAUGCAUGUAGUGUGACCCAUGUCUUGGACUGAUGCCAACUCACGGUUACACUUAUACCCUUGGUUCUCUCUUUACUACCUUGGCUAACCUAGAUCAGGCUAUGAGAUAGGCUCCUCACCACACCAUUACUUGCCCAUUAAUUAGAGACAUUUUCAAGCAAUGAGGUAACAUGGUGACACCAAGAGGGUCUAUUCCUCGCCCGGAACAAGUCUAGACUUGGUCUCAAAAAAAUGGAGAAAAAUGAGGUGUCGUUAUGUAGAAAUACAACAACCAUGCCUUCCUCAUUACUUAGAUUCAGAAUGUGAAGGUGAAAUUGAGAAACAGAAACUCUUGAAACCAAAAUGAAAAUUGAUACUUUUACGAAGAAUUACAACAACAUUAGAGGAAGACUACAUUCUUCCUCUUUAUUCCUACAUUUCUACACUACUUCUACUCCACUCCAUAUUUCUACAUACAUCUUUAAUCAGUCUUCCCUCCUUUAUAUAGAGCCAUCUUCACACAAAUUUCGCAAGGUAGAAAAGAGGAAUGAAACUUGGAGCAAGGUUCGACUACUGGUUGUAGCUUGUCAAGGCUGGAAGUGAACUUUUCUUGGCUUUCUGGGCAUGGGUAGUAACUUGUGGGUUCCUGUUUGGCAUAAAAAUGGCUAGAACAUGUGGCACUAUCUUGUUGGAUGAUGUGUCAAGCAUGUGGCAGCCAUCUAGUGGCGAUUAUGUCAAUUUUGGGAUGGAGAGUUGGCAUCCAAUUGCAAAGAAAUAUGACGUCUACCAACAUGCAAUGUAAACCUAUGUAGAUCAUAUGAAGAUAGAGAGGAAAAAUAUAGAAAUGGAUAUAUACCUAGAACUAGCUUUUUAUUAAAUGAAACGGAGAGACAACAAUGAAGGAAAAUAAAAUUUUUUGGCUUAUAUCAAAGAGUUCACAUUGUGUUACCCUAGGUUUUCUUAAAACUUACUUUUAUGAUAACAAAAAAGAAAAAACCAUUAUUGUUUAAUCCUUUGUUUUAAACGCAUGUAAGGUGUAAUUAAGUUAGUUCAAUGCAUUAAUUUAAGAAACUUGACCUAUCAAAAGUACAAAAUUAGAUGAAAUCCAUUUCAAUGGUUAAAAUGAUCAAAAUCAAACUUUUUCUAAGUAUUUUUUAAAAGCAUCAAUAGUGAAAGACAAUUUUAUAUUUAGUCGGAGUUUGGACAAAACUGAAAAACACACAAAAUCCAAGCGACCAUCUCUAGCUUGGAUGGUCGCUUGAUCCCACCUAGAGAUGUGCAUGAGUAAAAGGAUUUGAAAAUGGAAAUUGACUAUGUAGUCGAUCAAUUAACUUUGCAACAUCAUAUGCAAUCCUAAUUGCUAGUCAUCUAAUCAAUUAGGUAGUCAAUCAACAGGCCAAAAAUAUGUUUAUAAUGACUAUUUUGUACAAAAACCACCUGUAUAGUUAAAUAUAAUGCAUUUCAUUUAUAAAUCUUCUAAUUCUUGAAUAACGAUCCUAUCAUCCUUUGAAAGUUUUUAUUACACUUUUUUUACUUUUGUUCUAAAACUUACACAUCACCCUUAAUUGUACCAUGAGAACCUAGCUAUUUUUUAUUUUUUUUUUUGUAAUUCAUCAAAGUUAGCUUUUGUAUUCAUUGUUGUAUUAUUUUUAGUAUAACUUAGAAAGCUAGUGUUUUCAAGUGAGUAAAAUUAACUUGUAAAUAUUGUAAAGAUUCAUCGACAUGUAUCUUAAACUAAGUGUACAAGUUAAAACAUUUGCUAGUAGAUUUUCUCAAAAUUUAGAAUAGAGCUUGAGACUAUUGAAAUAGGUGGGGUUGCACCAAACCACAUCACAUCGUUGUUUGCACCUUUUUUCACUCUCUUUUACUUAGUUGCUCUAUAUUUGUUGUCUAGUAAUAUCCUAUAGGCUUGAUGGGUUAGGGAGCAUCCCUUUGUGAAAAAAUUUUAUUCAAUCCUUAGUUGUAUCACGCAUAUAUAAAAUGCCUCAUUGUUUUAAUGGUAUUCAGUCGUGGCAUCACAGAUAUGGGCAUCUAAAUUUUAAAAGUUUGAAACUUUUAUCUAAAGAAAAUAUGGUGCUUUGCCUUUUUGUAAAGCAUGUUGAUGAAAUCCAUGAGAAUUGUGUACUUGGGAAGCAACACCGAGAUGACUUUUUUUUUUUUUUUAUAAUAUUGUUUGUCCAAAUUCCCUACAAAUUAGGCCACCAGAUGUUCAUAAUUCUCCCUUCUUGAAUUUGAAAACUCGGACAAUUGGACAAUGCGACACCUAAGUCCGGUUUCUAAAUGCUAAAGUGAAAGGGUAGGUAUGGACCAUUGAAAUGUGAUCACAACUUUUCUCUGUAGCCAUGUUGUCUCUUUUUUCUUUUGCAUGAUUUUCUUACCUUAACAGAAUCAUAGACUUGUUUAGUCUCUAAAUGGGAUUAAUUUCAUCCAGCUUUAAGCUACUAUAUUAUAUCUAGGUGGAGGACUUUUAAGAGUGCAACCGACAUAGAGCACAUGGAAGUGGGUAUAUGGGACAUGAAAUUUCUUCUUAUAAAGAUUGCAUGAUUUUUAUAUUAGAGUUGUUGAGGCGCUAUGUAUUUAGCUUGUUUUGCAGUUAAAUUAAUUGGAUAAGUAGACAUUGGCGUUUCUAAAUCUACUGUGAAGUGCUUCAUGUACGUGUGAAGUAUUAGAAAUUUCUUUCUUGGCAACUUGUUUUUCUUUGCGGUCUACUGAUAGGUUUGACUAAAAUUAUAUUCCCUGUCAUGCUAAUUAAUUUUCACGUGCAUGCUCAAAAGAAAAGUAUGACCUUAGUGCACCAAAAUCACUUUGAUUAAUUUGUGAUAGGUUUUUGUGCAUCAUGACAUUAGCCUUAUUCAUUUAGAUAAUGUUUAGUUUUUAGAAAGUAUUAAGAAAAGGAAAAUAAAUAUUAAGAAAAAUAUUCUUAUAUUUGAUUGUAUUAUGAAAAAUAUCAUAAAAAAAUCAAAUAUAAUUUAAAUUAAUUAAUAAUUUAUACAUUUUCAAAUUAUUUAAUCUUUAUAUUGAAGAUAUAAUAUAAAUGAAAUGAGUUUUAAGUAUUAUAUAAAAGUGAUUUAUUGAUCUUACAUAUAUAUAUUUCUUUUUUUUUUCCUUCUAUUUUUUCUCUUUAUUUUAUUUUCCUUAUGUUUUCCUCAACAUUUUCCGGAACCAAACAUAGCCUUAGGAAAUCCACAAUUACCUUCAACUGAGUAGAUUCUGUUGUUUUAGCAAUGUUAGGCUGCUAACUUGUGUUGGUACGAACCUAUUAAGCCUAAAGAUGUAAUUAGUUAGGAUAUUCUUUUCCCUCUAGUCUUGUAGCUCCACGUGUACAGUUGGUUAGGACCUCAUUGUAUAUAAUGCUUGCCCUGUUAUUGUAGAAGACAACAAAGAUAAAUAAUAUUAACAUUUUUCCUCUCAUCUCUCUCUGUUUCCCUCUGUUUUCAUCUCCUCUCUCAUCUUGGUAUCAGAGCCUCCAUGGCUUCUUUCAAAGAAACCUCCGAAUCACCUUCUGCUAGCAUUGUUAAUGUGCAAAACCCAUUAUCUCAAUCAAACAACCUUCCUUCACCAGUAGCCACACCCUCUUUUUCUUUCUCGUCUAUGAAUCAACCUCUCACAGUGAAGCUGGAUAAUGGGAACUACCUCAUAUGGAAGAAUUAGCUUCUAAAUGUCAUCAUUGCUAACGGACUCGAUGAUUUCAUUGACGGAUCUCGACCCUGCCCUCCUCGAUUUCUCGAUCUGCAACAACAAACCCUCAAUCCAGAGUACUCAGCUUGGCAGAGAUACAAUCGACUUCUGAUGAGUUGGCUGUACGCAUCCUUGUCCAAAGAUAUAAUGGCUCAGAUUGUUGGGUAUUCAACAGCUAUGGAGAUUUGGAAUGCCCUUAAUCAGAUUUACUCUGCCUCUUCUAUGGCGCGGUUUACUGAGCUUCGCACCAAGCUUCAAACGCUCAAGAAAGAUGGACUCUCAGUUGGUGAAUAUAUUCAAAGGCUCAAAUCCAUUUGCAAUAGUCUUGCAGCAAUAGGAGAACCAGUUUCUGAGAAAGACCAUCUUAUCUAUUUGUUCAAUGGAUUAGAUUGUGAGUAUUAUUCUUUUGUUACCUCCAUUCAAAAUCGAUCUGACCAACCAACUAUUGACAAAAUCCAUAGCCUAUUGCUUAGCUAUGACUUCCGGCUUGAACAACAAAACUCUGUUUCUCUCCAUUCUGCCCAAGUCCAUAUGGCUCAUCUGAACAAGAAACCUUAUAAAUCAACUCCUCAACCUACAUUCAAUCAUAUUCACAUUCAACCUAGAUACUCUUCUCCACCUUUUAAGCCAACCACUAGUCAAUAUCAACCCAACAUUUUGGGCAAACCACAACCACAACCAUGACAGCCUCAACCUCAAUGGAAACCACAUUUUUCAAUCUAAAAUCAAAAGCCUCAGCGCCAAAUUUGUGGUAAAUUUGGACACACUGCUCUUAUUUGCUUCCAUCACACAAAUUUGAACUAUUCACCCCAACCUUCUCCUAAAUCUUUCAAUACUGUUCUCACCACAAAUUCCCAGCUCCCUAAUCCUCCAAAAUUUUCUUACCCUACAAUGGCUCAUCCUGCUGCUACGCAUAACACGGUUCCCGAUACAAAUUGGUACAUGGACUCAGGUGCUACACAUCACUUUACUCUGGACAUCAACGUGCUUGACACUGUGACACCAUUUAGUGGUUCAGAACAGGUGACAGUUGGGAAUGGUAAGCAACUCUGUAUCUCACAUCUUGGUACUGCAAAACUACCAUCUUCGUAUUCUCCUCCUGUUCUACAUCAGGUAUAUCACACUCCAAAAAUUUCAAAUAAUCUUAUUAGUGUUAAAAAAUUGUGUUCUGAUAAUAAAGUUUUUGUUGAAUUUUAUGCCACUCAUUUUCUUGUCAAGGAUCAGGUUUCGAAGAGAGUUCUCCUUUAGGGUCAACUUGAUAAUGGCUUAUACAAAGUUCAGUCGUCAUGCUCUCCUUCUGCUGUUUCCUUUCCUCCUCAAGUUUUCAUAGCCAACAUCAAGUAUCCAAAUCUGUGGCACAAGAGACUAGGCCACCCAGCUUUAUCUGUUGUUAAUCAAAUCUUGGAUUCUUGUAACAUUGCUCGAACACAGAAAAUUUGUUUUAAUUUUUUAAAUUCUUGUCAAUUAGCAAAGAGCCACAGGCUUCCUUUUUCUCUGUCUCCAUCCAUUGCAGAAAAACCUUUUGAGUUAAUUCAUACAGACCUAUGGGGUCUUUCGCUCGUUCGCUCUAUUUCUGGUGCUCUUUAUUUUUUACUUUUCAUUGAUGAUCAUACUCGUUUUACUUGGUUUUAUUUGCUCAAAACAAAAGAUGAAGCAUAUCCUACUUUUCUCAAGUUUCAAGCUCUCAUUGAAAAUCAAUUUAAUACCAAGAUUAAGGCUGUCCAAUCUGAUUGGGGAGGUGAGUUUCGAUCUCUCUCCAUACCGUUUUCAAAUAUGGGCAUUGUCUAUUGUUUAUCGUGUCCAUACACCUCACAACAGAAUGGGCGAGUUGAGCGAAAAAAUCGCCAUGCGAUUGUCCUUUCUUGCUUGCUCUAUGCCCUUAUCUUAUUGGCCUUAUGCCUUUCAAACUGCCACUUACCUUAUUAAUCGUCUCUCUACCCCUGUGCUGCAUCAUCAAUCCUCUUACUUCGCACUCUAUCACAAACUCCCAACUUAUACUCAUCUUAAGGUCUUUGGUUCCUCUUGUUUUCCGUAUUUGCACCCUUAUAAUACCCAUAAACUCCAAUACAGGUCACUAGAGUGUGCUUUUCUUGGUUACAGUUCACACCACAAAGGUUAUCUAUGUCUUGACAUUCAUUCUAGCAGGGUGUAUAUUUCUCGCCAUGUGAUUUUUAAUGAAGAUUCUUUUCCAUUCAAGAAUUUGAAAUCUUCUCUCUCUCAGUCUAUUUCUUCUUCCUCUUCUUUAUAAGUUCCUCUGUUCAUUCUCUUGCCUCCCCUUUCCCCAUCUCCUCUUAUUUCUUCAUCUAUACCUCAUUCUUUUCCCUCUUCUUCUUCUACCUCUAGUACUUGUUCCCCUCUCGUUGCUCCUACCUCUCUUCCUUCCUCUUCACACUCUGUGUCUCCAUCUAUUCCACCUCCUUCUCCACCUUCUCCGAGUGUGGACCUGCUUGCACCUUGUGUGAAUACAAAUUUACAUACUUCUUCUCGCACUCACAAUAUUCAUCCUAUGGUGACUAGAUCUAAGGUUUGUAUCUAUAAACCUAAGUUGUUGUUGAGUGUCUCCAUAGGUUCUCUCACUAAGCCUACUUCCUUUCUUCAAGCUAUUAAAGAUCCUUCAUGGAAGCAAUCCAUGGAAUUCGAGUUUGCUACCCUUCAACACAACAAGACCUGGCAUUUGGUUCCUUCACCUUCCUCAGGCGAAGUAAUCGGUUGUAAAUGGGUCUAUAAGCUAAAGCUUCAGCCUGAUGGCUAAAUUGAGAGAUACAGCCUGCUUAGUAGCUAAGGGUAUCAUCAAAUUGAAGUAUGGACUACUUCGAAACAUUCAGCCUGAUNNNNNNNNNNNNNNNNNNNNNNNNNNNNNNNNNNNNNNNNNNNNNNNNNNNNNNNNNNNNNNNNNNNNNNNNNNNNNNNNNNNNNNNNNNNNNNNNNNNNAGCUUCAGCCUGAUGGCUAAAUUGAGAGAUACAAGGCCUGCUUAGUAGCUAAGGGUUAUCAUCAAAUUGAAGGUAUUGACUACUUCGAAACAUUCAGCCUGAUUGUCAAGCUUUCUACUAUCUGUAUUGUGCUCAGUCUUACUUUUUCCCAGAAUUGGUGUAUUAGACAGCUGGAUGUUCAUAAUGCCUUCUUACAUGGUGACUUAGCUAAAGACGUUUUCAUGGAACAACUGCCUGGAUUUGUUGAUCCUCUCUAUCCUACUCAUGUCUGCAAGUUGGAUAAGUCUCUCUACUGUCUUAAAUAGUCACCUCGGGCUUGGUAUACUAAGCUGAGUACUUCUCGCUACACUUGGGAUUUGUUACUUCUAAGAAUGACUCUUCCUUAUUUAUUUGUCAUUCGUCUCAUGGGUUACUUCUUGUUCUUGUCUAUGUGGAUGAUAUAAUCGUCAUUGGGAGCCACUCUCCUCAGGUUACUCACCUUAUCCAACAGUUGCAUCAUUAGCUUUCUUUAAAGGAUCUUGGUCCUUUACAUUAUUUUCUGGGCUUGGAGGUUCAUCACACCCCUACUGGUAUUCACCUCAGCCAAGCAAAGUAUAUCACUGAUCUCCUUACCCGGGCGGCUAUGUUGGAUGCCAAGCCAUGUCCCACUCCUAUGUCCUCCAACACAUAUCUCUCUUUUCAUGAUGGAGUGGCUCUUGAAAAUGGUUCAGAUUAUCGAAGUUUUGUUGGUGCCCUUUAGUAUUGUACCAUGACACGCCCAGAUAUAGCUUUUGCAAUAAAUAAAGUGUGUCAAUUCAUGCACCAUCCCUCUAAUGUUCACUGGCAGGCUAUAAAACGUAUUCUCCGGUACUUAAAGGGCACAUCUCAUUUUGGUCUCUUCCUACAGCCUUCCUAUGACUUCAACAUCACUUGCUAUACAAAUGCCGACUGGGCUUCCUGUCCUGAUGACAAGUGUAGCACCAGUGGCUACUGCCUCUUUCUUGCCUCUAAUCUGGUUUCUUGGUCAUCUUCCAAACAAAAAGUGGUCUCCCGCUCCAGCGCCGAAUCAGAGUACCGAGGGGUAGCAAAUGGGGCUGCUGAAAUUGCUUGGACUGAAUCUCUUCUUUGUGAACUUUCCAUUACUCCCCCUCCCCUCAUUCUCUGUGACAAUAUCAGUGCCACGUACUUAGCUGCCAAUCCUAUUUUGCAUGCCCGCACCAAACAUGUGGAAAUCGACUAUCACUUUGUCACGGAACGUGUUCUUCAAUGCUCUCUUUUUGUCCAGUUUACACCUUCUGAUGAUCAACUUGCUGAUUGCAUGACCAAGCCUCUCUCCACCCAACGUUUCAUCACUCUACGCUCCAAGCUCACUGUUCUCACUAGACCAAUGAGCUUGAGGGGGGAUGUUAAGCCUAAAGAUGUAAUUAGUUAGGAUAUUCUUUUCCCUCUAGUCUUGUAGCUCCACGUGUACAGUUGGUUAGGACCUCAUUGUAUAUAAUGCCUGCCCUGUUAUUGUAGAAGACAACAGAGAUAAAUAAUAUUAACAUUUUUCCUCUCAUCUCUCUCUCUGUUUCCCUCUGUUUUCAUCUCCUCUCUCAUCUGAACCAAAUGAUCCAUGUUAACCUUGGCUUGGUUUGAUUUGGCUCUAUCUUAGAGAGCUCAAGGAUCACGUCAACUCUGGUUUCUACUAUUCAGGUCCAUUCCCAUAUGAACUGGUUCAAAUUUGAGAAAAUGGUAACAGACCUUUAGUGAUGUUGGUUUGGAGCCAGUUGCCAAACCCGCCCUGAGCUUUACCACUAAUGUCAAGGGAGAAAGCCAUUUGAACAAAAACAAUAGCUUCAAGGGACUGAAUCGUGGAUGAAAUCUGAUCCACAUUUCUUCUCAUUUUGGAAACAAAUGAGAACUUAACUAAGAAGAUUCUACGGCCUCAUAGUGCUUUUCCUGAUCUAAGGUUGGUUCGUUUCCCAAACUGUGAGAUGCACGUGCCAGACUUCAGAACUCUCACGCUCAGGAGUGUAUCCACGUGGUGGACAUAAGAUGGUGGCUUAAGAUCUGGUGUCGGUGGCUUUACUUUACUAGGAGAGUAGUGUGUCUUCAUCUCAUUCACUGCCGGAGGGUGGCGUAAGCAGUGACGCUAAGGUGGGGCACAGUCAAUAUCAUUUGCAUUUGACCAUUAUAGUUUUCUCCCGGCUUUAAAGUAACCUUAUCGUGAUAAAGGAUUACUAGCACUAGUUCAGAUGAUAGUCAUGUUAAAUUCGGACCAUGUUUGUGUCACAUUAUCAGCAACCAUGUGUUUAUGGUUCAUGCUUUCUGCAACUAAAAUUGAUAUAUAACCAGGUGAACUUCAAUCUAAAUUCUGAAAGUACUCAUGUGAUAGAUGGUGCCCGUCUGCAGAGUCCAUCAAUUGAAAAAUGGAGUGAGUGUAUCUAUAAGAGGGAAGGCUUGGAAAAUGUUCAGUUUUCUGGGAAUUCAACAAGGAUCUAAAAUAGAUUGUUUUCUUUGCUGAUUUCAAUGGUUGAAAUUUGAGAAGAUUGUGUCCACAUAACACAACUAUUACUGGUCCUUCUGUUGCAAUUUAUCCUCUAAAGCUCUAGCAUGUCUUCCAAUUCCCACUUCCCUGUUACUCCAGGAAAGCUAUUUCUGUCAUUGUGAAGAAGAAAAGAGAAUGUACAUAUCGAUGCUUUUAAGUGACUGGAGCAUUUAUAUCAGGUGGUCUGCAGCCAUAUAUGCCACUUUGUGAAGAUUGGAACAGUCAAUCACUAGGCUAUAUAUUAGUGUGGCCCAGCCACUUUAAUCAAGGACAAGUCUUCAUACUUAAAGUCAAAUUCUGCCUUUAGUCUCAUUAUAAAUUUCUGUUUAAAUAUUAAGCAAACAUUUGUUUAAUGCGAUUAAGACAGUACUAACUCAAUACCUGUUCUAUUUUUGGAUGCAAAUGCUUGAUGGUUUCAUCAUUGGAUGGGAUAAAGGUGCAUUCAUGAUUAGGAAUACUAGUAGUUAUAUUUUAAUUCUCUUUUUUCUCAAUGAGACUUGUUGGCACAAUUUUGCUGUUGAGAAACCUACCUCUCCAUGGAAAAUAAGUUGUGAUUGAUAGUACUGGAUAUAUUCAAGAAAUCUAAAUAUAGAUAGCACAAAAUAUUAUCGACAUAAAUAGCAUUAACAGCGUACGUAUGUCUCAGUGCUCAUCAGCUAUAAGCAUGGGGCAAACACUUACUAUGAGCAACUUACGUCAAAAUUCCAGAAUAGGACAUAGAAGUGACAGAUAUAGAACAUUGCAUAUGAGUCACAAGAAAGGAAAUUACGGGUGCAUAGCAGCUCUUAUUUUACAUACUACUACUCAUACUGAUCAAAGUCACUCAGUUGGGAUGGGUGGGAGUAGGAGGUUUGUGGGGUGGCUUGUGCGGAGGAGUUGGCAGCUUCUUUCCAGGACCUGGUUGCUUCUCUGCUGGAGUUGAAGGAGGCUUAAUCUUCCGAGGUGGCUUGUAUGAGUCUUCAGCAUUCUCAGCUGGAGGGUGACCAGGGUUGUGACCAUAAUGUGGUGGCUUCUCUCCCUUAGGUGGUUUGCCAACUGGGGUUGGUGGCUUGUAUGAGUCUUCAGCAUUCUCAGCAGGAGGGUGACCAGGGUUGUGACCAUAAUGUGGUGGCUUCUCUCCCUUAGGUGGUUUGCCAACUGGGGUUGGUGGCUUGUGUUCUGGGAGUGGCUUCUCCCCCUUGGGAGGUUUUUCCAAUGGGGUUGGUUUGUGUUCAGGAGGUGGCUUCUCCACUGGAGGCUUGUGUUCAGGAGGUGGCUUCUCCACCGGAGGCUUGUGUUCAGGUGGUGGCUUCUCCACCGGAGGCUUAUGCUCUGGUGGUGGCUUCUCGAAUGGGGGAUGCUUAGGAUAAUCAGCAAGUGAGGGGGCGGUGAGAACCACCAGGCCAAGCAACACCACUAGCAAAUAUGUAGGAGACAUCUUUGGGUUUGGGCUCAGAUGGUGCAAAACUAGGAGAAUUGGCUAGCCUUUUAUAGCGGAUCGUACCCAAUAAUGAAAUGACACGUGUCAUUAUGACCCAUGUGUAAUGGGGUCGAUUUGGGUCCUACAGUGUUGAAAACUUCGACAUCCACUUUUGGCCUUUUGCUUUCUCUACAGCCGCCUUGCUUUUUCCCUCUUUCCUUUUGUUUUCCUCCUGCCCCAUUCUAUCAACUAAACACAAUUAUGUAGUUGUUUAAUUCUUAAAUGAGAUAUUAUCCGUCAAUCGUAUUAUAUUUUAUCAAGAGAGAACGGAGUGCAAUGUGGCUGUAAUUUUAUCGUUUAGUUUUAUCUCUUGGACCACUGCAUUUUUGUUAAGAGGUGCAAUAAUACACGUCUUUAUCUGCCAUUCAAUAUUUACAGUAAAGAGAGGGCACAAAACUCUUCACUUCGCACCAUAAUUAUUUUGUUUUCUGGACACCCCGGGGCCCUUUGGUUGGUUUGGGGGUCAGAAAGUGAACAUCAUAGGGGGUUUUUCCCUUAUGUGCAUUUGUAUCUGAUGGCUUUAACUCGCCUUGUUACUACAAAGAAACUGUCACAGAUAGGAACUUAUUCCAGGCUGAGUAUCUCCUCAUAGACCCUAUAAAAGAAGACAAGUCAUAAUGAACAUCUAACCUUUGUUCAAUUUGAUUCAAUGCCCCCAUUGUGUCCAUCUCACAAAUCUGAAUUAUUAUAUCCAUUGAAUACAUAAAUUAAUGAAGAAAAUAUGAAACCCAAGAUACAUCUCUGCACAACCUCAACCCUGGUUGCUAUGUUUCCCUUCUAUUCACAUGAUUUGAUGCUAAUUGCCAAACUUGCAACAAGCCCUGAGUUUGACACCUAGUAUCGAUGGGCGAAUUUAAAGUCUCCUCCAAACAUAUAUUCCACAGCUUGAAGCUCACAGAAGAUGUUACAGGCAGGGAAAAACCUUCAGAGUUCGCUACCAAAGAUAAUUAUUAAGGAGAUAUCACAAAGAGAAUUCCAAGGGGUCUGAAUCAAAGACAAAUUGGUCGUUCGUGGGGGUUCUUACUUUCUUUUGGGUAUAACUCACUGAGGGCACUGUCUUUGUUAUUUGCAUUUCACAUUUAGAGUUCUGUUCUGGAAACAUAUAAAAGGAGCAUCAUUUUGUUCUUGGGUAACCCAUAGUCGUGAGUGGGUCCAUUUGCAUGCUACUUAGUUGAAAAGUUGGACCAUUUGCUCCGACGCCUACCUCCCGGAUUCCAUGCUCGGAUAAAACAAGAAUAAAAAAAAUAUUUAUAAUUUACAAAUGGGGGAAAGAAAAAAAUGUCAACAACAAACCAGGAAAAAAGAGUAGUAAAAUUCAUGUCACAUGCUAGUGAGAGAAGGGGUUGUUACACUCACUCGAAGUUCUUUCCAAAAUAUCGCAUGGUAUUUUAUUUUAUGUGUCAGCGCAGUUGUGAAUGGAACGUGCAAAAGUCCAAAUUGGCGUUUUUCCUUUUCCCGUGUAGGAUGGCGACCUUUAAUAAAUAUUUAAAACAAAAAACGAAAAAAAGGAGGGAAAAGGGAUCAGAAAAGAUAAAACAAUGUGUACAAGAGCUCAAUUAGUUUGCAAAUUACUGUUUGGAUUUUGAUAGUAUUUUAUUUGUCCAUCUAUAUUUGAUGGAAAAGAGAAUUUAAGAUAUUUCUGAAACAAAAGCAUUAGUGUAAAACUAAAUUAAGGUAUAAUUAAGUUAGUUCAAUGCAUUAAUUUAAGAAACUUGAUCUAUCCAAAGUACAAAAUUAGAUGAAAUCCAUUUCAAUGGUUAAAAUGAUCAAAAUCAAACUUUUUCUAAGUAUUUUUUAAAAGCAUCAAUAUUAAAAGACAAUUUUAUAUUUAGUCGGAGUUUGGACAAAACCAAAAAGCACACAAAAUCCAAGCGACCAUCUCUAGCUUGGAUAGUCACUUGAUCCCACCUAGAGAUGUGCAUGAGUAAAAGGAUUUGAAAAUGGAAAUUGACUAAAUAUUUAGUUGAUCAAUUAAAUUUGCAAUGUCAUAUGCAAUCCUAAUAGCUAGUCAUCUAAUCAAUUAGGUAGUCAAUCAAGUGUUUGUAAUGACUAUUUUGUACAAAAAACCACAUGUAUAGUUAAAUAUAAUGCAUUUCAUUUAUAAAUCUUCUAAUUCUUGAAUAACGAUCCUAUCAUCCUUUGAAAAUUUUUAUUACACCUUUUUUACUUUUGUUCUAAAACUUACAUAUCACCCUUAAUUGUACCAUGAGAACCUAGCUAUUUUUUUUUUUUUUGUAAUUCAUCAAAGUUAGCUUUUGUAUUCAUUGUUGUAUUAUUUUUAGUAUAACUUAGAAAGCUAGUGUUUUCAAGUGAGUAAAAUUAACUUGUAAAUAUUGUAAAGAUUCAUUGAUAUGUAUCUUAAACUAAGUGUACAAAUUAAAACAUUUGCUAGUAGAUUUUCUCAAAAUUUAGAAUAGAGCUUGAGGCUAUUGAAAUAGGUGGGGUUACACCAAACCACAUCACAUCGUUGUUUGCACCUUUUUUCACUCUCUUUUACUUAGUUUCUCUAUAUUUGUUGUCUAGUAAUAUCCUAUAGGCUUGAUGGGUUAGGGAGCAUCCCUUUGUGAAAAAAUUUCAUUCAAUUCUUAGUUGUAUUACGCAUAUAUAAAAUGCCUCAUUGUUUUAAUGGUAUUCAGUCGUGGCAUCACAGAUAUGGGCAUCUAAAUUUUAAAAGUUUGAAACUUUUGUAAAGCAUGUUGAUAAAAUCCAUGAGAGUUGUGUACUUGGGAAGCAACAUCGAGGUGACUUUAUUUUUUUUUCCUUUUAUAAUGCCACACCUAAGUCCGGUUUCUAAAUGCUAAAGUGAAAGGGUAGGUAUGGACCAUUGAAAUGUGAUCACAACUUUUGGCCUUUUCCUUUCUCUGCAGCCAUGUUGUCUCUUUUUUCUUUUGCAUGAUUUUCUUACCAAAACAGAAUCAUAGACUUGUUUAGUCUCUAAGCUACUAUAUUAUAUCUCGGUGGACUUUUAAGAGUGCAACCGACAUAGAGCACAUGCAAGUGGGCAUAUGGGACAUGAAAUUUCUUCUUACAAAGAUUGCAUGAUUUUUAUAUUAGAGUUGUUCACGUGCAAUGUAUUUAGCUUGUUUUGCAGUUAAAUUAAUUGGAUAAGUAAACAUUGGCAUUUCUAAAUCGACUGUGAAGUGCUUCAUGUACGUGUAAAGUAUUAGAAAUUUCUUUCUUGGCAACUUGUUUUUUCCUUGCCAUCUACUGGUAGGUUUGACUAAAAUUAUAUUCCCUGUCAUGCUAAUUAAUUUUCAUGUGCAUGCUCAAAAGAAGAGUAUGACCUUAGUGCACCAAAAUCACUUUGAUUAAUUUGUGAUAGGUUUUUUUGCAUCAUUUAGAUAAUGUUUAGUUCUAAGAAAAAUUUAUAUAAAAAUGGUUUAUUUAUCUUACAUAUAUAUAUAUAUAUAUAUAUUUUUUUUUUUUUCAUUUUUUUUUCUUCUAUUUUAUUUAUUUAUUUUAUUUUCCUUAUGUUUUCCUCACAUUUUCCGGAACUAAACAUAGUCUUACGAAAUCAACAAUUGCCUUCAACUGAGUAGAUUCUGUUGUUUUAGCAAUGUUAGGCUGCUAACUUGUGGUGGUACGAACCAAAUGACCCAUGUUAAUCUUGGCUUGGUUUGAUUUGGCUCUAUCUCAGAGAGCUAAAGGAUCACGUCAACUCUGGUUUCUACUAUUCAGGUCCAUUCCCAGAUGAACUGGUUCAAAUUUGAGAAAAUGGUAACAGACCUUUAGUGAUGUUGGUUUGGAGCCAGUUGCCAAACCCGCCCUGAGCUUUACCACUAAUGUCAAGGGAGAAAGCCAUUUGAACAAAAACAAUAGCUUCAAGAGACUGAAUCGUGGAUGAAAUCUGAUCCACAUUUCUUCUCAUUUUGGGAAAAAAUGAGAACUUAACUACAAAGAUUCUACUGCCUCAUUCAUAGUGCUUUUCCUGAUCCAAGGUUGGUUCGUUUCCCAAAUUGUGAGGUGCACGUGCCACUCUCACGCUCAGGAGUGUAUCCACGUGGUGGACAUCAGAUGGUGGCUUAAUAUCUGGUGUCGGUGGCUUUACUUUACUAGGAGAGUAGUGUGUCUUCAUCUCAUUCACUGCCGGAGGGUGGCGUAAGCAGUGACGCUAAGGUGGGGCACAGUCAAUAUCAUUUGCAUUUGACCAUUAUAGUUUUCUCCCGGCUUGAAAGUAACCUUAUCGUGAUAAAGGAUUACUAGCACUAGUUCAGAUGACCGUCAUGUUAAUUCGGACCAUGUUUGUGUCACAUUAUCAGCAACCAUGUGUUUAUGGUUCAUGCUAUCUGCAACUAAACUUGAUAUAUAACCAGGUGAACUUCAAUCAAAAUUCUGGAAGUACUCUUGUGAUAGAUGGUGCCUGUCUGCAGAGUCCAUCAAUUGAAAAAUGGAGUGAGUGUAUCUAUAAGAGGGAAGGCUUGGCAAAUGUUCAGUUUUCUGGGAAUUCAACAAGGAUCUAAAAUAGAUUGUUUUCUUUGCCGACUUCAAUGGUUGAAAUUUGAGAAGAUUGUGUCCACAUAUCACAACUAUUACUGGUCCUUCUGUUGCAAUUUAUCCUGUAAGGCUCUAACAUGUCUUCCAAUUCCCACUUCCCUGUUACUCCAGGAAAGCUAUUUCUGUCAUUGUGAAGAAGAAAAGAGAAUGUACAUAUCGAUGCUUUUAAGUGACUGGAGCAUUCAUAUCAGGUGGUCUGCAGCCAUAUAUGCCACUUUGUGAAGGUUGGAACAGUCAAUCACUAGGCUAUAUAUUGGUGUGGCCCAGCCACUUCAAUCAAGGACAAGUCUUCAUACUUAAAGUCAAAUUCUGCCUUUAGUCUCAUUAUAAAUUGCUGUUUAAAUAUUAAGCAAACUUUUGUUUAAUGCGAUUAAGACAGUACUAACUCAAUACUUGUUCUAUUUUUGGAUGCAAAUGCUUGAUGGUUUCAUCAUUGGAUGGGAUAAAGGUGCAUUCAUGAUUAUGAAUACUUGUAGUUAUAUUUUCAUUCUCUUUUUUCUCAAUGAGACUUGUUGGCACAAUGUUGCUGUUCAGAAACCUACCUCUCCAUGGAAAAUAAGUUGCGAUUGAUAGUACUGGAUAUGUUCAAGAAAGCUAAAUAUAGAUAGCACAAAAUAUUAUCGAUAUAAAUAGCAUUAACAGCGUACGUAUGUCUCAAUGCUCAUCAGCUAUAAGCAUGGGACAAACACUUACUAUGAGCAACUUACGUCAAAAUUCCAGAAUAGGACAUAGAAGUGACAGAUCUAUAUAUAUAGAACACUGCAUAUGAGUCACAAGAAAGGAAAUUACGGGUGCAUAGCAGCUCUUAUUUUACAUACUACUACUCAUACUGAUCAAAGUCACUCAGUUGGGAUGGGUGGGAGUAGGAGGUUUGUGGGGUGGCUUGUGCGGAGGAGUUGGCAGCUUCUUUCCAGGACCUGGUUGCUUCUCUGCUGGAGUUGAAGGAGGCUUAAUCUUCCGAGGUGGCUUGUAUGAGUCUUCAGCAUUCUCAGCUGGAGGGUGACCAGGGUUGUGACCAUAAUGUGGUGGCUUCUCUCCCUUAGGUGGUUUGCCAACUGGGGUUGGUGGCUUGUAUGAGUCUUCAGCAUUCUCAGCAGGAGGGUGACCAGGGUUGUGACCAUAAUGUGGUGGCUUCUCUCCCUUAGGUGGUUUGCCAACUGGGGUUGGUGGCUUGUGUUCUGGGAGUGGCUUCUCCCCCUUGGGAGGUUUUUCCAAUGGGGUUGGUUUGUGUUCAGGAGGUGGCUUCUCCACUGGAGGCUUGUGUUCAGGAGGUGGCUUCUCCACCGGUGGCUUGUGUUCAGGAGGUGGCUUCUCCACCGGAGGCUUAUGCUCUGGUGGUGGCUUCUCCACCGGAGGCUUAUGCUCUGGUGGUGGCUUCUUGAAUGGGGGAUGCUGAGGGUAAUCAGCAAGUGAGGGGGCGGUGAGAACCACCAGGCCAAGCAACACCACUAGCAAAUAUGUAGGAGACAUCUUUGGGUUUGGGCUCAGAUGGUGCAAAACUAGGAGAAUUGGCUAGCCUUUUAUAGCGGAUCGUACUCAAUAAUGAAAUGACACGUGUCAUUAUGACCCAUGUGUAAUGGGGUCGAUUUGGGUCCUACAGUGUUGAAAACUUCGACAUCCAGUUUUGGCCUUUUGCUUUCUCUACAGCCGCCUUGCUUUUUCCCUCUUUCCUUUUGUUUUCCUCCUGCCCCAUUCUAUCAACUAAACACAAUUAUGUAGUUGUUUAAUUCUUAAAUGAGAUAUUAUCGGUCAAUCGUAUUAUAUUUUAUCAAGAGAGAACGGAGUGCAAUGCAGCUGUAAUUUUAUCGUUUACUUUUAUCUCUUGGACCACUGCAUUUUUGUUAAGAGGUGCAAUAAUACACGUCUUUAUCUGCCAUUCAAUGUUUACAGUAAAGAGAGGGCACAAAACUCUUCACUGCUCUGCAUGUGUCCCAAAAAUGCGAUUGGACAAAUUAUGAUUUGCAUGCUAAAAAGAGGCAAAUGAGGUUAAUUCGCACCAUAAUUAUUUGGUUUUCUGGACACCAUAAAAAGAUGUUAUACAGGCAGGGAAAAACCUUCAGAGUUAGCUACCAAAGAUAAUUAUCAAGCAGAUAUCACCAAGAGAAUUCCAUAGAGUCUGAAUCAAAGACAGAUUGCUCGCUCGUGGGGGUUCUUACUUUCUUUUGGGUAUAACUCACUGAGGUCACUGUCUUUUUUAUUUGCAUUUCACAGUUAGAGUUCUGCUCUGGAAGGUUUGUUCUGGAAACAUAUAAAAGGAGCAUCAUUUUGUUCUUGGGUAACCCAUAGUCGUGAGUGGGUCCAUUUGCAUGCUACUUAGUUGAAAAGUUGGACAAUUUGCUCCGACGCCUACCUCCUGGAUUCCAUGCUCGGUAAAACAAGAAUAAAAAAAAAUAUAUAAUUUACAAAUGGGGGAAAGAAAAAAUGUCGGAAAAAAUAGUAAAAUUCAUGUCACAUGCUAGUGAGAGAAGGGGUUGUUACACUCACUCGAAGUUCUUUUCAAAAUAUCGAAUGGUAUUUUACUUUAUGUGUCAGCGCAGUUGUGAAUGGAACGUGCAAAAGUCCAAAUUGGCGUUUUUAUUUUUCCCAUGUAGGAUGGUGACCUUUAAUAAAUAUUUAAAACAAAAGACGAAAAAAAAAAGGAGGGAAAAGGGAUCACAAAAGAUAAAAUAAUGUUUACAAAAGCUCAAUUAGUUUGCAAAUUACUGUUUGGAUUUUGAUAGUAUUUUAUUUGUCGUUCUAUAUUUGAUGUAAAAGAGAAUUUAAGAUAUUUCCGAAGCAAAAGCAUUAGUUUGCUCUGUGAUGUCCCACAUCGAAUAGGGGAGAAAGUUUCUGGCGCUAUAUAUGUAGAGGCUCCUCUUAACCAAGUAGAUGCGUUUUAAAACCAUGAGGGCCCCCUUAGGUCCAAAGCGGACAAUAUCUACAUGAUUGGGUGUAAGUCAUUACAAAUGGUAUCAGAGCCGAUCCCCGACCCCGGUGUGGGGGUUUGUUUGGCCCUGUAAGGGGUGUUUGUCUGUUUGACCCCACAAUCCCAUGGGACACAACGAGGACGUUGUGUCUGCAUGGGGGGGCGUUUGUGAUGUCCCACAUCGGAUAGGGGAGAAAGUUCCUAGUGCUAUAUAUGUAGAUGUUUCUCUUAACCAAGUAGAUGCAUUUUAAAAUUGUGAGGGCCUCUUUGGGCCCAAAGCGGACAAUAUCUACAUGGUUGAGUGUAAGUCAUUACAUGCUCCAUGUCAAUUUCAGCAUUUCUCAUAUGUUUCACACAUACACAGAAGAGCAUCGUUUUUUAAAGCAUGCAUUUAUGUUGGAUUAAUUUGGAUUUUGUGGGAACUGGGGCAAGGAUCACAUGGAAGAGAGGUUGACUUUUUUCAGUACUUCAAUGGUUGAAAUAUGUGAAGGCUUGAUUGAUACUAAAGCUUGAAAUUGCGACUCUGUCAUUUGUAAAAAAAUAUGACAGCUUCCAUGCUCUCGUUUGGUUGCAUUGUCCGGUCGAGAGGUGCAAAAAGCAUUCUCUCUCUUCUAAUAGUCUUUUCGUUUAAAUCAAGGGAUUUGCCUUCCCGGUCGAGGUCCAAUAGAGGGUAACGGUCACCUACUAAACAUUAAAUGCUCCAACAACUAGUGAACUGAUCGACCCCAGCUCGACUAGUUGAGGUUACUUUUUGGUUUUCUUGUCUCCCGAGGUUAGAAACCUAUAAAUAGAGAGCUUCACUUCAUUUAUGAGUAAGAGAACACCUAAAUUUAUUUGUUUACCUACUUGUUUUUGCCAUAAAAGCUCUCAUUUCUUUUCUUGGUGUAUUAAAUCUCCAUUUGCAUAUCCUUUAGUGCACCUUUGUGAUUCAUUCUAGCCUUGAGUUGUAUUUAAGCCUUUGUUGAGCUAGGUUGAGAGUUUCAUACUUGUUUAUUGAGUGUUAAAGCCUUCAAGUGAGUUAAAACUUGAAGAGAUUGUGUAAGAGCCCAUUGGAGUCGGAAUCCAAGUGUAAAGGUGAUUAAAAGCUUGGUUGAAGCUUCAAGUUAGUGGAACUCUCACUCGGUUAUGAGCUUGAGAAGAGUGGACAUAGACAAGGCAGUGUCGAACCACUAUAAAAUCUGAGUUUGAUUUCUCUAACCUUAUCUCUUUAUAUUUGCUUCUCUUGUGCUUAAAUUUUUUGUGUUUAAAAAGAAUUUUUAAAAACUCAAUUCACCCCCUUCUUGGGAGUUUUUCUCUUUUAAGAUCAGCUUUUAUUUUCUCAAUUGGUAUCAGAACUAUGCCUCUUGUUUAAGACUUAAUCGUCUAAGAGGAAAUGGCUAAUCCAUCAAGUUCAUCUCACAUUGAAAGUUUUGCAACCAAUAGACUUCUUUUUUUUUUUUUGCGGGAACUGAUUAUCCCUAUUGGAAAACUAAAAUGACUUGGUUUUUACAAUCAAUUGAUUUAGAUGUAUGAGAUGCCAUUGAAGAUGACCUAACUUUUCCUUCAAAACUAGUUGAUGGAGUCAUGGUUCCAAAACCUAAGCAAGAAUGGGAUGAGCGUGAUUGAAGAAAUUUUCAAUUAAAUGCUAAAGUCGUUUAUACUUUGCAAUGCUCUAUGGACAGAAAUGAAUAUAAUAGAAUAUGUCAAUGCAAAUCGGUUAAAGAAAUUUGGAGAUUGCUUGAAAUAACUCAUAAAGGAACAAAUCAAGUUAAAGAGUCAAAAAUCAAUUUACUUGUUCAUAGAUAUGAAUUGUUUUUUAUGAAAGAUAAUGAAACUAUUGUUAAGAUGAUCACUAGGUUCACCAACAUUGUUAAUGGUCUUAAAGCCUUGGGAAAGACCUACAAGGAAUCCGAAAACGUGAUGAAGAUCUUGAGGUCACUUCCAUCAAAGUGGCAUACCAAGGUCACCGCAAUUUAAGAAGCAAAAGACUUGAUCAAGCUACCUUUGGAGGAGUUCAUAGGGUCAUUGAUGACAUAUGAAAUCAAUUUGGCAAAGAAGUAACAAAAAGGUGAAGACAAAAAGAAGAAGAACAUAACUCUCAAAGCUACAACUAAGGAAGAAGAAGUUGAAGAAGAAAAACAAAUUGAAGAAGAUGAAGAUUUAGCCCUCAUCACAAGAAAGUUCAACAAAUUCAUGAGGGGUGAAAGGUUUAGAAGAAGAAGGUUCACUUCUAGAAGAGACUUUUCUAAAAAGGAAUCUUCAUCUAAUGGUGACAAAAAGAGAUGGGAAGAGAAAAGAGACUUGGUGUGUUUCAAGUGCAAGAAACCGGGACACAUUAAAUAUGAUUGUCCUCUCUACAAAAGUGAAGUCAAGAGGAAAAAGAAUAAGGCAAUGAUGGCCACUUAGAGUGAAAGUGAAGAUGAAUCAUCCGAAGAAGAAAAUGAGAAAGAAGUGGCAAACAUGUGUUUCAUGGCAAUAGAUGAACUUGAUGAGGUAAAAUCUAACCUUAGUGAUUAAGAUAUACAUGAUGCAUUUGAAGAAUUGUAUGAGGAUUUUUAAAAACUUAGUUUGAAAAAUAUUUCUCUUAAAAAGAAAGUUCAACAACUUGACAAAGAACUUAGAGAAGUAAAAGAAAAAUUUUCAAAUGUUAAAGUUUCUAAAACUCAUCUUGAAAAAGAAAAUGAGAUUCUAAGAAAGAAAAAUGAAUAGUUGAACUCCUCUCUUUCAAUCUUUUCUUCUAGACAAAAAUCUUUUGAAAUGAUUCUAACUAGCUAAAAAUGUGUUUUUGACAAACAAGGGUUAAGAUUUAAAUCUUCAAAAAAUCAAAAGUAUUUUAAAAACUAUUUUGUAAAGGAAUCCACAAGUGCAAGUCCUUCCACUACUUGCAACUUUUGUGGAAGAGAAUGGCACAUUAGUAGUACGCCCUUUAAGAAAUGGUUCUCAAAAGAAUUUAAAUGCAAAAACUAAAAAAGAUUUGGAUUGAGAAAUCCAAGGUCACUAACCCUCAAGGACCCAAAAAGAUAUAGGUACCUAAAUCAACUUGAGUUUUAUGUUGUAAGGUUCAAAGAAUGAUAAGUGGUUCUUAGAUAAUGGUUGCUCAAGACACAUGACCGGAGAUGAAUCCAAGUUUGCUUUUCUUAAAAAGAAAAAUGGAGGAUAUGUUACCUUUGGAGACAAUGCAAAAGAAAGGAUGAUUGGUCAAGGCAACAUUGGUAAUGGCACAUCCUCUCUCAUUGAAAGUGUUUUAUUAGUAGAUGGUUUCAAACAUAACCUUUUAAGCAUUAGUCAAUUUUGCGACAAAGGUUUUUAAGUGAUUUUUUAAGCAUCUCAUUGCAUCAUCAAGGAUAUUCAAAAUGAUAAAACCAUUUUCAUGGGCCAUAGAUGUGAUAAUGUUUAUGCUAUAAAUAUUUCAAAAUAUGAUGGCCAUGAUAGAUGUUUUUCAAGCAUGCAUGAUCAAAGUUGGUUGUGCCAUAGGAGAUUGAGACAUGCUAACAUAGACCUCAUUUCCCAACUCAACAAAGAUGAACUUGUUAGAGGCCUUCCCAAAAUAAUUUUUUAAAAAGAUAAAGUUUGUGAAGCUUGUCAAGUGGGAAAGUAAAUCAAAAACUCUUUUAAAAACAAAAACUUCAUUUCCACAUCUAGGCCACUUGAGUUGUUGCAUAUGGAUUUAUUUGGUCCCUCUAGGACACCAAGUCUUAGAGGAAAUUCUUAUGCAUAUGCUAUUGUGGACGACUUCUCUAGAUACACAUGAGUCUUGUUUUUUAGUCAAAAGAAUAAAGUUUUUUAUGAGUUUUCAAAGUUUUGCAAUAAGAUUCAAAAUGAAAAAGGUUUUUCAAUUACUUAUAUAAGAAGUGAUCAUGGGAGAGAAUUCGAAAAUAUUGAUUUUGAAGAGUAUUGCAAUGAGCAUGGAAUUGACCACAAUUUUUUGGCUCUUAGAACUCCUCAACAAAAUGGGGUAGUUGAAAGGAAAAAUAGAACUCUUCAAAAAAUGACAAGAACCAUACUAAAUGAAAACAACUUACCAAAAUAUUUUUAGGCCAAAACGGUUAACACUUCUUGUUAUGUUUUAAAUAGAGUAUUAUUGAGGCUCAUACUUAAGAAAACUCCCUAUGAGCUUUGGAAAAACAAAAAACCCAACAUUAGUUAUUCCAAAGUCUUUGGAUGCAAUAUUUUAUAAUAAACACCAAAGACAAUCUUGGAAAAUUUGAUGCAAAAUUGGAUGUUGGAAUUUUCCUUGGUUACUCAACUUCAAGUAAAGCUUUUCGAGUUUUAACAAAAGAACCAUGGUUGUAGAGGAGUCCAUCCAUGUUAUUUUUUAUGAAUCUCCAAGAAAGAGAGAGGAUUGAUGAUGAUUUAGGUUUGAAGACCUCUAUAGGAAGAUUGCAAAUCGAAGAUAGAAGACAACAAGAAGAAAAUGGAGAGAAUCCAAAGAAAGAAGGAUCACCAUUGGCACUACCCCCUCAUCAACAAGCGCAAGGUGAAUCAAGUCAAGAGCUUCCUAAAGAAUGGAAGUUUGUCAUCAAUCACCCACAAGAUCAAAUUAUAGGCAAUCCAUCUAGUGGGGUAAGAACUAGAUCCUCUCUUAGAAAUAUUUGCAAUAAUCUAGCUUUUAUCUCUCAAAUUGAGCCUAAAAAUAUAAAUGAUGUUUUAGAUGAUGAAAAUUGGAUAAUUGCAAUGCAAGAAGAGUUAAAUCCAUUUGAAAGAAGUGGAGUAUGGGAAUUAGUACCAAGACCUUCAAAUCAAAGUGUUAUUGGAACUAGAUGGAUCUUUAGAAAUAAAAUGGAUGAAAAUAGCAUAAUUGUUAGAAAUAAAGCAAGAUUGGUAGCCCAAGGUUUUAAUCAAGAAGAAAUGAUAGAUUAUGAAGAAACCUUUGCCCCCGUAGCUAGGUUGGAAGCCAUUAGGAUGCUACUUGCCUUUGCAUGUUUUAAAGACUUUGUUUUAUAUCAAAUGGAUGUGAAAAGUGCUUUUUUAAAUGGUUUUAUAAAUGAAGAAGUAUAUGUUGAACAACCACCCGGUUUUCAAAGUUUCAACUUUCCUAACCAUGUUUUUAAACUUAAAAAGACACUUUAUGGUUUGAAACAAGCACCUAGAUCAUGGUAUGAAAAAUUGAGUAAAUUUCUUUUGAAAAAAAUGUUUUAAAAUGGGAAAAAUUGACACAACUCUUUUUAUAAAAACCAAAGAAAAUGAUAUGCUCUUAGUUCAAAUAUAUAUUGAUGAUAUCAUUUUUGGUGCUACUAAUGUCUCUCUUUAUGAAGAAUUUUCUAAGUGCAUGCAUAGUGAGUUUGAAAUGAGCAUGAUAGGAGAACUCAACUUCUUCCUUGGACUUCAAAUCAAGCAACUAAAGGAAUGAACCUUCAUCAAUCAAGCAAAGUAUAUAAGAGAUCUUCUCAAAAGGUUCAACAUGGAAGAAGCCAAAACAAUGAAGACUCUAAUGAGCUCAUCCAUUAAGCUUGAUAAGGAUGAGAAAGGUAAAUCCAUUGACUCUAUUAUGUAUAGAGGCAUGAUAGGUUCUUUGCUCUAUUUGACCACUAGUAGACCUUACAUUAUGUAUAGUGUGUGUUUGUGUACUAGAUUUCAAUCUUGUCUUAAAAAAUCUCACUUAAGUGUCGUGAAAAGAAUCCUCAAAUAUUUGAAAGGGACAAUGGACAUAGGCUUAUGGUAUCCUAAGAGUGAUAACUUUGAAUUAAUUGGUUUUUUGGAUGCUGAUUUUGUCAGUUGUAGGGUUGAAAAAUAAAACACUAGUGGCACUUUUCAUUUCUUAAGACACUUACUUGUCUCAUGGCAUAAUAAGAAGCAAAAUUUGGUAGCUUUGUCAACAGCAGAAGCUAAAUACAUAGCAACUGGUUUAUGUUGUGCACAAAUCCUUUGGAUGAAAUAAACACUUAGUGAUUUUGAUUUAUCUUUUGAGCAUAUUCCUAUUAAAUGUGAUAAUAGUAGUGCCAUAAGUAUAUCAAAAAAUCUCGUGCAACACUCUAGGACUAAGCAUAUAGAGAUUAGACAUAAUUUUCUUAGAUAUCAUACACAAAAGGAUGAUAUAACACUUGAAUUUGUAAGCAUAAAAGACCAACUUGCCGAUAUCUUUACAAAACCUCUAAGAACAUUUUGUUGAUAUUAGAGGACAAUUAGGAGUGAUUUCUUUAUGAUCUAAUGUGAUGAAUUCUUGAUGAAUAUACUUUUUGAUUGCAUGAAUUUCAUGUCAUAUAUGCAUCAUAUAGAAAUAUACUUAGAUAAUGGUCAAAUUUCGACCAAAAAUCAAAAUUCCCAUGGCAUUAGGCAUAAAAAUUUUGGAAUUUCAACUGAAAAUGGUAGGAGGAGGAUCACAAAAUGAGAAAGUAUGCAAAAAUUGAAAAAUCAAAACGUUGACCAAGCGGUCAAUCGGACUAGACCGAUCGACUAGUUUGUCGAGAUUUAGGAUUUUUAAGAGACUCCAACGCUUCAAUUUUUGCACCGUUCUCCUCUAUUUCUUCACGGUUUCUCUGAUUUUGUCUUUUAGAGACUAAUUUGAGUGCGUUUUGGAUCAAUUGAAGCAUUUUGGAUUGGAUUUUAGGAAGAUUGAAAGUUAAGGUUUCGGAUUUGGGUCGCCUUCUCUUCCUCUCGCGUGUCACAAUCAGCUUUAGCAUUGUUCUCUUUCCAUUUUCACACACCUAGGGUUUCAGUUGUGAGCAUCUCUCUCUCUUUACCAACCACUACUCCCUUGCUUCUUCCAUAUGGCUCCUAGGCGAGAGUCCGCUACUUCUAGGGCACAAGGCAAGCACCCAACUGAGUCGUCUCAGUCAAAGGCACGUCGAAAAGUGAGAUUUGACAUUGCCUUGUUCAGUUCCAUGGAGGACUACCAACUAUACAAGCAACACUUUGCUUAGAGACGAGUAGUUCCCAAGAGAAAUAUUAAUUUUCCUCAACUUCAGCAUUUCGAAUUUAAGGGUCUAUUUACUAGGAUGGUUGGUUGUCUAUUGUCACAAUUUCGGAGCCGGUUUUCCUGACCUUAGUGCGAGUUUUUUACUCGAGGGCGACUUAUGGCAUGGGUGGCAUGAUCAUUUCUACUGUUGGAGGAGUUGAGAUCUGUCUGGACCCAGAGAGCAUCUGCCAUAUUUUCGAUAUUGCUCUGGUUGGACUCAAAGUAUACAAGUCCAAAAUGUGGCCCAUUGUGCCAGGAUUUGAGCUUAGAGAGGUCAUUCAGAGGAUUUGUGAACUUCCAGACGCCCAGGAGAUGGGCAAACCAUUGCCACACAGUUUGACGGUCAUCAACAGGGUGCUACACCAUAUAUUGUGCUCUAUCUUUCUACCACGAAGUGGACAUUGAGAUGAGGUCUCUUAUUAUGAGGCAUUCCUUAUUGACUCCAUUCUAACGGAGAGACGAAUUCAUCUACUAUGUCAUCAUUCACUAAGCCUCCUCACAGUGACAUACCACCUCAUCAGGCACCUCUUGCUCCUGACCAUGCUCCAUUGAUGGAUUUAUUUACUCAUAUUAGCUCUCUAGGCACUCGCAUGAAGGAGUUUGUUGUAGUUAGUGAUACAUGGUUCUACUCCAUAGAGGAUCGCAUGGAUCAGUAUCAGACUGGCUUCACGUCACAGUUUGAGUAUCUCCAAUAGAGGAUUGAGCAUAUUGAGGAUCACUUGAGCAUGAGAAGAUGAUGGCUUUUCUAUGCUCUGUGUUUCCACCUCCACCUCGUCAACCUUGAUUUCUUAGAGACCCAUUGUUUUCAUUUUGUAAUGUUGCCAAAAGGGGGAGAUAUUUAGGAUCUAGGACUCUAUAGGAGACUUACAUGCAUAUCAUUUUCAUAUCAUUGUUUGGAUCGUACAUAUUGGAUAGUGAUACUUUUUACUUAUAUAUGAUAUGCCUAUAUGUUUCAUGUCUUACAUUGUUUCUUAUUGCAAAUUAUCUCUAACAUGUCUUGAUUAUCUUUUUUUUAACUUCAUAAAUUUUGAUUGUUAACCCAUGAUUGGUUUGAGGGGAAGAUUCUUCUUCUCCUAGAUAACCAAGGUUUGUCAUCAUAAAAAAAUUGGAGAUUGUUAGCCCAAGGGUUCUCCUAAUCAUGUUUUGAUGAUAACAAACCAUGCUUAAGUUACUAAUUGGUUUGAAUUAUAAAGAAUUUCAAGUGUUAAUUUGAAAAUUCAUCAAAGAACCUAAUGGAUGCAAGAUCAAGAUUUUUGGAAGACCUUUAAUCAUAAGAAACAUAUGUAAGAUGAAUGCAUGGGUGCACUUAAGAUUUGCAUAUCAUUUCAUGCAUAUUUGGAAAACACGGUUUAUGCUUUAAAGUUACAUUUCCAUCAAAAUUUGAGAUCCAUCAAAUGAACCUUAGGAAAAAUGUUUUAAAAUUGGCAUAUAAUUUUACCUAAAGACCUUGCCUAAGUGUUAGAAGCAAAAGGACAAAAAAAAUAUAGGUUUUCUGGUCAAAAAUGGUGAACCAGUCAAGGCAUUGUCUAAAUCAGCUCAAUCGGCCAAGGUACCGGUCGAUCGGUUUCCCUUUCCCUGUCGAGAUCUAGUCAAGAGGUACAAAAAUCACAAUCUCUGUCUCUUUCUCUCUUUGUCUAUCUUCCAGUAGUCUUUCCUUCCCGGUCGAGGGAUUUGCCUUCCCGAUUGAGGUCCGAUUGAGAGUAAUAGUCACUUGCCAAAUAUUAAAUGCUCCAACAGUUAGUGAACUGGUCGACCCCCACCUUGCCCAGUUGAGGUUACUUUUUGGUUUUCUUGGCUCCCGAUGUUAGAAACCUAUAAAUAGAGAGUUCCACUUCAUUUAUGAGCAAGAGAACACUUGCAUUUAUUUGUUUACCUACUUGUUCUUGCCUUAAAAGCUCUCAUUUCUUUUCUUGGUGCAUUAAAUCUCCAUUUUGAUAUCCUUUAGUGCACCUUUGUGAUUCAUCUUAGCCUUGAGUUGUAUUUGAGCCCUUUUUUUAGCUAGGUUGAGAGUUUCAUACUUGUUAAUUGAGUGUUAAAGCCUUCAAGUGAGUUGAAACUUGUAGAGAUUAUGUGAGAGUCGAUUGGAGCCGAAAUCCAAGUGUAAAGGUGAUUAGAAGCUUGGUUGAAGCUUCAAGUUAGUGGAAUCCUCACUCAAUUAGGAGCUUGAGGAGAGUGGACGUAGCCAAGGAAGUGUCGAACCACUAUAAAAUUUGAGUUUGAUUUCUCUAACAUUGUCUCUUUAUAUUUGUUUAUCUUGUGCUUAAAUUUAUUGUGUUUAAAAAGAAUUUUUAAAUACCCAAUUCACCCCCCUCUUGGGUGUUUUUCUCUUUUAAAAUUAGCCUUUAUUUUCUCACAAACUAUUGUAGUAUAGUGGUUUUUAGGUGUCAUCCAUUAGGAUGAAUUGUUCUCGGUAAUUAAGGCGUGAAUGAGAGGAGAAUUAAUGAUUGUGAUUAAGUAAAAUUGAUUUGAAAAUUCAUGGUGAAAAAUCAAUUUAACAAUGGUUUCUAAUUGAGAAAAACAAUGAAAUGUGAAAUAAAAUAAAAUUAAUAGGAAAUGAAAUUCUCGAAGUUAGAAUUUUCUAAAAAACAAAUUCCAUGGUGAAUGGAUGUUGAGAUCUAAUUUUCAUCAAGUUAGAUUGAAAACCGAAAUUUUCAUAUAAACUGAUUUUUUAUUUAGUUUUAGGUCUAGAUUUAAUUUCCCUUAAAAUUAGGUUAUUUAAUCCAAGAAAUCAAUUCAAAUCAUAUAUUCAAUUCAUCUUAAAUUAUCUUCCAAUUAUUCACACAAUGCAACUAUUCAAUCUCAUCAAAUCUAGCUUUUAAGAAUUUAAUGAAUCUACCUAGUUUGCAUUGUAAUAGUCAUCCAUGACAAUUUGAAGAGAAAAAUAAUUCAAUUAAUCAAUCACUUGGAUCAAAUUACCUUUGCAAUUAAAGUUCAUUUCUCUAAUUCACCACAGAUUUUGUCUCUAGAUCCUCCUUUCUCAAAGAAAAAUGAGAUUUAGCCACACAUGAUUGGAGAUUUGGUCUCAUAAGGCAUGUUUAGCUAGUGAUAAAAUGAGAGAAAAUAAAGAAAAAUAGAGAAUUCGAUUAAGAAAGAAAAUCUAAAAAAUUCUACAAUUAGAAAUGUCCAAAAAGCUUUUUCAUGAGAAAAUCAAGUUUCUAUUUAUAGGCCAAGGUCAAGUGGACACUUGACAUCAUCUAAGAGGUCUUCCGGAAGCUUCUUCAUCAAGAAAUCUGGAGUUUAAUAAUAAAAUGGUCAUUUCACAAGAGCUCAAACAAUUUCGCAUGAUUAUGUGAAAUAAAAAAUGCAACAACAGCAAUUUACAUCUUCUUGGAGCAUUUCGCAUGACUGUGUGAAAUUUUCACAUGAUCAUGUGGAAUCGACUUGACAACUCUCAUUUAGCCUACAACAUAAUUCCACCUUUUGGUCCAUUUUUCAUAGUCAUGCGAAAUGGAAAUAUUUGAUUUUUAAGUUUUCUUUUGUCAUUUCUUUCAUUUCCUUCUCUUGAUUCCACUUCAACUACCUCCGAAUCCUGGUCCAAACCAAUUGCAUUACUUCUUUCAUUAUGCAUUUGGAUCAUCAUCAACAUUAUUUGUUCUCUUCAAUUUGAUUCAUCUCUUUUGUCACCAAUUUAUCAAAAUCAUACCUUGAAAUGACUCCAAAACUUCAUAAAACUUGUUAGUAACUCUUGCAAGGGCAACAACAUAUUAAUUAAGUGUUUUAGGCAUAGUUACUACUCAAAAGAUGCGAAACUCAUGAUAAUUAUUAUAUAAAAUAUGCUCUUUUUGAGUAGUAAUCAACUUUCUUGCAUAAGCAGACCUUUUAGGGUGGAGUACUAAAGACCAAUAUGCUUGUCCUUGUUGUAAUAAAGAAACUUGCUCUUAUUGAUUGCACCAUGGGAGAAAAUUUUGCUACAUGAGUUAUCAUCAAUUUCUUCCCACCAAUCAUAGAUUUAGACGUGACAAGAGGCCUCUUAAUGGCAAGGAGGAACUGACACUCACACUUAUACAAUUAUCGGGCAUUGAUGUGUUGCAACAAUUAGAAUAACUUACACCAAUUAUGUUGGGGAAGUCACAAAAGGCAAACAUGAAAACUAAAAGGAAAAAAGAAAAAUGUUACAUAUCACCACAACUGGAAAGAAAAAAGUAUUUACUUUCAUUUGCCAUAUUGGAAAGCACUUAUUUUACAUCAUAAUAAUUUAGACAUAAUGCAUAUUGAGAAAAAUGUGUGACAAUAUAAUUGAGACAUUGUUCAGUAUUGACGAAGAAACAAGGACAACCUAAAUAGUCAUCUCGAUUUACAAGCUCUAACUAUUAGAAAUGAGAUUCACCCAAUAGAAAGCAGGACCAAAUUUAUUUUGCUUGCAACAUGCUACUCACUCACCCCAAAUGAGAUUAAGGAAUUUUGCAAGUUUUUGAAAUCAAUAAAGGUCCCCAAUGGCUAUUCUUUCAAUAUCUCUCGUUAUGUGCAACUCAAUGAAAGGAAGAUAUAUGAGCUCAAAUUGUAUGAUUGUCAUGUCCUAAUGCAACAACUUCUCUCACUUGUAGUUCGUGGAGUUCUACAUAAGAAUGUUUGUGGAGUUAUCAUAGAAUUGCGUAAUUUUUUCAAGCAAUUGUGCUCAAAGGUGUUAGAAACAAAUCACUUACACCAACUUGAGAACAAUAUUAUUGUCAUACUAUGUAAAAUGGAGCAAAUAUUUCUUCCAUCAUUCUUUGAUAUUAUGGUGCAUUUACUUGUGCAUCUAGUAAGGCAAAGGUUGCAAGACUUGUGCAAUAUUGUUGGAUGUACCUAAUUGAACGAUAUUGUUAUAAUUUCAUAUGAAUCAUUUAAUUUUAUUUUAUAUUAUGUUCAGUUCAUUAACAUGUACAUUGGUCUACAUAUGGAUGAUGAUAGGUACCUAAGCACUUUAAAGUCAUAUGUGCGUAAUAGAACUUUUCUAGAAGGUUCUAUUGUAGAAAGGUACCUUGCAAAAGAAUGUACAACAUUUUAUUCUAGGUACUUGAAUGAUGUGGAAAUAAAGUAUAAUCACAAUGAUAGAAACUUUGUUGGUUUCAACACUAGAGGAGAUGAAAGGGGUUAUCUUUAAACAUAUUGGACAUGCAUUGGGAAAGCCCAUAUUUCAUUAACUUAGUUCAAAAGAGUGGUCACAAGCACAUUUAUAUGUGUUGACAAAUUGCGAAGAUGUCAUACCAUUCAUUGAGUAAAAAAUUUAUUUGAAUUUUAAUUAAAGCUCUAGUUUAUAUCCUUAAUCAAUGUUUUUUAAAUUCACAAGGAGCACAAGCAAACCAUCAAGGCUAGACCACAUAUACGUGUUUGAGACGUAGAUUUAAUUCAUAACAAGGAAUUUAUCAAGUGGUUUGAAAGACAUGUAAGUAUAUUCCUUAUUAUAAGGGAUUUAUUUCACAUUAUGUUUAUAUUGAAUCCAAACCUAUUAUUGAAUUGUAGGUUGAACAAUUACAUAAUGAAGGUCAUAUAUCUGAACACCUUCUCACAUUAUCAUGUGUUCCAAAUUCAUUAGUUACAUGCUUCAAAUGAUAUAUUGUCAAUGGAUUUAGAUCCCACAUUAAAGAACGUGAUAAAAAAGUUUUUAAAAAAAGACUCAGAAUAAUGGAAUUGUUGUAGUUGCAAAAACGUCAAGCUUUACAAGUGCAUGUGAUAUGAGUCCAAUUAUUAGUGAUGCUCUCUACUAUGGUGUUCUAACUAAAGUUGUUGAGUUACAUUAUCUUGGUGAAAAUAAGGUUGUUUUAUUCGAGUUUGAUUGGUGGGAUGUUACAAAUAUUGGAAAAUUGAUAAAAGAUGAUGAGUACAAUUACACAUUUGUUAACUUUGCAUGAAUUCUAACCACGAACGAACGAUUUGUACUUGCAUCUCCAGCAAAGUAAGUGUUCUAUGUGAAGAAUGCGAAUGAAUCAGAUUGGCAUACUAUCAUGGAGAUGCAACCUCAAGACCUCUAUAAGAUGAACGGGAUAGGAUCCAAUGGUGAUUUUGAACCAUUUCAACAAAGUGAACUACAUGAUCACUAAUAUAUCUCAGAUUUAGUUGAUGAAGAUAUAAUCAAGUGGAACAAAAGUGAUGUUUUAGGACUAAUCAUCCUAAAAAAUAUUGUAGUUUCUUAAAAAAAAAAUGAAAAUGAAGAAGAUAAUUGAACCUUUGUCAUACUUUAAAAAGCAACUAUGCAUUGUUCAUUUUGUAUGUUUUGGUUUUCUUCAUUUAAUUUCCUGAUUUUUGUGAUUCAAUGUCAUAUUAUUGAUCUUGAAAUAUUUUUCUAAUUUUUCAUUCUACGAUGGUUUCAACAAGGAUGACAUCAAGUCAAAAAAGGAAAUGUGGUCCCACACACAAUAUUGCAUUACAGGGAUUAAGGUCAGGGAAGAAGGUAAAAGUUGCAUUUAAUGAGUACAAUCAAUUGGUUAAACAGAAAAAUGGAAAACACUUAUCGAGCUACAUAGGGACACUUGUAUCUAACCAACACAAUGUACCUCUCCAAGCUAGUGAUUGGAAAAAUGUUCCAAAUGAUGCAAAAGAGAAAGUAUGGCCUUUGUUUUGGUAUGUUGUAUUUCUCACUAUAUGAUGUCAUUUCACUGUUAUUCUAUUUUGUGACUAACGUUUGAAUCAUAUGUAAGAAAAAUUUGAAGUAGAUAAAGACUGAAAAGAUUACAUGUUGGGUAUAGCCUCAAAUAAAUAUAGAAGCUAUAAAAAUAUGAUGAAUGCAAAAUACUAUGACCCUUGGCAUAAGGAUGCAUGAGGAGAGGUUAAUACAUAAAUCACCAUUUGUCUCUGAUGUUGAUUGGAAGUGGCUUGUCUCUGAUGCAUAAACCAAAUCCCCCACUGAAUGUUUGAUAUUUGAUAGCAGGAAAAACACACCCGCAGCUAUACACCUCCAUCAUUCAGAUAAUUAUAGUGGGGGAGAUGAUUCAUGGUUGCCCUUAUACCCUUUAUUUGCACCAUCUAUUGAGAUUCUUUAUCAUGGCCAGGUUUUACUGCAGCAAUAAGAUAUGGUGGCAACAAUUUUAUCUAUAGGUGCGGUUCCAGACCGCCUCCAUAGGUGCGGUUCCUGACUGCCUCCAUAGGUGCCUCUUCUUGUAAUGUUUGUUCUGGGAAUUACACUUGAAAGCCUUAUCGUGAUAAGGGAUUACAAACACUAGUUCAGAGGACAGCCAUGUUAAACUUCCACUAUGUUUGUGUCACAUUAUCAGCAGCCUAGUGUUUAUUGGUCAUGCUAUCUGCAACUAAUAUAACCCGGUGAACUUCAAUCUAAAUUCUGAAAGUACUCAUGUGACAGAUGGUGCCUUUCAGCAGAUAUCAUCAAUUUAAAAGUAGUGUGUGUGCCUAUAGGUGGGAAGGCCUUGGCAAAUGUUCAGUAUUCCGGUAAUUCAAGAAGGAUAUAUCUAAAAUAGAUUUUCUUCUUGCCCAUUUCAAUAGUUAAAAUUUGAGAAGAUUGUGUCCACAUCACACAAAUAUUAUUGGUCCUUCUGUUGCAAUUUACCUCUGAACAUGUCUUCCAAUUCCCACGGUCCUGUUACUCCAGGAAAACUAUUUCGGUCAUAUUGAAAAAAAAAAUAUUAAAGAAGGUACACAUGCUUUUAAGUGGACUGGGGCAUUCAUAUCAGGUGGUCUGUAUCCACAUAUGCCACUUCGUGAAAGGUGGAACAGCCUAAUCACUAGGCUAUUUAGUGUGGCCCAGCCACGUUAAUCAAGCACAAGUCUUCAUACUUAAAGUCAAAUGGUGUCUUUAGUCUCAUUACACAUCGCUAUUUGAAGAUUAACUCAUCACUAGUGUAAUGCGAUUAAGACAGUCCUAACUCAAUAUUUGUUCUAGUUUUGGAUGCAAAUGCUUGCUGGUUUCAUCAUUGGAUGGGAUAAAGGUGCAAUCAGGACUAUGAAUACGUGCAGUAAUACUUCAUUCUCUUUUUUCUCAAUGAGACUUCUUGGCACAAUUUUGCUGCUCAGCAACCUACCUUUCCAUGGAAAAUCAGUUGUGACUGAUAGUAAUGGAUAUAUUCUAGAAAGCUAAACAUAGAUAGCAUUCAAUAUUAUCGAUAUAACAUUAACAGCGUAUGUCUCAAUGCUCAUCAGCUACAAGCAAUGGACAAACACUUUGAGUAACUCACAGCAGUCAAAAUUCCUAAACAGGACAGACGUGACAGAUCUAUAUAUAGAACACUGCAUAUGAGUCACAGGAAAAGAUAAUACGGGUACAUAGAAGCUCUUAUUUUACAUAUUACUCAUACUGAUCAAAGUCGCUCAGUUGGGAUGGAUGGGAGAAGGAGGUUUGAGGGGUGGCUUGUGCGGGGAAGUUGGCAGCUUCUUUCCGGGAGCUGGUUGCUUCUUUGCUGGAGUUGAAGGAGGCUUAAUCUUCCGAGGUGGCUUGUAUGAGUCUUCAGCAUUCUCAGCAGGAGGGUGACCAGGGUUGUGACCAUAAUGUGGUGGCUUCUCUCCCUUAGGUGGUUUGCCAACUGGGGUUGGUGGCUUGUUUUCUGGGAGUGGCUUCUCUCCCUUGGGUGGUUUGCCAACUGGGGUUGGUGGCUUGUGUUCUGGGAGUGGCUUCUCCCCCUUGGGAGGUUUUUCGAAUGGGGUGGGUUUGUGUCCUGGUGGUGGCUUCUCUCCCUUGGGAGGUUUACCAAUUGGGGUCGGUGGCUUGUGUUCUGGGAGGGGCUUCUCUCCCUGGGGAGGUUUAGUGGGUGGCUUGUGUUCUGGAGGUGGCUUCUCCACCGGAGGCUUAUGCUCUGGUGGUGGCUUCUCGAAGGGGGGAUGCUCAGGGUAAUCACCAAGUGAGGGGGUGGUGAGAACCACCAUGCCAAGCAACAACACUAGCAAGUAUGUAGUAGACAUCUUUGGGUUUGGACUCAGACAGUGCAAAACUACGAGAAAUCGCUAGCCCUUUAUAGCGGCUCGGACCUAAUACUGACAUAAUAUAAAAUAAAUAUUAUAUUUUAUCAAGAGAGAACAGAGUGUAAUUUUAUCAUUAAUACCGAUCGAGGCCAAAGAAAGAAGACCCAUAAUCCAUUUCCCACAAGCAUACACAAUGCAGCUGUAAUUUUAUCAUUUACUUUUAUCCCUUGGACCACUGCAUUUUUGUUGAGAGACACAAUAACACAUUUUUAUCUGUCAUUCAACAUUUACAGUAAAGAGAGGGCACAAAACGCAAUUAGAUAAAUUAUGUUUUGCCUGCUAAAAAGAGGCAAAUAACUUUAUUUGCAACAUAAUUAUUUUGGUUUCUAGUGACCCCGGGGCCUUUCGGUUGGUUUGGGAUCGGAAAAUGAACAUCAUAGGGGGGGUUGUGCCCUUAUGGGCAUAUAUAUCUGAUAGCUUCAACUGGCCUUGUUCCUAGAAAGAAAUUGCCAAAGAUAUAAACUUAUUCCAGGCUGAAAGUAGAUGAGAGUCAUAAUGAACAUCAACCUUUGUUCAGUUUGAUUCAAUGCCCCCAUAGUGUUCAUUUCACAGAUCUGAAUGAUUAUAUCCGUUGAAUACAUAAAUUAAUGAAGACAAAUAUGAAACCCAAGAUACAUCUCUGCAUAACAACCCCAACCCUGGUUGCUAUGUUUCCCUUCUUCUAUUCACAUGAGGAUACUGGUUAUAAUUGUCAAACUUGCAACAAGCCCUUUGACACCUAACGUCAAUGGACGAAUUAAAAGUCUCCUUCAAACGUCUAUUUCACAGCAUGAAGCUUAUAAAGGAUGCUGACAACCUUCAGAGUUAGCGACAAAAGAUAAUUAUCAAGGAGAGAUAGUUCCAUGAGAAUUCCAAGGAGUCUGAAUCAAAGACAAAUUGCUCACUCAAGGGUUCUUAUUUUCUUUUAGGUACAAAUCUCUUGAGUGUUGUUAAAGAAACACGUCACUGUCAUUUUGAUUUGCAUUUAACAUUUCACUUUUGUUCUGGAAGGUUUGUUCCGGAAACAUAUCAAAUGAGCAUCAUUUUCUUCUUCGGUGACACAUGGUCGCGAGUACGUGGGUCCAUUUUCAUGCCACUUAGUUGAAAAGUUGGAAAGAAAAAACAUGCCAACAAGAAGAUAGUGAGAGAAGGGGCACUUCAAGCCUUUAACAUGAACAAACAGUAAAUAAAAGAUGUUUCUCCACUCAUAAAAGUGUGUUAGAUAGCAAUAUAACGAAUCACAUCCAAAAUCUUUACUAGGCUCAAACAUAAAGAAGACUCAUUUUUAAGAAAAGAUAAAAAUGGCAUUGUCUGAUAGUAUCCAAUACACGAGAUGGCACUUAAUUUGUACAAGAUCUGUCAAUGCUGACGCACAUUUUCUGAUUAAAAAAAAACUGAUCAGUCAAAAGCAAUGAAGAGAAGUGAUGACAAUGAAUGAUGCUUCCAAUAUUUUCACCCCUUAUAGUGUUCUUCAUGAUUCAGAUAUAUAAUUGGAAAUAGAACAACCCUAUGCCAUACAUUCGUCUAAGUAUGGUGUCUAAUUUUUUGUGUCAGCGGUUGCGAAUGGAGCGUGCAAAAGUCCAAAUUGGCGUCUCUCCAUUUCCACAUAGGAAGGUGACCUUUAUUGACAAAUACCCAAUAUUUGUAGACAUUCCUUAAAUAUCAUAACUUCUUGUUGAUUUGAAAAUCAUUUUUCAACUACCAUGUUUUAAUAAAUAUUUUUUAAAAUGUAUUUUUAUCAAAGUCCACCAUGAUGGAUAAUAUUCACCAUGCAAUAAUUAAUAAAGUACAAACUAAGCGAAAUGAAAAGCAUUUUCUUUGCUUUGAGUUGAUUUUGGUUGCAUUGAGUUGAUUUUGGUUUCAUGGUUUUUUCAACUCUUAUUUUGAUUGGAAGAUGUCAAGAAAAGAAAACAUAAAGAAAAAUUAAAAGGGAAAAAAGAAGAAAAAUAAAAAAAAAUAGAUUUAAAAGUUAAUAAAUUAUUUUUUAUAUUUAUUUUAAUUCAUUUCACUUAUUUUUCUUUUACUAUAUAAAAUUUAAAUAAUUUAAAUUUUAUAAUUAAUUUAAUUACAUUUCAUUUUCUUCUAUAUUUAAAUAUUGGAAAAAUAUUUUACUUAAUAUUUUUUUCUUUAAUUUCUUUGGCAUUUUGGGAACCAAACUUAGCCUUUAAAAUAAAAAACAAAAAAAAAAUGAAAAUAAGGAGGGAAAAGUGAGAAAAGAUAAAAACAAUAUGUAAAGGAUUUGAAAAGUAUUAGUUUGUAAUUACUAUUUGGAUUUCAAUAGUAUUUUAUUUGUCUUUCUAUAUUUCAUGUAAGAGAGAAUUUAAGAUAUUCCCCAAGGCAAAGCAUUAGUUACCUGCAAUCAGUGGUGAUAAGGCUCCAAGCCAAUUUUGGGCCCCAUAUCUUAAGACAGUACAAUUUCCAUUUCAACAUUUCUGAUUUCUCAGAUGUUUCACAUACCACAGAAGAACAUUGUUUGUGAAAAUAUGCAUUUAUGUUGGAUUUUGUAUGCUGUGGGGACUGGGGCAAGGAUCAUAUGGAAGAGUGGUUGACUUUUUCUGUACUUUAACGGUUGAAAUAGGAUAAGCACGGGCAUUUGUGAGGCUUAAUUGAUUUUGAAGCCUGAAAUUGCGUUUCUGUCAUUUUGUCAAAAAAAUGGCAGAUUCCAUACUCAUAUGUUUGGCCUGUGGCCAUGUACAGAUGCCAUUUAGUGACCAGUUUGUAACUGUCAAUCGUUGCGUUUUGACUCUGCCUCAACAACAUCUGCCAUUGACGGGUUUUCAUACUUGCAAAUCAAAUAGUCUUUCGUCCCAUCAGGAAUUUCGGUUUAAAUAUUAUUAAGCAUACGUUUGGCUGACAAUCAUUAUCCAGUUCAUGAUUUGGUUUCUUACCCUUAAUCAAUGGUUUCUAAGUGAAUAUAUGUAGAAGGAAAUCCGAAGUGUAGACAGUAGUAUCGAUAACUCUCAAUAUUCUCUAUAUAAUAGAAUAAACAGCGUCAUAGUGAUCGUCGCCUACAAGCAAGGUACAAAUACCAAAACGAGUGACUCACAUAGACAUCUCCCAACAAGAUGUAGUAGUGACUGACACAUGGACACAAUUAACUCGUAGAAAAGGAUAAGACCAUUGCACAGCAGCUCUUAUUUUACAUACUACUUAUGCUAACCAAAGUCAAUUAGUUGGGAUGGGUGGGAGAUGGAGGUUUGUGCGGUGGCUUGUGGGGCGGAGUUGAUGGCUUCUUUCCAGGAGCUUCUGGCUUUUUCAUCGGAGCUGAAGGAGGCUCAAUCUUAUGAGGCGGCUUGUAUGAGUCUUCUUUACUCUCGACAGGAGGGUGGCCAGGGUUGUGAUCAUAAUGUGGUGGCUUCUCUCCCUUAGGUGGCUUGCCAACUGGGGUUGGUGGCUUGUGUUCAGGAAGUGGUUUCUCUCCCAUGGGAGGUUUAGCAAUUGGGGUUGGUGGCUUGUGUUCUGGGAGUGGCUUCUCUCCCUUGGGAGGUUUAGUAGGUGACUUGUGUUCUGGAGGUGGCUUCUCCACCGGAGGCUUGUGCUCCGGUGGUGGCUUCUUGGUUGGAGGGGGCUUGGGGUAAUCAGCAAGAGAUGGGGUGGUGAGAACCACCAGUCCAAGGAACAACACUAGCAAGUAUGUGGGAGACAUUUUUGAGUUUGGGCUGAUCAGAUGAUGCAAAACUAAAGCAUUACGUGACCUUUUAUAGCAUGUAGCUCCCAAUACCCACUAAGUAUUGUGGGGUCCAUUUGUGCCCUACGGGGUUGAAAACUUAGACAAUUGGGCAAGGACCCACCUGACUAUGGAGGACUAGUGAGGUGUGAUCAUAGCUUUAGGAUUUUUCUUCCUCUGCAGCCGUCGUGCCGUUGGCAUGAUUUUCUUAAUCUUAAAUAAAGGCAUAGUUAUAGAGUUGUUUAAUCUCUAAAUGGGAUUUUAUAUAUAUCUUCAGAUAGCCAUUAAUAUAUUUGAUGAAGAAAGAAAGACAAGUGCAUACAACAUGUAUACGACUAGCUUUCAUGGAGUUCAUUUAUGAUCAGUUUUCCUGUACAUGUAAACCAGGAUCAUAUAUAUGUUUCUGUUCCACAACUAUUUUGGAAUCUUGUUUAUCAGUUUUUAUCAUUAUAAUGUCACAUAGGCUGCCAACUUGGGCGCUAAAAGAACCAGUUGGGCUAGUUCGUUUCAGAAUUUCAAUGUGGAUUCAGGAAUUGUUUUGUAAGAUAUGCGAAAUAGUAGAGGGAUGAAUAGUGUUUCAUUAAUAAAAGUGUCCUGUAAAUUAGAAGGUGUCAUAGAAACUAUAAUCAAUAAAUAACUUUUUUUCCCCACGGGUGGUGUUUCUUGUGGGGAUCAGUGACUGGUUUAGGUUCACCCAAAAUGAGUUCAGACUAAAAUUGGUUUGAGUCAAUGCCGUGUCUCUUUUUUCCAGAAAUCAACUAUUUUAUGCAUUGAAUAAAUCAUACAAAGAAAAUAUGAACGCCCGCAAAACCUAAACCCUGGUUGCUAACUUUCUAUGUUUCAGUUCUAUUCACGCAAGAAUAUUAGUUUAAGUUUGGGAAAAAUGGCAACUUACCUAGUGAUUACUUGGUUUUGGUUUGCGACUAUUUACGCAACCAACCAUGAGUUUGACUUUAACGUCAUGGGUUGAAGCCUCCUACAGGAAGGGAGAAAGCUCCACAGCUAGCUCCAAAAGAGAAUUAUCACAUUGAUAGCUCCAGAGAUUCCCAAGGGGACUGAAUCAAAGACAAGUUCCUCACUUUUUCUUCUUUUGAGGCCAAAUAUGAACCAAGGAUCACACAACCUCAUUCAACUUCAUAAGUUUGAUUUCAUGCAGUUGAACACUGGGUGAAGGCCAUGACAAGAAUUGAUUCAAAAAUUCUAUCACUCUUUUAAGUAAUGGAAGAUUAUUAUCUCUGAUUGGCAUCACAACAGCACAUGCUCCUAGAUCUUUCUAGACACUCCAUGCAAUGAAAGCACAAUGGAUCUUGUAACGAUAGAAACUAAGCCAUGCUACAGUACUAGAUGAUGAGGUAAAACUAGUAGACACGGGUGGCAGCCUAUAUGGGAGGGACACAAGUCUAAUUGAUUUGCAUUUCAGCAUUAUAGAUAGGUAUGUUUUGGAAGAUUUGUUCUGGAAAUACCGCACCAAGUAGGAUUCUUUUUCUCUUUAGUGGGUCCACUUGCAUGCCAAUUAACGAGUUGAAAAGUAUGAGCACCUACCUCGUGCUCGUGGAACCGAAGGUCAGUGAAGUGGGGCUCCUUUUGGCCUCGUGUAAACUUGAUUCAGAAGUGAAGUUAAUAGUCUUCCAUUCAGAUGGAUACAUGGGAAUUUUUCUCUUUUAUUUAUUUAUUUAUUUUUUUUUUGUGUGUGUAUGUCAAAGGAUAAUGAAUGAAGCGCGUUAGCUUGUUUUCUGACUGGAACCGCAGAUGUCCAAAUUGGAGUUCCUUCAUUUCUUACUUAGGAUUGUUACAUGUAUAAACAAGGUAUAAGAAAUAUGCCAACGUGUCUUGAGGAGUUAUUGAUUAGAAAUAACAAGUCACCCGACUGUAGAGUUCCAAGAUUUGAAUCUUCAGACCCUAUAGCAGCCUCUGGGGUACGUGGCAUCCUAUAGCAUAUUAAUGAAGGCUUUUUCGAUUUAGACUUCACAAUACCAAUUAAUAUGUAUGCACAAAAUGGAGAUGACCCCAAAAAAAACAGAAUCGCCAUAGUUUAUGAGGUUAAGGUGAUUCUCCACUUAAUAUCUACAUUAGCUAAUUAUGUAAAUCAAAUGAACUUCUAUUUUUCCUUUUUUUUUUUGGUUUAUGUCAAAUAGUAGCCCAUAAUUAACCCAACCAUUAGCCUGUUUGAAUUGAUUUCACAUGCACAAUGUUGUAGUAGUUCAUAUUUUGAAUUUUAUUUUUACAAAGGUAGUUAAGGAAAAUGAAGUAUAAUAAUUAUAAAAGCAGACUAUAUACACUACAAUAAUUGUUAGAAUGGUAUCUCAAAUUCUAAUUUAAAAUAUUAUUUUUUGUAAAAGAAAUAUUAUAUAGAAUAUUUCCUAAUUUUAUAAAUGAUUAUAAUUAGAUCUUUAUAAAAUAAGGAAAGUUGGUAAGAAUAUCUUUAUAAAUAUUUUAGGUCAUGAGAGAAAGAAAUGGGAUAAAAAUGUGAUGAAGAGGUGAAAUAAGAGAGUUGAUUAGGAUAUAGAUGUGAAGAAGAAAGGGAUUCAAUAUAUAUAUAUCUUUCAAUUACCACAUUAAAACCCUGUGAACCUUUUAUAUGGUUUACUUUAUUUUUAUAUUCCUCCUUUAAUAUAUUUACAUUAAUGCUUCCAUUGGCACAACAAUAACGAAUUACAAAUACAAGCAACAAGUCCCAUGUUUUAUUACCAAAAGCAGGUAAAAUCCACCUAAUAUAUUACAAUAUAUUCAUCCAAUAUUUUAGACCAAUUCUUCACCAUAAAUAUCAUAAUGUGGCUUUUGUUCUUUCUUAAAUUUAAAUUGAAUUGUCUUAUAUCAAUUUGUUUGUGAUUUUUUCAUUAACUUCACUUUCAUUUGGUUAUCUUUGGUUUUUGAAAAGUAUUAAGGAAUUAAUUAACAAAAUAAUGUUAAGAAAAAUAAUUUUCUCUCUUUUGAUUUUGAUUUUGUAGUAGAAAAAUAUAAUUAAAAUUAUUUAAAAAGUAUGUAAUUUUAAAUUAUUUAAUAUUUAGAUAAAAAAAAUAAGUCUAAUGAGUUUAAAAUAACAUAUAAAAAUAAUUUAUUUAUUUUAAAUUUAUUUUUUAUUUUCCAUUAUGUUCUCUUUCUCUUUUACUUUUUCAUAUUUUUUCUUACGAAGAAUCAAACACAACCUCAUAUUAUAUGUCAAGUGUUUGUCUAUAUUUGAGCAAUGUUAGAUACGGCCAUGGAUUCAUCAAACUAAACUGAUUUUAAUAGAUACUUCACAAAUUGAUUUAUACACUAAAUCAUUGGAUAGCAAUGAUGCAUUGGAAUUAAACGUAGGAUGAAGCUCGAAGAACACUGUUUGUGUAACAACAUAUUUAUGAAAUUAUGCAAAGGAUGAGCUUCGGGGUAGUAGUACAAGGUCAUUAAUGGAGAGCCGUGUUAAACCUUGAUUGUGAUUGGAUUCCGUUAUCAGCAACAGCAACCUUGUUUGUAACCUUGAAAGUCAUUCUGUCCACAUCGAAACUCCAAUUUGACGUUUGUAAUUACCAUUCCUGGAGUGUUCCUUGAUUGAAAUUUAAAUAAUAAUUGCGGCCCACAAGGAAUAUUUUCGAUUCUGUGGGAAUUUGACAAGGUUUGUUAGAGAAGACUGGUGACAUGUUGACUUCAAUGGUUCAAAUAGGAGACGUAUGUGGAUUUGGGGGGUUUAAUUGAAACUGAGUCCCUAUGGCUUUUUAAUAUUUGCAUUGAGCAGUCUCCAUGUGACUUCCUAAUUCCCACCAACCCUCCUGUCCAUGCUGUGAAACUAAAUUGUAAUUUAUCAGCCUUUGUCAAUGGUUUCUAAAUUAAAGAUAUAGACCAUGCAUGUACUUUAAUAAAAGCAAAUCUAAAGUGUAGAUAGCAGCAAUGGUGACACCCAAUAUUCUCCAUAAAAUAGAAUUAGAAUAAGCAGUGUUACAUUGUUCAUGAUCACCUACAAGCAUACAAGAACUUCCAUGAAUAACUCAUAGCAAUUGCCAACAGGGCGUCGUAGAGACUCAUACAUAGAACACUAUCCACCCAGAGGAAAGGACAAGACCAGUGCGCUGCAGCUCUUAUUUUUCACAUGUAUACCACCACUCGUAAUAACCAAAUUCACUCAGUUGGGAUAGGUGGGAGAUGGUGGUUUGUGGGGUGGCUUGUGGGGAGGAGUUGGAGGAGGCUUUAUUUUCUGAGGCGGCUUGUAUGAGUGUGCAGGAGGAUGCCCGGGAGUGUGACCAUAAUGUGGUGGCUUCUCUCCCGUAGGUGGUUUGCCAAAUGGGCUUGGUGGCUUCUCUCCCUUAGGAGGUUUACCAAUUGGGGUUGGUGGCUUGUGUUCUGGGAGUGGUUUCUCUCCCUUGGUAGGUUUGCCAAUUGGGGUUGGCGGCUUAUGUUCUGGGAGUGGCUUCUCUCCCUUGGGAGGUUUGCUAAUUGGGGUUGGCGGCUUAUGUUCUGGGGGCGGCUUCUCUCCCUUGGGAGGUUUGCCAAUUGGAGUUGGCGGCUUAUGUUCUGGGAGUGGCUUUUCUCCCUUGGGAGGCUUGCCAAUUGGGGUUGGCGGCUUAUGUUCUGGGGGUGGCUUCUCUCCUUUAGGAGGUUUGCCAAUUGGAGUCGGCGGCUUAUGUUCUGGAAGUGGCUUUUUUCCCUUGGGAGGUUUGCCAAUUGGGGUUGGCGGCUUAUGUUCUGGGGGUGGCUUCUCUCCCUUGGGAGGUUUGCCAAUUGGAGUCGGCGGCUUAUGUUCUGGGAGUGGCUUCUCUCCCUUGGGAGGUUUUGUUGGUGGCUUGUGUUCUGGAGAUGGCUUCUCCCCUGGAGGCUUGUGCUCCGGAGGUGGCUUCUGAAAUGGCGGGGGCUUGGGGUAAUGAGCAAGAGAUGGAGUACUG
rnacentral:lncRNA from 1 species